rnacentral:lncRNA from 1 species
CGGAAACCUAAAUUCCGUGACCCUAACCCCUUCUCUUUCCGAAAACCCUCCGGAAUCGGAAAAUUCAUAAUUCUUCAGAAUUAAUUUUCACCUCGAAGCCAAACCCUAACUGCCUCAUCUUCCUCUCAUUCAUAUCCCAAAAGUAGCUUCAACAGUCAGGCCUGUAGCCAUGAAAGCCGUAGUGAUCACUACUUCCGGUGAUCCCCAAGUUCUCCAAGUGCAAGAAGUCGAAAACCCUGAAAUUGGAGAUGAUGAAGUUCUAAGUAGAGUGGACGCCGCUGCCAUUAACCGAACAGAUACGCUUCAGAGGAAGGGCUUGCACCCUUCCUCAAAGGCGGCAGUCCCUACCCGGGUCUCGAAUGUUCUGGAAUCAUCGAAGCUGUUGGAAAAGCCGUCGUUCGAUGGAAGGUUGGCGAUCAGGUAUUUCAAUUGCCUAAUAUUUUGAUUUCGUUUCUGUUCCUCUGUUUUUCUCGGCUAUCAAACACUAGGAACGUGUAAAUAAGGAGGUUAGUUGAUUGCGAAAACGGGAAUUUUUUGUUCGUGUCUGUGUUAAGGAGUCUUUGUUGAGAAUUUUGGGGAAAUUUAUGAUAAGUUUGUGAUUUUAUGAUUAAUUUUGUGUAUCAAUAUAGGUUAAAUUAUUGAGCUUAUUGGUUUUCAAAUUUAUGGUUGUAAGAAAAUUGGUCAGUGUAAGGUUAUGGGAUCAUUACCAAUUUGCUUACUGAAAAUUUUUCCAGAUAUUGUGGACCGGUUUGGUAGCAGAAAUAAGAACUGUGUUUUGUUUUUCAAAACGGAAAUGGAUGCAGAAAACAUGUUUUUCUUUCAGAACUUGUUUCCGAAAAUAUUUCCUGAAAAUGAAUUAUUUCAGAACUUGUUUUAAAAAAAUUCAAACACUUUAUCAAUUUAAAAGGUUCUGAAAUGGACAUGUUCAUGGUCUUCAUUUUUUAAAAUUAAAGCUUUUAUGAAAAAACCAUUUUCCCUUCUACUAAACAAACAGGCUCUAUAUUGUAACAGAUCGAUUGGCCAUUUCCUUUGUCAUGUUUUGUGAAUCAUGGCAACACUGGAAUCCACUCCAUUACCAUCUGUUAGUGAUUAGAAGACAAAGCACCAAUUUUAAUGAUAUCCUUUAUGUGAUUUUGCUUCCUCCUGAGUACAAGUUCAUAGUAUACAUGGUACAUGGUGAAUCUGUAUGACAGUUCAUGGUAUACAGGUGUGUGCUCUUCUUUCUGGUGGAGGGCAUGCUGAAAAAGUGGCUGUUCCAGCUGGGCAAGUUCUCCCUGUCCUAUCUGGUGUUUCUCUGAAGGAUGCUGCUGGAAUUCCUGAGGUUGCAUGUACUGUUUGGUCAACUGUUUUAAUGAUGAGCCGACUGUCUGCAGGAGAAACAUUCCUGGUGAAUUUUUUGUCUUUUUUAUUUUCUGAUGCCUGAUAUAUUUACCAGCACAAAUUUACCCUGUUGCUGUUUAAUGUGUGUGCAUCAAUAUUGGAUUAGGGAGGUAGAAGAGCCAUGGUUCUAAUUAAAUCAUUACAUCAUCAUAUUCUUAUUUAGAUACAUUGUAUCCCACAAUUUCAUUGCAUCCAAGGCUAUGUUGUUUUUUAUUGCACGGUUUGUGUCAUGGUAAUUUCUCAACCCUUCUCUGGAAAAUUAUGUUGGAUGGCUGCUAUUAAUUACCCCAAAAGAAGAAAUUUUAUGUUGAAGUAAGAUGAGUAGCACAAAGAGUUACUUGUGGUUGAUCCUAUCAUCAAAUGGGCGAUUGAUGCACAAUCCAAAUGGUAAAUUUUUUUCCCCCUUUAUCCAGAUGGAAUUUUUAUGCAUGGUUGAAUAGUGAAAUGAGGACUGAUAAUAUUUCAGGUUCAUGGGGGUUCAAUUGGAAUUGGUACCAUCUAUUCAAAUAGUGAAAUACUGAGGAGCAAGGGUAUUUGUUACAGCAGGUUUGCCAUCACUGUUCUACCUCAUCUCACAGAAUGCUUAUCUCAUGGCACCAAUUCCUUUUCUUCACAUGUUUUCAACCAUUUUUUCCACCCAGGAACGAGGAAAAAUUAGCUGUUUGUAAGGAUCAUUGAGCAGAUGUGUGCAUCAAUUACAAGACUGAAAACUUUGUUGCAUGGGUGAAGGAGGAAACAGGAGGGAAAGGUAUAAUCUAUUGUAUCUUAACGAUAAUUUCAAUUGAAGGUGGAAUUGCUUUUUAAUUUUUAGUGCACCAAAUCCACUAGUCUGGAAUGUUUGAAAAGAUAAAUAGUCAUCUUCCACUUGAUACCGAUUGUGAAGAUCUAACCCCAAAAAUGUUGAAUGACAGGUGUUGAUGUUAUACUGGAUAAUAUUGGAGGGGCCUACUUUUGGGGAGACAUCAAUGGUUUAAAUGUUGAUGGAAGGCUUUUUAUUAUUGGUUUUCAGGGUGGAACAGUGGUACAAGUAAAUCUUUCAGGUUUACUUGCAAGGCGCCUUACAGUGCAAGGUACCGCUUUCUCUGUAGUUUUGGAGUUGAAUCAAUUUGAUUAAUCUCAUCCAAGUUCAGAACUGAGGUGGAUUCUGGCAAGCCAAGGAAAAACCAAAUUACCAUAAAUUCUUUUUUUCUUGGAAAUCCUGUUUCUCAAUCUGGUCAGUAUAUGGAAAUUCCAAGGAAAAUAUGUUUUACAUUUUCCAUAAGGCUCAAUGGGUUUUAACUCCACUCAGCUACUUUAUGUCUUGUAUUUAAUAUUGCAAACCAAAAUAAUAAUACGUAGAGAUUGAGCUUGGAGGCCAAUCUAGCAAAUGUGGAGAUUAGAAAUAGUUUACCAUCUAGAUAGUCAAGCAUAGCAAUUUACCAAACCCUUACCAACCAUCCAUACUAACCAAUUGUGGUUAAAUGUUUACAAAAAUGUACAUUAAAUCAAAGAGAAAAAAGAUUAAAAACGAACAAGAGAGAAGAAGUACGUCACCUAAUUUUGGUAAUAAAUGAAAUUAAAAUAAAUUCAUAAAUUUUUUAAAUUAAAAUGAAUUUGAACUCUAGAGAUUUGUGUAGAUAUCUUAUUAAAAAACCAAAAAGUUUGUUGCAUAUAUAAUUUCAACAAUGCAUAAAUAAUUACAACAUACGCAAUACAAUAAUAUUACACAACUAUAUUUUCAAAUAUAGUAUAAGAUCAUUAAAGUGAUAAAUUGUAGUUGUAUAAAAUAUUUAUACAAGUAAAGAAGAAAUUAUGAGAUUGAAAUGCUUGUUGGAUUCUAAGUAAAAAGGAAAUGAGAUAUAGAGAUUGUCCCAUCAGACAUAGAAUUUCAUAUACAUAAUUUUCCCUUCAAGAAAAUUUAGGGUCAAAUUGAAAAAUUUUCAUUCAUAGAUUUUGGUAAAACCUCUAUCUAGUCCUCCAAAUCUUGUAUACAAAAGGAAAUAACAUUGGUAUGAGGGGUUUGAAUGCUUAAUUUUAGAUUGAAAAUGCUUGAGAUAAUUUUUGAUCGACUUCACAUGUGUUUUUGAUAAACUUGGAACAUUCAAACUUGUAUUUGAAGAAUCUUCAAAUCUUCAAUUUGAUCUUAAAUAAUGUUGAAACCUUCGAAAUUUGAAUAGAAGAAUCUUUAAGCAUUUGAAUUUUGGUUUAAAGAAUUUUGAAAUUUGAGAUUGAAGAAUCUUCAAAUUUGGGCCUGAAGAUCAAAGGCUAAGCUUGAAGAGUUCUUGAAGCUUGAGUGGUAUCUCCGAUUUUGUUUUGUAUUUCAUAAAAACUUUUAAGUAUACUAUAUUUAUAGGUUUGAAGAGACAUUGAGAUUUUGUAUACAUGUUUGGAGUUUUAAACCUUGAAAUAUUACUCUUUUAUGAAAUUAACAUUUAUAAAAUUUGGAAGAACAUAAUUAGAUAAUAUUCUAAGUUAUUUUUAAUGAAAAUUGAUAAUUACCUUUUAAUUAUCAAAUUCACUAUUUCUAUUUAUUUUUGUAAUAUAUAUUAAUUACUAAAAUCAUUUAUUUCCUUUAUUUAGUUUGAAAGCAAUUAUAUAUCUUUUGUUUGUGUAGAGCUCAUGUGACACGACAAAUUUUAUUUUGUAACUUGCUCUGGAUGAAUGGCCAUUAUAAACUUCAUUUUAUCCUCAUCUGAUUUUGAGGUGGGAAUAGGAGAGAUGAGGAUUUGACAUUUGGACCUAAGCCUCAGAGGGUUUUAACUCCACUCAACUACUUUAUGCCUUGUAUUUAAUAUUGCAAACCAAAAUAAUAACAGACAUGAUCCUUUUCAAAAUUUUUAUAAUAAUAGAAGUGUAAAUAAUAUAAGUAAAAAUAAUAUAAUAUUUUUUAAAAUGAUAAAAUAAUAGGUUAUAUAAAUUUUAAUAUAUAGGUAAAAUUAAUUAAAUUUUAACAAAUACCUUCACACUUAAACAUUACAUAUCUUUUAUUUAAUAAAAUGUUAAAAUAUUAAUAUAUUUAAAAUUGUAUAAUUAUUUUUUAUUUUAAUACUAUAUAAAUUAUAUAUUUAUGAUAUUACUGGUUCAACUAUAAUUCAAUCACUGAUCCAACCAUUGAACCAUGAAUUAGUAAAUUUUUUUAUUCAAUGAUAGGUUUGAUUCUAAAAAUAUUAUGACUAUGUUUGGUUCCAGAAAUUUUUUUUUGAUGGAUUACAUCAAUCUAGAUAAUGACAAAGAUAUUACCAAUUUGAUAUCACCAAUUGAUAACACAAUUAAAAAAUAAUAUGCAUUUUAACAUAUUUGAAUUCAUUGUACUCAUAUCCAUGACCUAAUUUUACACAUCCUUAAAUCAUGGUUGAUUUAUGAAACAAAUCUAUACCAUCAAUAGAAAAUAAAUAAAUAAAAUAAUACAAAAAAAUAUAUAGAUAGUCAAGCAUAGCAAUUUACCAAACCCUUAGCCACCAUCCAUACUAACCAAUUGUUGUUAAAUGUUUACAAAAAUAUACAUUAAAUCAAAGAGUAAAAAGAUUAAAAACGAACAAGAGAGAAGAAAUACAUCACCUAAUUUUUGUAAUAAAUGAAAUUAUAAUAAAUUCAUAAUUUUUUUAAAUUAAAAUAGAAAUUCAAAUACAUGUAACUAUUGUUUUUGUCUUGUAAAUCAUCCAAUUUUUCAAUGAAUUUAAACUCCACAUAUUUGUGUAGAUAUCUUAUUAAAAAAAACAAAAAGUUUUCACUAAAAUCAUAAAAUUUAGAUUAGAAAUGAUUUACUAUAUUAGUUCAAAAUUCAUCUCCACAAAAAUUGAAAUAAAUUAAUUAUCUUGAUCAAUUCAAAUAAAAUUUCUCCAAUUAAAUUUCCAAAUAUGUGCCUUAAUACCUAUAAUGGAAUUAGUAAUUUUAAUUAAAAAAUAAAUAAAAAUAAGGAUUUGAUCUUUUUCUUACCAUUUGAUGAAAAUUAUAAAAUAUACUAAAAUGACAAGUGAUCAGACAUUUGAAAUUUGCAUCAUUUCUACCAUUGCAAACACCACCAACUCCAUAUUUCCCAUUUUUCUACCUACUGCCAAUUCACUCAUCUCUCUGGGAAGAUUUUUGAGGUUAUCGCCAUGCUUGAGAUAAUCCAGAAAGUUGAGCGGCAUCACUCUCUGAAAGGUGCCUUACAGCAUGGGUAAUGUAUGGGAUACAUCUGAUAGCUUGCCAUAUCCAUAAACCACUAUAUUAAACCAUGGUUCAUAUCCCCAACGCCACACGAGAAUCUGUACUCAUCCCAAGCAGCUUGGAGAUCAUAAAAUUAGGUUUUGAGGGCCUCCCGAGACAUGCACAGCUUCACCUUUGUGCAUUCCUUUGAUUUGGAAAAUUUCUUCUGUAAAAUCCCCCAUUAUCAUGCCCUGAACCAAGACAAUUUCACAAUAUCCAAUAGCAUAUCAUUUACUUCCAUUUUGUCAAUGGGAAUUACCAUUUUGCAUGGGAAGCACCAACGGAGAUAGGGGUUUUCAAAUUGGAUCACUAGCAAAGAAACCCACCGCAACGAUCUGAAUAAUUGAGCACAACAUCCACUUUAGAGAACCCCUCCUGAAGGCGAAAUCGUCAUCUUGGCUAAACGUAGUCAUAGUUGGGUUGUGAGAAAUGGAGAUGAAUCACAGAAGGCUUUCAGUUUGAUAGCAACGAAAAGGUAAAUGUACUCUAGAGAAGUUUUGACCUUGGGAGAAGCGCUUUUGAAUCCAAGUCAAGGUCUGUUCUGGAUCCCUUUUCGACUCUCUCUAUUAAAGGAAGAUAAUCUGCCCAGGAUUUGGAUGCAAGCCUACAAGGCCAUGUUUAGGAGACUUAUGCAAAAUAUUUAUCCAUAGCUCCCCGCCUGAAACAUCUACAUAAAGCGUCUUCCAAGUGUGAACCAUCGUCUUGGGUCCUUGAGAUGAACAAAAACUGAGACAUGUCGUGAGUUAGAUGCAUUGCCUGAAAAUGCCGAGCAGUAGUAUGGCCUUCUUUCUGAUCAACUGUUUUGUCAAAUUCUAGAGCUCUCAUUCCAAAUCCAUCAGUUUUCUCAAAUGAUUGGCCAGUGGAGAUCCAUGGAUAUAACAUAUGAAAUGUGCACAAUAAAAGUAAUCAAACGGUUGGUUGGUUUGGCUGAAUCCCACAAUCGCAAAGACUUAUCAUAUGAAACUGUUACCAACUGAGUUGAAUUUGGCCUAAAAAGGAUAUCCGUUACUACAAACUAGCGUUCUUUCGUGGUGCUCUCUCUUUGCAGGCUAUCCAUGUUCCAAAGAAAAACUCUCUUGUCAUGUCUGGCACUGGGCACUGAUUAGAGUGUGGGACGUUCAUUCUCCAUUAUCACCAAACACAUGCAGGAUAUAUAUAUAUCAAUUCAUUCAAAAUAUGCCUUUAUUUUAUGGAACAUACCCGAAUCCAUUUUGUUUGUGUUGAAGAGGUAUAGAUCUUCUAAGGCUAUGGAGGGCACCACCUUUUCUCAGAAUUCUCUCUGACGAUGGGAAGCCGAAGAGAACGGGUUUUGUUUUUAUUUUGAAAACGUUGUUAUCCUUAAAGAACAAACACUAUUCUUUGGAUUUAUACCCUCCUACCUUAGGGACCAUACCGUUUGGCUACUGGGCCUCACGAGUCUUAGGCCCAUCAUCUAAGGCCCGUGAUGGCACUGGGCUCUACACAUAAGGUGGCCCAUACUCUAGAACGAAUAGAAAUCAUAUGUAUAUAUAUGGAUAGCUAAAUCCUGAAUAAUGGUUAAUAUGAUGUCGGUCCACAUUUAUUCUAUCAAUCUCCCACUUGGACCACAUAUAUUACAAAACAAUGUUCAUGAUAGUACUUUAUUGAGCUCAUCUUUGCUAUCCUAUCUUAAUAUCCUUAAACAAUCUGGUCUACUAGUUAUGCUAACAUAGGAUCAAAGUGGCCUUCAUUAAUCAUAAUUAUAACUAGACCCAUCAAUGAUCACAACAUUAACAAAAUUAGCAACAUAGAUCAAGUAUGGAUGUGUAGCAUGAAAAUUACAUAAAAUGUGAUCUUUAUUAUGUCUAUUUCCAAUUGGUCCUACUUUAUGACUAAAAAAUAGUCAAAUUCCACUUUCAACACUUGAUGCUAAACUGCUUCUGAAAGUCAUCAUUUCAAUUCAGAGAAUUCAAAUACAAUAGUCUUUAAAAUCAAGGUUUGUUGCGUACAUUAUUGGAAUGUUCAGCAAAUAUUUGAGUAACCCAAGUAUGGAUUACUGGAAAAAGGCAAAAUAGGUUAUGCGGUAUUUACAAAGAACUAAAGAUUAUAUGCUCACAUACCGUAGAUCCAGUCAUUUAGAGAUCAUGGGAUAUUCGGACUCCGAUUUCGCGGGAUGUCUUGACAACAAGAGAUCCACUUCAAGCUUCAUCUUCAUGUUGGCUAGAUGAACAGUUUCAUGGAAAAGUGUUAAACAAAUACUUAUUGCUUCUUUCACCAUGGAGGCAGAAUUCAUAGCCUACUACAAAGCAUCAAACCAUGGGAUAUGACUGCGGAAUUUUGUCACUCAGUUGCGAAUCGUUGAUGAGAUUGAGAAAUCAUUAAGAAUAAAUUGUGAUAAUAAAGCCAUAGAAUUGUAAUUCUAAGAACAACCGAAGUUCGUCAAAGUCCAAACACAUUGACAUCAAGUUCUUGGUUGUGAAAGAAAGAGUUUAGAGUCUUCAAGUAUCAAUUGAACAUACAAGCACAAACUCCAUGAUUGCGGAUCCGCUCACUAAGGGUUUGCCACCCAAAGUAUAUCAUGAGCAUGUCACACAUAUGGGUGUUGUACAUAUUGAUGAUGUUCCAGUAUAGUGGGAGUUUGUAUUUAGAUUUUGUGUUUGUUUUCUUGAUAUGAUGUUAUAUUGUGUUAUCGUGUACAAACUUGUGCAUACAUGAGACUUCCUAUUGUUGAGGCAUAGGGAAACCUCUUCAUAUCCUUCUUUUUAAGUUCAUUUUUCGGACAUUGGUGCAAACUAAAUUUAUCGCCUUUUGCUACAGGCAUGUCUCCUGGUGUACAAUUGCUCAUGCCAAAUCUACUCAACACCUUAUCGAUGUAGGCCUUUUGUGAUAACCCAAGUAUACCUCUUAAACGAUCCCUAUAGAUCUGUAUACCUAGCAAAAAAGAUGCAUUACCAAGAUCCUUCAUGUCAAAUUUACUAGACAAAAAUAGCUUAGUUUCAUGCAAAAGUCCCACAUCACUACUUGCAAGUAGAAUAUCAUCAACAUAUAGCACCAAGAUAAUGAAUUUGCUCCCACUAAACUUGAGAUAUAUGCAUUGAUCAAUGGUGUUUUCCUUAAAACCAAAUGAAGUAAUCACCUGAUUAAACUUUUGGUACCAUUGUCAAGAUGCUUGCUUUAAACCAUAUAUGGACCUUUUUAAUCUGCAUACAAGUUGCUUUAAAUCAUUAGACUCAAAGUUCUCCGGUUGCAUCAUGAAUAUUGUUUCAUCAAUGUUACCAUUAAGAAACGCAGUUUUAACGUCCAUUUGAUGCAACUCUAAAUCAUAAUGAGCCACAAGUGCCAUGAUGAUUCUAAAGGAGUCAUUUGACAAAACCGAUGAAAAAAUCUCCUUAUAAUCAAUGUCUUCCUUUUGAGUGAAACCUUUUGCGACUAGACGUGCCUUAUACCUAACAAUGUUGCCUUUUGAAUCCCACUUGGUCUUAAAAAUCCAUUUACAACCAAUCGAUUUUACACUUUCAGGCAACUUUACUAGGUCCCAAACACCAUUAUCUUUCAUUGAUUUCAUCUCAUCUUUUAUGGCUUCUAUCCACUUUUCAGAGUCAGAACUUUGUUUGACUUGACUAACUGAAAUUGGAUCAUCUUCCAAACCCAUGUCAAACUCUUGUUCCUGGAGAUGUACAACAUAAUCAUCUGAAAUUGUACUUCUCAUUUCUCUAGUGGAUCUCCUUAGUGGCACUUGUAUUUGAGGUUCUUGAGGCUGUUGAGUUACCUCUUCAUAAACUUGAACCGGUUCCAUAACUUGAGCAGGAGGAAUCUCAAGUGUGUUUUGAAUCUCUGUUAUUGAUUGUACAAUCUGGAUAGUGUCAUCAAACAUAAUAUGACCAUGUCCAGUCGUAAUAAUAGGAAUACUAACAGAUUCCUCUUCAAAUACCACAUUUCUUAACGGUUCUCUCCCAUUUAACUCAACAUCCUCAAUAAAUUUAGCUUUGCCCGUUUCAAAAAAGGAUCUAGUUGAGGGGUCAUAAAACUUGAAACCUCUCAACCUUUUAGAAUAUCCUACAAAGUAGCAGCUCACUAUUCUAGAGUCCAAUUUCUUUUCAUUUGGUUUUUAAGGCCUAUCUUCAGCUGGACAACCCUAGACAUGCAAGUGCCUAAUACUAGGUUUCUUGCUAGUUCAUAACUCAUAUGAGGUUUUGGCUACUGCUUUGCUUGAGACUCUAUUCAAAAUAUAAAUUGUUGUUUUGAUGGCUUCGCCCUAAAGUGAUUCUGGUAAGGUGGAAUGACUGAUCAUACUUCUUACCAUAUCCUUAAGAGUACGAUUUCGCCUAUCUGCUACACCAUUUUGGAUUGGAGUCCCCAGCAUGGUGUAUUGAGGAACGAUACCACACUCCAUCAAAUAUUUGGCGAACAGCCCUGGACGUUGUUCACUAGAUCCGUCAUAUCUACCAUAAUAUUCACCUCCACGGUCAGAUCUGACGACCUUUAUUUUCUUGCUUAGUUGGUUCUCAACUUUAGCUUUGAAAUUCUUGAACACAUCUAAUGAUUGAGACUUCUCAUGAAUCAAAUAAAGAUAGCCAUAGCGCGAGUAAUCGUCAAUGAAAGUGAUAAAAUAUUAUUGUCCAUUCCAAGAAGGGGUAGGAGAUGGACCACAAAUGUCCGUAUGUAUCAAUUCAAAGACGUCACUGCACUUGUUAACAUCAUUUUUUUUCUCAUAUUUGUUUGUUUACCCUUAAUAUACUCUAUACAGACUCGAAAGUAUAAGAAAUUAAGUGGAUCAAGAAUUCAUUCUGACACAAGCCUUUGAAUACGUUGAUUUGAAAUAUGACCCAAAUGCCUGUGCCAUAACAUCGAUGAAUUCUCAUUUGUUAAUUUCCGUUUAAUGUCAUAAUUACUUGAAUUCAAGGUUUCAUUUUCAUUAGUGGUCUUUAUGUUUAAUUUGUAUAAUUUGUCUGUUAGAUUACCUGUACCAAUAACAUUUGAAUUUAGAUAAAGACUAACCAUUCCAUUUCUAAAUGAACAAUAAUAUCCAAAGUACAUCCAGAGUCUAACUGUAAUCUAAAAAGACCAAUAGUCUUGACUGCAACCUUGUUGCCAUUUCCCGCAUAGAUGUAUCUUUCACCAUCAAUUGGCAUUCGGCUCCUUAGGCAACCCUACAUCGUGACACUUAUGUGAGUAGUUGCACCCGUAUCUAUCCACCAAGUGUCAGUAGGCACUACGACUAAAUUAAUUUAUGAACAAACAAAGUUGAGAAGUGUACCUUUCUUUUCACGCCAAGCAGCGUAUUUGGUACAUGUCUCUUCAUAUGACCAACCUUCUUGCAAAAGAAACAAGUCAUCUCCUUAUCUUGUUUCUUCUACACCUUUUGCAUUGAUGUCCCAAAAAUUGCAGUUUGUUUUUCUUUAUUGUCCCUUUUUCUUUUCUUGUUGGUACCAAAUCCCUGAGAUGUGGAAGCCAAGUGAGCACUUUCUAUCUUUUCUUGUUUCAAUCUCUCAUCCUUUUGUGCACAUUGAGCAAUAAGCUCAUUCAAAGUCCAUUUUUCUUUUUGUGUGUUGUAACUGAUUUGGAAUGGACUGAAUUGUGUAGGCAGAGAGAUCAAGACCAAGUGCACGAGUAUGUCUUCUGAAAACUCUAAUUUUAGUACCUUUAGUCUAGUCACAAGAUUAGACAUUUCCAUAAUAUACUCCCUUAUAUUCUCUUUCCCUUUGUACCGCAUAGAGACAAGCUUACUAAGAAUAGUGCUUGUCUCAACCUUUUCAUUUGUAGUGAAUCGGUUUGCUAUCUGGUCUAAGAAUGCCUUGGCUCGAGUUUUCUCAGGUAUUGCACUUCUUACAGCUUUUGGAAUUGAGUGCUUUGUUAUCAUUAGAGUCAUGCGAUUGGAUCGCUCCCAUUUUUCCAUAGUAGAACUUUGCUCAGCAGUGCUGGCACUAGUAAGAUCUGGAGGGCGAUCCUCUCUUAAUGCAUAGUCUAAAUCCAUGCACCCGAGCACAAUUAUAGCGUGUUUCUUCCAUUUCUUGAAGUUUGUGCCAUUAAGUGCAGGAAUGUUAUUAACAUUUGCAGAUAUAGAAUAUGUUGAAUUCAUAAUAAUAAAGCUCACAAUCAGUCACAUAAAUAUCAUACAUACAUGAAAAAUAACAUCAUACAAGAUACUUAGCACAAACAUUAAUAUUCUGUCUUUGGACAAUAAAUAUUAACUUGUAAUUGGUAUCCUUAUUCAAAAUUAUUCAUAAAUAUUGACAAUAAAACCAAAAACAAUAUGCUUGUCUUUAGACUAACAUAUCGAAUGCAAGAUAAACUUUAUAUGUCACAUAUUUAUGACUACUUUAUUUAUUAUUAUAUUAAAAUAAUCUUCCUUUGGGCCAAUUAUUUUAAAUAAUAAUAAUAACAUGUUUAGAUAUUAUAAAAUAAAUAAAUUAUAUAAUAUAAGUUACUUUGACAACUAACAUACAUAAUUCAUUUAUUUUAAAAUAUUAAACACAAACAUAACAAGAAAUAAUAAAUUCAAUUAAAAUUAUUUAUUUAUUUAUGCAUAAACCCAUGUAUAUAUAUAUAUAUAUAUAUUAAUUGAAGCAUAAAAAACCAUCUACAUGUGUAUAUAUAUCAAUUGAAGCAUAUAUACAAGCUUUAGUCUAAUGGUUUAAGCAAAAAAUAGGCCAUGGUAAAGGGUUUAAGCCAACCCGCCCCUUUAGUUUGGUUUUUGUUUUUUUUUUUUUGUUUUAAUUUCUUUUGGGCUACUGACCAUGCAUUCUCUCAUGGCCCAACGACCACUUAUGGUCACUUACAAGCCAAGCCCCUUCCAUAUAUAUAUAUAUAUAUAUAUGUUUUUAUUUAUUUAUUUAAAUUUUGUCCAUUGCAGCCCAAAGCGACCAUCCCUUGUAAUGGCAUCAUCAACGGUGCCAGAGCUGUCCUCGAACGACACCGAUAGUGAAACGCUGCCACCAUCACCGGAACGGUGAUUUCCCAUCGCCAAACGACGGUGUCACUACCGGAAUGAUGCUGUAACAGCAUCGCUGGGAAGCAACCUAACUUGUGGCGUGACACCAUGACAAGCAAUGCCACUAGCAGUGAAACGCUGUCGCCAUCACCGAAACGGUGAUUUUCCAUUGCCAAACAAUGGCGCCACCACCGGAACAACGUUGAAACAACAUCACUGGGAAGCAGCCCUACCCGUGGCACCAAAAUGGCGCUUGGAUGGCAUUUGGAACACUUGCAACAACGUUCAAAUCAGCGCUUCUCACUGGCAAAUGACGCUUGAACGACAUCUGGAAAUAAUGCCUACAACGCCUAAAAAUUGUGCUAUUUUGAACUCUUAAAACAACGUUGAAAUGACGUCUACCAAAGUCUGGAAUUGCACCGCUGUCUAGAACGAUGCCAUGAUGGUGUCUCACUCGCCUUAAAUGGCACCAACCACCAUGACUUGCAACCUAAAAAAUGGCACUUGAACAGCGCCUGAAGCGUGCCUGGAACGACGCUACAAACGAUGCCUGAAAUGGUGCCUUUUGUAUGCCUGAAAACGACAUAGGAAUGACGCUUAAACUACGUCCAUUUUGAACGCCUGAACGGUGUCCUAACGGCGCCUGAAACGAUGCCUGAAUGACGCCUGGAAUUGGCCCAGAUUUAUUUUAUGUUGUUUCCUUCCUCUUGGAUCUUUUGUUUGUGUUUUAAAAAAAAAAAUGUUUUGGUGAAAAUGGGAAAUGCAACCAGGCUCUGAUACCAUUUUGUGGGACGUUCAUUCUCCAUUAUCAUCGAACACAUGCAAGAUAUAUUUAUAUAUAUCUAUCAAUUCAUUCAAAAUAUGCCUUCAUUUUAUGGAACAUACCCGAAUCCAUUUUGUUUGUGUUGAAGAGGUACAGAUCUUCUAAGGCUAUGGGGGGUACCACCUUUUCUUAGAAUUCUCUAUGACGAUGGGAAGCCAGAGAGAACAAGUUCUAUUUUUAUUUUGAAAACGUUGUUAUCCUUAAAGAACAAACACUAUUAUUUGGAUUUAUACUCUCCUACCUUAGGGACCAUACCCUUUGGCUAUUGGGCCUCACGAGUCUUAGGCCCAUCAUCUAAGGCUCGUUAUAGCACUAGGCUCUACACAUAAGGUGGCCCAUACUCUGGAAAGAAUAGAAAUCAUAUGUAUAUAUAUGGAUAGCUAAAUCAUGAACAAUGGUUAAUAUGAUGUCGGUUCACAUUUAUUAUAUCAUAGAGACUUCCCAUAUGAAGAAAAUCGACAGCAGGUAGCUUUGCCAUUCUUAGUCUGUAUACAACCAACCUUAGCAAGGAUUGAACCCUUUUAUGCUUAGUUGUGCCAUAAAGAUCCUUACCACUGCCUAUAACAUGUAAUCAAAAUGAUUCGAUAAUAUCAUCUAGUGAACCAAUACCUCCAAAUGAGAGACCAUUGCCUUGGUAACUAGGGCUCAUGACUGAGAAUUGCUUGAACCCCUUUGCUUGGGUUGGAGCUUGACUGAUGCACAAAAUAUUCAUAGGCCUCUUCCCAUAACUGGCACCUUGUGUUUGCAACAUAAUUGAACAUGUAUUGAAGUGAGUUUUUUUGCAUCUUUUUGUAAGAAAAUUCUAAACAACAGAGAUUGCUUAGUGUGCCCGGCUCCUCGGGGAAUCAAGGUUCAUUCCUGUAGGGCCAAUUUUUUCACAGUCGAACUAGAUAACAUGGAGAGUAUGUUGCAAUGCUUCAACGGGGUAUUUCUUAGGAAAAUCCACCUGAAGCUAGUACAAUUCGUUGGCGUACUGAGUUCCUGGAGCUCUAUUGACUUCAAUCACCCAUCUUUGUAGAUUAUCGGUGACUUAUGCUCGGAUCCUGUAGGAGGAUUGACCUGACAUUCCACUAGCUCUUUCUGGAAGGCGAUCUUGUUUAACACCUUGUGAGAAGAGGCAAGGGAACUGGUCAUUGUUUCUUCGAGAAGAUCAGUGGCCGAGGAUGGGUUUGGAUCAGAAUUGCUAUAUGGGUUUUCUUUGGGUGAACCAAUUAGUGAAGUGGGUGGCUAUAUAGCAACUGAAGGGUAGUCAUACUAACGAGGAACUAUUAUUUCAUGCAUGUGGAGAGGAAAUGAGUAGAUUCUUCAGGGAUAUAUGAUUAUUCAUCUCUAGCUUACGUUGAAUAUCUCCUAACAAAUUUAUGCUUUGAAGCUCCCUUAGUUUCAUUACAGCUAACUUGGCCAACUUGGUUUCAUCAUGUUUCCUACAACCUCUAAGCAAAGCACGCCAGAUCACCAAAUCAGGUUCUAUUCGCAUUUUGUCCAUAAACUCCUUUGCCUAUUGACAAUAGACUGCCCCUCAAAAUUUGAUGAGAUAACAUCAACGCUGACAGGUUGGCCAUCCCCAUAAGCAUCUUUAUAGAGAUUGAUUCUAUGUUUAGAUAUUUCUCUCUCCUCAAGUGAGUUCAAUUUUUUUGUAACAUCCUUCUCCUUCUCUACUAAUAGUCUUAGCUGAACAUCCAACCUAUGUUCCUAAAGUGCCAGCAUCUCAUAUCUGAUGACAAGCCAACAACCUUGCCCUUGCUGAGACCAAUGUUUUUAAGGCGUUUGUGGGGCGCGCCUUGAGGCGAGGCGCAGCGAAAACGUGUUGAGGCGUUAAAAAUAAAAUGAAACACCUGAAAGGCGUACGCUUUUCCGAUGAGGCGUGAUUGAGGCGUGCUUUGAUCGCGCCUUUCACACUCCAAGAAGAAGGUGUAUGCUUCCUCGGAUCUGAUGUGGCAAUGAACAGAGAUUUAAAAAAAAACCCUAAGUAAUCCCUAAAACCCUAGUCCCGACUGAAAACAAACCCAAAACGAAACCCUACCUCCAACGACUCAAGUGGCGACGGAGUGCUCACCCUCGGCUGCGACCAAUCGCAAUGCAUCUUCUCCGGCGACGAUCCCUCUCAUUCAUCUCCAGGUAUGUUGCGAACUCCUUCUUCCAUGGUUUCUCCCUCUUCGUUUCUCUUUCUGCAAUCCACACGGGCUUCGUCGACUCUUCAUCCAAAUUUUUUUUUUAUCAAAUCAGUUAUGUAUAUCUAUUUAAAUUUUAAACCCUUUUUUCUCUCUCUUACAGUAUAUCUAUUUAAAUUCUUUCUCGGCAAUCCACAGCCCACACUUCCAGUCCACACUUUUCUCUCUCUCCCAAUAGGCUUUUCAUUUUCCUUUUUUUUUUUUUUUUUUUUUUAAAUUAUCAAAUCAAAUGUGCCUUUUGUUAAUAAGAUUUUUUUUGAAGUUUUUUAUAUGUUUGCUUAUAGUAUCAACAAAAAAAUAUAAUUAAAAUUAUAUAAAAGACAAUUAUUUGUGAAUUUUGAAUUUUUUAUUUCUGGUUUAAUUUUAAUUUUCACCUCAAUUUUCUUUAUUUCAUUAUUAAAUUCCAAUUAAAAUUUAUGUGUAUAAUUUUUAAACUCUUUUAAAAAAAAUUGGUUUUUUUUUAAUUUAAACCAAUUAAAUUUUGUAUUUCAUUUUUAAAUUUCUUUCAAUUGUGCUUUGUUAUUAUUUUUUUAGUCAAUUAUAUUGUUAUAUGGAAAUUUGAAUAUUAUUAUUGGUGAUUUUUUUUAGAAUGAGUUCCUCUGAUUCAAAAAAUUCAAGAAAGGAUUUUGUGUGGAAGUAUGUGAUGGAAGUUUCUAGAGAGCAAUAUUUAAUAUGUAAAUUUUGCAAUCAAAGAUGUACGGGAAGGGUGAAUAGACUAAAACAUCACUUAGCCGGAACUCAUCAUGGUAUGAAACCAUGCAACAAAGUUAGUGAAGAUGCUAGAUUGGAAUGUAAAGAGGUAUUGGCUAAUUUUAAGGAUCAAAAAACGAAGAGAAAUGAAUUGCUCCAAGAAAUUGGUAUGGGUCCAACUUCAAUGCAUGAAAGUGCCUUGUCUAAAAUAAUAGGGACAUUAGGGAGUGGGAGUGGGAGUGUAAGUGGGAGUGGGGAACCUAUUCCUAGGGGACCCAUGGAUAAAUUUACCACUUCACAACCUAGACAAAGUACUUUGAAUUCAUAGUGGAAGCAAGAAGAAAGGAAGGAAGUGUGUAGAAAAAUUGGUAGGUUUAUGUAUUCAAAAGGUCUCCCAUUCAACACUGUGAAUGAUCCUUAUUGGUUUCCUAUGAUAGAUGUUGUUGCAAACUUUGGGCCCGGGUUUAAGCCUCCAUCUAUGCAUGAAUUGAGGACAUGGAUUCUUAAAGAAGAGGUGAAUGACCUAAGUAUCAUUAUGGAAGAUCACAAAAAAGCUUGGAAACAAUAUGGAUGUUUAAUUAUGUCAGAUGGUUGGACAGAUGGAAAAAGUAGGUGUCUUAUCAAUUUUUUGGUGAAUAGUCCUGCUGGAACUUGGUUUAUGAAAUCAAUUGAUGCUUCUGAUACAAUAAAAAAUGGGGAAUUGAUGUUCAAAUAUCUUGAUGAGGUGGUUGAAGAAAUUGGAGAGGAGAAUGUUGUGCAAGUCAUCACUGAUAAUGCCUCUAAUUAUGUGAAUGCUGGAAUGAGGCUUAUGGAAAAAAAGAGUAGAUUGUGGUGGACUCCUUGUGCUGCUCAUUGCAUUGAUUUGAUGUUAGAGGAUAUUGGAAAGCUAAAUGUUCAUGCUACUACACUUUCUCGAGCUAGGCAAGUUGUGAAGUUUAUAUAUGGGCAUACUUGGGUUCUUAGCUUGAUGAGAACAUUUACAAAAAAUCAUGAACUUAUUCGUCCAGCAAUUACACGGUUUGCUACUGCAUUUCUUACUCUCCAAAGUCUUUAUAAGCAAAAGCAAGCUCUUAUAGCAAUGUUCUCCUCAGAAAAAUGGUGUUCAAGCACAUGGGCUAAAAAGGUAGAAGGUGUGAAAACUCGAAGUACAGUGUUGUUUGAUCCAAAUUUUUGGCUUCAUGUUGCUUUUUGCAUAAAGACCACUGUUCCAUUAGUUAGUGUCUUGAGAGAGGUUGAUUCAGAGGAAAGACCAGCCAUGUGUUAUAUUUAUGAGUUGAUGGAUUUAGUUAAGAAGAAGAUUGCAUUUAAUUGUCGGGGCAUGGAGAGAAAAUAUGACCCAAUUUGGAGAAAAAUUGAUGCAAGAUGGACUCCGCAACUUCAUCGACCUUUACAUGCAGCAGACUAUUAUCUUAAUCCUCAAUUGCGGUAUGGAGAUAAGUUCUCUAAUGUUGAUGAGGUGAGGAAGGGAUUAUUUGAAUGCAUGGAUAGAAUGUUGGAUUAUCAAGAACGUUUAAAAGCUGACAUUCAGUUGGACUCAUAUGACCAAGCAAUGGGUGAAUUUGGGAGUCGUAUUGCAAUUGAUUCUCGAACAUUAAGAAGUCCUACAAGUUGGUGGAUGCGUUUUGGGGGUUCAACACCGGAGUUGCAAAAGUUUGCUAUUCGAGUCCUUAGCCUUACUUGUAGUGCUUCGGGAUGUGAAAGAAAUUGGAGCACAUUUGAAUCGGUAAUACUUCUAUUUUUGUAAAUUUUUAUACAUAUAUUUCUAUUUCAAUGUUAGAGAACUUUAUUUCAUUUUAACACAUAAAAUUGUUUCUUUUAUUAUUUGUAGAUCCAUACAAAAAAAAGAAAUAGACUUGAACAUCAAAAGUUGAAUGCUCUAGUGUAUGUAAGGUACAACACUAGAUUGAGAGAGUGAAGUCUACAAAGGAAACAAAAUGUUGAUCCAACCUUGGUAGAGGAGAUUGAUUCUGAUGAUGAAUGGAUUGCGGAGAAAGAAGAUCUCCUCCUCCCCCUUGAUCUUUGUUGGCUUCAAGAUAAUGAAUUAUUCAAUGUUGAUGCCAUUAGAGUUGUGUCAUCCAACUCCCAAGAGACGCAAGCAUCAUCGGAUCAUAUGGUUUCUUCACAUUCCUACAAAAGGAAACAUAAUGAAGUACCAAGUAAGUACUCAAAAAUUGAAAUCAUAAAUUUGAUUAAAUUUAAUAAAAAAAACUUUUAAUAUUUAAACAUAAUUAAUACUUUAUGCUAGGUACAAGUGGAGGCAAAGGCAAAGAGAAGGAAUUGAAUUUGACACCAAUUGAUGAAGAUGAAGAUUUAGAUGAAAUGGGGAUACAUGAUAGUGGACAUUUUCCUACUAUUGAUACAUUGGAUGAGGAUGAUGAUGACCUUGGAGAGGAGGAUUUAAGUUGAAACAAUUUACUCUAGUUGUUAUUUCAUGACUUAGUUAUGGAUUUUUUGUAAAAGUUUAGAACUAUUAUUAUGGUUGACUCUAUUUUCUAUUUCAUGACUUAGUUAUGGCUUUUUGUUAAAGUUUGAAACUAUUAGUAUAGUUGAAUCUAUAAUCUAUUUUAUGAAUUUGUUAUGGUUUUUUGUGAAAGUAAGGAACUAGUAUGUUUUUUUUUAUGAUUCUAAUGAAUUGUUUUCAUGUUUUUAUUUAUGCUAUUUUAUUUUAUAUAUUUUAAAAUAUUAAUUAAUUAUAUAAUGUGAGGCUCAAAAAGCUUACGCCUCAAUGCCUCGAGGCUUACGCCUCGCCUCACGAACACAAAAACGCCUCGCCUUACGCUUUCGCCUUUAAAAACUUUGGCUGAGACCCAAAUAAGUAUCCAGAACCAUCAUCAUCAACCCUUUCACAAGCCUUUGUAUUUGAAGGUCAGAUUGGGAUUGCUUUGAAUGCACUGACACUGACACUGCAAUACACAAUUGUUUCUUCUCCAAUAAAAACACCACAAAGAGGUGAGGGGACUGGUAUUAGCAAAGAAGUGUUGUUAUCUAUAUUGUUCUGAGCCCGAGUACCAAAAACAAAAUCCUCAUCCUCAUCUAUACUCUUCCAUUACAUCCCUAGGCUUUUCAAUGUGAUCCACAUGGCUUACAGGAAUCCAGAAAUAUCGGUCUGUAUAAAAGUUGCUCUUAUGUGGCUCUCCUAGAAAACAUCCCAAUCAAGAUGAUCAACCUAGCUUAGAUGCUCAACACCCCAAACUUACGAGAAAUAGAGGAAUAAAAAGCAAGGAUAGGAGCCAAAGUAAAAACUGAGGGAAGAGCAAAUAGGAAAUCAAGCAAAACAUGAAUGUACAGAGCCUCAUUUCAGGUGACAUCUUUGGGCUAAUAAUAGGUGGAAUUAACAAAGUAGAUAAGCAUGAUUGUUAUAAAUAUCAAGUUCAAGGAUGAAGUCGUGCAUCAGCUACUUAUAGGGGGAGUCAAGGAAACCAAGAUAAGAUCAAAGAGAGCAUGUAUGCAAAUAAACAGAUUUGACAAAAUAGACCAAACAGCUUGUGAAUAUCCUCCUACAAAAAACUACUACACGUGGCAAAAAGUGAUGAAGCAAAAAGAGUCGGGUCCGCAUAUACAUAUCCUAUGCUAUCCUAUUCCUUCAAAUCCAAAGCAACCUGUAUUUUCAAUGGGAUUUGUUGUGAUGAAUUUUACUGGAUUGUAACAUGUAAAUAUGUUAAAAAAGGCUUGGGACAUUCCUAUAUAGUAACGCAUAAAGGUACUUCCAUUGUGAAGUUGUCAAAAUUGCAAAUUUAAAUUACAAAAUUUGAAAACAUAGAGAUGAAAGAUGAUGAAACCUUCUUUGAAAUUUUAUAUUGAACUCAUUAAUAUUAUUAAUUUUCAUUUCAGUCUAAGGGAAAGAAUUCUUUACUCUAAAGUGGUCACAAAAAUAUUAAAAUUCCUUGUCGAGAGAUUUAGAUCUAAAGUGAUCAAUAUAGAAGAAAGUAAAAAUAUUCUAAGUGUAGGUAAACUUGUAGACUCAAAUGACUCUACCUUCUCAUAAAAAAUCCUCAAUUUUAUAAAUUAUAUAGAUUUCUUCAUUUGAUACAAAAUUUGAAUAAAGAUUUUUCAAAUGACAACACAAGGAAAGGGAAAAAAAAAAUCUAUCCAGAUCAUAUUAUUUAAUCACUUAAAUUAUUUAAAAAUAAAAAUGUUUACUGCUAACAUUAUUUAGGUUCAUCUUUCUUUUGAUGGAGGUUAAAAUUCAUAAUUUUGAGGAAAAAGAUGAGGAUUCUCAUUUUUUUUUUCCAUGUAUGAAUGGGAUUCUCAUUGUGUAUAUGUGGGUUACUAAAUGGCAAAUUUGGGGGCCAAUAUGAGGGAAAAAAUGAAGUUGAGUUUGUCACCAAGAAUAGACAUGGUUCCUACAAAGGUGGCAUCUUUAAUUUCAUGUUUGGAUUGGACUUGUCAUGUAACAACUUAACAAGUGAAAUCCCUCAUGAACUUGGAAUGUUAAGUUUGAUUCAUGCAUUGAACUUGUCUCGUAAUCAACUAAAAGGCUCCAUUUCAAAGAGUUUUUGCAAUCUUUCUCAAAUAGAGAGCUUAGACCUUUUUAAUAAUAAACUAAGUGGAAAAAUUCCUCCAAAAUUGGUUAGACUAAACUUUUUAGCAGUGUUCAAUGUUAGCAUAUUCGGAAGAGUUUUAGAUAUGAAUGCAUAAUUUGCAAAAUUUGAUGAAAGUAACUAUGAAGCUAAUCCUUUCCUUUGUGGACCACCAUUAAACAGAAAAUGUAGCAUAAAUGUUGUUGAACCACCUUACCAACCAUUAGAGUCUUCAGAAGAAAGUGAUGCAAAAUGGUAUAAUAUCAAUCUUGUUAUUUUCUUUGCAAAUUUUACUACAUCAUAUAUCAUGAUAUUAUUAGGAAUUUCAACCAUUCUUUACAUUAACCCUUAUUGGUGUCAAAUAUGGUUCAAUUUUAUCGAGAAAUAUAUAUACUUUUGCUAUUAUUUUGUUUCCUAUACUCUUUCCAAGUUAUUAACAUAUUUUGAAUAAUUAGAGAUUUUUGUUUUCAAUAAUAUUUACAUAAUUAACUACUAUUGGUUUCCAUGACAUGGAAAGAAAUGCGGUGAAGGCAACAACCACUUUUUUUUCUCCUCUACUAGUGCAUGAUUGAUAUGAGUUAAAACUUGCACCCUUAUCUUUACUUAAAUUUUCUCAGCUUUUGUUUCAAUUCUUAAUUAUCAUUUCUUUUAUGUAUUGUUUAAUACAAUAUCCUAAACACAUUGCUUUGAAGGUUACUUAUUUAUUAAGCAUGAUAUUUAUUUUCAUAAAGACAAAUUCAAGUUUUUUAGGAAUUUUUAGAAUUAUUAUAAUUUGGAGUUCACAUUAGAGGAAAAAAAGGAAAGAAAAGAAUAGAUAAUUAAAAAAACAAUUUUAGUAAGUAUAAUUUGUCAUCUUCGGUAUAACAAAUGGGAAUUCCAAAAUAAUAUUUCAAUUUGUUAGUCUAUUCCUUAUAAUAUUAAUUGAAAUAUCAAAUAAGGAGUCACGUUUUGAUUUUUUUAUUAGCUUGAAUUGCAUGUCACAUAUAUUUUAAAAUCAAGCAUACCUCAGCAGGGAAGUUCUUGUAACAUGCAUGAACAUGAUAUGAUGAAUUAAAUAAUUUUCUUAAUUGUGUGAGACACAAACCCUCUUUGUUUAAUAAUAAUAAUAAUAAUAAUAAUAUACUACACAUUAUUAAAUCAUAUAUGUAUAUUUAUAGUCGUAUAAUAUAUUUAUAUAAGUAACAAUAAAUUAUAUUGUAUAAGGUAUCGGUAGGAGUUUUCAAUUCCCUCAUAUAAUAAUAUCUAUCAAUAAUUGGAUUGGACACCUUGCUGGCCAUGAGAAUGGACUUGACAUUAACACAUAGCCUUGAGUGGUGUUGAUAUUAUUACUUUGAACCAGAACUGCAGUCAUCUCAAAAACUAUAUUAUAUAGAAAAGCAAAAUAAAAACAUUAGUUAAAAAAAAUGUCAAGAUCCUUGAAAUCACGUUUCAAUAUGUUAAAUUACCAUUUUUUUAAAUAAAUUUUUGAUAGGUUGUGUGAAUAAAUAUAAUUGCUAUGAAGGGUUUCAAUUUAAUUUUACUAGCAAAUCCAUAAUAGGUGAAAAGACAAAACUACCAUUUUUGUUUUUUUUCUUUAUUUACCUUUUUUCUCUCGUAACCUUACUCCUUUCUCCUUUUUGUUUUUUCCUUUUUUAUUAUUAAUUUGUCUUUUUCCUUUUUCUCAACUAACUAUUUUUUUUCUUGUAAUUGUUAUUAUCAUUCUUAUUAUAAAUAUUAUAACCUUAUAUUAUAAAUUUUUAGUUUAGAUUAUAUUUAAACUAACUAAUGUUGUGGUUUUAAUUGACAUGGAAAAGAAUGUGGUUAUACAUGUGAUUGUCGCCUUUUUUUUUUUCAAUUAGUUAACUAUUGAUACAAGUUAAAAGUAAAAAUUGCAAUAUUAUCUUUACGUCAAUUUCACCGAUCUUUUGUUUUUAUUUUCAUGUAUCAUUCCUUUUUUGGUUAUUUAAUUAAAAGGAUUAAAAAAAAAUCACAUAUUCACAAUAAUAACCUUCAUAUUUUAAAAACAUAAAAUAAACAUUUUUUUUUUUUUAUAAAAAUACCCUCCAACUAUAUUUUUUAUAUCCCUAUUUCAAAUCCAAACACUUCUUUUAAAAAUAAUAAUAAUAAAUAAGGGCAAAAAUGUCAAACUGGGAUUAUAUUUAUAAUUUUCAAUAAUUAGAGGUUGUUUUUCCAAUGUAAAAAUUAUUUUGUUCCUUUGGCACAAAUAUUUCUUUCUUUUAUGUAUUUUUUUUAUUCAAAAUAUUAAACACAUUACCCUCAAGGUUACUAUUUAUUAUGAAUGGUGUUUACUUUACAUAACGAGAUAUUCAAAUUUUUUAGAAUUUUUUAAUGUUAAAAUAAUUUGGAGCUUAAUAGGGAAAAAAAAGAAGAAAGAAUAGAUAAUUAGAAAAGCAAUUCAAAAAAAUAAAAUUUAUCCUCUUAAAUUGGUUUUGUGUAAUACUAUAGAAGCCAUUUCUUGAGUUUGAUAUGGUAGAAUUUGGAUUCAUAUUUAUUUUAAAAUCAAGAAAUUCAAGUGUUGGUAGCAUCAAUAGAAUCUUAACAAAUUUGAAAAAAAAUAUUUAGGUAGAUCACAUUUAAAUAUAGCUAAUAGAAUAAAAAAUUAGUAUUAUUAGAAAGACAUGAUCAAUUAAAUCUUUUUUCUUAUCUAUGACACCGACUUUAUUUUUUUACAUAGUCAAUACAAUUUAUUACAACUUAUAUGUCAUUAAAUUAUAUACGUUUAUAUUAAAUAUAAUAUAAGACCAUUAAUGGAAUAAUUAUGCAAGUAAUAUAAAUUGUAUAUAAUAUAAAAAAUUUAAACUCCAUCAAACUAAUGGAAUCUAUUAUAAUAAGUAGACUAGACACCAUGUUGGCCCGAGUUGCAGGCCUGGGCCAGAUUUUAAAGGCUGGGCUUUGAGUUGCCCGUGGGCCUGAGCCAAGGCCUUCUCUUGGUAUCAUCAUUUUGAAGAAAUAAAUUGCUGAUACAGAGAAAAAAACUAUACUAAAUAGAAAAAUAAAUAAAAGCAUUGACUAAAAUGAAGGUCAAGGUCCUUGAAAAAUAAUCUUUAAAUUGUUGCAUAUAUAAUUUCAAUAAUGCAUAAAUAAUUGCAAUAUAUAUGAUAUGAUAAAGAAUUUGGAAUUAAAAGAAGAUUGAUCUAUUUUAAAUGUGGUUGGAAUAUUUCUAAAUUUGUGAUGGGAAGUUAGACAGCCAAUUAGGGAUCCAUAUUAUUUAUUUUCAAUGAUAUGAAUUUAUUUACUUUUAUUAAUAUUCUUAAUGCAACAAUAUAAAAUAUGUCAAUUUUCUAAAAUUUAAAAAGUAAUUGUAAAAGAAUUUUUUUUAAUUAUUUUUCUGAAAUUGAGUUUAUUAUAACAUUUUUCUUUACAUAAAUUUCUUUUUUAUUUUUAUUUUUUUUAAAAUGAGAUAUGAAAAAAAGAGAUCAAUAUUAGUACAAGUAAAACCCAAUAUAUAUAUAAAAAAAAUGAAUAAAUGUUUAUGAAAUAUUUUUUCUCUUUUAAUUCCUAUUCAAUUCAUUACACAAAAUAUUUUUGGUUUUUAUGCUAAAAUUUAUUGUUUAUUCAAAAAUUCUAGUAUACCUAGCUAUCAUAGAAGAGCCCCAAAAUUUUAUUGUUUAAGAGAAUAUGUGUUGCCACUUUAAAAGAUUUAUAUGCAAAAGGGAUUGAUAUUUUUUUCCUUUGGAUAUAUUUAGUUCCCGGAAAAUUUGAGGGAAAAUGUGAGGGAAGAAAAAUAGAGAAGAAAAGUAUAACGAAAUAAAAAGUGAAGGAAAAUGAAAAAUAGAUUUAAAGUUAAUAAAUUAUUUUCAUUGGUUUUUUCAAACUUAUUUUACUUAUUUUAUUCUAUUAAAUAAAGAUUAGCUAAUUUUAAUUAUAUUUGGUUUGAUUUUUAUUAUUUUUCAAAGCAAAACCAAAUAUGAAAAAAAAAACAUUUUUUUUGUUCAUUUUUUCUUUCCUUAUUACUUUUCAAAACUCAAACAUAGCUUUUAGAUUUGGAGCAUGGAAAGAUAAGAGUAUUGAAUAAAGGUUCUAUAUAUGCCCAUGCCCAUGAUACCAUUGAAAAAAAUGGAGAAAGGGUGAAACUUUUUCUCUUCAAUGGAAAUCAAAUAUAAUUAUUUUUAUCUUGUAGUAAUUGAAUGUUAUACUCCAUAAACUCAAAAUUAAAAUAAAUAAAAAAUUUAAAAACUAGGACAAUCCCAUUUUUUUUUUCAAUUUCUUAAAAAGAAAUUAAAUUACAUUUAUUUAUAUCUAUUUUCAUCCCUACCCAAAAAAAUAAAAAAAAAAUUAACAAGGUGGGACAUGUAUGAGAAAUUCUCACACUAACUCUCUCUAGUUUAUUUUUUAUUUUUUAAAAAAAAUCAAUUUCUUUUAAAAAAAUUAAACUAUAUAAAAAAUAAAUAUAAUUUAAAAUAAAAUAAUUUAACAAUUUUUUUUUUAAGAAAAGUAAAUUUCUUAUUUUAUAUAUGUUAAAAAUAAAUAUAAUCUUUUAUUUUUUUAUAUAUAUAAUCGGGUAAGGUAGAGUGGGACAAAGAAAUAAUCCCCUUCGAUUCCAAUAUGAAUUUUUAAAAUAUAAAAUAAAAAUCUUAAACUCAUCCCUAAUCCAUUUAUUUUUAAUCCUAAACUCGUCUUAUUAAGAAUAAGGCAAAGUGAGUACAUGAAAACACUUCUUUUAUCAUCAUCUCUACAAGUUCUAAUGUUUAGACUGCAAUCCAUAUCAAAGAUUUAUAAAGAAAGGACAACGAUGAAUUUCAUAAACAUUUGAAAGCAUAUACGUACAAAGUUUUAAAUAAUAUUGCUUGAGGUGCAAAUAUUAUUUGGCGCACAUAUUGAGGGACUUCAACUUGUUUUUUACAUUAGUAAGUAAUCUUGAAUAUCUAGAGUAACUUGACCAAAAUCUCUUUAAUUUUAUUUUCUUUGAUGGUUGUAUGAUGAAUUAGAAUGCUUAUAUAACAUGAUUAAAAAUUUUAAGAAAAAAAAAACUAAGAAGAAAGAAAGAAGCACCGAUCUUCCAAAUAUUGCUUCCACUUUAAUAUCUAGAAGGCUCUAAGAAAAGAACUUUUUUCAUGAAUCAUAACCCAAGUCGAAAAUAAAUUGAACCCAUUUUCUAAGUUAAAUUUUGAAUUUUUUACUAGUGAAUGCAAAUUGGGAAAAUGUAUAUAAAUAUAAUUAAACUAGAAUAGUAGGUUAGGUUUGUAGGUGGAGUUUGUUUGAAUUGUUGGAACUUCCAAGUCGUUGUGGGUCUAGUGGUCCCAUAGCUCUCUAUUAAUUUCCACCAUCAAUUUUCUGCAAUAAAGUCAAGUCAUUCCUAACCCCUAUAUUAAGUUGGCCUUAAAAGUCAAGUCAUUGAUCAUAGUUACAUUCAUGAAUCACAACCUAAGUCGAAAAUAAAUUGAACCCAUUUUUCAAGUUCAACUUUGAAUUUUUUACUAGUGAAUGCAAAUUGGGAAAACAUAUAUAAAUAUAAUUAAACUAAAAUAGUAGAUUAGGUUUGUAGGUGGAGUCUGCUUAAAUUGUUGAAACUUCCAAGUCAUCGUGGGCCCAGUGGUCCCAUAGCUCUCUAUUAAUUUCCACCAUCAAUUUUUUGCAAUAAAGUCAAGUCAUUCCUAACCCCUAUAUUAAUUUGGCCUUAAAAGUUCAGUCAUUGAUAGCUAAAUCCCAACCCAAGUCAAAAAUAAAUUGAACCCAUUUUCUACGUUCAACUUUGAAUUUUUUUUAAUUGGAAAAAUGUAUAUAAAUACAAUUAAACUAGAAUAGUAGAUUAGGUUUGUAGGUGGAGUCUGCUUGAAUUUGUGAAACUUCCAAGUCAUCGUGGGUCUAGUGGUCCUAUAGCUCUCUAUUAAUUUCCACCAUCAAUUUUCUACAAUAAAGUCAAGUCAUUCCUAACCCCUAUAUUAAUUUGGCCUUAAAAGUCUAGUCAUUGAUAGCUACGUUCAUGAAUCCCAACCCAAGUCAAAAAUAAAUUGAACCCAUUUUCUAAGUUCAACUUUGAAUUCUUUUAAUUGGGAAAAUGUAUAUAAAUACAAUUAAACUAGAAUAGUAUAUUAGGUUUGUAGGUGGAGUCUGCUUGAAUUUGUGAAACUUUCAAGUCGUCAUGGGUCUAGUGGUCCCAUAGCUCUUUAUUAAUUUUCACCAUCAAUUUUUUGCAAUAAAGUCAAGCCAUUCCUAAACCAUAUAUUAAUUUGGCCUUAAAAGUCAAGUCAUUGAUAGUUACGUUCAUGAAUCACAACCCAAGUCUAAAAUAAAUUGAACCCAUUUUCCAAGUUCAACUUUGAUUUUUUUACUAGUGAAUGCAAAUUGGGAAAACGUAUAUAAAUAUAAUUAAACUAGAAUAGUAUAUUAGGUUUGUAGGUGGAGUAAGCUUGAAUUGUUGAAACUUCCAAGUCAUCACGGGUCUAAGGGUUCCAUAGCUCUCUAUUAAUUUUCAUGGUCAAUUUUUAUGAAUUAAGAUUUAAAAGUGAGAAGGGAAUAAAUUUUUUCUUUUUCAAUUCAUUACAAAAAAUAUUUUUGGUUUUUAUGCUAAAAUUUAUUGUUUAUUCAAAAAAUUAAAGUAUAAAUAUAUAUAUAUAUAUCUUGCUAUUAUAGAAGAGCUCCAAAAUUUUUGUGUUUAAGAGAAUAUGUGUUGCCACUUUAGAAGAUUUAUAUACAAAAAGGAUUGAUGUUUCUCCUUUGACUAUGUUUGGUUCCCAAAAUUUGAGGGAAAUAAAAAAAAAAUAGUAAAAAAGAAAAAAUGAAAGAAAAUAAAAAAUAGUUUUAAAGUUAAUAAUUAUUUUUAUAUGUUUUUUCAAACUUAUUUUACUUUUUUUUUCAUUAUAUAAAGAUUAAAUAAUUUUAAAAUGCAUAAAUUUCUAACUAAUUUUAAUUAUAUUUAAUUUUUCUUUUAUAUUUUUUAGAUAGGAUCCGACACAUGAAAAAUCCUUUUUUUUAGCAUUUUUUUUUCUUUUCUUAUUACUUUCCAAUAACCAAAUAUAACCUUUAGAUUUAGCCUUUAAACUUGGAGUAUGGAACGAUACUGAGUAUUGAAAGAAGGUUUUGUAUAUGGCCAUGAUACCAUAGAAAAAAUGGGCGAGAGAGAAAAAACCUUUAUUAAAUGAUAAAUUAUUUUUUUCAAUGGAAAUCAAAUAUAAUUAUUUUUAUAAUAAUUACUUUAUUUUUUUUAAAAAUAAUAAUUUGUUGUUGCAUUAAGUAUUCUUGCAUUUGGAGAAGCAUGUUACUACUUACUACAUAAAUAGAUAUUCAUGGAGUGCAUUCUCUAAAAAGCUCCAGUCUCAUGAAAAUGGAAAGAUGGACCGGCCGGUGAACCGGUUCGAGUUUGGAUUUAUUGGCUGCCUCAGCCUUACACGCAUGAUAGGCUGUUGCAGGUGAAGAACUAAUUAAUUUAAAGCCUUCUUCUAUCCUCUCCUAUUCCUCUAUCACUCCAAAUGUUCCACAUGAUAAUGACAAUUCUUUUGUUAAAUGGUAAAAAAAAAAUUUAAAUAUUAUUUAAAAUUUUUUUUAAUUCUAAAUCCAAUGGAAAUUCGACUCUAAGGUGUGUAGAAGGCCCUAGUGCCCAUGUUGCUAAUUUGAUGAUAGUUAAAUUGUCAUUUUGGGAGAUUCCACACACUAGUAUUCUCAUUUAUAAAAUCAUGAACUUUGGCAUCCUAAUUAAUGCAAUUUAAACUUUUUUUGUUUACAAAUGAAAUAAGAGGCAACAUAUAAACCCAAAAGUUAAUUUUCCUACCAUCUCUAUGCACCAUUUUAGCUUUACUCCAAUAUAUUUUCUAUGAUUAAUUAUUUUCAUUCAAACAAUAAUAUCAAAAUAUUUUAAAAUUAGACAUAUCAUAAUCAAAUACCAUUAUAUUAUUACCGAAUAAUAUUUAAUGUAAUUUAAUUAUCAACGUAUACUUAUAAAAUUUAUAUUUUUUAUUAAUGCAUAUAAUAUUAUUAUCAAAUAUGAUAAAUUAUAUAUAUAUAUAUAUAUAUAUAUAUAUAUUUCUUCAACAAAACAACUUUAAAAUAUCUAUUAUAUUUCUAAUUUCAUUUCUAAGAAGUUUUUUUUUUUUUUUUACAUUUUUAUAAGUUUUGAUCAAUUGUAGGCUAACUGAUAUUUUUUAUAUCAAAAUAUCCACCAAUAUAUCUCUGAUAUAUUAGAUAUAUCCGUAAAAUCGAAAUACCAAUAUAUCCGUGAUUAUCGAUAUUUUUAUCCUUGAGGGAUAAUAACUAAUCUAGUUUUUGCACUUAUUGAUAUUUCUCAACAUUUAGAUUGAUUUGACCAAAAUCUUUUUAAUUUUAUUUUCUUUGAUGGUUAUAUGAUGAAUUAGAAUAGUCAUAUAAACAAAUUUAAGAAAAAACGAUAAAAAAGCUCACAUUUUUCAAAUAUUGGUUUCAACUUUGAAUAUUUUUAUUGGUAAAUGAAAAUUGUGAAAAACCUACUAAUGCUAAUACUUUUCACCACAUAAUUAAAUAUAAUAAACUAGAAUAGUGAUUCAUUGAUGUCUUAUAAAGCUACAUGCCUACUUUGACUUGUUAGUUGAUUUUUGUAGGCAGAGUCCAUUUCCAUAUGAAUUGUUGAAACUUCCAAGUCCUUGUGGGUCUAGUGGUCUCUCUAAUAAUUCCCACCAUUAAUUUUUUGUGAUGAAGUGACGUCAUUGAUAGCUACUAUAUCAAUUUGCUAUUAAAAGUCAAGUCAUUGAUAAUUACUAUUCAAUCUUUUUCAAUAUGGAAAUUGGAAUCUCUACUCUUCUCAUUGUUCAUUUUUAGGUAAUGUGAGAAUGUGAGAAUGUGUGAACAUAAAUGUCUUCUAAUCAACCAAUUUUUUUUGAAAAAAACAUGUACAAAAUUGCAAACUUGCAAAAUCAAACUUUCUUGUUGAAUAACCAUAGCUUGAUGGUUUUGAAGAAUCAAAGGAUGAAUCAUAAAAGGGUAUUUGAUAAAAAAUAAAAAUUAAAAAAAUUAAAAGACAACUACUCCCUUAGGUGUAAUAAGUGUAUUUGGUAGCACAAAUUUCCUACCACUUAUUAUUUUUUCCUUUCUUAAAAAAUUAUUUACUCUAUUAAAUAAACUAACCUUGGCUUAUCACUUAUAGCAAAAUAGGUUAAGUACUUUUUAAAAUUUUAUAAUAUUAGAUUUACAUUUUUAUCCUUCAAAAUUUCAUUAAUGUUAGAUUCUUCUAUAUGCUUAACUAAUAAAUAAUUUUUAGCAUUUUUCUUUUCUUAUAAACAUAAAAAAAUAAAAAUAUUAUUAACUUAUUGGUAUAUUUUAAAAUUUUAAUUAGAUUUAAGCUUUUAUUUAUUUGGAUUACCAAUUAUACAUAUAAAUCCUUUAUUAUUAUUGUUAUUAUUGAAAGAAAGGGGUUGAAUAGGUAGUCCCUCAAUCCCCAAAUUAAAUUCUUUAUUGCCUACUUUUGGUUUAUUCCUUUACAUGAAUUCCUUGGUGAGAGUAAACAUUUCAUUAAUAGAUAAAUAAAAUUGAUUCCAUAUCAUAGGGUAUAAUGUGGAAAAAUCACCAGUCUCAUGUGUUCCUUAGUGGAUCCUUUGGAGCCCUUAUCAAAGUUUCAUGAUGAAACCAUUGACUUUUGUUUAACCCAAAUGUGCUUUCAAGACAAAUCUUGAAAUAUUUGAGAGAUGGAGGUUCAAGUCUUUUAUGAACGACCAUGUUCUCUUAGGGUUCAUGAAAAUUCACACCUUUUGAUAAAUAAAACUUAUCUAUUUAUACGUCUAAAACCCAGUAUUUAUUUAUUUAAUUAUAGAAAGUUUCUUAGUUUUAAAAACAUUUCAAAAAUCAUUUUUAGAAUCAAAUAAUAAUUUUAGAGAUAAACACAAUAUUAAAAUUUAACAAAAACAAAAUUUCGAAUUAAAAACACAAUAUAAACUAAAUUACAAAAUAUAAAGGAAUUUUUAUCCUAAUUUCUUGUUUCAAAACCAAAUGGAACACCUAGAAGGGGAGUGAAUGGGUGAUUUUAAAAUUUUUCAAUAAUGAUUUAUAAGUUAUACCCAAUUCUUUUACCCUGCGAGUUGUUAGGGACUAUCAAUUCUUUCCUUUUGGCAAUUCAAACAAUAUAUCAAAUAAUAAAAAGAUAUAAAUAAUGAGACAUAAAGAUUUUUACAUGGAAAACCCCCCACACUAACCAUGGAGAUAAAAAGCCAUGGAGUCUAAGACCUAUUAAUCUAAAUUCACUGUACGAAAUCAAGUUACACAAAUUUAUUUGAUAGCUUUAACUUAAAGACUUACUCUCCGGUACUGACAACUUGAUUCACAUCCACAACGUAGCAACCCUCAAUUACUCCAAUGGAUCACUUCAAGCUUACUAAAAGGAUGAAGGCCUUCAAACCAAGAUUCAAAAAUCAAUUCCUUGAAUGAAAGAUCAGGGAUGGUGUGCCACUUUAGGCUUUCUCUCUAAGAACUCUAAAAUGAUCUCCUCAAUGAAAACCUCUUAAACAAAAUGAGAUAUUUCCCCACAAUCUCUAAUCCUCAAGGGGUUAUAAUGAGAUAUUUAUAAGCAACUAAGUUGAAGAGUUUCAGUUUUGGAACAUGACCGCUCGAGCCAACACACUUCCUACUUGAGCGUUUCGGGCACUUGAGCGGUAAGGCUCGCUUGAGUUGUCCUAAGCGCUUGAGCAUUCCAAGCUACUUGAGCAAUCUUGCUCUAUUUCAAAAGUUAAUUUUAAAUCAUUUUAAGUUCAAAACAAAAUUGAUUCCCUUUAUACCUCAAAGUAGCCUAACUUACAAACCAAACUUUUUUAGAUAUACUUGUGACUUCCUGGUUGGACGAACAACUCUUAAUCUUCAAUGGAAAGCAAGUCAUUAUCUAAAAAGAUUUAUAUGGUCAAACAUAAAAAAACAAAAACAAAAAAAUUGCCAACAUAACAACAAGACUCAAUGUCCUAACAAUCUCCCCCUUUGGCAAUUUUAUGACAAAAACAACAUUACAUAUACCCACUUGAACUCUCAUAAUGGAGUUUAAUAAUACACAUUAAUGUUCAAUUAAAAAUAAACUAAGGGAAUACUUUGUAUCACUUUGUAGUAUUUGUCUUCCAACUUUGUAACCUACACACAUAUAGAAAACUAUACCAAAGGUAAAGCAAUGUGUAGGAUAAGAUAUGAUCAAGAAAGCAAAAUAGGAUAAUUGAAAAUUUUGCUUGAUGCCUUGUGAAAGCAUGAAAAGGGAACAAAUUCAUAUAGUAAUACCAAGGGACAAAGCAAAACUAGAGAAGAAUAUAUAUGUAUGCAAAUCAACCAAACAUAAUAAAAGCUACAUAAGAUGCAAUAGAUCAAUAAUAAUGCCUAGGGGUCUAUCUCCAACCAGAAAAUAGGGAGUGAAAAUCAUAGGAAGAACCUUCUGUGACUUAGAAAGGUUCUAGAGAGAUAGUCAAUUCAAACAUAAAUAUCUUGCUAGAAACAUCUAUGUUAUGUAUCUCUCUAAACCUUCUAAGUUAUGCUUUCAUUAGUUGAUUUGGUUUUUCUCCAAUGUCUCAGGUUUAAUUUCCUCUAAUAUUUCAAUUAGAGAGAAAUUGGUAGUCGAUUGACUUAGUGGGUGUUUGGUAAAACUUAAUACUUAUUAUUUAAUGAUUAACUUUAAGUUAAAUUGUUCUUAAGUUAUUAAUUUAAAAUUUAUUACUUAUUUUGUAUUUAAGUACUAGGGUUAUUUGAAAAAAUCGACUUAAAAUUUAUUCUAAAUCAUCAAAAUGACACAUUUACCCUUAUUAAUUUUAACUUAUAUUUAUUUUCAUUAAUUUUAAACAAUAAAUUUAUUCAUAAAACAUCUAUAUUUUUGUAGAUACAUAACCAUAAAAUAUUUACUAUAAAAAAUGAGUCAUGGAUGUAGAAUUAUAAUUCUAAAAUAUACACUUAUGAGUGUGGGUAAAUAAGGCAAAAAUGAUUUGAGAUUAAGAGUAAAGUUAAUUAUUUUGACUUAAGACUUCAAGUUAAAAAUAACUUUAAGUUGCAAUAUUAAGUUAUUUUAUCAAACAUGCUUAAUUUACUUAACAACUUAAAUUAAGUUAUUAAGUUGAAUUAUCAAACACCCCACUAGUAGUAUGUUGAAAAUUCACACCUUUUGAUAAAUAAAACUUAUCUAUUUAUACGUCUAAAACCCAGUAUUUAUUUAUUUAAUUAGAGAAAGUUUCUUAGUUUUAAAAACAUUUCAAAAAUCAUUUUUAGAAUCAAAUAACAAUUUUAGAGAUAAACACAAUAUUAAAAUUUAACAAAAACAAAAUUUCGAAUUAAAAACACAAUAUAAACUAAAUUACAAAAUAUAAAGUAAUUUUUAUCCUAAUUUCUUGUUUCAAAACCAAAUGGAACACUUAGAAGGGGAGUGAAUGGGUGAUUUUAAAUUUUUUCAAUAAUGAUUUAUAAGUUAUACCCAAUUCUUUUACCCUACGAGUUGUUAGGGACUAUCAAUUCUUUCCUUUUGGCAAUUCAAACAAUAUAUCAAAUAAUAAAAAGAUAUAAAUAAUGAGACAUAAAUAUUUUUACGUGGAAAACCCCCCACACUAACCAUGGAGAUAAAAAGCUAUGGAGUGUAAGACCUAUUAAUCUAAAUUCACUGUACGAAAUCAAGUUACACAAAUUUAUUUGACAGCUUUACCUUAAAGACUUACUCUCCGGUACUGACAACUUGAUUCACAUCCACGACGUAGCAACCCUUGAUUACUCCAAUGGAUCACUUCAAGCUUACUAAAAGGAUGAAGGCCUUCACACCAAGAUUCAAAAAUCAAUUCCUUGAAUGAAAUAUCAGGGAUGGUGUGCCACUUUAGGCUUUCUCUCUAAGAACUCUAAAAUGAUCUCCUCAAUGAAAACCUCUUAAACAAAAUGAGAUAUUUUCCCACAAUCUCUAAUCCUCAAGGGGUUAUAAUGAGAUAUUUAUAAGCAACUAAGUUGAAGAGUUUCGGUUUUGGAAGGUUUCUUAAUUGAAUUUGUGUGAAAAACUCAACAGAAUCAACAUGACCGCUCGAGCCAGCACACUUCCCACUUGAGCAUUUCGGGCACUUGAGCGGUAAGGCUCGCUUGAGUUGUCCUAAGCGCUUGAGCAUUCCAGGCUACUUGAGCAAUCUUGCUCUAUUUCAAAAGUUAAUUUUAAAUCAUUUUAAGUUCAAAACAAAAUUGAUUCCUUUUAUACCUCAAAGGAACCUAACUUGCCACAAACCAAACCUUUUUAGAUAUACUUGUGACUUCUUGGUUGGACGAACAACAACUCUUAAUCUUCAAUGGAGAGCAAGUCACUAUCUAAAAAGAUUUAUAUGAUCAAACAUAAAAAAACAAAAAAAUUGCCAACAUCACAACAAGACUCAAUGUCCAUGCAUGGUCACCUGAAAGUUGACUCCAACCACAAUAUAAUGCAUGUUCUCAUAGAACAUGUGAACAAGAUGGAGAUAGAAAGUCCCUUAGAGAGAAAACAGAGUCUUCUAACCCUACUCUUGAAUGAUGAUAGGGAAGACAGUGUCCUGAAAAGCUUAGAGGUUAAUGGCAUGUUGAGGCUCGACACACCGAUAUGUGAAAGAAGCGUAAUAAUGGUCCCAUGCCACCUGGCAGUGAAAGCGCUCAAUCGAAAGUGCAUCUAGGUUAAAAAGACCCUAGAGUGGGAUGCCCUAGACGGUUUUCAGUGACCUAGGAAAGGUCACCUCCCUCUGAAAUCUAUGACUAGCCAUAUCUAAGGUAUAUAAUAUGAAAAAAAAAAAGCUAAAGAAAAACUAAAGAAAAUCCAAAGAAAAGCUAAACCACUAAAAAUGUUAAACUCAAUGCGUCGAACAAUACUAUACAAAUGGAAAUGAAAAAUAUGAAGCGAACUGACCUCAGAAGACAAAAGGACAGUUACCCAGAGGGCUCGAAGAGGAAUAGGAAAGUUUGAAAUGAAUAUUGUGUGAUGGAUGACCUUUAUAUAGCUUAUAGGAGUGCUUGAUGCAGAUUAGCACUUGAGCGUCAUGACUAACUUAAAUCAAAUUAUUUAUUAAUAUGGAAAUAUUUUAUAAGUUUCAAAGGAAGUAUUCAAUUUAGAACCUUUUUAGAAUUUUUUUGAAAGAAACAAAAAUAAAGCGUGAAAUAUUAUGUGUUAAAGGUGUUAGAAGACAAUAUUGUCUAAUCAAAAGCCUUACACAUUCCCAAAAAAAAAAAAAAAAAAGGAAAAAAAAAGAUACUAUAUAAGAUUUUGAUCACAUCUAAUAGAAACUAAUAUUUAGCAACAUAUCACCAAGCACUAUCUUAUCAGAAAGCUCUAACAUGUUGGAAAUUUAUGUAAGGUUCCAUAACAACUAACAACUUUUUAUGACGACUCGGUAAUGGACCAUUUGCACUUCAACUACAUUAUUAAAUUUAAAUCAUAUUAGAAUAUAAUUGACUUCUCUUUUGUGAGGUUACAUAUCUUGUAGGAUGGGAUAGGUGAUUCAUUUCAUAUAUGAAAUUUUCUUAAUUUAGUAAUGCUUCCAAGUUCAUUAUGAAUCUAAUGGUAUCACAACUCCUUGAAUAUUUGUAAUCUGUAAUCUUUGCUUCAACUUCUCAAGUCUAGUCAUUUUAUCGGCAUAACUAGUUUGCUUCAAUUAUCUCUCAACUUUAUUAUAAAACUAAGGGAAAGGAUUGUCACUCAUUUUAUAUUAACUUAACCAAACAUCUUUAUAUAUAUAUAUAUAUAUAUAUAUUGUAAAUUUAGGAAAAAUUCAUCCAUUAGCCAUAGUAAGUAAGAAUCAAAUAAGGGAUAUGUAAGCCAAUGGUGAUAUUGAUGGCGUUAAAUCAAUGACAUAGUAGAAAAGUGGAUUGUCUAUUUUCAAACCUUUAUAUUUUCAUGCAAUAGUAAAAAGGUUAAGGCAUCACUUGAAAAGUAGUUCGUUUUUUACCUUGGACUAUGAUUUAUGAAUAAAGUUCUUCUGUUGUAUACCUUUUGUGAUGCCCCAACCUAAUUUAGGGGUAAAAAAAUAAUUUAGAAAAAAAUAAAUAAAAAGUUAAAUAAAUUUAAUUAAGGUAAAAAUGUAUUUUUGUAUUUAAAAUUCCUAGGUAUCAAUUAUAUAUUUCUUGUCUUCUCUAUUCAAAAAACCAUAUUACACAAAAAUCAAAUAUCAGAGAACAUAGGACAACGCAGGGUUGAAGAUUUGGAGGUUUAGGGUUGAAGAUUAGUUUUCCAGGUAAGAUUCUAACCCUUAAAUUAGUAUUUUAGAUUCGUUAAUUAGUUUGAACACUUUAGAUAUUCUUUGAAAAAUCUGAAUAUACAUUAGGGUUUGUUAAUUUAAUUUUUAAAUAAAAAAGAUUGAAAAUUUAUGAACAUAAGUAGAGUUAUUAUUAAAGAUUGAAAAUUUUUGAAUAUUUGAAUUAAAAAUCUAGAAAAAAAAGAAGAAAAUAAAUUAUAGCUUUGGACGUGGAAAAAAAUUAAUAUUAAUUAAUAAAUAAAACCUAUGAGUAUGGAAGUAGAAAAAUAUGAGAGUUGAAAGCAAAGAAAAAAAAAGAGAAUAAGGUUUUGUGGUUGUACAUGCCUCCUUAGUGGAAAAAAAAAAUACAAGGUUGCUUGCAAUAGGAUAUGACAAAGAGAGAGAGAUAAAUGCUUAGAUGUUGAUUUUUGUGGGGAAAAAAAGAUUGGGUAAUGUAGGAGAGAAAUAGGUAGCACUUUUAGAGUCGGUGGAGUUGUUGUAAAAGCUCGUAGGGGUAAUUGUUAGGUAGUAGUAGGGUAUGAGAUUAAUUGUUAGGAAACAUUAGGACUUGAAAUAAUAAUAAUUGCUUCUAGUAAAAGUUUUAAUUUAGUUUAAGUAUAUAAAAGAAAUAGAUGAUUAGAAUAAGAUUUGGAAGGAAUAUGAAUUCAUAAAAAUUUCAAAAUUUACUAAUUUAGAUUAUUAUUGUUUUGGAAGUUGAAUAUAAUAUAGGUGAUAAUAUUAUUAAUAUAGGAAAUGAUUAAGAUUCUCAAACCUACAAUUUUAGAUAAAUAGUUAAUAGUAAUAGUUGAUUUUUUAUUUUUUUUUUAUUUUUUAUUUUUUAUGUUAUGUUAAGUGAAUAAUGGAUUCUUUGAUUAAUUCUCUAAGGUUUCUAAGUGCUUCUUUAAGGUAAGGGAUAUUAAUACUGAUUUUGUAAAUGAAAAUAUUUCUUUUUAUAAGUUAUUUUAAAUUAUGAAAAUUUUUAUUUUUAUUUAUGCAUGGAUCAAAUAUAUAUUUUUUCAUGAGAAACAUGUUUGGGCAAUUUCUUUGUUUAUAAAUAAAUAAAUGAAAACUUUGGAAAUAUAAUGUUUUGUUUUGUAAGUUUAAAAUAAUGAAAUAAAGUUUUUGACUCUGGUUUAUAUGACCUUAGUUAAUAGGUUAUAAUUGUUGACAUUUUCAGCUCCAGUCAACGAUUAUAAUUGUUGACAUUUUCGGCUCUCCAAUCAAUGAUUAUAAUUGUUGAGAUUUUCAACCCUAGCCAACGGGUUAUAAUAGUUGACCUUAUAGCCCUAGUCAACAGAUAUAAUUGUUAACCUUUGGCUUUUCCCAUCUUAAAAAGAACAAAUUUAAGGCUAGCCAUUUAUUUGUAAAGUCCCACCUAACUAAGUACCAUUUGUUAUUUAAUAACCAGAGUAAAGAUAUUUUGAAUGUAUUUGAUGUGAAAUUGUUGUGAUAUUAAUAUGAAAAUGUUUGGUUGAAAAGUUCAAAUGUUUAAUGCAUGUUGAAUUCAAAAGUUUUUAUGAAAAUGAUUAUAUGUUAUAUCUCUUAUUUGUAAGUUUGAUCCAUGAAACUGUAUUAAUAUUCCUUAUUGGACUUUGAGCUCAUUCCCCUUUAUUGAGAAUUUUUUUUCGUAUUCUCAGUUUGGGCAAGGAGUGAUGACUGGGUUGGGGAAUUUUCUUUACUAUGGUUUUGCUUCAAUCUUAUUUUGGACAUUGUUUAGAUGUUAAAAUUUAAUUCCCAUUUAAAUUAUUUGGGUUUGGAGUUAUUUGGACGAUAAAACUUUGAUUGAUGUGUUAGUUUUAAAGUUGAGAAUUGAAAAUUAUAGAAUUUAUUUAUCUUACUACUUUGAACAGAAAUUUAGUAAUUGGAGAUCAUCCAGUUACAAGAUGAAUAUUUGAGUCGUUUCAAGUCGUUUCCACUUUGAGUGUUCAGGCUUAGGGUGUGAAAUGAUCGUUAUGCCCUUGGAGUGGGUAUAUUGUUUAUUUGAAUUUAAUGGUCCCCGAACUCCUUAAUUACUCAUAACUUUAUAUCAGCUUCUCAAAGUUAAGUUGUUUUACAACUACUAUCUAGCUACUUUUCUCUACUAUGACAACUUUAUUACAUAGUGAUUAAUUGAAAGAAUCUACAUGUCUUAUUUCAUAGGAUAGUUGAUUUUUUUACUCAAUGAAUUUUGCUUUUAUUAUUGAAAAUUUCAAAUCAUUGUAGUCCAACAAUUUCCUAUCCAUUGGUAAUUUCAUAUUACAUUUCCAAAGUCUAAUCAUUUAAAAACACUUGUAGUUAAUAUAUUGGCAAUUGCAUUGUGGGAAGUUGUUCACUUGAUUUUAAUGUUGAAACUUUCAAAUUUUUGUAGUCCAACAAUUCCCUAUCCAUUGGUAAUUUCAUAUCACAUUUUCAAAGUAUAAUACUUGUAUAUAGUAUAUUUGGUGAUUGUAGAGUGGAAAGUUGAUCAUUUUCAUGAAGACCUCUAAAAUAGAAUUUUUUUUCAUUCCAUUUAUUAAAGAAUUUCAUUAAUUGAACAUAUAUGUUUUUUUAACCGAAAAGUAGAGGCCACAUUAUACGAGGCCUUAGGUGACAAUACUAGGUGAGGGCUUUUUUUUUUAAUUUAUUUAUUACGAAAUAUAAAUAAUAUUAUUUAUUGUAUAAUAAAGAUUAUUAUAAUAUAUUUUUUAUAGAUGAAAAAAAAUAUUAAUUGAGUUUUAUUUUUUUAAAUAAUUGUUUUCAAUAAAUAACGUAUUUGUAAAAAGAAAACUAUAAAAUAUAUGCAUUUGAAAAAUAUUUAAUUUUUAUUUGAUUUAGUAUCAAUUAAUAUUUGUAAUAUUUUUUAAUAUUAUAGAAGUUAACAUACUCAAUUAAGAUAUUCAAGAUCAAGAGAAUAUUUGAGAUUGAAUUAAUUUCUUUAUUGUUUAUGUUUUAGUAAAUUUUUAUAUCCAUUAAAAUUUUUUUAUUGUUUAUUUUUCAUUCAAUGUUUGCAUUUUGUAAUAGAUAUUAAAACAAAUUUUUUUCUUGUAUGUUAAAAAAAUAUUUCAAUGUCUUUAAAAAUAAAAUAUUGUAGUAAAAUCAAAAUUACAUUGUGAAACUUUAAGCGAAUGUUUUAUACUAAAGAAGUGCCAAUUAAAGUAAGCAUGCAUCUACAAUUGUAAUUUAGAUGUCAUAUUGAAACAAUAGUUCUCUUUGACUAUAUCAUAAAAUUUGGUUCGAAUUACUUUAAGUCAUCUUGUAGAUUUUCAAGUUCCAAUGAUAUGCAUCAAGUAUGUGCAACAUACUUGAUAUGACUAAUAUUUUCUUAAGUAAUUGGACACUUUUUUCUAUAAAUUUACUUGAUUAUCAAUGAAUACUUUUAUGUAAGGUAUUGAUAUAAUUCGAUAAAUAUUUUAAAAUAGUAUUAGAAUAGCUUUGCUCUUUCCUAAUUAACAAAUUUACUAAAUUAACUUAUAUAUAUUUGUUUAUUUUAAUUUACUGGUAUUUGACUCAAUUUGUUAUUAUUUUUAAAAUUAUAGGAAAACCAUUAUUUAUAGAGUUUAAUUAUAUUUGGUAAAUUAUCUUUUUAAGUUUGACUAGGAUUAGGAAACUAUUAAUUUAAGAUUAAUCCAUAAGGCUCUAUAAAUUUGCAGUUUUAUAUAACAUUUAAAAAAAGAAAGAAAAAGUAAGAAAAAGUGAAGAGAGAUAGGCAAAGAGUGCAUUGGGUUUUAGAUAGAGAAAGGUCGAGAGAGUUUUGAUUACUACUCAAAAAGAACAUAUUUUAGAUAGUAAUUCUCAUGGGUUUCACAUCUUUUGAGUAUUAAUUAUGCCUAAAAAUGCUCAAUUAACAUGUUGUUGCCCUUGCAAGAGUUACUAAUAAGUUUUAUAAAGUUUUGGAGUCAUUUCAAGUUAUGAUUUUAAUAAAUUGGUGAUGAAAGAGAUGAAUUGAUUUGAAGAAGGAAAAUAAUAUUGAUGAUGAUCCAAAUGCAUAAUGAAAGAAGCAAUAUAAUUAGUUUGAUCGGGAUUUGCUGCUAAUUUGGAGGUAGUUAAGGUGGAGUCAAAAGAAGAAAAUGGAAGAAAUGACAAAGAGGAACUUAAAAACCAAAUGUUGCAGAUUUGUAUGAUCAUUCAAAAAUUACAUGACUAUGCCAAAUGGAUUAGAGAAGGAAAAUUGACUAUAGUAUAAGGAGGAUGCUUAAGUUGAUUUAGCAUGAACAUGAGAAAAUUUCGCAUGAACAUGCGAAAAUUUUGCACAAUCAUGCGAAAUGGUCCAGAAAGCUCUCUAAUGUUGUUGUUGCUCCACUAAUUUCGCACCACCAUGCGAAAUCGAUCUUUUCAUGCAAAAUGGCUGAAGCUCAUGUGAAAUCAUGAUUUUGAUGCUAAACUCCAGAUUUGUGAAUUUGGAAGGUUUUAGAAGACCAAUGAGAGGUUGCCAAGUGUCCACUUGACCUUGGUCUAUAAAUAGAAACUUGAAUUUCCCAUGUAAAGAGCUUUGUGAUACUUUUGAUUUUAGAUUUUUCUAGAAACUCUUUCUCUAAAUAGAAUUCUAUAUUUUCUUUAAUUUUCCCUCAUUUUCUCAUUAGCCAAACAUGCCUAGUGAGACCAAAUUUCCAAGUAUGAGUGACUAAAUCUCGUUUUUCUCAGAGGAAUGAGGAUCUAGAGGCAAGAUCUAUGGUGAAUUAUAGAAAUGAGUUUUAAUUGCAAAUGUAAUUUGAUUCAAUUGAUUGAUUAAUUGAAAUUCGAGGAUUUUUCUCUUCAAAUUGUCCUGAAUGACAAUUACAUUGCAAACUAGGCAGAUUAAUUAAAUUCUUAAAGUUAGAUUUAAUGAGACUGAAUAGUUGCAUUGUAUGAAUCAUUGGAAGAUGAUUUAAGAUGAAUUGAAUAUAUAAUUUAAAUUCAUAUCUUGGAUUAAAUAACCUAAUUUGAAGAGAAAUUAGGUUUAGACUUAAAGGGAAAUCUAAAAUCGGUUUAGAUAAGAAUUUAGGUUUUCAAUCUAACUUGAUGAAAAAUAAAUCUCAACAUUUAUUCACCAUGGAAAUUGUUUUCUAAAAAAUAUUAACUCUGAGAAUUCCUUUUCCUUAUCAGUUUUCUUAUAUUCUACAUUAUAUUAUUCUUUUCGAUUAGAAAUCAUUGUUAUUUUGAUUUUUCGUGAAUUGUCAAAUCAAUUUCACUUGACCAUAAUCAUUUCUUUUCCUCUCAUUUAAACCUUAAUUAUCGAGAAUAAUCCAUCCCAAUAGAAGACACCUAAGACCACUAUACUACUGUAGCUUUUGCUAAAAAACCUUUUUGAUCGGGCAAGAGUUACCUUAGCAUAGUUGAAUUAGGUUAUAAAUUUUUUAUCCAAUAAACAACAAAAAAAUCAAUUGAUCAAGUUUACAUUGUGUAUUCUUGAAUUUUAUUAAUAAAUUUGAUCCCCUUUUUUGAAGCGAUUACACCAAACCAAGUAAAUAUUUUAUCUACUUCAUUUGCUUUAUUUUUUCUAUUAAGUUUAGGUGUUGCAAUUUUUAAGAGUCAUGGUGAGAAGAUUGUGGGAAAAAUUAUUUUAAGGAUGGAGUCGAACAUAAAAUAUGAAAUUGAGUCCUUUGAUGGAAAUAAUAAUUUUAAUAUUUGAUAGAGUAUUAUUAAAGAUGUUUUGAUACAACAAAGACUUCUCAAAGCAUUACAAGGCAAAAAAAACUAGAGAGCAUGACAAAUAAAGAAAUGAAAGAAUUACAAGCAAGAGUUGUAAGUACUAUUUGUUUAAGUCUUAAAAAUGAAAUACAUUGUUUUGAAUGAAAAAAAUAUUCUUUUAGGGGUGUCAAUUGCUCUUUUAGAGACCAAAAAUAUUAAGCAAUCAAGUAGUUCAUCUCAUAUUGGACAAACUGUUAUGAUGAAUUCUAAACCAUAUCAUCAUAGGAGUAAAUCGAAAGAAAAGUAUCUGAUAGGAGGAUGAUCAUUCCAUUCACACUUAUAGAGGAAUAUGAAGUAUUAUUNNNNNNNNNNNNNNNNNNNNNNNNNNNNNNNNNNNNNNNNNNNNNNNNNNNNNNNNNNNNNNNNNNUAGUGAUUGUUUUAUGUUGAAGAAAGGCUAAUUAAAGUAAACAUGCAUCUAAAAUUAUAAUUUAGAUGUUGUACUCAAAUAGUUGCUCUCCUCGAUUAUAUCAUAAAAUUUGGUUUGAAGUCUAAGUCAUCUAAUAAUUUUCUAGUUCCAAUUACAUGCAUCAAACAUGUGUGUUAGGAAGUGUUGCAAAUUACUAAUUAGUAUAUAUUCUUUUUUUUUUAAGAAUAUUGUAUUAAAUAUUUCUAGGUUGAUAUAUUAUUGUAAUAUUAGACUUCUUUAUAGAAUAAGGAAGGUUGUUGAAAAUAUCCCUAUAAAUAUUCUAGUUCAUAAGGGGAAAAAGUUUUGAGAUGAAGAUGGACCCAUAAAGACUAUACAAGGUGGAUAGAGAUGUGAGGAAGAACGAGAGGUACCCGAUGGAGCGAGAGGGCUCGUGGUAGGGUAUAGGUACGAAGAGUGAGGAAACAUGGGAUGUUUUGGGAACUCAAUAUUUGUAUCUAGUUAUGUCCUCUAUAAGUUCUAGUUCUGUCAUCUGCAUUGUUCUCUAUUUUAUAGUGGAAUGAUUCUCUCUUAUCUGUGGACGUAGGCAUGGUUUUCGAACCACGUUAAAACCUUGUGUACCGUUUGUGUUGAUUUUUUUUAUCUUUAUUUUCUUGAUUAAUGAAGUUUGCAUCAAAGCUUCUGUCAACGUAACAAACUUGUAUCAAAGUUUGGGAUAAAGAUUUCUAGAAGAGUAAAAGAUCAUAGAGCACACAAGAUGAAAACAAAAGGAAUUUUUAGUGAAAAAGGAGUCAAUUGCUCUCUCGUGGUGAUAUGAUAUAAAAAGUUUAUGUCAUGGAAAGUUUGAAGAUUUACUUCAUGGAAUCUGGUCCAAAAUGGAGAUUGUUAAUAAGUGUCCCAAAUUCCUAAUUAGUAUAGAUUUUUUUUUUUGUAAAGAAUAUUGUAUAGAAUAUUUCUAGGUUGAUAUAUUAUUGUAAUAUUAGACUUCCUUAUAGAAUAAGGAAGGUUGUUGAAAAUAUCUUUAUAAAUAUUCUAGGUCAUGAGGGAAAAAAGUAUGAGAUGAAGAUGGGCCCUAUAAAAACUAUAUGAGGUGGAUAAAGAUGUGAGGAAGAAUGAGAGGUACUCAAUGGAAUGAGAGGGCUCGUGGUAGGGUAUGGAUACAAAGAGUGGGGAAAUAUGGGAUGUUUUGGGAACCUAUUAGUUGUAUCUAGUUCUGUCAUCUAUAAUGUUCUAGUUACGUCCUCUAUAAUGUUCUCUAUUGUAUAGUGGAAUGAUUCUCUUUCAUCCGUGGAUGUAGGCAUGGUUGUCGAACCACAUUAAAACCUCGUGUACUAUUUGUUUUAUUUUUAAAUUUUUUUUAAUCUUUGUUUCUUGAUUAAUGAUGUGUGCAUCAAAGCUUCCAUCUACGUAACAAACUGGUAUCAGAGCUUGGGUUGAAGAUUUUUGGAAUAGUAAAAGAUCACAAAGCACACAAGAUGAAAACAAAAGGAAUUUUUAGUGAAUGUGGAGUCAAUUGUUCUCUCGUGGUGAUAUGAUACAAAAAGUUUGUGUCAUGGAGGGUUUAAUGAUUGACUCCGUGGAAUUUGGUCCAAGGUAGAGAUUGUUAGGAAGUGUCCCAAAUUCCUAAUUAGUAUAGAUUUUUUUUUUUUAAAGAAUAUUGUAUAGAAUAUUUCUAGGUUGACAUAUUAUUGUAAUAUUAGACUUCCUUAUAGAAUAAGGAAUGUUGUUGGAAAUAUUUUUAUAAAUAUUUUAAGUCAUGAGGGGAAAAAUUUAUGAGAUGAAGAUGGGCCUAUAAAGACCAUAUGAGAUGGAUAGAGAUGUGAGGAAGAAUCGGAGGUACCCAGUGGAGCGAGAGAGUUCGUGGUAGGGUGUGAAUAUGAAGAGUGGGGAAACAUGGGAUGUUUUGGGAACCCAAUAGUUGUAUCUAGUUCUGACAUCUAUAAUGUUCUGGUUCUGUCAUCUAUAAUGUUCUGGUUUUGUCCUCUGUAAUGUUCUUUAUUGUAUAGUGGAAUUAUUCUCUCUCAUCUAUAUAGGCAAGUUGCUAAACCACGUUAAAACCUCGAAUACCUUUUGUGUUGAUUUUUUUUAUCUUUGUGUUCUUGAUUAACGAUGCUUGCAUCAAAGCUUCUACCAACGUAACAAUGUGCAACAUAUUUGAUAUAACUUAUAUUUUCUUAAGUAAUUGAACACUUUUUUCUAUAAAUUUACUUGAUGAUCAAUGAGUACCUACAUAUACGGUAUUGACAUAGUUUGAUAAACAUUUUAAAAUAGUAUUAGAAUGGCUUUUCUUUUUCCCAAUUAACAAAUUUAUCAAAUACACACACACACACACACACACAAAAUACUCAUUAGUAUGUCUUUUAUGAAAAAACUAUGUUUGUUUAUUUGAAUUUAGUAGCCAUUCAAUUCCUUAGUUACUCAUAAACUUUUUAUCACCUUCUUAAAGUCAAGUCAUUUACAAUUAUUUUCAAGUCAUUUACAAUUAUUUUAGCCUUCUCCAUUAUGACAACUUUAUAAGAUAGUGAUUGAUUGGAAGAAUCUACAUGCCUUUGUUGAUAGUAUAAUUGUUUUUCUUUUUUUUCGUAUUCAAAGAAUCUUGCUUCUGUUAUUGAAACUUUCAAAUCCUUUAUGUCUAGUGGUCUUAUAAUUCCCUAUUCAUUGGUCUUUCAUAUUACCAAUCAUUUUGCAAAUGAGUUAAUUUCAUUCACAUCCUCUGAGAUUUGAUGUAAAUUCGCUUAGUUACCAAUGAUUUCAAAUUUCAUUAAUUAGUACCCCUACAGAUAUAAUUCGUGUACAAAAUUUAUUUUUUAAAAGAGUUUAGGUAAAAAUAUUUUAGGUAUAUGUCUUUAACAAUUCUCUAAAAUAAAUUUUACUUGCUAAAAAAUAACUUAUAUAGAUAGAAUACAUCUACAGGAGUUCUAACUAACGAAAUUUAAAACUAAUGGUGGUUUAGUGUAUUUAAACUAAACAUUAGGAAGGGUGACUGAAAUUAACCCUCUAGGUAUAUAUGUUUAACAAAAUUUUUAUUGUUUAUUUUUCAUUUAAUGUUUGCAUUUUUCAAUAAACAUUGAAAAGGAAUUGUUUUUCCAUAUGUUAACAAAAAGAAAUUUGAAUACCUAUAAAAAUGAAAUCUUGUAGUAAAAUUGGAGUUACAUUAUCAGACUUUUAACGAGUGUUUAUGUUUAGAAAGGCCAAUUAAAGCAAGCAUGCAUCUAGAAAUUGUAACUUAGAUGCAUCAAACAUGAGCAACAUAUUUGAUAUAACUAAUAGUUUCUUAAGUAACUAAACACUUCUUUUUCUAUAAAUUUACUUGAUUGUCGAUGAAUACUUACAUACAUUUACAUAGUUUGAUAAAUAUUUUAAAAUAAUAUUAGAAUAACUUUGUUUUUUCUCAAUUAUAUUAGAAAAUAAUAUAAAGUUACUUAUAAACUUUAUAUCAUUUUCUCAAAGUCAAGUCAUUUACAAUUAUUUCUAUCUAGUCUUCUCCAUUAUGACAACUUUUAUAUGAUAGUCGUUGAUUGGAAGAAUCUACAUGUCUUUUUUGAUAAGAUAGUUGUUUUUAUUAUUUUUAUUUUUUUUAUUCCAAAAAUUUGCUUCUAUCAUUGAAACUUUCAAAUCUUUUAUGUAUAUUACCAAUCAUUUUACAAGUGAGUUAAUUUCACUUAGGGUAGAUAUACUUAGCCACACCCCUAUAGAUGUAAUUUGUGUUUAAAUUUUAUUUUUUAUUUAGGUAAAAAUAUCUUAGGUAUAUGUGUUCUACAAUUCUCUAAAAAAUAAAUUUUCUUAUCUAAAAGUUUAUAUAGACAAAAUACAUCUAUAGAAGUCCUAACUAAUGAAAUUUAAAAUCAAUGGUUGUUUAGUGUAUUUACAUUAAACCUUAUGGGGUAUGAUUGAAAUUAAGUCUUUUACAAGCACUUGUAGCUAAUAUGUUUGUAGUUGUAGUCUUGGAAAUUGAUCAUUUUCUUGAAGGCCUCUAGGAUAUUGAAAAUAUUGCCAUAGUUUUAGACUUUUUUUUUAUUACACCUAAUAAAAAAUAUUAUUAAUUUAACAUAUAUAUUCUUGACUUAAAAGUAAAGUCUCUCCAUAUUGUAUAAGCCCUUAGGUGGCAAUAUUAGGUGAAGUUUUUCUUUCGUUUAUUACAAAAUAUAAAUAAUUUAUUAUUGUAUGAUAAAAUUUUAUGUAAUAUAUUUUUAUAGAUGUAAAAUUAUUAAUUGGGUUUUGUUUUUUUUUACUAAAUUGUCAUUUCAAUAUAUAAAACUUAUUUGUAAAAAGACAAUUAUAAACUAUAUGAAAUUGAAAAACAUUUAGUUUUUUUAUUUAAUUUAGAAUUUUAUUUGGAUUAAUAAUUGAUAUUUGUAAGAUUUUUGAAUAUUAAAAAAAGUUAGCAUACUUAAGAAAGAUAUUCAAGAUCGGGAGUGUUUGAUAUCGGAUUAAUUUCCUUAUUUUCUCUAUUUUAAUAAAUUUUCACGUCCAUUACAAAAUUUUUGUUGUUUAUUUUUUACUUCAAUAUUUUUAUUUUGUAAUAGAAAUUUGAAAAGAUUUUUUCCUACAUGUUAAAAAAAAAAAAGAUUUGAACACUCCUAAAAAAGAAAUAUUGCAAUAAAAUUAAAGUUUACACUGUAGGACUAUUAGCAAAUGCUGCAUACUUAAAAUAGACCAAUUAAAGUAGAAAUACUUCUAAAAUUGUAAUUUAGGUAACAAUAAUAUAAAAAGACAAUAUUUUUGAAACAAUAGUUCUCUUGGAGUUUUGGGUACAAUGGACUAGACUUUAUGUAACAAUAGAUAUACAAACUUUCCAUUAACAUCUUGAGAGACAUGAUGAGGAGCAAAGUCAUCCAAGAAGGUACCAUAGAGGUACCUUAGCUCAAUUCAUCUAGACUACAUAAUGUUUAAAGAUCAAAUUCAAUGACUAGAUUUCAAAAAUCAAUAUAAGCUUUCUCAUAUUCUACUCUAUAUAAGACAAUGGUAUGAUACCUCUCUUGUGUCGUAGAAUGCACCAUGAAAACCUUAUCAUUUUAACAUCAGUUUGAAACUUAAAAGUCACUUAGCACAUUCUAGUUAUUAAUUUAAGAGCAUUAAAAGAAAUAUAUAAAAAAAAAGUUACUUUAUCCUUGUGAUUUUGAUCUAGGACUUUUAAUGAUAUUAAAAAAAAAAACAGAAAAAUAAAUGGAAAUAAAAUCAAUAAAUUAAACAAUUGAAUUAAGUUAGUUUAAUUUUUGAAUCGUUAAAUGGGUAAAUAAAGAUCUUAGAUUUGAUAUUAAUAUGAACAUCAUGACUUCAGUGAAUCUUACAAGAAAAUUUUAGUUUGAAAGACUUCAUUCAUUAAACGUGUGGCACAUAUUAAAGUAAAACUAAGUCUUCUCUAUAAUUUGUACCUAUCAUAGUUUCUUUCCUCAUAAAUAGCCUUUUUUGAAUAUAAUAUAGACUUCAACAUGCAUGGUGGGGCCAAUCAAACUACUAGUCAAGACAACUCAUGGGCAACAACGAUGUACCAACUACAUUUAAAUACUCUUCAUAUAUUUGCAUAUCAAGAGUAAUUUAGUAGUGUCUUUCUUAUGUACCUCAUAUCUAGACUUUCAAUGGAGAGUUCUUCAUCUAAAAAUUUGACUUGGGUUUUCAUACUAGUUUUGGUUUAGACAUGUGGAUGCAAAGGUUGCAUCAAAGAAGAGAAGUAGGCUAAAUCAUCUUACAAAUUUUCAAGUUCAAAUUAGAUGCACCAAACAUAUGCAACAUAUUUGAUAUAACUAAUAUUUUCUUAAGUAAUUGAAUACAAUUUUUUUUUAUAAAUUCACUUGAUUAUUAAUGGAUAACUAACUACAUGUAUGGUAUUGACACAACUUGAUAAAUUUUUUAAAAUAGUAUUAGAAUAACUUUGCUAAAAAAAAGUAAAAAUAAAAAUAAAAAUACAUCUAUAUAUAUAUAUAAUUAAAUAAAAUUAAAAAUUAAUAUAUAUAUAUAUAUAUAUAUAUUCUGUGUGUGUAUGUGUGCAUGGUCUCACAAGUCAUUAGCUACUCAUAAGCUUUAUAUCACUUUCUCAAAGUCAAGUCAUUUUGUAAUUAUUUCUAUCUAGCCUUCUCCAUUACGACAACUGUAUAGGAUAUUGAUUGAUUGUAAAAAUCUUCAUGUCUUUUUUUAUAAGAUAGUUUUUUAUUAUUAUUAUUAUUCAAAGAAUUUUCUUUUAUUAUUGAAACUUUCAAAUCCUUUAUGUCUAGUGGUCCUACAAUUCCCUAUUCAUUGGUAUUUCAUAUUACCAAUCAUUUUACAAAUAAGUUUAUUUCACCCGGUAAAUAUACUUAACUACCAAUGGUUUCAAAUUUAAUUGAUUAACACACUUAUAGAUGUAAUUUGUUUUUAAAUUUUAUUUCUUUUAGAAGAAUUGUAGGUAAAAAUGUUCUAGGAAUAUGUGUUCAAUAAUUCUCUAAAAACAAUUUAUAUAGAUGGAAUACAUUCAUGGAAGUUCCAACUAAUGAAAUUUAAAACCAAUGACGAUUUAAUGUAUUUGCACUAAAUCUUAGGGGAGGUGUACUAAAACUAGCCCUUUUACAAAUAUUUGUAGCUAGUAUAUUUGUAGUUAUGGUGUUGGAAGUUGAUCAUUUUCUUAAAGGCCUCUAAGAUAUUGGAAAUAUCGCCAAAGUUUUGAACUUUUUGUUUCACCUAAAUAAAAUAUCAUUAAUUUAAUAUAUAUACUCUUCGCUUGAAAGUAUAGUUUCUUCAUAUUGUAUGAAGUUGUAACUAGGUGACAAUAUUAGGUGAAAUUUUUUUUUGUUUACUACAAAAUAUAAAUAAUAUAUUUAUUAUAUGAUAAAAUUUUGUAAAAUAUAUUAUUAUAGAUGCAAAAUUAUUAAUGGAGUUUUAUUUUUUACUAAAUUAUCAUUUCAAUAAAUAAGAACUUAUUUGUUAAAAGAAAAUUAUAAAAUAUAUGCAAUUGAAAAAAAUUUAAUUUUUUUAUUUAAUUUGGUAUUUUAUUUGAAUUAAUAAUUGAUAUUUGUAAAAUCUUUUAAUAUUAAAAGAAGUUAACAUACUUAAAAAAGACAUUCAAAAUCAAGAGAGUAUUUGAUAUGAAAUUAAUUAAUUAUUUUUUUUCUAUUUAAAUAAAUUUUUACAUCCAUUAAAAAAAUUUUCUUGUUUAUUUUUCACUUCAAUAUUUUUAUUUUGUAAAAUAAAUAGAAAUAAAAUCAACAAAUUAAACAAUUGAAUUAAGUUAGUUUAAUUUUGCCACCGUUAAAUUGGUAAAUGAAGACUCUUAUAUUUGAUAUUAACAUGAACAUCAUGACUUCAUUGAAUAUUCUCACAAGAAAAUUUUAGUUUGAAAGAUUUUAUCCUUUAAACAUGUGGCACAUAUUAAAGUGAGACCAAGUCUUCCCUAUAAUUUGUAUCUAUCACAAUUUCUUUCCUAAUGAAUAACCUUUUUGAAUAGAAUAUAGACUUUAGCAUAUUACCAACCAUUUUACAAAUAAGUUAAUUUCACUCAGUAAAUAUACUUAACCACCAAUGGUUUCCAAUUUGUAGCACUCUUAUAGAUGUAGUUUUUUUUUUAAAUUUUAUUUUUUAGAAGAAUUGUAGGUAAAAAUAUUUUAGAUAUAUAUGUUCAACAAUUCUCUAAAAACAAUUUAUAUAGAUGGAAUACGUUCAUGGAAGUUCCAACUAAUGAAAUUUAAAACCAAUGAUGAUUUAAUGUAUUUGUACUAAAUCUUAGGGAGUGUGGACUAAAAUUAGCCCUUUUACAAAUAUUUAUAACUAGUAUAUUUGUAGUUGUGGUAUUGAAAGUUGAUCAUUUUCUUAAAAGGUUUACCAUUGAAGUUAGUUGAAUAUAAAGUUAGGUGAACUUUACCAUUGUUUAAUUGGUAAAUGAAGACUCUUAGAUUUGAUACUAACAUGUACAUCAUGACUUCAUUGAAUCUCUCACAAGGAAAUUUUAGUUUGAAAGACUUCAUCUUUUAAACAUGUGGCACAUAUUAAAGUGGACCAAGUCUUCCCUAUAAUUUGUAUCUAUCACAAUUUCUUUCCUCAUAAAUAGCCUUUUUUAAUAGAAUUAAUAUAGACUUUAGCAUGCAUGGUGGGCCCUGUCAAACUAUUAGUCAAGAUAAUUUGUAGGUAAGAACGAUGGACCAACUAUAUUAAAUAUUCUUCAUCUAUUUGCAUAUCAAGAGCAACUUAAUAUUGUCUUUCUUUUGUACUUCAUGUUUGAACUUUCAAUGGAGAGUGUGUCAUCUAAAUAUUUGAUGUGGGUUUUUAUACUAUUCUUGGUUCAAAUAUGUGGAUGCAAAGGUUGCAUCGAAGAAGAGAAGAUGGGUUUGCUUGAAUUCAAGGCUUUUCUUAAAUUGAAUAAUGAGCAUGCAGAUUUUCUUCUCCCUUCAUGGAUAGAUAACAACACUAGUGAAUGUUGUAAUUGGGAGCGGGUUAUUUGCAAUCCCACCACAGGUCGAGUUAAGAAGCUUUUCCUCAAUGAUAUUACGCAACAACAAAGUUUCUUGGAAGACAAUUGGUACCAAUAUGAAAAUGUCAAAUUCUGGUUACUAAAUGUCUCCCUAUUCCUUCCUUUUGAAGAACUUCACCAUCUAAACUUGUCUGCAAACUCAUUUGAUGGGUUUAUUGAGAAUGAAGGUAUGUUACCUCUCACCUUUAAAAUUUCAUUUCACUUAUACUCCAAACAUUCUAAAGGAACUACUAGCAUAUGUUCUUAAAAGUGUUCAGGUGGAGACCAAAUGGUCACUAGUAACUAUUGAAUUUAAUAUAAGAACAAUUACUAAUUAUUAAAAUUUAUAAUGUAAAUUAACAUUUAAACAGAACAAUAAAAAAAUUAUUAUUUUAGAAAACUAUAGAUUACAUUAGCCUUAUAUAUAUAAGCAUACUUGUUAUUUAUGCCAUCAUUUCACACUCAACCCAAUAAGUGGGAUUCAACUAAGAGUGAGCAAUUUCACAAUUAUUAAUUAACAGGAACACUUAGUCUCCCAUAUCCUUAUCCUUUUUGUUGAAUUGUCUUUCCUUAUCUUCCAUUCCUAAAAAGCUUGAUUUCUAUAUUCUAAAUUGAUAAAGAUUGGUUAAAGAAAGGUGAUCACAAAAUUUGACUAUUGCUGUCAAAUAAGGAAUCACCAUCUUCAAAGUUUCACAUUUACAAAAAAAAAAAAAAAAAAAAAAAAAAAAAAAAAAAACCCUAGCCUUGGGUAAGGUCCAAGCCUUAUUGUUUUAAGCUGAUGUCGGGUUGGUUUAAUAAUAAACAAAAAAAAUCCUAACCCAUGACCAUCUACGCAUUUCCAAAUUCCACCCAUCCACAACCCAUUAAUAUGACAUUUUCAAGGACAAAAUUUAAUCAAUUAAACCUAUUAGAUGGAUUCUCCAUACAAUGUUAAAAUGAAUAUAAAAACUUUAAUUCAAAAAAUAAUUUCCUUUAUUUAGUUAGGAUUCAAAUUAUAGGGGCACAAAACAUGAAAAUUUUCAUGUUUAAAAUUCACAAAGAUCACAAAAGCUCUUUGAAGCUCUAUGGACUUUUUUAUUUCUAACAUUUAAACACAAAAAUCACCAUAUUUAAUUAGAGAUUUGGAUACAUAUUCUUAUAUUAAAGACAUGUAAGCUUACAUAUUUAAAUAUGAAGAUCUCAACUUGUAAUUACAUGCUUCUAAUUAAAGUUAUAUUACUCUAUUUUAUAGGAUUUAAAGGGUUAUCAAGUUUAAAGAAAUUGGAGAUCUUAGACAUAAGUGGUAAUGAGUUUGAAAAAAGUGUCUUAAAAUCUUUGGACACAAUAACAUCACUCAAGACAUUGGCUAUUUGCAGCAUGGGACUGAAUGAAUCUUUUUCCAUUCGAGGCAUGUUAUAUGUCCACAUUGUUUCUUUGAAAUUAAGUAAAAUAUAUUUCUAACUUUUAAUGUUCCUUAGUUAAUCUCUCUUUUGAUUCAUGUUUGUUGCAGAAUUAGCUAGUUUGAGAAAUUUGGAAGUGUUGGAUCUAAGCUAUAAUGAUUUGGAAAGCUUUCAACUAUUGCAAGGUACUUCAUUAACUUGCUAAAAAAACUUAUGAUAUUUUGUUAUUAAAUUAAAGGUAAGAUUAACAAACAAUUUCUUCUCAUUAGUUACUUUUCUUUGUAAUAUCAUUAAAUUUGAUAUAAAGUAGUCUAAAUCAUCCUUUCAAUUUAUAAGUUUUAAUUAAAACGCAUCAAGCAUGCACAAGAUGUUUAAUAUAACUAAUAUUUUCAUAAGUAAUUGAAUUUUUUUAUAUGAAUUAAUUAACUUGAUUAUCAAUAAAUACUUACAUGUAUAAGAUUAAUAUAGUUUCAUAAGUAUUUUAAAAUUGUCUUACAACACACACACACACACACACAAGGAAAAUGAAAGGUAUGUGAUAUCUUUAUGCUAUGUUUGGUUCCCAAAAAAAUUGAGGGAAAAUGAAAGGAGAAAAAAGUAGAGACGAAAAGUAAAAGAAAAGAAAAAAAGUAAAGAAAAAUAUAAAAUUGAUUAAAGUAAAUACAUUAUUUUUAUAUGUUACUUUAACUUGUUUCACUUAUUUUAAUUCUUCAAUGUAAAGAUGAAAGAUUUGAAAAUGCAUAAGUUUCUAAUUAUUUUUUAUUUUAUUUUAUAGUUUUUACAAUACAACCAAACAUAAUAAAAUCAUUUUCUUUAAUUUUUUUUCUUUUCUUAAUACUUUUCACGAACCCUUUAAGUUAUGUUUGUUUGCAGAAAAUAUGAGGAAUAGAAAAUAGAAAAGAAAAUUAGAAGGAAAGAAAAAGUGAAGUAAAAUAAAAAUAAAUUUAAAUUUAAUAAAUUAUUUGUAUAUGCUACUUUAAACUUAUUUCACUUAUUUUAAAUUAUUUAAACUCAUUUCUAAUAAAUAAUAAUGGAAAUUGUAGAGAAGUUUGUGUUAUUCAAGCUUUGCAAUGACUUUACAAGGUGAAGGAAAAUAUUCUUGCUGAAAUUGAAAAAAGAAAUACCUUCUUAAAUAGCCUAUUGACCGAAAACACAUUACCCUAACAUAUACACACACCUUUAUUAUUUAUACAAUCAUUUAAUACUUAAUCCAGUUAGUGGGAUUCUAGUGGUUGUUUUUAUCUUGGUUUCCAAUAUUUCUGAUUGAUAGUGUUCGAUUAAUGAAAUAUCAUAAAUUUUGACCCUAAUAAGGACCAAUCCCUAUUAAAUGUAAUUGGGUUGACCUAAGACUAAAUGUUAGAUCCAACUAAUAAAAACCCAUCUAUUUGUUGGAGUGUAAAUAACCCGGCCUUAGGUAGGGCCCAUGCCUUAUUAUUUUAAGAUGUAGUCCAACUGGUUUGACACUAGAUUGAGUAAAGCCCAACUUAUGAGCAUCUAUGCAUUUCCAUCCAUCCACAACCUACUGGCAUGGACAAACUUUGGUCAAUUAAACCUAUUAUAACUGCAUACAAAAUUUUAAGUUCAAAAGAUAAUUUUCCUUAUUUAGUUAGGAUUCAUAUUAAAAAGGCACAAAGCACGAAUUUUCAUGUUUAAAUUCACAAAUAUCACAAAAGCUCCUUCAAGCUCUAUGGACCAUUUUAUUUGUAACAUUAUAUUACUCUUAAUUAUCAAAUUAACCAACAAAUUCUUCUCAUUAGUUAUUUUUCUUUAGUAAUGUCAUAAAAUUUGAUAUAAAGUAGUAUUGGUCAUCAUUUCAAAUUUUAGGUUCCAAUUAGAUGUAUCAAGCAUGUGUACCAUAUUUGAUAUAACUAAUAUUUUUAUAAGUAAUUGAAUUUUUUUUUCUAUAAAUCAAUUAAUUUGAUUAUCAAUGAAUACUUUCAUACAUGAUAUUGAUGUAGUUUCAUAAAUAUUUUAAAAUAGUCAUAGAAGUCUUUUAUCUGAUUCACUAGAAAGAAAAAUAAACUAUUCUAAUGAAAAGACUUGAUGAUUUGAAGUGAUUGCUUUUGAUUUUAUUUGAUUGCUACCAUUAUUAAUUGUUAGAAAUUGGCAACAAAUACCCAUUUUGCAUCACUUCUAUAUGCAUCGGGGGAAUGAAUUAUAUUUCAUAGAGCUAAUAGGGCAAAACUCAAACUUUUGGAAUUAUGGAAAAGGUUGCUAGAAAGCUAAUUAACCAUUUAUAUUAUGAUUAAGACUAGUUGGGUUAGAAAUAAUUCAUAUGGAGAUUAAAAAAAACUAUGUAAUUUAGUUUAGUAGCUUGGGUGCUAUUGUAAUGAUUAAUGAUCUGCAACUUGAACACAUCUACUAGUGCUUUCUACUUGUAUAGCUAAAUUUAUGUUACCACUUUGAACUACAGUACUUACAUGAGAAGAAAGUUUUUCCUUAGUGAUAAUGCAAAAGAAAUUAAGUAUCAAUUUUUGUUAAACUAACAAGUGAUAGUUUAGAUAUGGUUUGAAUACACUUCCUUUCUUCUAUAUUUUUAUUUUGAAAAAAAAAAACUCUUUAAUGAAAUAUAAGAAAUCUUAUAUGUAUAAAAAUUAAAGACUUAAACAAAAAAAUUCUUCAAAUUUGAAAAUUUUCGAGAAGUAUUUUUAAGAAUUUGUAUUUUCAAUAUAAUAAUUCAUAUAUUUUGUAUAAAAGUUUUUGUUUAAAAAAAUAGAAGUGUGUCCAAAUUACAAAUUAAUUGUUAAAUUAAGAAUGUUUCUCAGAUCAAGAGAUGAUGAAAGUUGUAGAGAGUUUGCAUUACUCAACCUUUGCAAUUACUUUUUGAAGGUAAAAGAAAAUACCUUCCUACAUAACAUACAAUGGCAGGUUCUGGUUUGUAAGAAACUAAUAAAUGAUUAAGAAUAUGAAUAAGACUUCCUUUAUAAUGGAUAUGUAGAGAAGAAUAGUGGAUGAUAGGAGGUGAAAAUCUUGUAAUAAAAUAUCAAUAUCAGUUAUAAGAUAAUCAACAUUUUCUCUAUUUCUUGUACCUAUGUGAUUAAGAAUCUUGUAGCUCCCUUAUUGAAAUAUAAUAUAAAAAUAUAAAUAAACUAUUUAGAAGUGCAUGUAGUUUUCAACAUGAGGAAGUUCAAAAGCAAGUUAAUUAUGAUAAUUUUCUAUAGUCUAUAUUGAACACAAAUUAUUUUUACUAAAGGUUCAAUCGUUCUAUGAAGGUUAAAAGUUUGAAUUGUUUACAUAUGCAAAUGGACAACCAAACAAGAAAAUGAUUUUGAAAUCCUUUUUGGACCUUUUUUUAUCAUUCAUUUUUUCCCCUACUCUAUUUCCUUUCCCUCAAACUCUCUAGGUAGUAAACAUUACCUAAGAUAAAUAGGGAAGAAAAUAUUUUAUCAUUUAUUUAUUUAGUAUUUUUCUUACAUUUUUUGUAUGUUAUCCAAAUAUAAGAAAACUAUUUUUCUUUAUUUUUUCUUUUCCUUGUUGCUUUUCAAGAAUCAAGCAUACUUUAAACUCUAAUUAAGAGUUACAUAGAUUUACGAAGAAACAAUGCAACUGGUAACAAAAAAUUAAGGAAAUUUAAUUUUUGAGAGUAGGUAUAAUGAGAUUGGUUUGUUUGAUACAAAAUUUGAAUAAAAAUUCUUUCAAUGAAAAUUCAAGGAAAGGAAAAAAAAAACAACUUUCUCUCUAGACUAUAAUACUAAAUCACUUAAAAAAUAUCCUAACAUCGUUUAUGUUCAUCUUUCUUUUUAUGGAUUUGAAAAACCCAAUAAUUUGGAGAAAACUGAUUCAAGGAAGAAUAAUUUUUAGAAUAAAAUAUUAUUAUUUAAGAAGAUCAUAAAUAUUAUAGUCAUUGUUGAAUAUGAUAAAUGAUUUAAAAAAAAUGGUAGUUGGAAAUUUAGAUACUUUUAUAAGACAAAUGAAUUUUUCUAGUAUGGUAUGAAAAAAGGUAAAAUGAUAGGCUUUGAUCAUUUUUUAAGGUAGUUUGUUUAAAUCAUUUUAAUUUAUUUUCAUUUAAGAACAAUAACUUUUAUUACACUAGUUAUUUUGAUUUUCUUUUGAUAGAUUUUGCAAGCUUAAGCAAUUUGGAGCUAUUGGAUUUGAGUAAUAAUUCAUUUAGUGGGAGCGUUCCAUCAUCUAUAAGAUUGAUGUCUUCUCUCAAGUCUUUAUCCCUGGCUGGAAAUUACCUCAAUGGUUCCUUACCAAAUCAAGGUAUAUAUAUAUUGUGAUUACAGGUUUUUCUGUUUUCUUUUUUAAUAUCUUGUUUGUUCUUUAUGCCAAUGAAGUCAUGCAUGUCUAUUAAUUUUUGGUAUUUAAUAAAAAACUUUAUUCUUAAUUCAUAAAGACCUCAUCAACGGUAAGUAACAGCUAGUUGUAAGUUUGGGGGCAUUGACAAGACGAGGAGAUGAUUGGUUACAUGUCUUAUUCUCUUUUGUAGGCUUUUGCCAAUUGAAUAAGCUUCAAGAAUUAGAUCUUUCUUACAACUUGUUCCAAGGAAUCCUUCCUCCAUGUUUGAAUAAUUUGACAUCUUUGAGGUUAUUGGAUCUCUCUUCCAACCUAUUCUCCGGAAAUCUUUCUUCCCCUCUGUUACCUAAUCUCACAUCCCUGGAGUACAUCGAUCUCAGUUACAAUCAUUUUGAGGGUUCAUUCUCUUUCAGCUCUUUUGCUAAUCACUCCAACCUUCAAGUGGUCAAACUUGGAAGGAAUAACAACAAAUUUGAGGUAGAAACUGAAUAUCCAGUUGGUUGGGUUCCCCUGUUUCAGUUGAAAGCUCUUGUGCUAUCCAACUGUAAGCUCAUCGGUGACCUUCCUAGUUUCCUUCGACACCAAUUAAGAUUAACCGUGGUUGAUCUCUCCCAUAAUAACUUGACUGGAAGUUUCUCCAUUUGGCUGCUUGAAAACAAUACAAGACUAGGAUCUCUAGUUCUGAGGAAUAACUCUUUAAUGGGUCAACUACUUCCCCUGAGACCUAAUAGUCGUAUCACUUUAUUGGAUAUCUCAGACAACCGACUUGAUGGGGAACUUCAACAAAAUGUGGCCAAUAUGAUUCCAAAUAUUGAGUUUCUAAAUUUAUCCAACAAUGGUUUUGAAGAUAUUCUCCUAUCCUCAAUAGCCGAAAUGAGUUCCUUACAGUCAUUGGAUUUGUCUGCUAAUAGUUUCUCAGGGGAAGUACCAAAACAAUUGCUUGUGGCAAAAUAUUUGUGGCUUCUGAAAUUAUCAAAUAAUAAAUUUCAUGGUGAAAUAUUUUCAAGGGAGUUUAACUUGACUCAGUUAGGGUUUUUACAUUUGGACAAUAAUCAGUUCAAGGGAACACUGUCAAAUGUAAUCUCCAGAAUCUCUAGGUUAUGGGUGUUGGAUAGGUAACAUGACCGAUUUGACUACCCUAGUGUUGGGCAACAAUAGUUUUAAAGGCAAAUUACCACCUGAGAUUUCUCAAUUGUUGGGGAUGAUAUUUCUUGACCUUUCUUAAAACGCUCUUUCAGGAUCUUUUCUUUCUUUGAAGAGCCUGGAGUAUUUAGAGCAUCUACAUUUGCAAGGGAACAUGUUUAUAGGAUUGAUACCUAGAGAUUUUCUCAAUUCCUCAUAUCUAUUGACUUUGGAUAUCAGAGACAACAGGUUAUUUGGAAGUAUUCCCAAUUCAAUCUCUAGACUUUUAGAGCUAAGAGGAAACCUUUUAAGUGGUUUCAUUCCAUAUCAGCUCUGUCAUUUGACUAAAAUAAGCUUCAUGGAUCUUUCAAACAACAAUUUUUCUAGGUCAAUUCCUGGAUGCUUUGGUCAUAUCAGAUUUGGAGAUUUCAAAACUGAGCACAAUGUGUAUAUACCGAUGUUGGAUUCGUAUUCAGAAAGCAAUCCUUCUAUAUAUGCGGGUUACUUAAUAAAAUUUUAUUUUUCUCUAGUGAACUCCCUAAUGAAGUAGAUGAAGUUGAGUUUGUUACCAAGAAUAGGUAUAGCUCCCACAGAGUAGAUAAAUAUAUUUGUUGGGAAUUUAGAUAUUUUUAUAGAAAAGUAGACAAGUAUUCUAAUUUAUAAAAAUAAUGCAUUUCUUUAGUUUGGUAUAAAAAAAAUGAAAUGAUAUGUAUUGGUAAUUUUUUUUAAAGUAACAAACGUUUUAUUUUAUUUGUAUUUAAGAACAAUUUUUUUUCUUAUACUAGUUAUUUUAAUUUUCUUUUGACAGAUUUUGCAAGCUUAAGCAAUUUGGAGAUGCUAGAUUUGAGUUAUAAUUCCUUAAGUGGGAUUAUUCCAUUAUCUAUAAGAUUGAUGCCUCAUCUCAAGUCUUUAUCCUUGGCCAGAAAUCACUUCAAUGGUUCUUUACAAAAUCAAGGUACAUAUGUUAUGAUUUGUUUGUUUCAUAUAGAUUAGAGAAGAUGAAUAUUGUUAAAAAAAAAAAGUUGUUGUUAAUGUAAGCUAGAAAUAAGUAUUUUGCCUUAUAAAUUAUAUAAGCAUGUGUUUGUUCUGAAUGAAUCUUUACAACAUUUAGAGUUACCAAUGUUUAUAAUUCAUAAAGACCUCAUUAACAGUGAGUAACAACUAAUUGUAAGUAAUUGUGGAAAAAGUAAGGAAAACAAAAUGAGGGAAAAGCAAGGAAUUAGGAAAUUAUUUUGUUCCCAUAAAAAAAUGCUAAGGAAGAAAAAGGUAAAAGAAAGUUUAAAAAAAGUGUAUUUUUCAAAAAUUUAUUUCUCUUUCCUUUAAUUUUGCUAUGGACAACCAAACAAGAAAAUAAUUUUAUAAUUCCUUUUUUUUUUCAUUCUCUCUCUCUCUCUCUCUUUUUCCCUACUCUAUUUCUUUUCCCUCAAACUUUCUUGAUAGUAAACACAACCUAAGGUAAAUGAGGAAGAAAAUUUUUAGUUUUUUUUAUUUUUUAUUUUUUUAGAAUGUUUUCUUACUUUUUAGUAUUUUAUGCAAAUAUAGGAAAAUUUUCAUCUUUCUUUUUAUGGAUUUGAAAAACCCAAUAAUUUGGAGAAAACUGAUUCAAGGAAGAAUAAUUUUUAGAAUAAAAUAUUAUUAUUUAAGAAGAUCAUAAAUAUUAUAGUCAUUGUUGAAUAUGAUAAAUGAUUUAAAAAAAUGGUAGUUGGAAAUUUAGAUACUUUUAUAAGACAAAUGAAUUUUUCUAGUAUGGUAUGAAAAAAGGUAAAAUGAUAGGCUUUGAUCAUUUUUUAAGGUAGUUUGUUUAAAUCAUUUUAAUUUAUUUUCAUUUAAGAACAAUAACUUUUAUUACACUAGUUAUUUUGAUUUUCUUUUGAUAGAUUUUGCAAGCUUAAGCAAUUUGGAGCUAUUGGAUUUGAGUAAUAAUUCAUUUAGUGGGAGCGUUCCAUCAUCUAUAAGAUUGAUGUCUUCUCUCAAGUCUUUAUCCCUGGCUGGAAAUUACCUCAAUGGUUCCUUACCAAAUCAAGGUAUAUAUAUAUUGUGAUUACAAGUUUUUAUGUUUUCUUUUUUAAUAUCUUGUUUGUUCUUUAUGCCAAUGAAGUCAUGCAUGUCUAUUAAUUUUUGGUAUUUAAUAAAAAACUUUAUUCUUAAUUCAUAAAGACCUCAUCAACUGUAAGUAACAGCUAGUUGUAAGUUUGGGGGCAUUGACAAGACGAGGAGAUGAUUGGUUACAUGUCUUAUUCUCUUUUGUAGGCUUUUGCCAAUUGAAUAAGCUUCAAGAAUUAGAUCUUUCUUACAACUUAUUCCAAGGAAUCCUUCCUCCAUGUUUGAAUAAUUUGACAUCUUUGAGGUUAUUGGAUCUCUCUUCCAACCUAUUCUCCGGAAAUCUUUCUUCCCCUCUGUUACCUAAUCUCACAUCCCUGGAGUACAUCGAUCUCAGUUACAAUCAUUUUGAGGGUUCAUUCUCUUUCAGCUCUUUUGCUAAUCACUCCAACCUUCAAGUGGUCAAACUUGGAAGGAAUAACAACAAAUUUGAGGUAGAAACUGAAUAUCCAGCUGGUUGGGUUCCCCUGUUUCAGUUGAAAGCUCUUGUGCUAUCCAACUGUAAGCUCAUCGGUGACCUUCCUGGUUUCCUUCGACACCAAUUAAGAUUAACUGUGGUUGAUCUCUCCCAUAAUAACUUGACUGGAAGUUUCCCCAUUUGGCUGCUUGAAAACAAUACAAGACUAGGAUCUCUAGUCGUAUCACUUUAUUGGAUAUCUCAAACAACCGACUUGUUGGGGAACUUCAACAAAAUGUGGCCAAUAUGAUUCCAAAUAUUGAGUUUUUAAAUUUAUCCAACAAUGGUUUUGAAGGUAUUCUCCCAUCCUCAAUAGCUUAAAUGAGUUCCUUACAGUCGUUAGAUUUGUCUGCUAAUAGUUUCUUAGGGGAAGUACCAAAACAAUUGCUUGCGGCAAAAUAUUUGUGGCUUCUGAAAUUAUCAAAUAAUAAAUUUCAUGGUGAAAUAUUUUCAAGGGACUUUAACUUGACUCAGUUAGGGUUUUUACAUUUGGACAAUAAUCAGUUUAGGGGAUAUUUCUCCAGAAUCUCUAGGUUAUGGGUGUUGGAUGGGAGAUAGUUUUAAAGGCAAAUUACCACCUGAGAUUUCUCAAUUGUCGGGGAUGAUAUUUCUUGACAUUUUUCAAAACGCUCUUUCAGGAUCUCUUCCUUCUUUGAAGAGCCUGGAGUAUUUAGAGCAUCUACAUUUGCAAGGGAACAUGUUUAUAGGAUUGAUACCCAGAGAUUUUCUCAAUUCCUCAUAUCUAUUGACUUUGGAUAUCAGAGACAACAGGUUAUUUGGAAGUAUUCCCAAUUCAAUCUCUAGACUUUUAGAGCUAAGAGGAAACCUUUUAAGUGGUUUCAUUCCAUAUCGGCUUUGUCAUUUGACUAAAACAAGCUUCAUGGAUCUUUCAAACAACAAUUUUUCUGGGUUAAUUCCCGGAUGCUUUGGUCAUAUCGGAUUUGGAGAUUUCAAAACUAAGCACAAUGUGUAUAUACCGAUGUUAGAUUCGUAUUCAGAAAGCAAUCCUUCUAUAUAUACGGGUUACUUAAUAAAAUAUUUAUUUUUCUCUACUGAACUCCUUGAUGAAGUAGAUGAAGUUGAGUUUGUUACCAAGAAUAGGUAUAGCUCCCACAGAGUAGAUAAAAAUAUUUGUUGGGAAUUUAGAUAUUUUAUAGGACAAUAUACAAGUAUUCUAAUUUAUAAAAACAAUGCAUUUCUUUAGUUUGGUAUAAAAAAAAUAAAAUGAUAGGUAUUGGUAAUUUUUUUUCAAAGUAACAAACGUUUUAUUGUAUUUGUAUUUAAGAACAAUGUCUUUUCUUAUACUAGUUAUUUUAAUUUUCUUUUGACAGAUUUUGCAAGCUUAAGCAAUUUGGAGAUACUAGAUUUGAGUUAUAAUUCCUUAAGUGGGAUUAUUCCAUCAUCUAUAAGAUUGAUGUCUUGUCUCAAGUCUUUAUCGUUGGCCGGAAAUCACCUCAAUGGUUCUUUACAAAAUCAAGGUACAUAUGUUAUGAUUUGUUUGUUUCAUAUAGAUUAGAGAAGAUAAAUAUUGUAAAAAAAAAAAAAGUUGUAGUUAAUGUAAGCUAGAAAUAAGUAUCUUGCCUUAUAAAUUAUAUAAGCAUGUGUUUGUUCUUAAUGAAUCUUUACAACAUUUAGAGUUACCAAUGUUUAUAAUUCAUAAAGACCUCAUUAACGGUGAAUAACAACUAAUUGUAAGUAAUUGUGGAAAAAGUAAGGAAAACAAAAUGAGGGAAAAGCAAGGAAUUAGGAAAUUAUUUUUUUCCCAUAAAAAAAUGCUAAGGAAGAAAAAGGUAAAAGAAAGUUUAAAAAAAGUGUAUUUUUAAAAAAAUUAUUUCUCUUUCCUUUAAUUUUGCUAUGGACAACCAAACAAGAAAAUCAUUUUAUAAUUCCUUUUUAUUUUUUUCAUUCUCUCUCUCUUUUUUUCCCUACUCUAUUUCUUUUCCCUCAAACUUCCUUGGUAGUAAACACAACCUAAGAUAAAUGGGGAAGAAAAUUUUCAGUUUUUAUUUUUAUUUUUUUAGAAUGUUUUCUUACUUUUUAGUAUUUUAUGCAAAUAUAGGAAAAUUAUUUUUUUUUCUUGCUCCUUUUCAGACAUGAAUCACACUUUAAAAGAAAAUUAAUUUUUAAUUAGGAGUUAAGAUAAAUUUAAGGAGAAACAAUGAAUCACGAAUAACAAAAAAUUAAGGAAAUUGAAUUUUUGAAAGUAAGUAUAAUCAAAUUGCUUCAUUUGAUACAAAAUUUGAAUAAAAAUUCUUUCAAUGAAAAAUCAAGGAAAGGAAAAAACAUUUUUGUCUCUAGAUUAUAAUACUUAAUCAUGUAAAAAAUCUCUUAACAUCAUUUAUAUUCAUAUUUCUUUUUGUAGAUUUGAAAAAUUCAACAAUUUGGAAUAAACUUAUUCAAUGAAGAAUAAUUUUUAGAUUUAAAGAUUAUUAUUUAAGAUCAUAAAUAUUACCAUCAUUGUUGAUGUCCAAGAAGAUCAUAUUCAACAAUUUUUUUAAUAUGUUGUUUUUUAUGGUAAUUAAUUGAUGUCUUGUAAUUUUUAAUAUUUAAUGAAAAACAUUAAUUUAAUUCAUCUAAAGCUCUUAAUUCAUGAAGACCUCGUUAAUGUAAUGGUGAGUAAUAGUUGGCUGUAAGUUUGGAGUCAAAGACAUGUUAAGGAGAUGAUUAGUUACAUGUCUUAUUCUCUUUUGUAGGUUUCUGCCAAUUGAAUAAGCUUCAAGAGUUAGAUCUUUCUUACAACUUAUUCCAAGGGAUCCUUCCUCCAUGUUUGAAUAAUUUCACAUCUCUGAGGUUAUUGGAUCUCUCUUCCAACCUCUUUUCCGGAAAUUUUUCUUCCCCUCUGUUACGUAAUCUCACAUCCCUAGAGUACAUAGAUCUCAGUUCCAAUCAGUUUGAGGGUUCAUUCUCUUUCAGCUCUUUUGCUAAUCAUUCCAAGCUUCAAGUGGUCAUACUUGGAAGGGAUAACAACAAAUUUGAGGUAGAAACUGAAUAUCCAGUUGGUUGGGUUCCCCUGUUUCAGUUGAAGAUUCUCUCUCUAUCCAGCUGUAAGCUCACCGGUGACCUUCCUGGUUUUCUUCAAUACCAAUUCAGGUUAGUGGGGGUUGAUAUCUCACAUAAUAACUUGACAGGAAGUUUCCCCUAUUGGUUGCUUGAAAACAAUACGAGACUAGAAUCUCUAGUCUUGAGGAAUAACUCUUUAAUGGGUCAACUACUUCCCUUGGGACCUAAUACUCGUAUCAAUUCAUUGGAUAUCUCACACAAUCAGUUGGAUGGACAACUUCAAGAAAAUGUGGCCCAUAUGAUUCCAAAUAUUAUGUUUCUAAAUUUAUCCAACAAUGGUUUUGAAGGUAUUCUCCCAUCCUCAAUAGCUGAACUAAGAGCCUUAUGGAUUUUGGAUUUGUCUACCAAUAAUUUCUCUGGAGAAGUACCAAAGCAAUUGCUUGCAACAAAAGAUUUGGGGAUUCUGAAAUUAUCAAAUAAUAAAUUUCAUGGUGAAAUAUUUUCAAGGGACUUUAACUUGACUGGGUUAUUGUGUUUGUAUUUGGGCAAUAAUCAGUUCACAGGAACUCUGUCAAAUGUAAUCUCCAGAAGCUCUUGGUUGGAGGUGUUGGAUGUGAGCAACAACUACAUGUCAGGUGAAAUUCCAAGCCAGAUAGGUAACAUGACCGAUUUGACUACACUGGUGUUGGGCAACAAUAAUUUUAAAGGCAAAUUACCACUUGAGAUUUCUCAAUUGCAACGGAUGGAGUUUCUUGACGUUUCUCAAAAUGCUUUUUCAGGAUCUCUUCCUUCUUUGAAGAGCAUGGAGUAUUUAGAGCAUCUACAUUUGCAAGGGAACAUGUUUACAGGAUUAAUACCCAGAGAUUUUCUCAAUUCCUCAAAUCUAUUGACUUUGGAUAUUAGAGAAAACAGGUUAUUUGGAAGUAUUCCCAACUCAAUCUCUGCACUUUUGAAGCUAAGGAUUCUUUUGCUAGGAGGAAACCUUUUAAGUGGUUUUAUUCCAAAUCAUCUUUGUCAUUUGACUGAAAUAAGCUUGAUGGAUCUUUCAAACAACUCUUUUUCAGGGCCAAUUCCCAAAUGCUUUGGCCAUAUCCGAUUUGGGGAAAUGAAAAAGGAGGACAACGUGUUUGGACAGUUCAUUGAAUUUGGGUUUGGAAUGGUUUCUCAUCUUGUAUAUGCAGGUUACUUGGUGAAAUAUUACGGUUCCCCAACUUUAGUAUAUAAUGAAAAAGAUGAAGUUGAGUUUGUCACCAAGAACAGGAGUGACUUCUACAAAGGUGGCAUCCUUGAAUUCAUGUCUGGAUUGGACUUAUCAUGUAACAACUUGACAGGCGAAAUACCUCAUGAACUUGGAAUGCUAAGUUGGAUUCGUGCAUUGAACUUGUCUCACAAUCAAUUGAAUGGCUCCAUUCCAAAGAGUUUCUCUAAUCUUUCUCAAAUAGAGAGCUUAGACCUUUCUUAUAAUAAACUGGGUGGAGAAAUUCCUCUAGAGCUAGUUGAACUCAAUUUUUUAGAGGUGUUUAGUGUGGCUUACAACAACUUCUCUGGUAGAGUUCCAGAUACCAAAGCACAAUUUGGGACAUUUGAUGAAAGGAGCUAUGAAGGUAAUCCUUUCCUUUGUGGGGAACUAUUAAAGAGGAAAUGCAACACAAGUAUUGAGUCACCAUGCACACCAUCACAGUCUUUUGAAAGUGAGGCAAAAUGGUAUGAUGUCAAUCAUGUUGUUUUCUUUGCAAGUUUUACUACUUCAUAUAUCAUGAUCUUGUUAGGAUUUGCUAUCAUCCUUUACAUCAAUCCUUAUUGGCGUCAUAGAUGGUUCAAUUUUAUCGAGGAAUGUAUAUAUUCCUGCUAUUAUUUUGUUUUUGAUAGUCUUUCCAAGUUAUCAGCAUAUUUGUAUAAUUAGAUACUUUUAAUUGGAUGAUAUUUGCAUAAUUAACUACUAUUUGUUUCCCUGGGAUAGAAAGAAAUGGGAUGUAUAAUGCUAUGAGCUGAAACUUACAUACUUUGCUCAAAUUCUAACAUCUUUUGAUUUUAUUUUCAAGUUCCGUUAUUUAUUAUGUAUUGCUUAAUUCAAGAUUUAACCAUAUUACGUUACUCUUAUAAAAGCAAAUUCAAAUUUUUAGGAACUUUUAGCAUUAAAAUAAUUUCAUAGUCAGAUUUUAAAAAAUAAAGAAGAAAGAAAAUAAUAAAUAAUUGGAAAAACAAUUCAAGGAAGUAUUAAAUUAUUAUCUUAGAAUUAUUUGGCGUAGUAUGGGAAUUCAAAAAUAAUCUUUCAAUUUGUUAGAAAUGUUUAUUUAUUUAUUAUAGCAAUGAUUGAAAUAUCAAUCACAAAGUAAUGUUUUCUUUUCUUUUGUAGGGCACUAACACUUUUUCUUUGAUAGUAAUAAUUGAUAAAUAUAUUACACAAUUAUUUGUUUUAAAAAAGGGAGGGAUGACAAACAUAAUAACAUGUGAAAUAUUUCUAAAACUGUAAUGGGAAAUAAGCCAUCUAAUUAGGGUGCAAUAUUAUUCAUUUUAAUUUACAUGAAUUUACUUAUUUUUAUUUGCAUCAUAUUUUGAACUAUUUUAUGAAAUUAAGGGAGAUUAAAACAUCACGAGUUUCUUAUUUUAGUUUAUAUUCUUAAUAAUAAAGCAUGAAAUAUUAUAAAAAAAAAAAUCAUGAAUUUCUUUAAUUCCUUAGGAAACCAAUAUAUAAAAAAUUGAACAUAUUAUUAUUUUAUAUCCUAAAUCUCUAAAUUUGUUCAUUACCUAUUUAUUUUUAUAUUAAAUUUAUUAUUAAUUAUUUAUUUAUAUUAUUAUUUUAUGUUUAAAAUGUUCAUAAAUAAUUAAAAUUAAUAAAUAUAAAAAUAAAAUAUUAAAAAAUUAAAUUAUAAAGAUUUCAUCAAACUGACAUAUUUAAAAAAAAAAAAAAGCUAAAAAAGAUGAGGAUAUUAUAGAGGAGGGGAAAAGGAUAAAAGAAAAUUCAUGUGGUAUGAUAAUAUCACGUGUCAAAGUUAUUUUCUUUAAAAAAUAAUAAUAGUAAUGAUGAACUCAUUUGUCUUAUCAAAGUAAGUUAAAAAAAAAAAAAAAAAAAAAAAAGAAAAGAAAAAGAUGGUAGUUGGCUUAUUUGUUCUUUGAAAAUAAAAAAUCAAAGUUUUAGAAAAAUACAAUUUUCUUUUAAAUGAUGAAUGGUUACAUCAUUUCCCCUUAGCUUAUCUGUUCCUUUAAACUUUAGUUUGAAUAAAAUUAGUUUUAAUUAUUUUCUUUUUGGAAUUAUAUUUAAUCGUAUUAUUAAAAAUAUAAAAAACAUCGUAAUAAUAUUGUCAAUAAGUUUUUUUAUAUAUAUUGAAAAAUAUUUAUAUUUAAAAAUAUUUAAAUUUUGUCAUGGGCUGCCCAUUUCAAAAUGAUAAGAAUAUAAUAACCUAAUUUUUCCAAAUUCCAGGUAAAUAUGCUAAUCUAAAAAAAAAAAAUUAUUAGGUUUUUAUGUGCUGAUUGGGUUUUUUUUAUACCCAGUAUGCUCUCCAAUCUACCACUUAAGCAUCCGACAUGGCUAAAAAUAAAUUUUUAAAAAAAAGAAUAAAAAAGGAAAAAAACGAAAGUGUGUGAUCUCUUUCUUGAGUCUUCACAAUCUGAGACACUGAACCCAAAUCAAAAUUAAUCCUCCAAAUUAAUUUUCACCUCCAACCCAAACCCUAACGACUGCCUCACUUUCUUCUCAAACAUAGCUAUACGAAAAACCCUAGCCUCUGCCUCGUCUUCCUCUUAUCCCGGAAACCCAAAUCCCGUGACCCUAACCCCUUCUCUUUCCGAAAACCCUCCAGAAUCGGAAGAUUCAAGUGAUCGAAUUAAUUCUUCAGAAUUAAUUUUCACCUCGAAGCCGAACCCUAACUGCCUCAUCUUCCUCUCAUUCAUAUCCCAAAAGUAGCUUCAACAGUCAGGCCUGCGGCCAUGAAAGCCGUAGUGAUCGCCACUUCCGGCGAUCCCCAAGUUCUCCAAGUGCAAGAAGUCGAAAACCCUGAAAUUGGAGAUGAUGAAGUUCUAAUUAGAGUGGACGCCGCUGCCAUUAAUCGAGCGGAUACGCUUCAGAGGAAGGGCUUGCACCCUCCCUCAAAGGCGGCAGUCCCUACCCCGCUGGAAUCAUCGAAGCUGUUGGAAAGGUCGUCGUUCGAUGGAAGGUUGGCGAUCAGGUAUUUCAAUUGCCUAAUAUUUUGAUUCCGUUUCUGUUCCUGUAUUUUUCUCGGCUAUCCUUUAUGUGAUUUUGCUUCCUCCUGAGUACAAGUUCAUAAUAUACAUGGUACAUGGUGAAUCUGUAUGACAUUUCAUGGUAUACAGGUGUGUGCUCUUCUUUCUGGUGGAGGGCAUGCUGAAAAAGUGGCUGUUCCAGCUGGGCAAGUUCUCCCUGUCCUAUCUGGUGUUUCUCUGAAGGAUGCUGCUGAGGUUGCAUGUACUGUUUGGUCAACUGUUUUAAUGAUGAGCCGACUGUCUGCAGGAGAAACAUUCCUGGUGAAUUUUUUGUCUUUUUUAUUUUCUGAUGCCUGAUAUAUUUACCAGCACAAAUUUUCCCUGUUGCUGUUUAAUGUGUGUGCAUCAAUAUUGGAUUAGGGAGGUAGAAGAGCCAUGGUUCUAUUACAUCAUCAUAUUCUUAUUUAGAUACAUUGUAUCCCACAAUUUCAUUGCAUCCAAGGCUAUGUUGUUUUUUAUUGCACGGUUUGUCAUGGUAAUUUCUCAACCCUUCUCUGGAAAAUUAUGUUGGAUGGCUGCUAUUAAUUACCCCAAAAGAAGAAAUUUUAUGUUGAAGUAAGAUGAGUAGCACAAAGAGUUACUUGUGGUUGAUCCUAUCAUCAAAUGGGCGAUUGAUGCACAAUCCAAAUGGUAAAUUUUUUUCCCCCUUUAUCCAGAUGGAAUUUUUAUGCAUGGUUGAAUAGUGAAAUGAGGACUGAUAAUAUUUCAGGUUCAUGGGGGUUCAAUUGGAAUUGGUACCAUCUAUUCAAAUAGUGAAAUAUUGAGGAGCAAGGGUAUUUGUUACAGCAGGUUUGCCAUCACUGUUCUACCUCAUCCCACAGAAUGCUUAUCUCAUGGCACCAAUUCCUUUUCUUCACAUGUUUUCAACCAUUUUUUCCACCCAGGAACGAGGAAAAAUUAGCUGUUUGUAAGGAUCAUUGAGCAGAUGUGUGCAUCAAUUACAAGACUGAAAACUUUGUUGCAUGGGUGAAGGAGGAAACAGGAGGGAAAGGUACAUUCUAUUGUAUCUUAACGAUAAUUUCAAUUGAAGGUGGAAUUGCUUUUUAUUUUUUAGUGCACCAAAUCCACUAGUCUGGAAUGUUUGAAAAGAUAAAUAGUCAUCUUCCACUUGAUUCCGAUUGUGAAGAUCUAACCCCAAAAAUGUUGAAUGACAGGUGUUGAUGUUAUACUGGAUAAUAUUGGAGGGGCCUACUUUUGGGGAGACAUCAAUGGUUUAAAUGUUGAUGGAAGGCUUUUUAUUAUUGGUUUUCAGGGUGGAACAGUGGUACAAGUAAAUCUUUCAGGUUUACUUGCAAGGCGCCUUACAGUGCAAGGUACCACUUUCUCUGUAGAAGAUUUUUCUGUAGUUUUGGAGUUGAAUCAAUUUGAUUAAUCUCAUCCAAGUUCAGAACUGAGGUGGAUUCUGGCAAGCCAAGGAAAAACCAAAUUACCAUAAAUUCUUUUUUUUUUUCUGGAUCGUUUUACUUCUUGGAAAUCCUGUUUCUCGAUCUGGUCAGGUAUAUGGAAAUUCCAAGGAAAAUAUGUUUUACAUUUUCCAUAAUUGGAAACACUCAGGAAUUUAAUAUUUUCCUCUGAAAUAGCAAUGGUUUUCUAAUUACGACAUUUGUUUUUCUUGUAUCAUCCCAAAAUAUUUUUUAGGUGUUUGUUCUCUCUUGACACAGCUUUUAAUUGGGUCUGUCUUGCUUUUUGAUAGAUCUCUUGACAAGUUGCUUGUAUAUCAUACUUUCUUUAUUGUUUUCGGAUCAUGAACCUUGCUUCUGUCAGCCCUGUUAUCACUACCCAAACUAGUAAAUUUAUGCACAAAACUCCAUGUGUCAGUAACAGUGGUUAUUUGAUUGUAUUAAAUAAUUUGUAAAUACAGUGGAUAAGUUUGUGCAUAGAUUGAAGGCGAAUGAAAAACGUGCAUAGAUUGAAGGUGUGCUGCUUGAGUUGAUUGUAGUUUGAGCAUGAAAAUUUGAAGAUCCAGAACAGCAAAUGAGGAAUGCCUAUCAAUUUGAAACCAGCAUGGGUGGAUGAAUGGAGAGGUUCUUCACUGAAUUUGUCCAUGAAGCUUUUUAGCACUCUAGGGCAAGGGUCUCCAAGCCUAGCUGUUGAUUGCACAUCCCUCCUGCGCAAUACUAAGAACAGAGUGAAAUGCAAAUGCAGGAAAGGGUGUUUCUUAGCUGUUCAACAACUGACAAUACAUUGGCAUGACAAUUCCCUGGAUCGAAUGCCACAAUGCCCUCUUGGAGUUCCAAAGCUUGUUCACAGGUCAAACGAACUUGAGGGUUUUGGGACAUGAACUCCAAGUUUGGUUGCCAAGAAUCUCCAGGUGGAGGAUCAGCUUCUGACACGUGCACACACCUCUUGGCCAGUUUGUGUUAUUGCAAUUUUUAUUAAAUUGCUAAAAAAUUUAUCGCGAACAAUUUUUUCUUUUUUCUUUUUUCUUUUUUUCUUUUUAAACAAACUGCAAAAAUCCCUUUUUUUUUUAUAUAAAAAAAAAAAAAAUUCUCCAACAAAGUGAUUUUUUUUUGUGGCAUGACUCGGUUUGACCACUAACUCGGUGAACUGGUCUAUCGGCUCAAGUUUGGAUCCCUUAAUUUUGUGGCAAAUUGGGCAUCAAGCCCAACAACCUAACUUCCAUGCGGGCUAUCUACUGGAUCUCACCCAUUGUAACUUGCUCUGGGUGAAUGGCCAUUAUAAACUUCAUUUUAUCCUCAUGUGAUUUUGAUGUGGGAAUGGGAGAGAUGAGGAUUUGACAUUUGGACCUAAGGCUCAAUGGGUUUUAACUCCACUCAGCUACUUUAUGUCUUGUAUUUAAUAUUGCAAACCAAAAUAAUAAUAGACAUGAUUCUUUUCAAAAAAUUUAUAAUGUAAUAUUUUUUAAAAUUAUAAAAUAAUAGGUUAUAUAAAUUUUAAUAUAUAGGUAAAAUUAAUUAAAUUUUAACAAAUAUCUUCACAUUUAGACAUUACAUAUUUUUUAUUUAAUAAAAUUUUAAAAUAUUAAUAUAUCUAAAUAUAAUAUUAAAAAUGAAAAAUAAAAUAGUAAUAAUUUUUAUUUUCUUUAUAUAUUUAAAAUUAUAUAAUUAUUUUUUAUUUUAAUAACAUAUAAAUUGUAUAUUUAUAAUAUUAUUGGUUCAACUGUGAUUCAACCAUCACUCCGAUUAUUCAAUUAUGAAUUAAUAAAUUUUUUAAUUCAAUGAUAGGUUUGAUUAUAAAAAUAUUAUGUUUUUUUUUAUGAAAAGUACUCAAGAAAUAUCAUUAAUCACUAAGAUCACGUGGUUGGAUUAGGUGUAUCCGAAACAUAGGUAUUACUCUCUUCCUUAGUUAGGGCUUAGCUUUUGAAAAUGUAGAUAGGUAAAGUGGAUGGAAAGUCUAUAACUACGUAGAGAUUGAGCUUGGAGGCCAAUCUAGCAAAUGUGGAGAUUAGAAAUAGUUUACCAUCUAGAUAGUCAAGCAUAGCAAUUUACCAAACCCUUACCAACCAUCCAUACUAACCAAUUGUGGUUAAAUGUUUACAAAAAUGUACAUUAAAUCAAAGAGAAAAAAGAUUAAAAACGAACAAGAGAGAAGAAGCACAUCACCUAAUUUUGGUAAUAAAUGAAAUUAAAAUAAAUUCAUAAAUUUUUUAAAUUAAAAUGAAUUUGAACUCUAGAGAUUUGUGUAGAUAUCUUAUUAAAAAACCAAAAAGUUUGUUGCAUAUAUAAUUUCAACAAUGCAUAAAUAAUUACAACAUACGCAAUACAAUAAUAUUACACAACUAUAUUUUCAAAUAUAAUAUAAGAUCAUUAAAGUGAUAAAUUGUAGUUGUAUAAAGUAUUUAUACAAGUAAAGAAGAAAUUAUGAGAUUAAAAUGCUUGUUGGAUUCUAAGUAAAAAAGAAAUGAGAUAUAGAGAUUGUCCCAUCAGACAUAUAGAAUUUCAUAUACAUAAUUUUCCCUUCAAGAAAAUUUAGGGUCAAAUUGAAAAAAUUUCAUUCAUAGAUUUUGGUAAAACCUCUAUCUAGUCCCCGAAGUCUUGUAUACAAAAGGAAAUAACAUUGGUAUGAGGGGUUUGAAUGCUUAAUUUUAGAUUGAAAAUGCUUGAGAUAAUUUUUGAUCGACUUCACAUGUGUUUUUAAUAAACUUGGAACAUUCAAACUUGUAUUUGAAGAAUCUUCAAUUUGAUCUUAAAUAAUGUUGAAACCUUCAAAAUUUGAAUAGAAGAAUCUUUAAGCAUUUGAAUUUUGGUUUAAAGAAUUUUGAAAUUUGAGACUGAAGAAUCUUCAAAUUUGGGCCUGAAGAUCAAAGGCUAAGCUUGAAGAGUUCUUGAAGCUUGAGUGGUAUGUCCGAUUUUGUUUUGUAUUUUAUAAAAACUUUUAGGCUAUGUUUGGUUCCCAGAAAAUUUGAGGGAAAAUGCGAGGGAAAGAAAAUACAAAGGAAAAGUAGAAGGAAAGAAAAAGUGAAGGAAAAUAAAAAAAUAGAUUAAAAGUUGAUAAAUUAUUUUUUUUGUUACUUCAAACUCAUUUUAUUUAUUUUAACUCAUCAAUAUAAAGAUUAAAUAAUUUAAAAAUAUAAAAGUUUUUAAUUAGUUUUAAUUAUAUUUAAUUUUCUUUGAUAUUUUUUAUAAGACAACCAAACAUGAGAAAAUCAUUUUCCUUAGCAUUUUUUUUCUUUCCUUUGUACUUUCCGGGAACCAAACAUAGCCUUAAGUAUACUAUAUUUAUAGGUUUGAAGAGACAUUGAGAUUUUGUAUACAUGUUUGGAGUUUUAAACCUUGAAAUAUUACUCUUUUAUGAAAUUAACAUUUAUAAAAUUUGGAAGAACAUAAUUAGAUAAUAUUCUAAGUUAUUUUUAAUGAAAAUUGAUAAUUACCUUUUAAUUAUCAAAUUCACUAUUUCUAUUUAUUUUUGUAAUAUAUAUUAAUUACUAAAAUCAUUUAUUUCCUUUAUUUAGUUUGAAAGCAAUUAUAUAUCUUUUGUUUGUGUAGAGCUCAUGUGACACGACAAAUUUUAUUUUGUAACUUGCUCUGGAUGAAUGGCCAUUAUAAACUUCAUUUUAUCCUCAUCUGAUUUUGACGUGGGAAUAGGAGAGAUGAGGAUUUGACAUUUGGACCUAAGCCUCAGAGGGUUUUAACUCCACUCAACUACUUUAUGCCUUGUAUUUAAUAUUGCAAACCAAAAUAAUAACAGACAUGAUCCUUUUCAAAAUUUUUAUAUUAAUAGAAGUGUAAAUAAUAUAAGUAAAAAUAAUGUAAUAUUUUUUAAAAUGAUAAAAUAAUAGGUUACAUAAAUUUUAAUAUAUAGGUAAAAUUAAUUAAAUUUUAACAAAUACCUUCACACUUAAACAUUACAUAUCUUUUAUUUAAUAAAAUGUUAAAAUAUUAAUAUAUUUAAAAUUGUAUAAUUAUUUUUAUUUUAAUACUAUAUAAAUUAUAUAUUUAUGAUAUUACUGGUUCAACUAUAAUUCAAUCACUGGUCCAACCAUUGAACCAUGAAUUAGUAAAUUUUUUUAUUCAAUGAUAGGUUUGAUUCUAAAAACAUUAUGGCUAUGUUUGGUCCCAGAAAUUUUUUUUUGAUGGAUAAUGACAAAGAUAUUACCAAUUUGAUAUCACCAAUUGAUAACACAAUUAAAAAAUAAUAUGAAUUUUAACAUAUUUGAAUUCAUUGUAAUCAUAUCCAUGACCUAAUUUUACACAUCCUUAAAUCAUGGUUGAUUUAUGAAACAAAUCUAUACCAUCAAUAGAAAAUAAAUAAAUAAAAUAAUACAAAAAAAAUAUAUAGAUAGUCAAGCAUAGCAAUUUACCAAACCCUUAGCCACCAUCCAUACUAACCUGUUGUUGUUAAAUGUUUACAAAAAUAUACAUUAAAUCAAAGAGUAAAAAGAUUAAAAACGAACAAGAGAGAAGAAAUACAUCACCUAAUUUUUGUAAUAAAUGAAAUUAUAAUAAAUUCAUAAUUUUUUUAAAUUAAAAUAGGAAUUCAAAUACAUGUAACUAUUGUUUUUGUCUUGUAAAUCAUCCAAUUUUUCAAUGAAUUUAAACUCCACAGAUUUGUGUAGAUAUCUUAUUAAAAAAAGCAAAAAGUUUUCACUAAAAUCAUAAAAUUUAGAUUAGAAAUGAUUUACUAUAUUAGUUCAAAAUUCACCUCCACAAAAAUUGAAAUAAAUUAAUUAUCUUCAAUUCAAAUAAAAUUUCUCCAAUUAAAUUUCCAAAUAUGUGCCUUAAUACCUAUAAUGGAAUUAGUAAUUUUAAUUAAAAUAAAAAUAAAAAUAAGGAUUUGAUCUUUUUCUUACCAUUUGAUGAAAAUUAUAAAAUAUAUUAAAAUGACAAGUGAUCAGACAUUUGAAAUUUGCAUCAUUUCUACCAUUGCAAACACCACCAACCCCAUAUUUCCCAUUUUUCUACCUACUGCCAAUUCACUCAUCUCUCUGGGAAGAUUUUUGAGGUUAUCGUCAUGCUUGAGAUAAUCCAGAAAGUUGAGCGGCAUCACUCUCUGAAAGGUGCCUUACAGCAUGGGUAAUGUAUGGGAUACAUCUGAUAACUUGCCAUAUCCAUAAACCACUAUAUUAAACCAUGGUUCAUAUCCCCAACGUUACACGAGAAUCUGUACUCAUCCCAAGCAGCUUGGAGAUCAUAAAAUUAGGUUUUGAGGGCCUCCCGAGACAUGCACAGCUUCACCCUUUGUGCAUUCCUUUGAUUUGGAAAAUUUCUUCUUUAGAAUUCCCCAUUAUCAUGCCCUGAACCAAGACAUAUCAUGAUUGGAUGGGCCCCUUCACCAAUUUCACAAUAUCCAAUAGCAUAUCAUUUACUUCCCUUUUGUCAAUGGGAAUUACCAUUUUGCAUGGGAAGCACCAACGGAGAUGGAGGUUUUCAAAUUGGAUCACUAGCAAAGAAACCCACCGCAACUAUCUGAAUAAUUGAGCACAACAUCGGCUUUAGAGAACUCCUCCUGAAGGCGAAAUCGUCAUCUUGGCUAAACGUAGUCAUAGUUGGGUUGUGAGAAAUGGAGAUGAAUCAUAGAAGGCUUUCAGUUUCAUAGCAACGAAAAGGUAAAUGUACUCUAGAGAAGUUUUGACCUUGGGAGAAGCGCUUUUGAAUCCAAGUCAAGGUCUGUUCUGGAUCCCUUUUCGACUCUCUCUAUUAAAGGAAGAUAAUCUGCCUAGGAUUUGGAUGCAAGCUUGCAAGGCCAUGUUUAGGAGACUUAUGCAAAAUAUUUAUCCAUAGCUCCCCGCCUGAAACAUCUACAUAAAGCGUCUUCCAAGUGUGAACCAUUGUCUUGGGUCCUUGAGAUGAACAAAAACUGAGACAUAUCGUGAGUUAGAUGCAUUGCCUGAAAAUGCCGAGCAGUAGUAUGGCCUUCUUUCUGAUCAACUGUUUUGUCAAAUUCUAGAGCUCUCAUUCCAAAUCCAUCAGUUUUCUCAAAUGAUUGGCUAGUGGAGAUCCAUGGAUAUAACAUAUGAAAUGUGCACAAUAAAAGUAAUCAAACGGUUGGUUGGUUUGGCUGAAUCCCACAAUCGCAAAGACUAAUCAUAUGAAACUGUUACCAGCUGAGUUGAAUUUGGCCUAAAAAGGAUAUCCGUUACUACAAACUAGCGUUCUUUCAUGGUGCUCUCUCUUUGCAGGCUAUCCAUGUUCCAAAGAAAAACUCUCUUGUCAUGUCUGGCACUAGGCACUGAUUAGAGUGUGGGACGUUCAUUCUCCAUUAUCACCAAACACAUGCAGGAUAUAUAUAUAUCAAUUCAUUCAAAAUAUGCCUUUAUUUUAUGGAACAUAACCGAAUCCAUUUUGUUUGUGUUGAAGAGGUAUAGAUCUUCUAAGGCUGUGGAGGGCACCACCUUUUCUCAGAAUUCUCUCUGACGAUGGGAAGCCGAAGAGAACGGGUUUUGUUUUUAUUUUGAAAACGUUGUUAUCAUUAAAGAACAAACACUAUUCUUUGGAUUUAUACCCUCUUGCCUUAGGGACCAUACUGUUUGGCUAUUGGGCCUCACGAGUCUUAGGCCCAUCAUCUAAGGCCCAUGAUGGCACUGGGCUCUACACAUAAGGUGACCCAUACUCUGGAACGAAUAGAAAUCAUAUGUAUAUAUAUGGAUAGCUAAAUCCUGAACAAUGGUUAAUAUGAUGUCGGUCCACAUUUAUUCUAUCAAUCUCCCACUUGGACCACAUAUAUUACAAAACAAUGUUCAUGAUAGUACUUUAUUGAGCUCAUCUUUGCUAUCCUAUCUUAAUAUCCUUAAACAAUCCGGUCUACUAGUUAUGCUAACAUAGGAUCAAAGUGGCCUUCAUUAAUCAUAAUUAUAACUAGACCCAUCAAUGAUCACAACAUUAACAAAAUUAGCAACAUAGAUCAAGUAUGGAUGUGUAGCAUGGAAAUUACAUAAAAUGUGAUCUUUAUUAUGUCUAUUUCCAAUUGGUCCUACUUUAUGACUAAAAAAUAGUCAAAUUCCACUUUCAACACUUGAUGCUAAACUGCUUUUAAAAGUCAUCAUUUCAAUUCAGAGAAUUCAAAUACAAUAGUCUUUAAAAUCAAGGUUUGUACAGAUAACACAAUAUAACAUCAUAUCAAGAAAACAAACACAAAAUCUAAAUACAAACUCCCACUAUACUGGAACAUCAUCAAUAUGUACAACACCCAUAUGUGUGACAUGAUCAUGAUAUACUUUGGGUGGCAAACCCUUAGUGAGCGGAUCCGCAAUCAUGAAGUUUGUGCUUGUAUGUUCAAUCGAUACUUGAAGACUCUAAACUCUUUCUUUCACAACCAAGAACUUGAUGUUAAUGUGUUUGGACUUUGACGAACUUCGGUUGUUCUUAGAAUUACAAUUCUGUGGCUUUAUUAUCACAAUUUAUUCUUAAUGGUUUCUCAAUCUCAUCAACGAUUCGCAACUGAGUGACAAAAUUCCGUAGCCAUAUCCCAUGGUUUGAUGCUUUGUAGUAGGCUAUGAAUUCUGCCUCCAUGGUGAAAGAAGCAAUAAGUAUUUGUUUAACACUUUUCCAUGAAACUGUUCAUCCAACCAACAUGAAGAUGUAGCUUGAAGUGGAUCUCUUGCUGUCAAGACAUCCCACGAAAUCGGAGUCCGAAUAUCCCAUGAUCUCUAAAUGACUGGAUCUACGGUAUGUGAGCAUAUAAUCUUUAGUUCUUUGUAAAUACUGCAUAACCUAUUUUGCCUUUUUCCAGUGAUCCAUACCUGGGUUACUCAAAUAUUUGCCUAACAUUCCAAUAAUGUACGUAAUAUCUGGAUGCGUACAAACUUGUGCAUACAUGAGACUUCCUAUUGUUGAGGCAUAGGGAAACCUCUUCAUAUCCUUCUUUUUAAGUUCAUUUUUCGGACAUUGGUGCAAACUAAAUUUAUCGCCUUUUGCUACAGGCAUGUCUCCUGGUGUACAAUUGCUCAUGCCAAAUCUACUUAACACCUUAUCGAUGUAGGCCUUUUGUGAUAACCCAAGUAUACCUCUUGAACGAUCCUUAUAGAUCUGUAUACCCAGCAAAAAAGAUGCAUUACCUAGAUCCUUCAUGUCAAAUUUACUAGACAAAAAUCGCUUUGUUUCAUGCAAAAGUCCCACAUCACUACUUGCAAGUAGAAUAUCAUCAACAUAUAGCACCAAGAUAAUGAAUUUGCUCUCACUAAACUUGAGAUAUAUGCAUUGAUCAAUGGUGUUUUCCUUAAAACCAAAUGAAGUAAUCACCUGAUCAAACUUUUGGUACCAUUGUCAAGAUGCUUGCUUUAAACCAUAUAUGGACCUUUUUAAUCUGCAUACAAGUUGCUUUGAAUCAUUAGACUCAAAGUUCUCCGGUUGCAUCAUGAAUAUUGUUUCAUCAAUGUUACUAUUAAGAAACGUAGUUUUAACGUCCAUUUGAUGCAGCUCUAAAUCAUAAUGAGCCACAAGUGCCAUGAUGAUUCUAAAGGAGUCAUUUGACGAAACCGGUGAAAAGGUCUCCUUAUAAUCAAUGCCUUCCUUUUGAGUGAAACCUUUUGCGACUAGACGUGCCUUAUACCUAACAAUGUUGCCUUUUGAAUCCCACUUGGUCUUAAAAAUCCAUUUACAACCAAUCGGUUUUACACUUUCAGGCAACUUUACUAGGUCCCAAACACCAUUGUCUUUCAUUGAUUUCAUCUCAUCCUUUAUGACUUCUAUCCACUUUUCAGAGUCAGAACUUUGUUUGAAUUGACUAACUGAAAUUGGAUCGUCUUCCAAACCCAUGUCAAACUCUUGUUCCUGGAGAUGUACAACAUAAUCAUCUGAAAUUGUACUUCUCAUUUCUCUAGUGGAUCUCCUUAGUGGCACUUGUAUUUGAGGUUCUUGAGGCUGUUGAGUUACCUCUUCAUAAACUUGAAUCGGUUCCAUAACUUGAGCAGGAGGAAUCUCAGGUGUGUUUUGAAUCUCUGUUAUUGACUGCACAUUCUGGAUAGUGUCAUCAAACAUAAUAUGACCAUGUCCAGUUGUAAUAAUAGGAACACUAACAGAUUACUCUUCAAAUACCACAUUUCUUAACGGUUCUCUCCCAUUUAACUCAACAUCCUCAAUAAAUUUAGCUUUGCCCGUUUCAAAAAAGGAUCUAGUUGAGGGGUCAUAAAACUUGAAACCUCUCAACCUUUUAGAAUAUCCUACAAAGUAGCAGCUCACUGUUCUGGAGUCCAAUUUCUUUUCAUUUGGUUUUUAAGGCCUAGCUUUAGUUGGACAACCCCAGACAUGCAAGUGCCUAAUACUAGGUUUCUUGCUAGUUCAUAACUCAUAUGAGGUUUUGGCUACUGCUUUGCUUGAGACUCUAUUCAAAAUAUAAAUUGUUGUUUUGAUGGCUUCGCCCCAAAGUGAUUCUGGUAAGGUGGAAUGACUGAUCAUACUUCUUACCAUAUCCUUAAGAGUACGGUUUCGCCUAUCUGCUACACCAUUUUGGCUUGGAGUCCCCAGCAUAGUGUAUUGAGGAACGAUACCACACUCCAUCAAAUAUUUGGCGAACGACCCUAGACGUUGUUCAUUGGAUCCGUCAUAUCUGCCAUAAUAUUCACCUCCACGGUCAGAUCUGACGACCUUUAUUUUCUUGCUUAGUUGGUUCUCAACUUUAGCUUUGAAAUUCUUGAACACAUCUAAUGAUUGAGACUUCUCAUGAAUCAAAUAAAGAUAGCCAUAGCGCGAGUAAUCGUCAAUGAAAGUGAUAAAAUAUUGUUGUCCAUUCCAAGAAGGGGUAGGAAAUGGACCACAAAUGUCCGUAUGUAUCAAUUCAAAGACGUCACUGCACUUGUUAGCAUCAUUUUUUUCUCAUAUUUGUUUGUUUACCCUUAAUACACUCUAUACAGACUCGAAAGUCUAUGAAAUUAAGUGGAUCAAGAAUUCAUUCUGACACAAGCCUUUGAAUACGUUGAUUUGAAAUAUGACCCAAACGCCUGUGCCAUAACAUCGAUGAAUUCUCAUUUGUUAAUUUCCGUUUAAUGUCAUAAUUACUUGAAUUCAAGGUUUCAUUUCCAUUAGUGGUCUUUAUAUUUAAUUUGUAUAAUUUGUCUAUUAGACUACCUGUACCAAUAACAUUUGAAUUUAGAUAAAGACUAACCAUUCCAUUUCUAAAUGAACAAUAAUAUCCAAAUUUGUCUAGACAUAAAACAGAAAUUAAAUUCCGUCUAAACGACGAUACUACAAAAGUCUCUUCCAAAUCCAAAGUACAUCCAGAGUCUAACUGUAAUCUAAAAAGACCAAUAGUCUUGACUGCAACCUUGUUGCCAUUUCCCACAUAGAUGUAUUUUUCACCAUCAGUUGGCAUUCGACUCCUUAGGCAACCCUACAUCGUGACACUUAUGUGAGUAGUUGCACCCGUAUCUAUCCACCAAGUGUCAGUAGGCACUACGACUAAAUUAAUUUAUGAACAAACAAAGUUGAGAAGUGUACCUUUCUUUUCACGCCAAGCGGCGUAUUUGGUACAUGUCUUCUUCAUAUGACCAACCUUCUUGCAAAAGAAACAAGUCAUCUCCUUAUCUUGUUUCUUCUGCACCUUUUGCAUUGAUGUCCUAAAAAUUGCAUUUUGUUUUUCUUUAUUGUCCUUCUUUCUUUUCUUUUUGGUACCAAAUCCCUGAGAUGUGGAAGCCAAGUGAGAACUUUCUAUCUUUUCUUGUUUCAAUCUCUCAUCCUCUUGUGCACAUUGAGCAAUAAGCUCAUUCAAAGUCCAUUUUUCCUUUUGUGUUGUAACUAAUUUUGAAUGGACUGAAUUGUGUAGGCAGAGAGAUUAAGACCAAGUGCACAAGUAUGUCUUCCGAAAACUCUAACUUUAGUGCCUUUAGUCUAGUCACAAGAUUAGACAUUUCCAUAAUAUACUCCCUUAUAUUCUCUUUCCCUUUGUAUCGCAUAGAGACAAGCUUACUAAGAAUAGUGCUUGUCUCAACCUUUUCAUUUGAAGCGAAUCGGUUUGCUAUCUGGUCUAAGAAUGCCUUGGCUUGAGUUUUCUCAGGUAUUGGACUCCUUAUAGCUUUUGGAAUUGAGUACUUCGUUAUCAUUAGACUCAUGCGAUUGGAUCGCUCCCAUUUUUCCAUAGUAGACCUUUGCUCAGUAGUGCUGGCACUAGUAAGAUCUGGAGGGCGAUCCUCUCUUAAUGCAUAGUCUAAAUCCAUGCACCCGAGCACAAUUAUAACGUGCUCCUUCCAUUUCUUGAAGUUUGUGUCAUUAAGCGCAGGAAUGUUAUUAACAUUUGUAGAUAUAGAAUAUGUUAAAUUCAUAAUAAUAAAGCUCACAAUCAAUCACAUAAACAUCAUACAUACAUGAAAAAUAACAUCAUACAAGAUACUUAGCACAAAUAUUAAUAUUUUGUCUUUGGACAAUAAAUAUUAACUUGUAAUUGGUAUCCUUAUACAAAAUUAAUUCAUAAAUAUUGACAAUAAAACCAAAAACAAUAUGUUUGUCUUUAGACUAAUAUGUCGAAUGCAAGAUAAACUUUAUAUGUCACAUAUUUAUGACUACUUUAUUUAUUAUUAUAUUAAAAUAAUCUUCCUUUGGGCCGAUUAUUUUAAAUAAUAAUAAUAACAUGUUUAGAUAUUAUAAAAUAAAUAAAUUAUAUAAUAUAAGUUACUUUGGCAACUAACAUACAUAAUUCAUUUAUUUUAAAAUAUUAAACACAAACAUAACAAGAAAUAAUAAAUUCAAUUAAAAUUAUUUAUUUAUUUAUGCAUAAUAUAUAUAUAUAUAUAUAUAUAUAUAUAUAUAUAUAUUAAUUGAAGCAUAAAAAACCAUCUACAUGUGUAUAUAUAUCAAUUGAAGCAUAUAUACAAGCAUUAGUCUAAUGGUUUAAGCAAAAAAUAGGCCAUGGUAAAGGGUUUAAGCCAACCCGCCCCUUUAGUUUGGUUUUUGUUUUUUUUUUUUUUUUUUUUAAUUUCUUUUGGGCUACUGACCAUGCAUUCUCUCAUGGCCCAACGAAUAUAUAUAUAUAUUUGUUUUAAAAAAAUUUUGUCCAUUGCAGCCCAAAGCGACCAUCCCUUGUAAUGGCAUCAUCAACGGUGCCAGAGCUGUCCUCGAACGACACCGACAGUGAAACGCCGCCACCAUCACCGGAACGGUGAUUUCCCAUCGCCAAACGACGGUGUCACUACCAGAAUGACGUUGUAACGGCAUCGCUGGGAAGCAGCCUAACCUGUGGCGUGACACCAUGACAAGCAAUGCCGCUAGCAGUGAAACGUUGUCGCCAUCACCAGAAUGGUGAUUUUCCAUCGCCAAACGAUGGCGCCACCAUCGAAACAACGCUGAAACGACGUCACUGGGAAGCAACCCUACCCGCGGCACCAAAAUGGCACUUGGAUGACAUUUGGAACUCUUGCAACAACGCUCAAAUCAGCGAUUCUCACUGGCAAAUGACGCUUGAACGACGUCUGGAAAUAAUGCCUACAACGCCUAAAAAUUGUGCUCUUUUGAACGCCUGAAACAACGUUGAAAUGACGUCUACCGGCGUCUGGAAUUGCACCGCUGUCUAGAACGAUGCCAUGAUGGUGUCUCACUCACCUUAAAUGGCACCAACCACCGUGACUUGCAUCCCCAAAAAUGGCACUUGAACAGCGCCUGAAGCGUGCCUGGAACGACGCUGCAAACGAUGCUUGAAAUGGUGCAUUUUGUAUGCUUGAAAAUGGCACAGGAAUGACGCCUACACUACGUCCAUUUUGAAUGCCUGAACGGUGUCCUAACGGCGCCUGAAUGACGCCUGGAAUUGGCCCAGAUUUAUUUUAUGUUGUUUCCUUCCUCUUGGAUCUUUUGUUUGUGUUUUAAAAAAAAAGUGUUUUGGUGAAAAUGGGAAAUGCAACCAGGCUCUGAUACCAUUUUGUGGGACGUUCAUUCUCCAUUAUCAUCGAACACAUGCAGGAUAUAUUUAUAUAUAUAUAUAUAUAUCAAUUCAUUCAAAAUAUGCCUUCAUUUUAUGGAACAUACCCGAAUCCAUUUUGUUUGUGUUGAAGAGGUAUAAAUCUUCUAAGGCUAUGGGGGGUACCACAUUUUCUUAGAAUUCUCUAUGACGAUGGGAAGCCAGAGAGAACAAGUUCUAUUUUUAUUUUGAAAACGUUGUUAUCCUUAAAUAACAAACACUAUUAUUUGGAUUUAUACUCUCCUACCUUAGGGACCAUACCCUUUGGCUAUUGGGCCUUACGAGUCUUAGGCCCAUCAUCUAAGGCUCGUGAUGGCACUAGGCUCUACACAUAAGGUGGCCCAUACUCUGGAACGAAUAGAAAUCAUAUGUGUAUAUAUGGAUAGCUAAAUCUUGAACAAUGGUUAAUAUGAUGUCAGUUCACAUUUAUUAUAUCAUAGAGACUUCCCAUAUGAAGAAAAUUGACAGUAGGUAGCUUUGCCAUUCUUGUCCGUAUACAACCAACCUUAGCAAGGGUUGAACCCUUUUAUGCUUAGUUGUGCCAUACAAAUCCUUACCACCGCCUACAACAUGUAAUCGAAAUGAUUCGAUAAUAUCAUCUAGUGAACCAAUACCUCCAAAUGAGAGACCAUUGCCUUGGUAACUAGGGCUCAUGACUGAGAAUUGCGUGAACCCCUUUGCUUGGGUUGGAGCUUAACUGAUGCACAAAAUAUUCAUAGGCCUCUUCCCAUAACUGGCACCUUGUGUUUGCAACAUAAUUGAACAUGUAUUGAAGUGAGUUUUUUUGCAUCUUUUUGUAAGAAAAUUCUAAACAACAGAGACUGCUUAGUGUGCCCGGCUCCUCGGGAAAUCAAGGUUCAUUCCUGUAGGGCCAGUUUUUUCACAGUCGAACUAGAUAACAUGGAGAGUAUGUUGCAAUGCUUCAACAGGGUAUUUCUUAGGAAAAUCCACCUGAAGUUGGUACAAUUCGUUGGCGUACUGAGUUCCUGGAGCUCUAUUGACUUCAAUCACCCAUCUCUGUAGAUUAUCGAUGACUUAUGCUCGGAUCCUGUAGGAGGAUUGACCUGACAUUCCACUAGCUCUUUCUGGAAGACGAUCUUGUUUAACACCUUGUGAGAAGAGGCAAGGGAACUGGUCAUUGUUUCUUCGAGAAGAUCAGUGGCCGAGGAUGGGUUUGGACCAUAAUUGCUAUAUGGGUUUUCUUUGGGUGAACCAAUUAGUGGAGUGGGUGGCUAUAUAGCAACUGAAGGGUGGUCAUACUAAUGAGGAGCUAUUAUUUCAUGCAUGUGGAGAGGAAAUGAGUAGCUUCUUCAAGGAUAUAUGAUUAUUCAUCUCUAGCUUACGUUGAAUAUCUCCUAACAAAUUUCUGCUUUGAAGCUCCCUUAGUUUCACUACAGCUAACUUGGCCAACUUGGUUUCAUCAUGUUUCCUACAACCUCUAAGCAAAGCACGCCAGAUCACUGAAUCAGGUUCUAUUUGCAUUUUGUCCAUAAACUCCUUUGCCUAUUGACAAUAAACUGCCCCUCAAAAUUUGAUGAGAUAACAUCAAUGCUGACAUGUUGGUCAUCCCCAUAAGCAUCUUUAUAGAGAUUGAUUCUAUGUUUAGAUAUUUCUCUCUCCUCAAGUGAGUUCAACUUUUUUGUAACAUCCUUCUCCUUCUCUACUAAUAGUCUUAGUUGAACAUCCAACCUAUGUUCCCAAAGUGCCAGCAUCUCAUAUCUGAUGACAAGCCAACAACCUUGCCCUUGCUGAGACCCAAAUAAGUAUCCAGAACCAUCAGCAUCAACCCUUUCAUAGGCCUUUGUAUUUGAAGGUCGGAUUGGGAUUGCUUUGAAUGCACUGGCACUACAAUACACAAUUGUAUCUUCUCCAAUAAAAACACCACACAGAGGUGAGGGGACUGGUAUUAGCAAAGAAGUGUUGUUAUCUAUAUUGUUCUGAGCCCGAGUACCCUCAACAAAAUCCUCAUCCUCAUCUGUACUCUUCCAUUACAUCCCUAGGCUUUUCAAUGUGAUCCACAUGGCUUACAGGAAUCCAGAAAUACCAGUCUGUAUAAAUGUUGCUCUUAUGGGGCUCUCCUAGAAAACAUCCCUAUCAAGAUGAUCAACCUAGCUUAGAUGCUCAGCACCCCAAACUUACUAGAAAUAGAGGAAUUAAAAGCAAGGAUAGGAGCCAAAGUAAAAAUUUAGGGAAGAGCAAAUAGGAAAUCAAGCAAAACAUGAAUGUACAGAGCCUCAUUUCAGGUGACAUCUUUGGGCUAAUAAUAGGUGGAAUUAACAAAGUAGACAAGCAUGAUUGUUAUAAAUAUCAAGUUCAAGGAUGAAGCCGUGCAUCAGCUACUUAUAGGGGGAGUCAAGGAAACCAAGAUAAGAUCAAAGAGAGCAUGUAUGCAAAUAAACAGAUUCGAAAAAAUAGACCAAACAACUCGUGAAUAUCCUCCUACAAAAAACUACUACACGUGGCAAAAAGUGAUGAAACAAAAAGAGUCGGGUCCGCAUAUACAUAUCCUAUUCUAUCCUAUUCCUUCAAAUCCAAAGCAACCUGUAUUUUCAAUGGGAUUUGUUGUGAUGAAUUUUACUGGAUUGUAACAUGUAAAUAUGUUAAAAGAGGCUUGGGACAUUCCUAUAUAGUAACGCAUAAAGGUACUUCCAUUGUGAAGUUGUCAAAAUUGCAAAUUUAAAUUACAAAAUUUGAAAACAUAGAGAUGAAAGAUGAUGAAACCUUCUUUGAAAUUUUAUAUUGAACUCAUUAAUAUUAUUAAUUUUCAUUUCAGUGUAGGGGAAAGAAUUCUUUACUCUAAAGUGGUCACAAAAAUAUUAAAAUUCCUUGUUGAGAGAUUUAGACCUAAAGUGAUCAAUAUAGAAGAAAGUAAAAAUAUUCUAAGUGUAGGUAAACUUGUAGACUCAAAUGACUCUACCUUCUCAUAAAAAAUCCUCAAUUUUAUAAAUUAUAUAGAUUUCUUCAUUUGAUACAAAAUUUGAAUAAAGAUUUUUCAAAUGACAACACAAGGAAAGGGAAAAAAAAAAUUCUCUCCAGUUCAUUUCAUUUAAUCACUUAAAUUAUUUAAAAAUAAAAAUGUUUACUGCUAACAUUAUUUAGAUUCAUCUUUCUUUUGAUGGAGGUUAAAAUUCAUAAUUUUGAGGAAAAAGAUGAGGAUUCUCAUUUUUUUUUCCAUGUAUGAAUGGGAUUCUCAUUGUGUAUAUGUGGGUUACUAAAUGGCAAAUUUAGGGGCCAAUAUGAGGAAAAAUAUGAAGUUGAGUUUGUCACCAAGAACAAACAUGACUCCUAUAAAGGUGGCAUCCUUAAUUUCAUGUCUGGAUUAGACUUCUCAUGUAACAACUUAACAGGUGAAAUCUCUCAUGAACUUGGAAUGUUAAGUUUGAUUCAUGCAUUGAACUUGUCUCGCAAUCAACUAAAGGGCUCCAUUUCAAACAGUUUUUGCAAUCUUUCUCAAACAGAGAGCUUAGAUCUUCUUAAUAAUAAACUAAGUGGAGAAAUUCCUCCAAAAUUGGUUAGACUAACUUUUUUAGUGGUGUUCAAUGUGACUCAUAGUAGCAUCUUUGGAAGAGUUUCAGAUAUGAAUGCAUAAUUUGCAAUAUUUGAUGAAAGUAACUAUGAAGAUAAUCCUUUCCUUUGUGGACCACCAUUAAAGAGAAAAUGUAGCAUAAAUGUUAAGCCACCUUACCCACCAUUAGAGUCUUCGGAAAAAAGUGAUGCAAAAUGGUAUAAUAUCGAUCUUGUGGUUUUCUUUGCAAGUUUUACUAUAUCAUAUAUCAUGAUAUCAUUAGGAAUUUCAACCAUUCUUUACAUUAACCCUUAUUGGUGUCAAAGAUGGUUCAAUUUUAUCGAGAAAUAUAUAUACUUUUGCUAUUAUUUUGUUUCCUAUACUCUUUCCAAGUUAUUAACAUAUUUUGAAUAAUUAGAGAUUUUUGUUUUCAAUAAUAUUUACAUAAUUAACUACUAUUGGCUUCCAUGACAUGGAAAGAAAUGCGGUGAAGGCAACAACCACUUUUUUUUCUCCUCUACUAGUGCAUGAUUGAUAUGAGUUAAAACUUGCACCCUUAUCUUUGCUUAAAUUUUCUCAGCUUUUGUUUCAAUUCUUAAUUAUCAUUUCUUUUAUGUGUUGUUUAAUACAAUAUCCUAAACACAUUGCUUUGAAGGUUACUUAUUUAUUAAGCAUGAUAUUUAUUUUUCAUAAAGACAAAUUCAAGUUUUUUAGGAAUUUUUAGAAUUAUUAUAAUUUGGAGUUCACAUUAGAGGAAAAAAGGAAAGAAAAGAAUAGAUGAUUAAAAAAACAAUUUUAGUAAGUAUAAUUUGUCAUCUUCGGUAUAACAAAUGGGAAUUCCAAAAUAAUAUUUCAAUUUGUUAGUCUAUUCCUUAUAGUAUUAAUUGAUAUAUCAAAUAGGAAGUCACGUUUUGAUUUUUUAUUAGCUUCAAUUGCAUGUCACAUAUAUUUUAAAAUCAAGCAUACCUCAGCCGGGAAGUUCUUGUAACAUGCAUGAACAUGAUAUGAUGAAUUGAAUAAUUUUCUUAAUUGUGUGAGACACAAACCCUCUUUGUUUAAUAAUAAUAAUAAUAUACUACACAUUAUUAAAUCAUAUAUGUAUAUUUAUAGUCGUAUAAUAUAUUCAAAAUAUUAAACACAUUACCCUCUUAAAUUUUUAUGAAUGGUGUUUACUUUACAUAACGACAGAUUCAAAUUUUUUUAGAAUUUUUUAAUGUUAAAAUAAUUUGGAGCUUAAUAGGGAAAAAAAAGAAUAAAUAAUUAGAAAAGCAAUUCAAAAAAAAUAAAAUUUAUCCUCUUAAAUUGGUUUUGUGUAAUACUAUAGAAGCCAUUUCUUGAGUUUGAUAUGGUAGAAUUCGGAUUCAUAUUUAUUUUAAAAUAAAGAAUUUCAAGGGUUGGUAGCAUCAAUAGAAUCUUAACAAAUUUGCAAAAAAGUAUUUGGGUAGAUCACAUUUAAAUAUAGCUAACAGAAUAAAAAAUUAAUAUUAUUAGGAAGACAUGAUCAAUUAAAUCUUUUUUCUUAUCUAUGACACCGAUUUUAUAUUUUUACAUAGUCAAUAUAAUUUAUUACAACUUAUAUGUCAUUAAAUUAUACAUGCUUAUAUUAAAUAUAAUAUAAGAUCAUUAAUGGAAUAAUUAUGCAAGUAAUAUAAAUUGUAUAUAAUAUAAAAAAUUUAAACUCCGUCAAACUAAUGGAAUCUAUUAUAAUAAGUAGACUAGACACCAUAUUGGCCCGAGUUGGAGGCCUGGGCCAGAUUUUAAAGGCUGGGCUUUGAGUUGCCCGUGGGCCUGAGCCAAGGCCUUCUCUUGGUAUCAUCAUUUUGAAGAAAUAAAUUGCUGAUACAGAGAAAAAAACUAUACUAAAUAGAAAAAUAAAUAAAAGCAUUGACUAAAAUGAAGGUCAAGGUCCUUGAAAAAUAAUCUUUAAAUUGUUGCAUAUAUAAUUUCAAUAAUGCAUAAAUAAUUGCAAUAUAUAUGAUAUGAUAAAGAAUUUGGAAUUAAAAGAAGAUUGAUCUAUUUUAAAUGUGGUUGGAAUAUUUUUAAAUUUGUGAUGGGAAGUUAGACAGCCAAUUAGGGAUCCAUAUUAUUUAUUUUCAAUUAUAUGAAUUUAUUUACUUUUAUUAAUAUUCUGAAUGCAACAAUAUAAAAUAUGUCAAUUUUCUAAAAUUAAAAAAGUAAUUGCAAAAGAAAAUUUUUAAUUAUUUUUCUGAAAUUGAGUUUAUCAUAACAUUUUUCUUUACAUAAAUUUCUUUUUUAUGUUUAUUUUUUUAAAAAUGAGAUAUGAAAAAAAAAGAUCAAUAUUAGUAAAAGUAAAACCCAAUAUAUAUAAAAAAAAUGAAUAAAUGUUUAUGAAAUAAGAUUUAAAAGUGAGAAGGUAAUAAAUUUUUUCUCUUUUAAUUCCUAUUCAAUACAUUACAAAAAAUAUUUUUGGUUUUUAUGCUAAAAUUUAUUGUUUAUUAAAAAAUUCUAGUAUAUCUAGCUAUCAUAGAAGAGCUCCAAAAUUUUAUUGUUUAAGAGAAUGUGUUGCCACUUUAAAAGAUUUAUAUGCAUACCUUUGGAUAUGUUUAGUUCCCGGUAAAUUUGAAGGAAAAUGUGAAGGAAGAAAAAUAGAGAAGAAAAGUAUAACAAAAUAAAAAGUGAAGGAAAAUGAAAAAUAGAUUUAAAAUUAAUAAAUUAUUUUCAUUGGUUUUUUCAAAUUUAUUUUACUUAUUUUAUUCUAUUAAAUAAAGAUUAACUAAUUUUAAUUAUAUUUGGUUUGAUUUUUAUUAUUUUUCAAAGCAAAACCAAAUAUGAAAAAAAAAACAUUUUUUUUGGUUAUUUUUUUCUUUCCUUAUUACUCUUCGGGACUCAAACAUAGCUUUUAGAUUUGGGGCAUGGAAAAAUAAGAGUAUUGAAUAAGGGUUCUAUAUAUGCCCAUGCCCAUGCCCAUGAUACCAUUGAAAAAAAUGGAGAGAGGGUGAAACCUUUACUAGAUGAUAAAUUAUUCUCUUCAAUGGAAAUCAAAUAUAAUUAUUUUUAUCUUGUAUUAAUUGAAUGUUAUACUCCAUAAACUCAAAAUUAAAAUAAAUAAAAAAUUUAAAAACUAGGACAAUCCCAUUUUUUUUCAAUUUCUUAAAAAGAAAUUAAAUUAUAUUUAUUUAUAUCUAUUUUCAUCCCUACCCAACAAAAUAAAAAAAAUUAACAUUGUGGAACAUGUAUGAGAAAUUCUCACAAUUUUUUUUAAGAAAAAUAAAUUUCUUAUUUUAUAUAUGUUAAAAAUAAAUAUAAUCUUUUAUUUUUUAUAUAUAUAAUCGGGUAAGGUAGAGUGGGACAAAGAAAUAAUCCCCUUCGAUUCCAAUCCGAAAUUUUAAAAUAUAAAAUAAAAAUCUUAAACUCAUCCCUAAUCCAUUUAUUUUUAAUCCUAAACUUGUCUUAUAAGGAAUAAGGCAAAGUAAGUACAUGAAAACACUUUUUUUUAUCAUCAUCUCUACAAGUUCUAAUGUUUAGAUUGCAAUCCAUAUCAAAGAUUUAUAAAGAAAGAACAACGAUGAAUUUCAUAAACAUUUGAAAGCAUAUACAAAGUUUUAAAUAAUAUUGCUUGAGGUGCAAAUAUUAUUUGGCGCACACGUUGAGGGACUUCAACUGGUGUUGUCUAGGUUUUUUACACUAGUAAGUAAUCUUGAAUAUCUAGAGUAACUUGAUCAAAAUCUCUUUAAUUUUAUUUUCUUUGAUGAAUUAGAAUGCUUAUAUAACAUGAUUAAAAAUUUUAAGAAAAAAAAACUAAGAAGAAAGAAAGAAGUACCGAUCUUCCAAAUAUUGCUUCCACUUUAAUAUUUAGAAGGCUCUAAGAAAAGAAUUUUAUUCAUGAAUCACAACCCAAGUCGAAAAUAAAUUGAACCCAUUUUCUAAGUUAAAUUUUGAAUUUUUUACUAGUGAAUGCAAAUUGGGAAAAUGUAUAUAAAUAUAAUUAAACUAGAAUAGUAGGUUAGGUUUGUGUGGUCCCACGAUGACUUGGAAGUUUCAACAAUUCAAGCAGACUCCACCUAUAAACCUAAUAUACUAUUUUAGUUUAAUUAUAUUUAUAUAUGUUUUCCCAAUUUGCAUUCACUAGUAAAAAAUUCAAAGUUGAACUUGAAAAAUGGGUUCAAUUUAUUUUCGAUUUGGGUUGUGAUUCAUGAAUGAAACAAUGAUCAAUGACUUGACUUUUAAGGCCAACUUAGUUAAGUCAUUCCUAACCCCUAUAUUAAUUUGGCCUUAAAAGUCCAGUAAUUGAUAGCUAAAUCCCAACCCAAGUCAAAAAUAAAUUGAACCCAUUUUCUAAGUUCAACUUUGAAAUUUUUUUUAAUUGGAAAAAUGUAUAUAAAUACAAUUAAACUAGAAUAGUAGAUUAGGUUUGUAGGUGGAGUCUGCUUGAAUUUGUGAAACUUCCAAGUCGUCGUGGGUCUAGUGGUCCCAUAGCUCUCUAUUAAUUUCCACCAUCAAUUUUCUGCAAUAAAGUCAAGUCAUUCCUAACCCCUAUAUUAAUUUGGCCUUCAAAGUCCAGUCAUUGAUAGCUACGUUCAUGAAUCCCAACCCAAGUCAAAAAUAAAUUGAAUCCAUUUUCUAAGUUCAACUUUGAAUUUUUUUUAAUUGGAAAAAUGUAUAUAAAUACAAUUAAACUAGAAUAGUAGAUUAGGUUUGUAGGUGGAGUCUGGUUGAAUUUGUGAAACUUCCAAGUCGUCGUGGGUCUGGUGGUCUUAUAGCUCUCUAUUAAUUUCCACCAUCAAUUUUCUGCAAUAAAGUCAAGUCAUUCCUAACCCCUAUAUUAAUUUGGCCUUAAAAGUCCAGUCAUUGAUAGCUACGUUCAUGAAUCCCAACCUAAGUCAAAAAUAAAUUGAACCCAUUUUCCAAGUUCAACUUUGAAUUUUUUUUAAUUGGAAAAAUGUAUAUAAAUACAAUUAAACUAGAAUAGUAGAUUAGGUUUAUAGGUGGAGUCUGCUUGAAUUUGUGAAACUUCCAAGUCGUCGUGGGUCUAGUGGUCCCAUAGCUCUCUAUUAAUUUUCACCAUCAAUUUUCUGCAAUAAAGUCAAGCCAUUCCUAAACCAUAUAUUAAUUUGGCCUUAAAAGUCAAGUCAUUGAUAGUUACGUUCAUGAAUCACAACCCAAGUCUAAAAUAAAUUGAACCCAUUUUCCAAGUUCAACUUUGAUUUUUUUUACUAGUGAAUGCAAAUUGGGAAAACGUAUAUAAAUAUAAUUAUACUAGAAUAGUAUAUUAGGUUUGUAGGUGGAGUAAGCUUGAAUUGUUGAAACUUCCAAGUCAUCAUGGGUCUAAGGGUCCCAUAGCUCUCUAUUAAUUUCCAUCAUCAAUUUUUAUGAAUUCAGAUUUAAAAGUGAGAAGGGAAUAAAUUUUUUCUUUUUCAAUUCAUUACAAAAAAUAUUUUUGGUUUUUAUGCUAAAAUUUAUUGUUUAUUCAAAAAAUUAAAGUAUAAAAAUAUAAAAUAUAUAUCUUGCUAUUAUAGAAGAGCUCCAAAAUUUUCGUGUUUAAGAGAAUAUGUGUUGCCACUUUAGAAGAUUUAUAUACAAAAAGGAUUGAUGUUUCUCCUUUGACUAUGUUUGGUUCCCAAAAAUUUGAGGGAAAGAAAAUAAAAAAAAGGUAGUAAAAAAGAAAAAAUGAAGGAAAAUAAAAAAUAGUUUUAAAGUUAAUAAAUUAUUUUUAUAUGCUAUUUCAAACUUAUUUUACUUAUUUUUUUUCAUUAUAUAAAGAUUAAAUAAUUUUAAAAUGCAUAACUAAUUUUAAUUAUAUUUAAUUUUUCUUUUAUAUUUUUUAGACGGGAUCCAACACAUGUAAAAAUCCUUUUUUUUAGCAUCUUUUUUUCUUUUCUUAUUACUUUCCAAUAACCAAAUAUAACCUUUAGAUUUAGCCUUUAGACUUGGAGUAUGGAAGGAUACUGAGUAUUGAAAGAAGGUUUUGUAUAUGGCCAUGAUACCAUAGAAAAAAUGGGCGACAGAGAAAAAACCUUUAUUAAAUGAUAAAUUAUUUUUUUCAAUGGAAAUCAAAUAUAAUUAUUUUUAAAAAUAAAAAUAAAAAAUAAUAAUUUGUUGUUGCAUUAAGUAUUCUUGCAUUUGGAGAAGCAUGUACUACUUACUACAUAAAUGGAUAUUCAUGGAGUGCAUUCUCUAGAAAGCUCCAGUCUCAUGAAAAUGGAAAGAUGGACCGGCCGGUGAACCGGUUCGAGUUUGGAUUUAUGGGCUGCCUCAGCCUAACACGCAUGAUAGGUUGUUGUAGGUGAAGAACUAACUAAUUAAUUUAAAGCCUUCUUCUAUCCUCUCCUAUUCCUCUAUCACUCCAAAUGUUCCACAUGAUAAUGACAAUUCUUUUGUUAAAUGGUAAAAAAAAAAUUUAACAAUUAAUUUAAAAAAUUUUUAAAAUCUAAAUCCAAUGGAAAUUUGACUGUAAGGUGCGUAGAAGGCCCUAGUGCCCAUGUUGCUAAUUUGAUGAUAGUUAAAUUACCAUUUCGAGAGAUUCCACUCACUAGUAUUCUCAUUUAUAAAAUCAUGAACUUUGGCAUCCUAAUUAAUGUAAUUUAACUUUUUUUUGUUUACAAAUGAAAUAAGAGGCAACAUAUAAACCCAAAAGUUAAUUUUCCUACCAUCUCUAUGCACCAUUUUAGCUUUACUCCAAUAUAUUUUCUAUGAUUAAUUAUUUUCAUUCAAACAAUAAUAUCAAAAUAUUUUAAAAUUAGACAUAUCCACUAAUAUAUCUUCGAUAUAUUAUAUAUAUCUGUAAAAUCGAAACACCAAUAUAUCCGUGAUUAUCGAUAUUUUUAUCGUUGAGGGAUAACAACUAAUCUAGUUUUUGUACCUAUUGAUAUUCCUCAACAUUUAGAUUGAUUUGACCAUUUUUUUUUUAAUUUUAUUUUCUUUGAUGGUUAUAUGAUGAAUUAGAAUAGUCAUAUAACAUUAACAGAUUUAAGCAAAAAUGAUAAAAAAGCUCGCAUUUUUCAAAUAUUGGUUUCAACUUUGAAUAUUUUUAUUGGUAAAUGAAAAUUGUGAAAAACCUACUAAUGCUAAUACUUUUCACCACAUAAUUAAAUAUAAUAAACUAGAAUAGUGAUUCAUUGAUGUCUUAUAAAGCUACAUGCCUUCUUUGACUUGUUAGUUGAUUUUUGUAGGUGGAGUCUGUAGGGACCCCUCCCCCUGAUGACACGUGGCACGCAUUUCUAUCCGGAUUAGCUCCAUCCGGAUUUCCUCCAAGGAGACACGUGGCGCGCUUCCCCUAUCCGGACUCCCUCAGGGAGAAGCACACGACACUCGCAAACAUCACAUCCGGACGACCGCCAUAUCGCAUCCGGACGAUCGACAUAUCCUAUCCGGAUAUGUUUGUCCGGAUCGUUGACUAAAGUAAGCAAGUCUUACUACGUCAUUCCGACAGCCUGCCAUGGCCCACGUUCCACCACCUGCAAAGUGAAAAGACAGGAAUGAUGGCAAGUCACUUCCUACGAUCUCUGACAGCUGUGGCGCCUCUCACGAUCUCUGUCAGCCGCCCGUAGGGUGAUGAUGGCCCUGUCACCACCUAGAGUCAUCAUGACAAGCCAAAAUAUCUCUCUAUCAUUAAAGAGGGAGACAGAGCUUCUGGUACUAUAUAUAUGGACCUUCACACAAAGAGGAAGGUAAGCUUGCUAUACCUAGUAAAAGGCCAACUGAUUUAUCUCUUUAACCAUGGCUGACAAAACCAUCGGAGGGUGUGUCCGGACACCCUGUCCGGACGCCUUUUGCAGGAACGAUUGAACCAGGAAUCUAUAUUGGUUGAGAUCGUGCGUCCAUCCAUUUGGCAACUACGUGGAUCACCAGGGACGCGAGGCCUCAACAUUGGCGCCGUCUGUGGGAAAAUCACUGAUUCAGUCACCGACAAAGAUAGCCACACCUUCCCAAAGCCGCUCGUCCGCUAGGGAAAAGGAAGAUAAUUCUGAAUGGCGCCGAGCCAUUGAAAGAAGACAGUUGGCAAGCUCGUGACAACUGCAAGCUCUCCUCCAGGAGACAGAAUGACUAAGAGAAGAAAACGCGGUACUACGCAUCCAAGCUUCAUCGACGGGGCCUCCCCGUCGUCAGCAUUCAAAAGGCCAGGUAGCAAACUCAAGGCCUGACCCAGAGUCAAUAUACCCUGGGGCAGCAGGAGCAAUACUUGAAACAUGCAACGUUAGGCCACAUGAGCCACACACGCCCAUGCACCGAGCUCCCCAUGAGGAAAGCUCAGACUCUACUCAUUUUUCAGCAAAAAGACAACGCGACAAAAAAUCCCAAUUGUCAAACUCAAUGCGUGCGAGACUAGGCCCACAGGAGCCUGGGAGGCCAAAGCCGCCAGUAGCCAUAACCUGGGCAGUGCACCUUGACCCUAUGGUCACCCCCAUGGUGCAGAGCGUUCUCCCGCACCGUGACCCUAUGGUCACCCCUAUGGUGCAGAACGUUCACCCGCACCUAGCGGUACGACAAGCUGGGAGAAACCUCCCAAAUGAGCCACCCAUUGGCUCCAUUAGCAAAAGGCUGGACGACAUGCUCUCCACGCCUUUUUGCUCUCAUAUCAUUCAUUACGAGCCCCCAAGGGGAUUCCUCGUGCCCAAAUUCUCCACAUACGAUGGGUCCAGCGACCCCUUCGACCAUAUCAUGCAUUAUCGACAGCUCAUGACUCUCGAUAUAGGCAAUGACGCGCAGCUAUGCAAAGUAUUCCCCGCCAACCUACAAGGGCAGGCCCUCUCAUGGUUUCACCGCCUACCUCCCAACUAUGUUGAUAAUUUCAGAGACCUAUCAGAGGCCUUCGUGGGACAAUACUUAUGCUCUGCUCGACAUAAGCAGAACAUCAGCACUCUGCAAAACAUAAAAAUGCAGGAUAACGAAUCCUUAAGGGAGUUCGUGAAGUGGUUUGGUCAUGCCGUACUACAGGUAAAGGCUUACAGCAUGGAUGCUGUCCUGCAGAUCUUCAAGCGAAGUAUUUGUCCAGGCACCCCAUUUUUUGAAUCACUCGCUAAAAAGCCUCCUACGACGAUGGACGACUUGUUCCAGCGUGCGAGCAAAUACUCAAUGCUCGAAGAUGACGUGCGAGCAGCCACCCAGCAAGUCUUGGUUGCCGGACAGGCAUCUAGAAGUGGCACGGAAAGAAGUGCCAAACUUCCGGACAGGCCAAGACAGUCCCAUCAAAGGCAGGAAGGGCCAAGUCGCCCGGAAAGGCCGCCCCUCACACCCCUUUCCAUAUCCUAUGAGAAGCUUCUCCCUAUGAUCUAAGACAUGUCCGACUUCAGGUGGCCUAGACCCAUCGGAACGGACCCAUCCAAAAGGGAUCAUAGUAAAAAAUGUGCCUUCCAUAAAGAGCAUGGUCACACAACGGAGACAUGCAGGUGCCUUCAUUAUUUGGUCGAAAGGCUCAUAAGGGCGGGACAUUUAAAGCAAUACCUCCACUCAGAUACCGGAGGUAGAGAUGCUUCCCGAAAUCACAACUCUGGAGCCCCUAGGGCCCUAGCCGUCCCCAAAGCCGUUAUAAACUAUAUUAACAGAGGCCCAUCUGACGAGGAGUACGACUCCAAACGAAAGAAACAAAAGUUGUUGCGGGCAGCAUCGGUGCGCGAACGUGUCAACUCCAUCCGGCCUGGGAUAACUGGGGGGGCCCUCGCCCCAUAGAUGGGAUAAUCAUUUUCCCACCAGUAGACCCCACCCGGAUAUUGAAGCCGCACCGCGACGCCCUCAUCCUGUCCUUAAAGAUAGGAGACUUCGACGUGAGACGCAUCCUGGUUGACCCAGGUAGCUCGGCCGAUCUUGUGCAAGCAUCGGUCAUUAGCCACAUGGGGCACAAUCUCACAGGCCUCGAAAACCCUGGGCGAAUCUUGUCCGGAUUCAACGGGGCGUCAACUACUUCAUUGGGAGACAUUGUACUGUCGGUCCAAGCUGGCCCAGUCACUCUCAACGUACAAUUUUCGGUGGUACAAGAUUUAUCACCCUUCAAUGUCAUCUUGGGGCGCACAUGGCUGCACUACAUGAAAGUCAUCCCCUCUACAUAUCAUCAAAUGGUAAGCUUCCUUACCAAGGAUGGGCAAAUUGACCUAUACGGCAGCCAGUUAGCCGCUCGCCAAUGCUACCAGAUAGCACGAGAAGCAGGGACCAACCAGGAGGAUGCAUCCCUCCCUGAGUCCAGCCAUGCACGUGACCAAUAGCAAUUAUUGAGUCCGGGGGACAAAGAUCCCCCGGCAGCGGAUCCCUUGCAAGCAAUCCAAAUUUCGGAAGAAGGUACUCACCUUACGAAUAUCAGUUAGAAGAGACCCGGAACAUGCAGAACGCCCUCAGACAAAACCAUGACGUCUUCGCAUGGACACAUUCUGAUAUGAAGGGAAUUCAUCCCUCCAUUACCUCUCAUAGGCUUAACGUCUUGCCAACAGCCAGACCCAUCCGGCAGAGGGUUAGACGUUUUCACCCGGACAGACAAAAAAUUAUCCGGAAUGAGAUUGACAAGUUGCUAGAAGUCGGAUUCAUCAGAGAAGUGCAUUACCCGGACUGGUUGGCAAAUGUAGUGGUGGUACCCAAAAAAGAAGGCAAAUGGCGGGUGUGAGUCGACUAUACCAACCUCAAUAAUGCAUGCCCAAAAGACAGUUUCCCUUUGCCACGGAUGGAUCAAAUUGUGGACUCCACUGCUGGGUAAGGGAUGCUCUCCUUCUUGGACGCCUUCUCUGGAUACCACCAAAUCCCCAUGUCCCCGGCUGAUGAAGAAAAGACAGCCUUCAUAACACCACAUGGUCUCUAUUGCUACAAAGUCAUGCCAUUCAGACUCAAAAACGCUGGUGCCACUUACUAGAGACUGAUGACGAAGAUCUUCAAACCUCUGGUCGGCCGCACAAUAGAGGUAUAUAUUGACGAUAUCGUGGUUAAAAGUAAAACCCGAGAGGAACAUGUCCUCCACUUGCAAGAAGUCUUCCACCUCUUGAGGAAGUAUGGCAUGAAGUUGAAUCCCUCUAAAUGUGCCUUUGGCAUAAGUGGUGACAAAUUCUUGGGAUUUAUGGUUAGCCAAAUGGGGAUAGAGGUCAGCCCGGACCAAGUCAAGGCAGUCAUGGAAACACCACCCCCUAGGAGCAAAAAGGAAUUACAACGCCUCACAGGCAAGCUCGUCGCGCUAGGGCGUUUUAUAGCCCGCUUCACUAAUGAACUGCGACCCUUCUUCUUGGCAAUACGAAAAGAAGGAGCAAACGGAUGGACGAACAACUGUCAAAGCGCUUUUGAAAAAAUUAAACAUUGCCUCAUGCAAUCGCCCAUCCUGAGCAGUCCCCUCCUUGAAGAAAAACUGUAUAUGUAUCUGGCUGUAUCGGAGUGGGCAAUUAGUGAUGUUCUAUUCCGCUGCCCCUUACCCAAGGAGCAGAAACCUAUCUACUACGUCAGCAGAGCAUUGGCAGACGUAGAAACCAGGUAUUCAAAGAUGGAGCUAAUGGCCUUAGCUCUUCGAAGUGCUGCCCAGAAGCUCUGCCCCUACUUCCAAGCCCACCCGGUGGUCAUGCUAACUGACCAGCCCCUUCGCAACAUUCUGCACAAGCCAGACUUAACCGGAAGAAUGCUUCAAUGGGCCAUAGAGUUAAGCGAAUAUGGAAUCGAGUUCCAACCCAGGCUGUCCAUGAAAGGCCAAGUUAUGGCUGACUUCGUGUUGGAAUACUCCCGAAGGCCUAUCCAGCGCAAGGAACCAAGUGAAAAAGAGUGGUGGACUUUGCGGGUCGAUGGAGCCUCACGAUCAUCAGGAUCCGGAGUAGGGCUCCUGCUGCAAUCACCAACAGGAGAACAUCUGGAGCAAGCCAUCUGGAUGGGGUUCCCCGCCUCUAACAAUGAAGCGGAAUAUGAGGCCAUCCUAUCCGGAUUGGACCUCGCCCUGGCUCAUCCGUCUCCAAGCUCCGGGUCUAUAGUGACUCCCAACUCAUGGUAAGACACGUUAAGAAGGAAUACGAAGCUAAGGAUGCGCGCAUGACGUGAUAUCUGACUAAAGUAAGGGACACCUUACAACGGUUCACCGAAUGGACGAUCGAAAAAAUCAAACGAUCUAAAAAUGGACGUGCCGACGCCUUAGCAGGCAUAGUUGCCUCCCUCCCCAUCAAAGAAGCCAUAUUGUUGCCUAUACAUGUGUAAGUCAACCAUUCCGUCGCGGAAACCUCCACUUGCAAUACCAUUGAGGCAAAUCAAGCAGACGACCAAGAGUGGACGGAAGACAUUAUAAGGUACCUCUAGACAGGCACUCUGCCUGAAGAGCCCAAGCAGGUACACAAGCUCCGGGUGCAAGCCGCCCGUUUCACCCUAAUUGGGGGGUACUUGUACAAGCGAUCCUUCACAGGUUCCUAUCUUCGGUGCCUAAACCACUCAGAGGCCCUGUAUGUAUUAGCUGAAUUGCACGAGGGAGUAUGUGGAAUUAUUCUGGAGGUCGAUUUCUGGCACACAGGGCCCAUUCGCAAGGAUAUUACUGGCCCACGAUGAAGAAGGAUGCGGCAGCCUAUGUCAAAAAAUGUGACAAAUGCCAAAGGCAUGCCCCCAUACCACAUGUGCCGUCGGAGACAUUGAAGCCAAUAUCAGGCCCCUGGCCCUUCACGCAGUGGGGCAUGGACAUAGUAGGACCCCUACCACCCCCACCCGCUCAAAAGAAAUUCCUGCUCGUCGCCACGAAUUACUUCAGUAAAUGGGUGGAAGCUGAGGCAUACGCUAGCAUCAAAGACAAAGAUGUCACCAAGUUCAUGUGGAAGAACAUCAUCUGCCGCUUCGGAAUCCCCCAAACCAUUAUAGCCGACAACGGUCCAUAGUUUGAUAGCAUCGCUUUCCAGAAUUUCUGUUCGAAACUAAACAUCCGGAAUUCAUACUCCACACCGCGUUAUCCUCAAAGUAAUGGGCAAGCAGAGGCCACAAACAAGACUCUAAUCACUACCUUAAAGAAAAGGCUCGAGCAAGCCAAAGGAAAGUGGGUGGAAGAGCUACCCGGCGUCUUGUGGGCUUAUCGAACCAUACCCAGAUGUCCGACAGGAAACACUCCCUUCGCCCUCGCAUACGGUAUGGACGCAAUCAUUUCUAUUGAAAUAGGGCUACCCACUAUCCCGGACCGAGGCAGGAAAGCAGGAUGAUGCAAAUGUGGAGUUAAGAAGAAACUUGGACUGGGCAAACGAAGUAAGGGAAACUGCAUCCAUUCGGAUGGCAGAUUAUCAACAAAGGGCAUCCGCUCACUACAAUCGCAAAGCAAGGCCCAGAAGCUUUAAAAAUGAUACGCUGGUCCUUAGAAAGGUUUUCGAAAAUACUGCUGAGAUAGGAGCGGGAAAAUUUCAAGCCAAUUGGGAAAACCCCUAUAUAGUAUCUAAGACAAGUGAAAGUGGAGCCUAUCAUCUGCAGAAGCUAGAUGGAACCCCAUUGCUCCGACCAUGGAAUGUAUCUAAUCUAAAGUAGUAUUACCAAUGAAAGAAAAAUAGAGGUACAAAUAUGAAUAAGUAUGUUUUAUUAAUACUUGUGAAAAAUUGUAUACAAAAGUUCUCCGGACUACAAAAUACAGAGAGAAGAUAGCAGUAAAAAUUACAAAAAGAAAAGCUCUCAUUGGGAAGGCUUGCCACGCAGCUUCUCCUCCUCACCCGGGGGAAUCGAAGGGACGUCCCGUUUGAUACCAAGUUUCUUCAUACAGCAACGGUAGCCGAAGAAGUACAUUUCGUCUACCUACUUCUGGUAGUCUGCUUCAAGUUCCUCCCUUUCCGCAGCAAACUCAGCCUCCAACUCUUCUUUUUGCGCUAAUAAACGCAACUGCAAAUCCUCUCUCUGCUUUUUCUCAAUUGACACCUCUGUUUGGAGUUGCCUCACUUCUCCCGCAGUUGGGCCAUUUCGUCCUCCGCCUCAUGUAGACGGGCGUCUGUAGAUUCCUCCCGACUCUUUGCCUCAGCUAGCUCUACCCGGAGAGCCUCGUUGUCAUCUCGAGCAGCGGAUAAACUGGCUUCGGCCUGCUCUAAUCUCAAGCGCAGUUCCUCUUCACUGUUUAUGCGUUGAGAGACGAAGGCCUUCAUAUAAUCAGCAGUUCGUAGUAGGUCAGAAAAAAGAUCACGUUGUUGAGCCAUGCCGCGGAUACCGCUCACCAGCUGCAGAAAAACCCACAAACAAGAAGUGCAAAAAUUACAACCCAUGUGACAAACACAUCAGAAUGGCAAGAAAAAUCAAGAAGUAAACUAUACCAUUUCCGCUGCUUCAAACAUUUUUGCUGAAGGCACAGCAACAUCUGAGCUGGAUGGAAUCCGUUUCAGCAUCUCUCCCAACUGCGCAUAGCUGAAAGGACUAGCGGAGAUGCAAGCUGCAUCAUCAACGGGACUUCCUCCUGACGAGGCAUUAGGGAGUGACUCCUUUCCCGAGUCCGGGGCCUCAUCAUUCUCGACCGGCUGGGUCUCUCCGAGUGAACCCCCAUCUGGGACCAGCACCGGGGCGGUUGGAUUCUCUUCUGCCAUCUCUGUCUCACUCCCCUCCGGAUGAUCCUCCUGGACGGACGAGCAGCUGACUUCGAUGGUUUCCAAAAAACGAUCUUGAAGCCGCCUGAUGAGGCUAGACUUUAAGUCACGGGCCGGACGAGACCUCCUUGCAGUUGGCCCCUUCACCGGUAUAAAGGCAAGGGAGCUUGGCUCGCAAGGAGGCACACCCUGACUUUCUGCCCUCGUUUCUUCCGUUGGGGGUGCCGUAGGAGGCAAUGCUUCAGUACAAGAGGCCUCGGCUGCAUCCGCGUCCGAAUGGGGAGAGCCGAGCUGAUUUACUGAAGUCGCUUCCUCAGCCAGAAGAGCCAGCCGUCCAGCCGCUGGCACUGAAGGCCCCGAAUGGUUUAGACCCGCGAGACGUCCGGAGCCUCUUGAAACAGAAGGCAAGACGGGGGAAGGGGGGAGAGGGGGGGGGGGGGGGGUGGUCUGGCUCUCUUAUUAUUAUUUCCUUUACGAAAGUUGGAGGUGGUAUUACCACUUCCUUUGGUGGAGUUGGAAGUUUUAUUUAUUUCCCCUUAUUGAGAGCCUUCUUCUUCUUUUUCUUCGCCGGGGCGCCAGCAGGAAGAGAGGGCGCGAAGCGUUUUAUAUCGGGGGCCCUCCGCAAAGUUCCCUCUUGCCUCAUUCCCUCCCGUUCGUCGAGACGUGCUCGGCGUGCCUGGGCAUCUGCCUUGCGCACCUCCUUGUAGAAAGGAAGGUCUUUUAGAACAAAAUGCUCCCCAGGCAUUACCUUCUUUGGCAACUUCCUGGGGAGAAUAUUGAUGACAUACGCCUGGGGCUCUUGGACAACGGCUAGCAAGUUUCGCGUAGUAAGCAGCGUCUCAUGAUGCCUCUCAGCGGCAGUAAUCUCAAAUAACUUGUUCAGUCGAACGAAAGACGUUUUUUCUACCCACUCGACUACGCGACCCCUCUUGUCCGGACCUGCAUUAUCAGCAACCAAAGAUAUUAAGCCAUCUGAUAACCCCAAAGCAAGAAAAGCAACAAGACGAAUGCCGAACAAACCCCGCAAGCUGUCUUACCCGGAAGCACCAACGAAAGGUUUGGGGAGAAUGGCCUCUCCGGAUGCUCCAGUAGCCCAGCCCAGAUACCCCGGACCAACACAUGUCCCUUGGCUCCUCCCUUCGUCGAAUCCGAAAGCUUAGUCACUAGUUGGAGAGAAGGCAGGUGGGAAACCAUGCUAAAAAUGUCAUUUUUCUCCUUCUUAAGGGAGUAGAUGAAAAGAACCUCCAGCAGCGAGAGGUCCAGGUUGAACAACAUGCUCAGAAUGCUGCAUCCCAUCAGCACCCGGACCAUGUUGGGAUGGAUGUAGGCCGGGGGGAUCUGGGUGAAGUGGAGAAAUUCUUUGAAAAGUGAUGGGAGAGGGAACCGGAGCCCAACAUUGAGUUGCUUCUUGGUAAAGCAGAUAGUGUUCUCCUCAGUUUUCUCAGUCGACAUGGCCUCUCCGUCCAUAAGUUCAACGGACACGCCAUUUGGGAUGCAGAAGCGUUCGCGAAACUCCCUCACAUUCAACUUAUCCACGGAUUUCUCAGCAUGAGCAUCUCCGGGUGAGCUGGAUGAAGUAGCUUCCUUGUUCGCAGACAUUUUGUAGGCUGGGGCUGAAAUGGAAUCUGCAUGGAGGAAUGCCAACAGUCAAACACAGCAAUCCGACCCCACAACCUUAACUCUACCCCAAAGAAGAAUCGGUGACCCACAAAAGGCACAAGGGUGCAACAGAAACCCUAAACACACCCAAAACACGAUCAAAACCCCCCGAAAAAAGCCCUAGAAACCAAUACCGAUUCCUAGUCGCAAAGCAACUUGCCCAGCAAGCCAGAAACAACCAACAAAACAAACACAACAAGGAGAAAAAAAAAAUAGAAAACGUACCGAGUGUAAAACUGGAAAAAUGGGAUGAAAUCCGCAGUGCAGUCACCGUCACGAUACGAGUAUUACCGGCAGAAAACCCUAGAGCUUCACUAGAAAGUGAAAAUACGCGGAAGGUAGAAGAGAAAGCACUACCAGAAAAAGCGCAGAAGGAAAAAUGCAAGAGAAAGGCACAGUUUGCUAUUUAUAGAGAGACAGCUCCUCGGUAUCCCAAAUGCUUAGCCGCACCAUCAUUGAAAGGACACGCUGCCUGGGAAAUCCCAGAAUCGGCGGCUCAUCAUAAAUGAUCUUCUUCCUUUUUCGCCCCCGCUCGCCACGUGGCCCAAUAAAGCGAAAAAAGUCAACCUCAGUUUCAAAAAACAAUCAUUUUUUAACCCACCCAUUUUGCCCUGGCAAAAUGGGCAGGUUAAAAGGGGGGCAUUGUAGGGACCUCUCCCCCUGAUGACAUGUGACACACAUUUCUAUCCGAAUUAGCUCCAUCCGGAUUUCCCCCAAGGAGACACGUGGCGCGCUUCCCCUAUCCGGACUCCCUCAGGGAGAAGCACACGACACUUGCAAACCUCACAUCCGGACGACCGCCAUAUCGCAUCCGGACGACCGACAUAUCCUAUCCGAAUAUGUUUGUCCAGAUCGUUGACUAAAGUAAGCAAGUCUUACUACGUCAUUCCGACAGCCUGCCACGGCUCACGUUCCGCCACCUGCAGAGUGAAAAGACAGGAAUGAUGGCAAGUCACUUCCUACGAUCUCUGACAGUUGCGACGCCUCCCACGAUCUCUGUCAGCCGCUCGUAUGGUGAUGAUGGCCCUGUCACCACCUAGAGUCAUCAUGACAAGCCAAAAUAUCUCCCUAUCAUUAAAGAGGGAGAUAGAGCUUCUGGUACUAUAUAUAUGGACCUUCACACAAAGAGGAAGGUAAGCUUGCUAUACCUAGUAAAAGGCCAACUGAUUUAUCUCUCUAACCAUGGUUGACAAAACCAUCGGAGGGUGUGUCCGGACGCCUUUUGCAGGAAUGACUAAACUAGGAAUCUAUAUUGGUUGAGAUUGUGCGUCCAUCUAUUUGGCAACUACGUGGAUCACCAGGGACGCGAGGCCUCAACAUAGUCCAUUUCCAUUUGAAUUGUUGAAACUUCCUAGUCCUUGUGGGUCUAGUGGUCUCUCUAAUAAUUCCCACCAUUAAUUUUUUGUGAUGAAGUGCAGUCAUUGAUAGCUACUAUAUCAAUUUGCUAUUAAAAGUCAAGUCAUUGAUAACUACUAUUCAAUCUUUUUCAAUAUGGAAAUUGGAAUCUCUAGCGCUACUCUUCUCAUCGUUCAUUUUUAGGUAAUGUGAGAAUGUGUGAACAUAAAUGUCUUCUAAUCAACCAAUUUUUUUUUGAAAAAAACAUGUACAAAAUUGCAAAACUUGCAAAAUCAAACUGACUGUAAUCAACCAUCAUAAUUUUGAUGGUUUUGAAGAAUCAAAGGAUGAAUCCUAAAAGGGUAUUUGAUAAAAAAUAAAAAUUAAAAAAAUUAAAAGACAACUACUCCCUUAAGUAUAAUAAGUGUAUUUGGUAGCACAAAUUUCCUACCACUUAUUAUUUUUUUUCUUAAAAAAUCAUUUACUCUAUUAAAUAAACUAACCUUGGCUUAUCACUUAUAGCAAAAUAGGUUAAGUAGUUUUUAAAAUUUUAUAAUAUUAGAUUUACAUUUUUAUCCUUCAAAAUUUCAUUAAUGCUAGAUUCUUCUAUAUGCUUAACUAAUAAAUAAUUUUUAGCAUUUUUCUUUUCUUAUAAACAUAAAAAAAUAAAAAUAUUAUUAACUUAUUGGUAUAUUUUAAAAUUUUAAUUAGAUUUAAGCUUUUAUUUUUUUGGAUUACCAAUUAUACAUAUAAAUCCUUUAUUAUUAUUGUUAUUAUUGAAAGAAAGGGGUUGAAUAGGUAGUCCCUCAAUCCCCAAAUUAAAUUCUUUAUUGCGUACUUUUGGUUUAUUCCUUUACAUGAAUUCCUUGGUGAGAGUAAACAUUUCAUUAAUGGAUAAAUAAAAUUGAUUCCAUAUCACAGGGUAUAAUGUGGAAAAAUCAUCGGUCUCAUGUGUUCCUUAGUGGAUCCUUUGGAGCCCUUAUCAAAGUUUCAUGAUGAAACCAUUGACUUUUGUUUAACCCAAAUGUGCUUUCAAGACAAAUCUUGAAAGAUUUGAGAGAUGGAGGUUCAAGUCUUUUAUGAACGACCAUGUUCUCUUAGGGUUCAUGAAAUUUCACACCUUUUGAUAAAUAAAACUUAUUUAUUUAUACGUCUAAAACCUAGUAUUUAUUUAUUUAAUUAUAGAAAGUUUCUUAGUUUUAAAAACAUUUCAAAAAUCAUUUUUAGAAUCAAAUAACAAUUUUAGAGAUAAACACAAUAUUAAAAUUUAACAAAAACAAAUUUUUGAAUUAAAAACACAAUAUAAACUAAAUUACAAAAUAUAAAGUAAUUUUUAUCCUAAUUUCUUCUUGCAAAACCAAAUAGAACACCUAGAAGGGGAGUGAAUAGGUGAUUUUAAAUUUUUUCAAUAAUGAUUUAUAAGUUAUACCCAAUUCUUUUACCCUGCGAGUUGUUAGGGACUAUCAAUUCUUUCCUUUUGGCAAUUCAAACAAUAUAUCAAAUAAUAAAAAGAUAUAAAUAAUGAGACAUAAAGAUUUUUACAUGGAAAACCCCCCACACUAACCAUGGAGAUAAAAAGCCAUGGAGUCUAAGACCUAUUAAUCUAAAUUCACUAUACGAAAUCAAGUUACACAAAUUUAUUUGGUAGCUUUACCUUAAAGACUUACUCUCCGGUACUGACAACUUGAUUCACGUCCAUGACGUAGCAACCCUCGAUUACUCCAAUGUAUCACUUCAAGCUUACUAAAAGGAUGAAGGCCUUCAAACCAAGAUUCAAAAAUCAAUUCCUUGAAUGAGAGAUUAGGAAUGGUGUGCCACUUUAGGCUUUCUCUCUAAGAUCUCUAAAAUGAUCUCCUCAAUGAAAACCUCUUAAACAAAAUGAGAUAUUUCUCCACAAUCUCUAACCCUUAAGGGGUUAUAAUGAGAUAUUUAUAGGCAACUAAGUUGAAAGUUUCAGUUUUGGAAGGUUUCUCAAUUGAAUUUGUGUGAAAAACUCGGCAGAAUCGACAUGAUCGCUCGAGCCAACACACUUCCCACUUGAGCGUUUUGGGCACUUGAGCGGUAAGGCUCGCUUGAGUUGUCUUAAGCACUUGAGCAUUCUAGGCUACUUGAGCAAUCUUGCUCUAUUUCAAAAGUUAAUUUUAAAUCAUUUUAAGUUCAAAACAAAAUUGAUUCCCUUUAUACCUCAAAGAAGCCUAACUUGCCACAAACCAAACCUUUUUAGAUAUACUUGUGACUUCCUGGUUGGACGAACAACAACUCUUAAUCUUCAAUGGAGAGCAAGUCACUAUCUAAAAAGAUUUAUAUGGUCAAACAUAAAAAAACAAAAAAAUUGCCAACAUAACAACAAGACUCAAUGUCCUAACAAUCUUCCCCUUUGGCAAUUUUGUGACAAAAACAACGUUACAUAAACCCACCUGAACUCUCAUAAUGGAGUUUAAUAAUACACAUUAACGUUCAAUUAAAAAUAAACUAAGGGAAUACUUUAUCUCACUUUGUAGUAUUUGUCUUCCAACCUUGUAACCUACACACAUAUAGAAAACUAUACCAAAGGUAAAACAAUGUGCAGGAUAAGAUAUGAUCAAGAAAGCAAAAUAGGAUAAUUGGAAAUUUUGCUUGAUGCCUUGUGAAAGCAUGAAAAAAGAACAAAUUCAUAUAGUAAUAUCAAGGGACAAAGCAAAACUCGAGAAGAAUAUAUAUGUAUGCAAAUCAACCAAACAUAAUAAAAGCUAAAUAAGAUGCAAUAGAUAAAAAAUAAUGCCUAGGGGUCUAUCUCCAACCAGAAAAUAGGGAGUGAAGAUCAUAGAAAGAACCUUCUGUGACUUAGAAAGAUUCUAGAGAGAUAGUAAAUUCAAACAUAAAUAUCUUGCUGGAAACAUCUAUGUUAUGUAUCUCUCUAAACCUUUUAAGUUAUGCUUUCAUCAGUUGAUUUGGUUUUUCUCCAAUGUCUCAGGUUUAAUUUCCUCUAUUAUUUCAAUUAGAGAAAUUAGUAGUCGAUUGACUUAGUGGGUGUUUGGUAAAACUUAAUACUUAUUAUUUAAUGAUUAACUUUAAGUUAAAUUGUUCUUAAGUUAUUAAUUUAAAAUUUAUUACUUAUUUUGUAUUUAAGUAUUAAGGUUAUUUGUAAAAAUCAACUUAAAAUUUAUUCUAAAUCAUCAAAUUAACACAUUUACCCUUAUUAAUUUUAACUUAUAUUUAUUUUCAUUAAUUUUAAACAAUAAAUUUAUUCAUAAAACAUCUAUAUUUUUGUAGAUACAUAAUAACCAUAAAAUAUUUACUAUAAAAAAUGAGUCAUGGAUGUAGAAUUAUAAUUCUAAAAUAUACACCUAUAAGUGUGGGUAAAUAAGACAAAAAUGAUUUGAGAUUAAGAGUAAAGUUAAUUAUUUUGACUUAAGACUUCAAGUUAAAAAUAACUUUAAGUUGCAAUAUUAAGUUAUUUUAUCAAACAUGCUUAAUUUACUUAACAACUUAAAUUAACUUAUUAAGUUGAUUUAUCAAACACCCCACUAGUAAUAUGUUGAAAAUGAAGAGCAUCCAUAGCAGAUAAUGUAUAUGUAUUUGUGUUUAGAGUAGAAGGGCACUACAACAAUGGACUUGCAUGUGAUUUGGUCGCGAUAUGAUUUUGAUGAGAAUAUUUUAUUGUCUUUAAAAUAUUGUUAUAUGAAAUGCCACACUAUGUUAGUAAAUGAUAGUUAUGUUAGUAGAAAUGAAAGUUUGUUUUAUAAUGCAUUGACCAUCCUAACACAUGCACUUAAUUAUCAUUAGUAGUUAGACAUGUAUUCCCUUUUUUCAAUUUUUUUUCUUCUUUUUAAAUACAUUCUAGUGGUACUUUGCCUUAUGACUUAAUUUUUGUUACACUUACUACUUUUGGUUUUAGUCAUAUUUCAUUUUAUUAGUAUUUUCAUUUUGUGUUACAAUUUUAUUUAGUUUCUCUAUAUUCUCUUUUGGAUGGUGAUUUCACUUCAAAUUUUAAUUCAAAUUAGGCUUAUUGUCCUCUUAGUAAGCCUUUUCUAGGCGAGUUGUUAUAGAAAAUUAAACAAACCUCUCCUAAGGUUGGCCUUGUUACAUAGACUUCUUUUCUAUUUUGAAAUAUUAUAUUGACCUCCCUUGUUAGAUAUUGGUUUUUACGAUUACUAAGAAUAAUGCUUCUUAAUCAUUAUUAACGAUAAUGCAAAAUGAUAUAACUACUCUUAGUUAAAUCAAAUCAUAAUGACAAUAUUUUCAUCUUCUUUUUCCAAUUUUCUUCUUCUUCCUCCAUACAUGCUAAUUUGCAAAAAUUUAUACCCAUUAUUUAAAUGAAAUCUUUUGAAAUAAAUUAAAAUCUUCCUUAUUUGAUAUUAUAGAAACCUAAUUUAAAUAAAAUAUUUUGAAAUAAAUUAGAUAAAAAAAAAACUUGUCAUCAUUCUAACCCAAAUCAAAUUUAAAAGAAUAACUAAAUAUUUCAAGUCUCAUUUUGUCUCAAUAUCACCUUUGCUAAUCAACCUAUCCAAUCUUAGAUCAAACUCAAAUUGCAAUCAAAUUUUGACAAGAAAAAAUCUACUUAAGACUGAAUAAGAAAACUUGUGGAAAGAGUCUUAUCAAGAAGGUGCAUGAAACCCUCAGUUCAAAAACUUCUUCUAAAAUAAAAUUAAAAAAAGAAAAGAAAAGAAAGAUAUUCAAUGUUAAAGGACUUUUAAGAUAAAUCAAAAUUUGAAAAUGAAUGUUAAUACUUGCGAUAGAUUCCACAUUCAUGAACAAAUUACCAUUGCACCACUUAUUUUCAAUUCACACUUUAAUUUACUAUCCAUAGAAACUUUCAUUAAAUUUUCCAUAAAACAAACAAAGAGCCUUAACCCCCAAAUAUUUUAAUUCUUAAAAAUACAUCAUUUCAUCAAUUUUUGAAACCCUCAUUUUAACACAAAUUAUUUUUUUUUACAAAUUAUUAAAAGAAUAAAAAGAAAAUUAAGAAGAGGUUGUCAUUAUUAUUCUUGCAAAGUCACCACAAAAUAAAUUAUAACAAAUAUAGAAAAUAAAAUAAUGUGACGAUGAAGAUGAUGCUUAGAAAGUUAGAAUGAAGAAGAUAGUAUCAUUUAGAUGAUUUAGGUUAAGAUGAGGACUAGAUAAGGAAAGUGACAUCAAUUGCCUAAUUAUUUGGGGUUUUAGACAUACAAAAUGAGGGAGAUGACUAAAAUUAUGGUUUAAUUAUUUUUGGUUAAGGAUUAUUAAGUUAUUUUAAGGAAUUAAUUAAUUAAUUUAUAAUAAAUUUAGAAUUAAUUAAAAGUUAAUUAAAAUAAUUAUUGAUUCAUAGUUUAAUUUAAAACUAAUUUGAAUAAAAGAUGAAAAACUGAAAGUCCAUUAGGGUUUCACCUAGAGAGGGGAGAGGAGGUGGAUGAUUUAAAAAAUUUCAAUAAAGAUCUAUAUGUUAUAUCCAAUUUUAUUUUACCCUGUGAGAUGUUAGGGAUAACCUUUUCUAUCAACCUUAGGCAAUUCAAACAAAAUAUCAAAUAUAAAAGAUAAGAACAAUAAGGCAUGCGAUUUUUAUAUGGAAAAUCCUCACACUAACUGUGACGAUAAAAACCACGAGAUCUAAGACCUAUUAAUCUAAAUGCACUAGAUGAAAUCAAGUUACACAGAUUUACUUGACUGCUUUACCUUAAAGAUUUACUCUCUGGUAAGUACAACUUGAUUCAUGUCCACAACAUAGCAACCCUUGAUUGCUCCAGUGGAUCACUUCAGCUUCCUGGAAGGGAUGAAGGUCUCCAAAAUAAUAUUUAAAGAACAAAUCCUUGAAUGAGAAAUUGAGAAUGGUGUGGCAAUCUAGGUUUUGUCUAUAGGAGACCCUUUUUAGAGAAUAAAGUCUCUCAACAAUCUAUCUCCAAUCUCUUCAAUAUCUCUAACCCUCAAGGGGUUAUAAGGGAGGUAUUUAUAGGCAAAAGUUUGAAAAGUUUUGAUUUUGGAAGGUUUCUCAAUUGAAAUUUUGUGAAAAACUUGGUAGAAUCAACAUGAUUGCUCGAGCCAACUCACCCAUCGCUUGAGCGCCUCAAGCACUUGAGUGGUAUGGCUCACUUGAGCGGUCUUAAGCGCUUGAGUAGUCUUUAGUGCUUGAGCGCUCUAGGCCACUUGAGCAGUCUUGCUCUCUUUCAAAAAUCAAUUUUAAAAUCUUUUUAAGUUCAAAACAAAAUUGAUGCUCUUUAAUACCUCAACAUAGCCUAAUUAACAUAAGUCAAGCCUCUUUAAACAUGUGACUUCUCAAUUGGACAAACAACAACCCUUGAUCUUCAAUGAAGAGUAAGUCACUAACUAGAAAGACUUCUAUGACCAAACAUUACAAAGAACAAAAUUGCCAACAUAUAGGAAGGACUUACUGUCUUAACAAUCUCUCCCUUUGACAAUUUUGUGACAAAAAAUUGUUACAUAAACCCACUUGAACUCUGAUAACGGAGUUUACAUAACACACUUUAAUGCUCAAUUAAAACUAAAUUAAGGGAAAGCUUUGUAUUAAUUUAUAGUACUUAUAUUUCAACCCCGUAACCUACACACAUACAAAAAACUAUACUAAAGGUAAAGUAGUGUGAGGAAUAAAGUAAUGUUGAGAAAACAAAACAGGAUAGUUGGAGGUUUUGCUUGAUGACUUAUGAAAACAUGAAAAUGGAACAGAUUUUUGUAGAGACACUGAGGCACAAAGCAAAGCUUGAGAGGAAUAUAGAUACACACAAAUCAGGAAAACACAAUAGAAGCUUGAUAAGACACAAUAGAUCAAUAAUAAUGCUUAGAAGUCUAUCUCCAACCAGAAAAUGGGUAGUGAAAACCAUGGAAAGAAACUGCUAUGACUUAGAAUAGUUCUAGAGUGAUAAUUAGUUUAAACAUAAAUAUCUUAUAAGAAACAUUUGUGUCAAGUAUCUCUUUAAACCAUCUAAGUUAUGUUUUCAUCGGUUGAUAUGGUUUUCUCCAAUUUCUCAAGUUUAAUUUCCUUUAAUAUUUCAAUAAUUUCCCUUAAUGGAUGAAUGAAUGAAUGAAUUGAAUUAAAGAAUUCAAAAUUUUUAACUCAUAGUAACUUCCCUUAAAUUACAAUCAAUACAAUAAUUCAAAUCAAGUAUACAAAAACAUAAAUAAUAGAACAUUUAUGCAUUAGGUGGCGGUAGAGGGAUAGAGCUUGAAGCAUCGUGAGAAUGGGUACAAGAAAAGAUGUAGUUAAGUUAUCCCUAAAUCUCUCGGAGUUGGAGAUCCUAAGAGUCCAUCUUCUGAUGAAGUCGGGCCAUGGAAUUUAGAGCCUCAUGGGCGUUGGGUCUACAAAAGUAAAAGCCUUGUGUGUAGCUCGGGAAGAACUAACACAACCUCAACUUUAGAGUGAGUCCUCGGAGCAGACUCUAAAUAGUCUGCCUCUAGAAUUCCACCAUGCUCCAUAGCUCGAAGCUCAUCCUCCUAGACAACUACCUUUGCAUGCUGGCCUACAUCAUGUGGUUCAUAAGUUGGAAGAGCCAUCAAACUAUAUACAUGAAUGUAGUGCUUGGGCUAGGAACUCCCAUCUAAAAAGGCAUGGGUAGCCUAGACCCCUAGUGUAGGAUCAAUCUUAAAUCCCACAUCCUCGAGUAUCCGCGUCAUGAGGAGGGUAAAAGGGAAAGUGCCUCCUCUAAAGGAUAAACCACGAAGGGGAAUGAUUGUAUCCAGGAUGACUUAGCCAAUGUCAAAUUGUUGGCUUGAGAGAAUGACGUGAAUAAAGUGAGCAGAUGGUCAAUGGAUUUGGGUGCAGUGUGUAAAUGGGUAGAAGGAGUAAGUGAAGAAUGUGGCAAACAACCAUGUUAGCUUGAAGAAGCCAACAAUCAAGAUAUAAGAAGGAAAGGGGCAAAGACCCCCAUAAAGAGAAGUCAGAAUGGUGUCAAGUUUCUCUCGGGUGAGAGCCUGAACCUCUAGGGAAAAUGAAGAAAUGAGAGCCUCAAUUUGCGACAUGCUAAGGACACAUUGAAUGUAAUGGGAGAAAAUAAGGAAAAAUUGACCAUGCAUGGUCAAUUGAAAGGUGACUCCGACCACAAUAUAAUGCAUGUUCUCAUAGAACAUGUGAACAAGAUGGGGAUAGGAAGUCCCCUAGAGAGAAAACAAAGUCUCCUAACUUUACUCUUGAAUGAUGAUAGGGAAGACAGUGUCCUGAAAAGCUUAGAGGUUAAUGGCAUGCUCAGGCUCGACACAUUGAUAUGUGAAAGAAGCGUAAUAAUGGUCUCGUGCCACCUGGCAGUGAAAACGCUCAACCGAAAGUGCAUCUAGGUUAAAAAGACCCUGGAGUGGGAUGCCCUAGACGGUUUCAGUGACCUAGGAAAGGUCACCUCCCUCUGACAUCUAUGACUAGCCAUAUCUAAGGUAUAUAAUAUGAAAAAACAAAAGCUAAAGAAGAACUAAAGAAAAUCCAAAGAAAAGCUAAACCACUAAAAAUGUUAAACUCAAUGCGUCGAACAAUACUAUACAAAUGGAAAUGAAAAAUAUGAAGUGAACUGACCUCAGAAGACAAAAGGACAGUAACCUAGAGGGCUCGAAGAUGAAUAGGAAAGUUUGAAAUGAAUAUGGCGUGCUGGAUGACCUUUAUAUAGCCUAUAGGAGUGCUUGAUGCAGAUUAGCACUCGAGCGUCAUGACUAACUUAAAUCAAAGUAUUUAUUACUAUCAAAAUAUUUUAAAAGUUUCAAAGGAAGUAUUCAAUUUAGAACCUUUUUAGAAAUUUUUUUGAAAGAAACAAAAAUAAAACGUGAAAUAUUAUGUGUUAAAGGUGUUAGAAGACAAUAUUGUCUAAUCCAAAGCCUUACACAUUCCACAAAAAAAAAAAAGGAAAAAGAGAGAUAUUAUAUAAGAUUUUGAUCACAUCUAAUAGAAACUAAUAUUUAGCAACAUAUCACCAAGCACUAUCUUAUCAGAAAGCUCUAACAUGUUGGAAAUUUAUGUAAGGUUCCAUAACAACUAACAACUUUUUCUGACGACUUGGCAAUGGACCAUUUGCACUUUAACUACAUUAUUGAAUUUAAAUCAUAUUAGAAUAGUAAUUGACUUCUCUUUUGUGAGGCUACAUAUCUUGUAGGAUGGGAUAGGUGAUUCAUUUCAUAUAUGAAAUUUACUUAAUUUAGUAAUGCAUCCAAGUUCAUUAUGAAUAUAAUGGUACCACAACUUUUUGAAUAUUUGUAAUCUGUAAUCUUUGUUUCAACUUCUCAAGUCUAGUCAUUUUAUCGGCAUAACUAGUUUGCUUCAAUUAUCUCUCAACUUUAUUAUAAAACUAAGGGAAAUGAUUAUCACGCAUUUUAUAUUAACUUAACCAAACAUCUUUAUAUAUCUUACAUAUAUAUAUAUAUUGUAAAUUUAGGAAAAUUUCAUCCAUUAGCCAUAGUAAGUAAGAAUCAAAUAUGGGAUAUGUAAGCCAAUGGUGAUAUUGAUGGCGUCAAAUCAAUGACAUAGUAGAAACGUGGAUUGUCUAUUUUCAAACCUUUAUAUUUUCAUCCAAUAGUAAAAAGGUUUAGGCAUCACUUGAAAAGUAGUUUGUUUUUUACCUUGGACUAUGAUUUAUGAAUAAAGUUCUUCUGUUGUAUACCUUUUGUGAUGCCCCAAACCUAAUUUAGGGGUAAAAAUAAUAAUUUAGAAACAAAUAAAUAAAAAUUUAAAUAAAUUUAAUUAAGGUAAAAAUGUAUUUUCGUAUUUAAAAUUCCUAGGGAUCAAUUAUAUAUUUCUUGUCUUCUCUAUUCAAAAAACCCUAUUACACAAAAAUCAAAGAUCAGAGAACAUAGGACAACGUAGGGUUGAAGAUUUGGAGGUUUAGGGUUGAAGAUUAGUUUUCCAGGUAAGAUUCUAACCCUUAAAUUAGUAUUUUAGAUUCGUUAAUUAGUUUGAACACUUUAGAUAUUCUUUGAAAAAUCUGAAUCCACGUUAGGGUUUGUUAAUUUAAUUUUUAAAUAAAAAAGAUUGAAAAUUUAUGAACAUAAGUAGAGUUAUUAUUAAAGAUUGAAAAUUUUUGAAUAUUUGAAUUAAAAAUCUAGAAAAAAAAAAAGAAAAUAAAUUAUAGAUUUGGAUGUGGAAAAAAAUUAAUAUUAAUAAAUAAAUAAAACCUAUGAGUAUGGAGGUAGAAAAAUAUGAAAGUUGAAAGCAAAGAAAAAAAAAAGGAAUAAGGUUUUGUGGUUGUAUAUGCCUCCUUAGUGGAAAAAAAAUACAAGGUUGCUUGCAAUAGGAUAUGAUAAAGAGAGAGAGAUAAAUGCUUCGAUAUUGAUUUUUGUGGGGAAAAAAAGAUUGGGUAAUGCAGGAGAGAAAUAGGUAGCAUUUGUAGAGUUGGUGGAGUUGUUGUAAAAGCUCGUAGGGGUAAUUGUUAGGAAACAUUAGGACUUGAAAUAAUAAUAAUUGCUUCUAGUAAAAGUUUUAAUUUAGUUUAAGUAUAUAAAAGAAAUAGAUGAUUAGAAAAAGAUUUGGAAGGAAUAUGAAUUCAUAAAAUUUCGAAAUUUACUAAUUUAGAUUAUUAUUGUUUUGGAAGUUGAAUAUAAUAUAGGUGAUAAUAUUAUUAAUAUAGGAAAUGAUUAAGAUUCUCAAACCUACAAUUUUAGAUAAAUAGUUAAUAGUAAUAGAUGAUUUUUUAUUUUUUUUAUUUUUUAUUUUUUAUGUUAUGUUAAGUGAAUAAUGGAUUCUUUGAUUAAUUCUCUAAGGUUUCUAAGUGCUUCUUUAAGGUAAGGGAUAUUAAUACUGAUUUUGUAAAUGAAAAUAUUUCUUUUUAUAAGUUAUUUUAAAUUAUGAAAAAUUUUAUUAUUAUUUAUGCAUGGAUCAAAUAUAUAUUUUUUCAUGAGAAACAUGUUUAGGCAAUUUCUUUGUUUAUAAAUAAAUAAAUAAAAAAUGAGAACCUUGGAAAUAUAAUGUUUUGUUUUGUAAGUUUAAAAUAAUGAAAUAAAGUUUUUGACUCUGGUUUAUAUGACCUUAGUUAAUGGGUUAUAAUUGUUGACAUUUUUAGCUCCAAUCAACAAUUAUAAUUGUUGACAUUUUCAGCUCCAAUCAACGAUUAUAAUUGUUGAGAUUUUCAACCCUAGCCAAUGGGUUAUAAUAGUUGACCUUAUAGCCCUAGUCAACAGAUAUAAUUGUCAACCUUUGGUUUUGCCCAUCUUAAAAAGAACAAAUUUAAGGCUAGCCAUUUAUUUGUAAAGUCCCACCUAACUAAGUACCAUUUGUUAUUUAAUAACCAGAGUAAAGAUAUUUUGAAUGUAUUUGAUAUGAAAUUGUUUUGAUAUAAAUAUGAAAAUGUUUGGUUGAAAGUUCAAAUGUUUAAUGCAUGUUGAACUCAAAAGUUUUAUUAAAAUGAUUAUAUGUUAUAUAUCCUAUUUGUAAGCUUGAUCCAUGAAACUGUAUUAAUAUUCCUUAUUGGACUUUGAGCUCAUUCCCCUUUGUUGAGAAUUUUUUUGGUAUUCUCAGUUUGGGCAAGGAGUGAUGACUGGGUUGGGGAAUUUUCUUUGCUAUGAUUUUGGUUCAAUCUUUAUUUUGGACAUUGUUUAGAUGUUAAAAUUUAAUUCCCAUUUAAAUUAUUUGAGUUUGGAGUUAUUUGGACGAUAACACUUUGAUUGAUGUGUUAGUUUUAAAGUUGAGAAUUGAAAAUUAUAGAAUUUAUUUAUCUUACUACUUUGAACAGAAAUUUAGUAAUUGGAGAUCAUCCAGUUACAAGAUGAAUAUUUGUGUCAUUUCCACUUUGAGAGUUCAGACUUGGGGUGUGAAAUGACCGUUAUGCCCUUGGAGUGGGUAUAUUGUUUAUUUGAAUUUAAUGGUCCCCGAACUCCUUAAUUACUCAUAACUUUAUAUCACCUUCUCAAAGUUAAGUUGUUUUACAACUAUUAUCUAGCUACUUUUCUCUACUAUGACAACUUUAUUACAUAGUGAUUAAUUGAAAGAAUCUACAUGUUUUAUUUCAUAGGAUAGUUGAUUUUUUUACUCAAUGAAUCUUGCUUUUAUUAUUGAAAUUUCAAAUCAUUGUAGUCCAACAAUUUCCUAUCCAUUGGUAAUUUCAUAUUACAUUUCCAAAGUCUAAUCAUUUAAAAACACUUGUAGUUAAUAUAUUGGCAAUUGCAUUGUGGGAAGUUGUUCACUUGAUUUUAAUGUUGAAACUUUCAAAUUAUUGUAGUCCAACAAUUCCCUAUCCAUUGGUAAUUUCAUAUCACAUUUUCAAAUUAUAAUCAUUUACAAAUACUUGUAUAUAGUAUAUUUGGUGAUUGUAGAGUGGAAAGUUGAUCGUUUUCAUGAAGACCUCUAAAAUAUAAAUUUUUUUCAUUCCAUUUAAUAAAGAAUUUCAUUAAUUGAACAUAUAUGUUUUUUUUAGCUGGAAAGUAGAGGCCACAUUAUACGAGGCCUUAGGUGACAAUACUAGGUGAGGGUUUUUUUUUUAAUUUAUUUAUUAUGAAAUAUAAAUAAUAUUAUUUAUUGUAUAAUAAAGAUUAUUAUAAUAUAUUUUUUAUAGAUGAAAAAAAUAUUAAUUGAGUUUUAUUUAUUUUUUAAUAAUUGUUUUCAAUAAAUAACUUAUUUGUAAAAAGAAAACUAUAAAAUAUAUGCAUUUGAAAAAUAUUUAAUUUUUAUUUGAUUUAGUAUCAAUUAAUAUUUGUAAUAUUUUUUAAUAUUAUAGAAGUUAACAUACUCAAUCAAGAUAUUCAAGAUCAAGAGAACAUUUGAGAUUGAAUUAAUUUCUUUAUUGUUUAUGUUUUAGAAAAUUUUUAUAUCCAUUACAAAUUUUCUAUUGUUUAUUUUUCAUUCAAUUUUUGCAUUUUGUAAUAGAUAUUAAAACGAAUUUUUUUUCCUAUAUGUUAAAAAAAUAUUUCAAUGUCUUUAAAAAUAAAAUAUUGCAGUAAAAUCAAAAUUACAUUGUGAAACUUUAAGCGAAUGUUUUAUACUUAAGAAGUGCCAAUUAAAGUAAGCAUGCAUCUACAAUUGUAAUUUAGAUGUCAUACUGAAACAAUAGUUCUCUUCGACUAUAUCAUAAAAUUUGGUUCGAAUUACUUUAAGUCAUCUUGUAGAUUUUCAAGUUCUAAUGAUAUGCAUCAAGUAUGUGCAACAUACUUGAUAUAACUAAUAUUUUCUUAAGUAAUUGGACACUUUUUUUCUAUAAAUUUACUUGAUUAUCAAUGAAUACUUUUAUGUAGGGUAUUGAUAUAAUUCGAUAAAUAUUUUAAAAUAGUAUUAGAAUAGCUUUGCUCUUUCCCAAUUAACAAAUUUACCAAAUUAACUUAUAUAUAUUUGUUUAUUUGAAUUUACUGGUAUUUGACUCAAAUUGUUAUUAUUUUUAAAAUUAUAGGAAAACCAUUAUUUAUAGAGUUUAAUUAUAUUUUGGUAAAUUAUCUUUUUAAGUUUGACUAGGAUUAGGAAACUAUUAAUUUAAGAUUAAUCCAUAAGGCUCUAUAAAUUUGCAGUUUUAUAUAGGAUUUAAAAAAAGAAAGAAAAAGUAAGAAAAAGUGAAGAGAGAUAGGCAAAGAGUGCAUUGGGUUUUAGAUAGAGAAAGAUUGAGAGAGUUUUGAUUACUACUAAAAAAGAACAUAUUUUAGAUAGUAAUUCUCAUGAGUUUCGCAUCUUUUGAGCAUUAAUUAUGCCUAAAAAUGCUCAAUUAACAUGUUGUUGCCCUUGCAAAAGUUACUAACAAGUUUUAUAAAGUUUUGGAGUCAUUUCAAGUUAUGAUUUUAAUAAAUUGGUGACGAAAGAAAUGAAUUGAUUUGAAGAAGGCAAAUAAUAUUGAUGAUGAUCAAAUGCAUAAUGAAAUAAGAAAUAUAAUUAGUUUGAUCGGGAUUUGCUGCUAAUUUGGAGGUAGUUAAGGUGGAGUCAAAAGAAGAAAAUGGAAGAAAUGACAAAAAGGAGCUUAAAAACCAAAUGUUGCAGAUUUGUAUGAUCAUGCAAAAAUUUUACAUGACUAUGCGAAAUGGAUUAGAGAAGGAAAAUUGACUAUAGUAUAAGGAGGAUGCUUAAGUUGAUUUCGCAUGAACAUGAGAAAAUUUCGCAUGAACAUGCGAAAAUUUUGAACAAUCAUGCGAAAUGGUCCAGAAAGCUCUCUAAUGUUGUUGUUGCUCCACUAAUUUCGCACCACCAUGCGAAAUCGAUAUUUUCAUGCAAAAUGGCUGAAGCUCAUGUGAAAUCAUGAUUUUGAGGCUAAACUCCAGAUUUGUGAAUUUGGAAGGCUUUAUAAGACCAAUGAGAGGUUGCCAAGUGUUCACUUGACCUUGGCCUAUAAAUAGAAACUUGAAUUUCCCAUGUAAAGAGCUUUGUGAUACUUUUAAUUUUAGAUUUUUCUAGAAACUCUUUUUCUAAAUAGAAUUCUAUAUUUUCUUUAAUUUUCCCUCAUUUUCUCAUUAGCCAAACAUGCCUAGUGAGACCAAAUCUCCAAGUAUGAGUGGCUAAAUUUCGUUUUUCUCAAAGGAAGGAGGAUCUAGAGGCAAGAUCUAUGGUGAAUUAUAGAAAUGAGUUUUAAUUGCAAAUGUAAUUUGAUCCAAUUGAUUGAUUAAUUGAAAUUUGAGGAUUUCUCUCUUCAAAUUGUCUUGAAUGACUAUUACAUUGCAAACUAGGUAGAUUCAUUAAAUUCUUAAAGCUAGAUUUAAUGAGACUGAAUAGUUGCAUUGUAUGAAUCAUUGGAAGAUGAUUUAAGAUGAAUUGAAUAUAUAAUUUAAAUUGAUCUCUUGGAUUAAAUAACCUAAUUUGAAGAGAAAUUAGGUUUAGACUUAAAGGUAAAUCCAAAAUCGGUUUAGAUAAGAAUUUAGGUUUUCAAUAUAACUUGAUGAAAAAUAAAUCUCAACAUCUAUUCACUAUGGAAAUUGUUUUCUAAAAAAUAUUAACUCCGAGAAUUCCUUUUCCUUAUCAAUUUUCUUAUAUUCUACAUUAUAUUGUUCUUUUCAAUUAGAAAUCAUUGUUAUUUUGAUUUUUCAUGAAUUGUCAAAUCAAUUUCACUUGACCACAAUCAUUUCUUUUCCUUCCAUUUAAACCUUAAUUAUCGAGAAUAAUCCAUCCCAAUGGAAGACACCUAAGACCACUAUACUACCGUAGCUUUUGCUAAAAAACCUUUUUGAUCGGGCAAGAGUUACCUUAGCAUAGUUGAAUUAUGUUAUAAUUUUUUUUAUCCAAUAAACAACAAAAAAAUCAAUCGAUCAAGUUUGCAUUGUGUAUUCUUGAAUUUUAUUAAUAAAUUUAAUCCCCCUUUUUGAAGCGAUUACACCAAACCAAGUAAAUAUUUUAUAUACUUCAUUUGCUUUAUUUUUUCUAUUAAGUUUAGGUGUUGCAAUUUUCAAGAGUCAUGGUGAGAAGAUUGUGGGAAAAAUUAUUUUAAGGAUGGAGUCGAACAUAAAAUAUGAAAUUGAGUCCUUUGAUGGAAAUAAUAAUUUUAAUAUUUGAUAAAGUAUUAUUAAAGAUGUUUUGAUACAACAAAGACUUCUCAAAGCAUUACAAGGCAAAAAAACUAGAGAGCAUGACAAAUAAAGAAAUGAAAGAAUUAGAAGCAAGAGUUGUAAGUACUAUUUGUUUAAGUCUUAAAAAUGAAAUACAUUGUUUUGAAUGAAAAAUAUUCUUUCAGGGGUGUCAAUUGCUCUUUUAGAGACCAAAAAUAUUAAGCAAUCAAGUAGUUCAUCUCAUAUUGGACAAACUGUUAUGAUGAAUUCUAAACCACAUCAUCAUAGGAGUAAAUCGAAAGAAAAGUAUCUGAUAGGAGGAUGAUCAUUCCAUUCACAUUUAUGGAGGAAUAUGAAGUAUUAUUACUAUGAAAAAAAAAACAUAUCAGGAGAUAUUGUAAAGAAUUGAUGAAGUACCUAGAAGAAAUGAAAAUUUUUAAAUCCCAAGAGACUUCAAAUUCUACUAAUAUUGUUGAUGAAAAUUUUGAAAUAUUGUAGUAAAUUAAAAGUUACAUUAUGGGACUUUUAGUGAGUGUUUUGUGUUGAAGAAAGGCUAAUUAAAGUAAACAUGCAUCUAAAAUUAUAAUUUAGAUGUUGUACUCAAAUAGUUGCUCUCCUCGAUUAUAUCAUAAAAUUUGGUUUGAAGUAGUCUAAGUCAUCUAAUAAUUUUCUAGUUCCAAUUACAUGCAUCAAACAUGUGUGUUAGGAAGUGUUGCAAAUUACUAAUUAGUAUAGAUCCCUUUUUUUUUUUAAAGAAUAUUGUAUUGAAUAUUUCUAGGUUGAUAUAUUAUUGUAAUAUUAGACUUCCUUAUAGAAUAAGGAAUGUUGUUGAAAAUAUCCCUAUAAAUAUUCUAGUUCAUAAGGGGAAAAAGUUAUGAGAUGAAGAUGGACCCAUAAAGACUAUACAAGGUGGAUAGAGAUGUGAGGAAGAACAGGAGGUACCCGGUGGAGCGAGAGGGCUCGUGGUAAGGUAUAGGUACGAAGAGUGAGGAAACAUGGGAUGUUUUGGGAACCCAAUAGUUAUAUCUAGUUAUAUCAUCUAUAAGUUCUAGUUCUGUCCUUUGCAUUGUUCUCUAUUUUAUAGUGGAAUGAUUCUCUCUUAUCUGUGGAUGUAGGCAUGGUUUUCGAACCACGUUAAAACCUUAUGUACCGUUUGUGUCGAAUUUUUUUAUCUUUAUUUUCUUGAUUAAUGAAGUUUGCAUCAAAGCUUCCGUCAACGGAACAAACUUGUAUCAAAGCUUGGGUUAAAGAUUUCUGGAAGAGUAAAAGAUCACAAAGCACACAAGAUGAAACCAAAAGGAUUUUUUAGUGAAAAUGGAGUCGAUUGCUCUCUUGUGGUGAUAUGAUAUAAAAAGUUUGUCUCAUGGAAAGUUUGAAGAUUGACUUCAUGGAAUUUGGUCCAAAAUGGAGAUUGUUAAUAAGUGUCCCAAAUUCCUAAUUAGUAUAGAUUUUUUUUUUUUUUGUAAAGAAUAUUGUAUAGAAUAUUUCUAGGUUGAUAUAUUAUUGUAAUAUUAGACUUUCUUAUAGAAUAAGGAAGGUUGUUGAAAAUAUCUUUAUAAAUAUUCUAGGUCAUGAGGAAAAAAAGUUAUGAGAUGAAGAUGGGCCUGUAAAAACUAUAUGAGGUGGAUAGAGAUGUGAGGAAGAACGGGAGGUACUCAAUGGAAUGAGAGGGCUCGUGGUAGGGUAUGGAUACAAAGAGUGGGGAAAUAUGGGAUGUUUUGGGAACCUAAUAGUUGUAUCUGGUUCUGUCAUCUAUAAUGUUCUAGUUACGUCCUCUAUAAUGCUCUCUAUUGUAUAGUGGAAUGAUUCUCUUUCAUCCAUGGACGUAAGCAUGGUUGUCGAACCACGUUAAAACCUCAUGUACUGUUUGUGUUAUUAUUCUUUAAAUUUUUUAAUAUUUGUUUCUUGAUUAAUGAUGUGUGCAUCAAAGCUUCCACCUACAUAACAAACUGGUAUCAGAGCUUGGGUUGAAGAUUUUUGGAAUAGUAAAAGAUCACAAAGCACACAAGAUGAAAACAAAAGGAAUUUUUAGUGAAUGUGGAGUCAAUUGUUUUCUCGUGGUGAUAUGAUACAAAAAGUUUGUGUCAUGGAGGGUUUAAUGAUUGACUCCGUGAAAUUUGGUCCAAGGUAGAGAUUGUUAGGAAGUGUCCCAAAUUCCUAAUUAAUAUAAAUUCCUCUUUGUAAAGAAUAUUGUAUAGAAUAUUUCUAGGUUGAUAUAUUAUUGUAAUAUUAGACUUCCUUAUAGAAUAAAGAAGGUUGUUGGAAAUAUUUUCAUAAAUAUUUUAAGUCAUGAGGGAAAAAAGUUAUGAGAUGAAGAUGGGCCUAUAAAGACCAUACGAGAUGGAUAGAGAUGUGAGGAAGAAUCGAAGGUACCCAGUGGAGCGAGAGGGCUCAUGGUAGGACAUGAAUAUGAAGAGUGGGGAAACAUGGGAUGUUUUGGGAACCCAAUAGUUGUAUCUAGUUCUGUCAUCUAUAAUGUUCUAAUUCUGUCAUCUAUAAUGUUCUGGUUUUGUCCUCUGUAAUGUUCUUUAUUGUAUAGUGGAAUUAUUCUCCCUCAUCUGUGUAGGCAAGUUGUUAAACCACGUUAAAACCUCGAAUACCAUUUGUGUUGAUUUUUUUUUAGUUUUGUGUUCUUGAUUAACAAUGCUUGCAUCAAAGCUUCUACCAACGUAACAAUGUGCAACAUAUUUGAUAUAACUUAUAUUUUCUUAAGUAAUUGAACACUUUUUUUCUAUAAAUUUACUUGAUUAUCAAUGAAUACCUACAUAUGCGGUAUUGACAUAGUUUGAUAAAUAUUUUAAAAUAGUAUUAGAAUGGCUUUUCUUUUUCCCAAUUAAAAAAUUUAUCAAAUAUAUACAUACACACACACACACACAAUACUCAUUAGUAUGUCUUUUAUGAAAAAACUAUAUUUGUUUAUUUGAAUUUAGUAGCCAUUUAACUCCUUAGUUACUCAUAAACUUUAUAUCACCUUCUUAAAGUCAAGUCAUUUACAAUUAUUUCUAUCUAGCCUUCUCCAUUAUGACAACUUUAUAAGAUAGUGAUUGACUGGAAAAAUCUACAUGCCUUUGUUGAUAGGAUAAUUGUUUUUCUUUUUUUCGUAUUCAAAGAAUCUUGCUUUUGUUAUUGAGACUUUCAAAUCCUUUAUGUCUAGUGGUCUUAUAAUUCCCUAUUCAUUGGUCUUUCAUAUUACCAAUCAUUUUGCAAAUGAGUUAAUUUCAUUCACAUCCUCUGAGAUUUGAUGUAAAUUCGCUUAGUUACCAAUGAUUUCAAAUUUCAUUAAUUAGUACCCCUAUAGAUGUAAUUUGUGUACAAAAUUUAUUUUUUAAAAGAAUUUAGGUAAAAAUAUUUUAGGUUUAUGUCUUUAACAAUUCUCUAAAAUAAAUUUUACUUGCUAAAAAAUAACUUAUAUAGAUAGAAUACAUCUACAGGAGUUCUAACUGACGAAAUUUAAAACUAAUGGUGGUUUAGUGUAUUUAAACUAAACAUUAAGAAGGGUGACUGAAAUUAACCCUCUAGGUAUAUAUGUUUAACAAAAUUUUUAUUGUUUAUUUUUCAUUUAAUGUUUGCAUUUUUCAAUAAACAUUGAAAAGGAAUUGUUUUUCCAUAUGUUAACAAAAAGAAAUUUGAGCACCUAUAAAAAUGAAAUCUUGUAGUAAAAUUGAAGUUACAUUAUCAAACUUUUAACGAGUGUUUAUGUUUAGAAAGGCCAAUUAAAGCAAGCAUGCAUCUAGAAAUUAUAACUUAGAUGCAUCAAACAUGAGCAACAUAUUUGAUAUAACUAAUAGUUUCUUAAGUAACUAAACACUUCUUUUUCUAUAAAUUUACUUGAUUAUCGAUGAAUACUUACAUAUAUUUACAUAGUUUGAUAAAUAUUUUAAAAUAAUAUUAGAAUAACUUUUUUUUUCUCAAUUAUAUUAGAAAAUAAUAUAAAGUUACUUAUAAACUUUAUAUCAUUUUCUCAAAGUCAAGUCAUUUACAAUUAUUUCUAUUUAGCCUUCUCCAUUAGGACAACUUUUAUAUGAUAGUCGUUGAUUGGAAGAAUCUACAUGUCUUUUUUGAUAGGAUAGUUGUUUUUAUUUUUUUUAUUUUUUUUAUUCCAAAAAUUUGCUUCUAUCAUUGAAACUUUCAAAUCUUUUAUGUAUAUUACCAAUCAUUUUACAAGUGAGUUAAUUUCACUUAGGGUAGAUAUACUUAGCCACACCCCUAUAGAUGUAAUUUGUGUUUAAAUUUUAUUUUUUAUUCAGGUAAAAAUAUCUUAGGUAUAUGUGUUCAACAAUUCUCUAAAAAAUAAAUUUUCUUAUCUAAAAGUUUAUAUAGACAAAAUACAUCUGUAGAAGUCCUAACUAAUGAAAUUUAAAAUCAAUGGUUGUUUAGUGUAUUUACAUUAAACCUUAUGGGGUAUGAUUGAAAUUAACUCUCUUACAAGCACUUGUAGCUAAUAUGUUUGUAGUUGUAGUGUUGGAAAUUGAUCAUUUUCUUGAAGGCCUCUAAGAUAUUGGAAAUAUUGCCAUAGUUUUAGACUUUUUUUUAUUACACCUAAUAAAAAAUAUUAUUAAUUUAACAUAUAUAUUCUUGACUUAAAAGUAAAGUCUCUCCAUAUUGUAUAAGCCCUUAGGUGACAAUAUUAGGUGAAGUUUUUCUUUCGUUUAUUAAAAAAUAUAAAUAAUUUAUUAUUGUAUGAUAAAAUUUUAUGUAAUAUAUUUUUAUAGAUGUAAAAUUAUUAAUUGGGUUUUAUUUUAUUUUUUUACUAAAUUGUCAUUUCAAUAUAUAAAACUUAUUUGUAAAAAGACAAUUAUAAACUAUAUGAAAUUGAAAAACAUUUAGUUUUUUUAUUUAAUUUAUAAUUUUGUUUGGAUUAAUAAUUGAUAUUUGUAAGAUUUUUUAAUAUUAAAAAAAGUUAGCAUACUUAAGAAAGAUAUUCAAGAUCGGGAGUGUUUGAUAUUGGAUUAAUUUCCUUAUUUUCUCUAUUUUAAUAAAUUUUCAUGUCCAUUACAAAAUUUUUGUUGUUUAUAUUUUACUUCAAUAUUUUUAUUUUGUAAUAGACAUUUGAAAAGAUUUUUUCCUACAUGUUAAAAAAAAAAAAUGAACACUCCUAAAAAAGAAAUAUUGCAAUAAAAUUAAAGUUUACACUGUAGGACUAUUAGCAAGUGCUAUAUACUUAAAAUAGACCAAUUAAAGUAGAAAUACUUCUAAAAUUUUAAUUUAGGUAACAAUAAUAUAAAAAGAUAAUAUUUUUGAAACAAUAGUUCUCUUGGAGUUUUGGGUACGAUGGACUAGACUUUAUGUAACAAUAGAUAUAUGAACUUUCCAUUAACAUCUUGAGAGACAUGAUGAGGAGCAAAGUCAUCCUAGAAGGUACCAUAGAGGUACCUUAGCUCCAUUCAUCUAGACUACAUAAUGUUUAAAGAUCAAAUUCAAUGACUAGAUUUCAAAAAUCAAUAUAAGCUUUCUCAUAUUCUACUCUAUAUAAGACAAUGGUAUGAUACAUCUCUUGUGUCGUAGAAUGCACCAUGAAAACCUUAUCAUUUUAACAUCAGUUUGAAACUUAAAAGUCACUUAGCACAUUCUAGUUAUUAAUGUAAGAACAUUAAAAGAAAAUAUAAAAAAAGUUACUUUAUUCUUGUGAUUUUGAUCUAGGACUUUUAAUGAUAUUAAAAAAAAAAAAAAAAAACAGAAAAAUAAAUGGAAAUAAAAUCAACAAAUUAAACAAUUGAAUUAAGUUAGUUUAAUUUUUGCAUCGUUAAAUGGGUAAAUAAAGACUCUUAGAUUUGAUAUUAAUAUGAACAUCAUGACUUUAGUGAAUCUUACAAGAAAAUUUUAGUUUGAAAGACUUCAUUCAUUAAACGUGUGGCACAUAUUAAAGUAAAACUAAGUCUUCUCUAUAAUUUGUACCUAUCAUAGUUUCUUUCCUCAUAAAUAGCCUUUUUUGAAUAUAAUAUAGACUUCAACAUGUAUGGUGGGGCCGAUCAAACUACUAGUCAAGACAACUCAUGGGCAACAACGAUGUACCAACUAUAUUAAAUACUCUUCAUCUAUUUGCAUAUCAAGAGUAAUUUAGUAGUGUCUUUCUUAUGUACCUCGUAUCUAGACUUUCAAUGGAGAGUUCUUCAUCUAAAAAUUUGACUUGGGUUUUCAUAUUAGUUUUGGUUUAGACAUAUGGAUGCAAAGGUUGCAUCAAAGAAGAGAAGUAGGCUAAAUCAUCUUACAAAUUUUCAAGUUCAAAUUAGAUGCACCAAACAUAUGCAAUAUAUUUGAUAUAACUAAUAUUUUCUUAAGUAAUUGAAUACAAUUUUUUUUAUUUUAUAAAUUUACUUGAUUAUUAAUGAAUAACUACUUGUAUGAUAUUGACACAACUUGAUAAAACUUUUAAAAUAAUAUUAGAAUAACUUUGCUAAAAAAAAGUAAAAAUAAAAAUAAAAAUAUGUCUAUAUAUAUAAAAUUAAAUAAAAUUAAAAAUUAAAAAAGAAUAUAUAUAUAUAUAUAUAUAUUGUGUGUGUGUGUGUGUGUGCAUGGUCCCACAACUCAUUAGCUACUCAUAAGCUUUAUAUCACUUUCUCAAAGUCAAGUCAUUUUGUAAUUAUUUCUAUCUAGCCUUCUCCAUUACGACAACUGUAUAAGAUAUUGAUGGGUUGGAAAAAUCUUCAUGUCUUUUUUAAUAAGAUAGUUUUAUUAUUAUUAUUAUUAUUAUUAUUAUUAUUAUUAUUCAAAGAAUUUGAUUUUAUUAUUGAAACUUUCAAAUCCUUUAUGCCUAGUGGUCCUACAAUUCCCUAUUCAUUGGUAUUUCAUAUUACCAAUCAUUUUACAAAUAAGUUUAUUUCACCCGGUAAAUAUACUUAACUACUAAUGGUUUCAAAUUUAAUUGAUUAACACACUUAUAGAUGUAAUUUGUUUUUAAAUUUUAUUUUUUUAGAAGAAUUGUAGGUAAAAAUAUUUUAGGAAUAUGCGUUCAAUAAUUCUCUAAAAACAAUUUAUAUAGAUGGAAUACAUUCAUGGAAGUUCCAACUAAUGAAAUUUAAAACCAACGACGAUUUAAUGUAUUCUCACUAAAUCUUAGGGGAGGUGUACUAAAACUAGCCUUUUUACAAAUAUUUGUAGCUAGUAUAUUUGUAGUUAUGGUGUUGGAAGUUGAUCAUUUUCUUAAAGGCCUCUAUGAUAUUGGAAAUAUCGCCAAAGUUUUGAACUUUUUGUUUCAUCUAAAAAAAAUAUCAUUAAUUUAAUAUAUAUACUCUUUGCUUGAAAGUAUAGUUUCUUCAUAUAGUAUGAAGUUGUAGCUAGGUGACAAUAUUAGGUGAAAUUUUUUUGGUUUACUACAAAAUAUAAAUAAUAUAUUUAUUAUAUGAUAAAAUUUUGUAAAAUAUAUUAUUAUAGAUGCAAAAUUAUUAAUGGAGUUUUAUUUUUUACUAAAUUAUCAUUUCAAUAAUAAGAACUUAUUUGUUAAAAGAAAAUUAUAAAAUAUAUGCAGUUGAAAAAAUUUUAAUUUUUUUAUUUAAUUUGGUAUUUUAUUUGAAUUAAUAAUUGAUAUUUGUAAGAUAUUUUAAUAUUAAAAGAAGUUAACAUACUUAAAAAAGACAUUCAAAAUCAAGAGAGUAUUUGAUAUGAAAUUAAUUUAUUUAUUUUUUCUAUUUAAAUAAAUUUUUACAUCCAUUAAAAAAAUUUUAUUGUUUAUUUUUCACUUCAAUAUUUUUAUUUUGUAAAAGAAAUAGAAAUAAAAUCAACAAAUUAAACAAUUGAAUUAAGUUAGUUUAAUUUUGCCACCGUUAAAUUGGUAAAUGAAGACUCUUAUAUUUGAUAUUAACAUGAACAUCAUGACUUCAUUGAAUCUCACAAGAAAAUUUUAGUUUGAAAGAUUUUAUUCUUUAAUCAUGUGGCACAUAUUAAAGUGAGACCAAGUCUUCCCUAUAAUUUGUAUCUAUCACAAUUUCUUUCCUAAUGAAUAGCCUUUUUGAAUAGAAAAUAGACUUUAGCAUGCAUGGUGGGGCCUAGCUAUCAAACUACUAGUCAAAGCAACUCAUGGGCAAGAAUGAUGUACCAACUAGAUUAAGUAUUCUCCAUCUAGUUGCAUAUCAAGAGUAAUUUAGUAGUAUCUUUCUUGUGUACCUCAUUUCUAGACUUUCAAUGGAGAGUUUUUUAUCUUAAAAUUUGAUGUGGGUUUUCAUACUAGUCUUGGUUCAGAUAUGUGAAUGCAAAGGUUGCAUCGAAGAAGAGAAGUAGGCUAAGUCAUCUUACAAAUUUUCAAGUUCAAAUUAGAUGCAUCAAACAUGUGCAACAUAUUUGAUAUAACUAAUAUUUUACCAAGCAACUAAAUACUUUAUAUAUAUAUAUAUAUAUAUAUAUAAAUUUAUUGAUGAUCAAUGAAUACACAUGUAUGGUAUUGACACGGUUUGAUAAAUCUUUUAAAAUAGUAUUAGAAUAACUUUGCUAAAAAAAGUAAAAAUAAAAAUAAAAAUACAUAUAUAUAUAUAUAUAUAAAAUAAAAAAUUUUAAAAGAAUAUAUAUAUAUUAGUGGUCCCACAACUCAUUAGCUACUCAUAAGCUUUAUAUCAUUUUCUUAAAGUCAAGUCAUUUACAAUUAUUUCUAUCUAGCCUUCUCCGUUGCGACAACUGUACAAGAUAUUAAUUGAUUGAAAAAAUCAUCAUGUCUUUUUUGAUAGGAUAGUUUUUUUUUUUAUUCAAAGAACUUUCAAAUCCUUUAUGUCUAGUGGUCCUACAAUUCCUUAUUCAUUGGUAUUUCAUAUUACCAAUCAUUUUACAAAUAAGUUAAUUUCACUCGGUAAAUAUACUUAACCACCAAUGGUUUCCAAUUUGUAACACUCUUAUAGAUGUAGUUUGUUUUUAAAUUUGAUUUUUUAGAAGAAUUGUAGGUAAAAAUAUUUUAGCUAUAUAUGUUCAACAAUUCUCUAAAAACAAUUUAUAUAGAUGGAAUACAUUCAUGGAAGUUCCAACUAAUGAAAUUUAAAACCAAUGAUGAUUUAAUGUAUUUGUACUAAAUCUUAGGGAGUGUGGACUAAAAUUAGCCCUUUUACAAAUAUUUAUAACUAGUAUAUUUGUAGUUGUGGUAUUGGAAGUUGAUCAUUUUCUUAAAAGGUUUACCAUUGAAGUUAGUUGAAUAUAAAGUUAGGUGAACUUUACCAUUGUUAAAUUGGUAAAUGAAGACUCUUAGAUUUGAUACUAACAUGUACAUCAUGACUUCAUGGAAUCUCUCACAAGGAAAUUUUAGUUUGAAAGACUUCAUCUUUUAAACAUGUGGCACAUAUUAAAGUGAGACCAAGUCUUCCCUAUAAUUUGUAUCUAUCACAAUUUCUUUCCUCAUAAAUAGCCUUUUUGAAUAGAAUUAAUAUAGACUUUAGCAUGCAUGAUGGGCCCCGUCAAACUAUUAGUCAAGAUAAUUUGUAGGUAAGAACGAUGGACCAACUAUAUUAAAUACUCUUCAUCUAUUUGCAUAUCAAGAGCAACUUAAUAUUGUCUUUCUUUUGUACUUCAUGUUUGAACUUUCAAUGGAGAGUUUGUCAUCUAAAUAUUUGAUGUGGGUUUUUAUACUACUCUUGGUUCAAAUAUGUGGAUGCAAAGGUUGCAUCAAAGAAGAGAAGAUGGGUUUGCUUGAAUUCAAGGCUUUUCUUAAAUUGAAUAAUGAGCAUGCAGAUUUUCUUCUCCCUUCAUGGAUAGAUAACAACACUAGUGAAUGUUGUAAUUGGGAGCGGGUUAUUUGCAAUCCCACCACAGGUCGAGUUAAGAAGCUUUUCCUCAACGAUAUAACGCGACAACAAAAUUUCUUGGAAGACGAUUGGUACCAUUAUGAAAAUGUCAAAUUCUGGUUACUAAAUGUCUCCCUAUUCCUUCCUUUUGAAGAACUUCACCAUCUAAACUUGUCUGCAAACUCAUUUGAUGGGUUUAUUGAGAAUGAAGGUAUGUUACCUCUCACCUUUAAAAUUUCUUUUCACUUAUACUCCAAACAUUCUAAAGGAACUACUAGCAUAUGUUCUUAAAAGUGUUCAGGUGGAGACCAAAUGGUCACUAGUAACUAUUGAAUUUAAUAUAAGAACAAUUACUAAUUAUUAAAAUUUAUAAUGUAAAUUAACAUUUAAACAAAACAAUAAAAAAAUUAUUAUUUUAGAAAACUAUAGAUUACAUUAGCCUUAUAUAUAUAAGCAUACUUGUAAUUUAUGCCAUCAUUUCACACUCAACCCAAUUAGUGGGAUUCAACUAAGAGUGAGCAAUUUCACAAUUAUUAAUUAACAAAAACACUUAGGCUCCCAUAUCCUUAUCCUUUUUGCUGAAUUGUCUUUCCUUAUCUUCCAUUCCUAAAAAGCUUGAUUUCUAUAUUCCAAAUUGAUAGAGAUUGGUUAAAGAAAGGUGAUCACAAAAUUUGACUAUUGCUUUCAAAUGAGGAAUCACCAUCUUCAAAAUUUCACAUUUAAAAAAAAAAAAAAAAAAAAAACUAGCCUCGGGUAAGGUCCAAGCCUUAUUGUUUUAAGCUGAUGUCGGGUUGGUUUAAUAAUGAACAGAGUAAAUCCCAACCCAUGACCAUCUACGCAUUUCCAAAUUCCACCCAUCCACAACCCAUUAAUAUGACAUUUUCAGGGACAAAAUUUAAUCAAUUAAACCUAUUAGAUGGAUUCUCCAUACAAUGUUAAAAUGAAUAUAAAAACUUUAAUUCAAAAAAUAAUUUCCUUUAUUUAGUUAGGAUUCAAAUUAUAGGGGCACAAAACAUGAAAAUUUUCAUGUUUAAAAUUCACAAAGAUCACAAAAGCUCUUUGAAGCUCUAUGGACUUUUUUAUUUCUAACAUUUAAACACAAAAAUCACCAAAUUGAAUUAGAAACUUGGAUGCAUAUUCUUAUAUUAAAGACAUGUAAGCUUACAUAUUUAAAUAUGAAGAUCUCAACUUGUAAUUACAUGCUUCUAAUUAAAGUUAUAUUACUCUAUUUUACAGGAUUUAAAGGGUUAUCAAGUUUAAAGAAAUUGGAGAUCUUGGACAUAAGUGGUAAUGAGUUUGACAAAAGUGCCUUAAAAUCUUUGGGCACAAUAACAUCACUCAAGACAUUGGCUAUUUGCAGCAUGGGACUGAAUGGAUCUUUUUCCAUUCGAGGCAUGUUAUAUGUCCACAUUGUUUCUUUGAAAUUAAGUAAAAUGUAUUUCUAACUUUUAAUGUUCCUUAGUUAAUCUCUCUUUUGAUUCAUGUUUGUUGCAGAAUUAGCUAGUUUGAGAAAUUUGGAAGUGUUGGAUCUAAGCUAUAAUGAUUUGGAAAGCUUUCAACUAUUGCAAGGUACUUCAUUAACUUGCUAAAAAAACUUAUGAUAUUUUGUUAUUAAAUUAAAGGUAAGAUUAACAAACAAUUUCUUCCCAUUAGUUACUUUUCUUUGUAAUAUCAUUAAAUUUGAUAUAAAAUAGUCUAAAUCAUCCUUUCAAUUUAUAAGUUUUAAUUAAAACGCAUCAAGCAUGCACAAGGUGUUUAAUAUAACUAAUAUUUUCAUAAGUAAUUGAAUUUUUUUUAUGAAUUAAUUAACUUGAUUAUCAAUAAAUACUUACAUGUAUAAGAUUAAUAUAGUUUCAUAAGUAUUUUAAAAUUGUCUUACAACACACACACACACACACAGAGGGAAAAUGAAAGGUAUGUGAUACAUUUAUGCUAUGUUUGGUUCCCAAAAAAAUUGAGGGAAAAUGAAAGGAGAAAAAAGUGGAGAGGAAAAGUAAAAGAAAAGAAAAAAAGUGAAGAAAAAUAUAAAAUUGAUUAAAGUAAAUACAUGUUACUUUAAACUUUUUUACUUAUUUUAAUUCUUCAAUGUAAGGAUGAAAGAUUUGAAAAUGCAUAAGUUUCUAAUUUUUUUAUUUUAUUUUAUAGUUUUUACAAUACAACCAAACAUACUAAAAUCAUUUUCUUUAAUUUUUUUUUCUUUUCUUAAUACUUUUCACGAACCCUUAAGUUAUGUUUGGUUUGCAGAAAAUAUGAGGAAUAGCAAAUAGAAAAGAAAAUUAGAAGGAAAGAAAAAAUGAAGUAAAAUAAAAAUAAAUUUAAAUUUAAUAAAUUAUUUUUAUAUGCUACUUUAAGCUUAUUUCACUUAUUUUAAAUUAUUUAAACUCAUUUCUAAUAAAUAAUAAUGGAAAUUGUAGAGAAGUUUGUGUUAUUCAAGCUUUGCAAUGACUUUUCAAGGUGAAGGAAAAUAUUCUUGCUGAAAUUGAAAAAGGAAAUACCUUCUUAAAUAGCCUAUUGACCGAAAACACAUUACCCUAACAUAUACACACACCUUUAUUAUUUAUACAAUCAUGUAAUACUUAAUCCAGUUAGUGGGAUUCUAGUGGUUGUUUCUAUCUUGGUUUCCAAUAUUUCUGAUUGAUAGUGUUCGAUUAAUGAAAUAUCAUAAAUUUUGACCCCAAUAAGGACCAAUCCCUAUUAAAUGUAAUUGGGUUAACCUAAGACUAAAUGCUAGACCCAACUAAUAAAAACCCAUCUGUUUGUUGGAGUCUAAAUAACCUGGCCUUAGGUAGAGCCCAUGCCUUAUUAUUUUAAGAUGUAGUCCAACUGGUUUAACACUAGAUUGAGUAAAGCCCAACUUAUGAGCAUCUGUGCAUUUCCAUCCAUCCACAACCUACUGGCAUGGAUAAACUUUGGUCAAUUAAACCUAUUAUAACUGUAUACAAAAUUUUAAGUUCAAAAGAUAAUUUUCCUUAUUUAGUUAGGAUUCAUAUUAAAAAGGCACAAAACAUGAAUUUUCAUGUUUAAAUUCACAAAUACCACGAAAGCUCCUUCAAGCUCUAUGGACCAUUUUAUUUGUAACAUUAUAUUACUCUUAAUUAUCAAAUUAACCAACAAAUUCUUCUCAUUACUUAUCUUUCUUUUGUAAUGUCAUAAAAUUUGAUGUAAAGUAGUAUUGGUCAUCAUUUCAACUUUCAGGUUCCAAUUAGAUGCAUCAAGCAUGUGCAACAUAUUUGAUAUAACUAAUAUUUUUAUAAGUAAUUGAAUUUUUUUUUUCUAUAAAUCAAUUAACUUGAUUAUCAAUGAAUACUUUCAUACAUGAUAUUGAUGUAGUUUCAUAAAUAUUUUAAAAUAGUCAUAGAAGUCUUUUAUCUGAUUCACUAGAAAGAAAAAUAAACUAUUCUAAUGAAAAUACUUGAUGAUUUGAAGUGAUUGCUUUUGAUUUUAUUUGAUUGCUACCAUUAUUAAUUGUUAGAAAUUGGCAACAAAUACCCAUUUUGCAUCACUUCUAUAUGCAUCGGGGGAAUGAAUUAUAUUUCAUAGAGCUAACAGGGCAAAACUCAAACUUUUGGAAUUAUGGAAAAUGUUGCUAGAAAGCUAAUUAACCAUUUAUAUUAUGAUUAAGACUAGUUGGGUUAGAAAUAAUUCAUAUGGAGAUUAAAAAAAACUAUGUAAUUUAGUUUAGUAGCUUGGGUGCUAUUGUAAUGAUUAAUGAUCUGCAACUUGAACACAUCUACUAGUGCUUUCUACUUGUAUAGCUAAAUUUAUGUUACCACUUUGAACUAGAGUACUUACAUGAGAAGAAAGCUUUUCCCUAGUGAUAAUGCAAAAGAAAUUAAGUAUCAAUUUUUGUUAAAAAUAACAAGUGAUAGUUUAGAUAUGGUUUGAAUACACUUUCUUUCUUCUAUUUUUUUAUUUUGAAAAAAAAAACUCUUUAAUGAAAUAUAAGAAAUCUUAUAUGUAUAAAAAUUAAAGACUUAAACAAAAAAAUUUGAAAUUUUGAAAAUUUUCGAGAAGUAUUUUUAAGAAUUUGUAUUUUUAGUAUAAUAAUUCCUAUAUUUUGUAUAAAAGUUUUUGUUUAAAAAAAUAGAAGUGUAUCCAAAUUACAAAUUAAUUGUUAAAUUAAGAAUGUUUCUCAGAUCAAGAGAUAAUGAAAGUUGUAGAGAGUUUGCAUUACUCAACCUUUGCAAUUACUUUUUGAAGGUAAAAAAAAAAUACCUUCCUACAUAACAUACAAUGGUAGGUUCUGGUUUGUAAGAAACUAAUAAAUGAUUAAGAAUAUGAAUAAGACUUCCUUUAUAAUAGAUAUGUAGAGAAGAAUAGUGGAUGAUAGGUGGUGAAAAUCUUGUAAUAAAAUAUCAAUAUCGGUUAUAAGAUAAUCAACAUUUUCUCUAUUUCUUGUACCUAUGUGAUUAAGAAUCUUGUAGCUCCCUUAUUGAAAUAUAAUAUAAAAAUAUAAAUAAACUAUUUAGAAGUGCAUGUAGUUUUCAACAUGAGGAAGUUCAAAAGCAAGUUAAUUAUGAUAAUUUUCCAUAGUCUAUAUUGAACACAAAUUAUUUUUACUAAAGGUUCAAUCGUUCUAUGAAGGUUAAAAGUUUGAAUUGUUUACAUAUGCAAAUGUGAAAUUUGAAAGUUUAUAAUUUUUUAUAAUUUUCUUGUAGAUUCAAAAAGCUUGUCCAUAUUCAAAAAGCUCGAGACCUUGAACCUCAAUUACAACAAGUUCAAAAACACUAGCCUACAACAAUUGGAUAUAUUUACAUCCCUUAAAAAUCUUUCUCUAAGAUGGAACAAUGUUGGAGGAUUUUUUCCUAUCCAAGGUAUGUGUAAUUAUUAUUAUUAUUAUUUUUAAUGAUGAAAUAUUAGAAUUGUCAACAUCUUUUAUCUUUUUUUCCCCUCAAUGGUGUUGCAGAAUUAUGCACUCUGGAAAACUUGGUGAUGUUAGACCUAAGUGGGAAUUUCUUUUUUGGCAUGCAAGGUAAAUACAAAGUGAAGUUUUGGUUAUAUAUAUAUAUAUAUAUAUAUAUAUAUAUAUCAUGUAAGAACAUAACUAAAAUCAACAUUAUUUGCCUAUCAAUUUGUGCAUGACUAUUAUUUAGUUAUUCUUCGUAACAUAAUUGAAAGAAUGUCUAGGUGUACAACAUUUAAGAAUUUUACAUGGCACAAUGAAAAACAUGGUAAUCAAUGUGUGCAAUAAAAUUCUAAUAGUUGAAAAAGAAUUUUCUUGUAAUUUUAUGUUCAUGUAUAGUAAUCAAAGAGAAAAUCAUGAAAAUGUAUAUUAGUUAGACUUUAUAUAUCAAUAGACAAAAAAGAAAGAAAAAAAAAGAUUAGUUCCUUAACUUAUCCUAAAAUUUUCUAGAUAACAAGGAGUUUUUUUAUUUUGGGCUAUAAGGUUUACAACCUGAAAAGUGAAGAUGAUUAAUAUUAGUAAUAAAAUUUUAAAAUAUAAAAAUUAGUGAAAUAAUGUUCUCUAUAACUAUAACUCCAACUGCAACUAUUAAUAAAAGAUAAUAAAGGUACUUUAGACUUUGAAUCCAUGGUUAGGUUUGCAAUUUUUUGAUGAUCAAUAAAGCUACAACUUAUGCUGCAAAAGGCUAUACAAAAUGUAUUAGGAGCAUUGCUAAGCUCAUUUAUCAAUAAAGGAAAUCCAGUAAUACUUUGAUUGGAAAAAACCUAGAAUCAUGUUUGAUAUAUAAUAGGUGAAGAAACAAAAUAACAAUUCCAUGGUAUUAGUUAGUUUGAUAUCUCUUUUGUUAUAUGGAAUAACUAUUCCAUUUUAAAAUAAUUAUUUCAUCUUAUCGCUAGAACAAAAAAUUUCAGGCGAUUAUAUGGGCUUUUGGGUUUCUUAAGAAUUUAAGCAUUUAUGGGUCACCCAUAUAUAUAUAGGAAGAAUAAAAAAAAAAAUAUUCUAUGGAGACAAGGGUAGACACCCAUAAAUGUACAUAUAAUUAUUUAAAUAAAAAUAUCAAUAAGAAACAAUAUACAACAAAAUAGAAAAUUUUAAUCUUCCUAAAUUUUAAAAAUAGAAAAUAAAUGAAAAAAAAUUAAAAAGUAAAAAAAAAAAAAAAAAAAGGUCAAGAAUACAAAUAGAUAAGUAAACAAAAUAUAAAAAAAAUACAUAAAUUAAAAUUAAAAUUUUUUUAAAAAAAAUACAUAGAUUAAUAUGAACACUAAAUGAGGUUUUUUGAGAUAGACUUAGUUAGACUUGAACUAGAUGGAUAUUAAAAAAAAUAAAAAUAAAAAUUCAAAGAAAUAAAAACUAAUUAGAUGCUAAAUAUUGGAUUAAAAUAACCAAAUGAAUAAAGAGUAAUUAUUAAUUUUUAACAUUUUUUAUUCCUUAGAAUUAUUAUUUUGUGUAUUAAAUGUAUUAUGAGUGUAGUGGUAUAAAAAAUGUAGUUAAGAAUACUAUGAAGAAUAAUAAUGGUGAUGAUAAUGGUGACGACACUUAAUACCUUUUAUUGUACAUUUAGAAAAAAUGAGGUUCUUGAUCUUUAUGAAGAUUAUCAUUACUCAUCCGCAAGCAUGUUGAUAGUUGAAACUACUCAAUUAUCAAAAAUUGAAUUUCUAACCUUCAAUUUUUCUCUCUCAAAUGUAUAUGUGGGUGAGAAAGCACUAGGUAGGUUAUAAGGUCUCACAUGUAUAUGAGUCAUAGGAUAAAAAAUAUAGAGACAAUACUAGCAUUUAUUUGAUCCAGUGGCAAAUAGAGAAAUAUAACAUAACCAUAACCAUAAUGUUCUAACCUUAUAUAUACCAGAACCAUGUUUCCUUCAUUCAAUUUUGCAACUUUUUCUUUUCAAAUUAGAAUGUAACUCGUAGGAUCCAUUGUCCAUCAAAAUUUUGAAUCGAAUAUUAUAAGAUAUUUCACAUUUCUACCUACUAAAGCAUGAGCUUCAAUGUUCUCAUGCACUUUUGGCUACUAAGUUAAAGAACUCUUUGAGGGUUAAUGGAGUUUCUAUGAGUAGCAAAGCAUUAUAAUCACAAAGUCUUAUCAGUGAUAUGCAAUUUAACCAAGAACUUAUUCCCAACUAUUUUAUGACUUUUCUUGGCUACUUGUAGGCAAGCUAAAGAAAUUUUCUGGUUUGUUCAAGUCUAAAAAGUGGUUUCAAGUUUAGGGCCAAGCUUGGGCUGCACCUAGGUCCUUGGGCCUUAUUCAGCUCCACGUUUAAACCAACCUUGAGUCCAUCUUUGUAAUUUUUCUCCCAAUUCAUUGAUUUAUAUUAGGAUUUUAUAAAGCCUAUAAAUUGACCAACUAAAUAAAGUAGGUUCAUAAACUUUUAGGUGAAAAUUUUCUCUCUAAUAAAUGUUAAUUCAAGAGUCUCCGUAAUCUUUUUAUAUUCAUAUUAAUUGGUAUUUAAACUGACCUUACUAUAUUAAAGUCAAAUACCAAAUAGUGAACACUAUAUCUGCUACUACCACUAUGAUGGUCACAAACAUAGAAUGCUCCUUUUUUUAGAGUCAAUUGAUGCUUAUAAACAACAACUUUGUUUGAAAAUAAAAUACAUCGAGUGAUUGCAUCAAGAGAUUGAUGUAAUAAUUGCAUACUUGAUCUUGAUAAUGCUGAGUUGACUAAAUAAAUGAGUAUUUACUUAUAAGGUAGCCCAUAGAACAUUAUUUGUGGAAAUAUUCAUGCACCUCUACAUAUGUUCAUGAUAACUUAGGUUGAUAAAUUUAAGAAGAACAAAUUCAUAACCUUGGGCAUAGUUAGUAAGAAAUUUCACCAAUAGAGUUUGGUAUCAUGAUUCUAAUUGUUCAAAUUGUUUUAAAGGAGUAUUUUAAAUUGCAUGUUAAUUUGCUUCUAAUAAAUGGAGAGAAACCAAUUCAAGAAGAGAAUUGUACUCAAGCUAUGUAUAACAUUCAUGAAGAUGUAGAAAAUAUUGAUGAACUUACUUUUGAGCAAGUUGAAAUCAUAAUUAAAUAAAAGAACAAACCCAAGGGUUAAGAUUGUCAAGUAAAACUUUAACUAAAAUUUAUUGAUUUUUUAAAUGCCUAUUAGAGGGACAAUAGAAGUUCUAGAUAAAAAGUAAGAACUUUUCUAAGGAAUCACUUGUUAGAUUUUAAGUGAUCAAUAAAUAUAAUGUCCAAUUUAAAACUUUUAUAAAAGCAAUGCUUCUAAAGAAUAACUUGAUUUGAAUUUAAAGUUAUUAUUGAUAUUUGUUUAUAAUGGAUGUAGUUAAUCAACUGAACAUAGUAAAAAACACAUAAAUUUUUCAAAAUACCUUCUAGUUGUUGGGUAUAUUUAAAUAGUCAUCCAUAUCUCAUUAUCUUUUCACUCACAUACUAAUCUCCUUAUUGAGUAUUUACCAAUUACAAGUAGGUUGAAAGUUACUUGAAUUUAAGUCACUAAUCAAUGUUAACUUGAUAACAAAUAAGUCUCUCUUUGAAACUUGUUUUACAAGAUAGCGAAAUGUAGUCGAUCAAUCAUCAAAACAAUGUUCAAGCAUUAGGAUUUAGUUGUUAAUUUUUAUUUUUAUUUUUUGUGCUUAAACAAAGACAAAAAUGAUAAAAACUCCUUAAAAGUACAUAGUAAUUGAAUUUAAUUUAUACAUCAAACAAGAACAAACUAGUCUUGGAUUUAAAAUUCAUCAGGUUUUGUAAUUAUAAUUCCUAAAAAUUUGUAAGACAACAAAAUUAUUGGGCACUAGGUUAUUGGGUGUGUAUGACUAAGAGGUGAAGGAGGGUUCAUCUUAUACAAAGGAUGAUUUGAUUAAUUUUAAAGAUUGGAUAAACAAUAAUUGCAUAUUCAAGUAAAAAUAACAUUGCUAAAAAGGAAAAUAAGUAUUUUAGUCCUCAAACCUAAAAUGGCUAAAAAUUUUAAUUAAUACAAUACAACUUCACCUACAAAAGAAAAAAAAAACCCAAAACUUUUCAAUAGCACAACUAAGUCCAUUUAUCAAAAAAAAGAAAUAUAAGGAAGUUGGACUCAUUUACUAGCAAUUUAACAUAUGACUAAAACCUAUUGAAGAAUUUGCAAUAGCACUUACUUUGGUCAUGUCCAAACUUAUUGCACAUGGUGCAAAAAGGGGUAGUGCUCGAGGAUGCUUCCACAUAAGAAAGACCCUACUUAACUGUUACAAAGGUUAUUUUCCCACUUGUGGGAAUGCUAACCUUGCUAAUAUAUUAUAUGCCAUGUUUAUCAUAUACAAAUUUUUCUUUACUAAAUAUUUCUUUAAUGAUCUUGGACCUAAAAUUAAAUAUUUCAUUAGUAUUGGUCAUGUCGUUCCUCAACUUUUCAACUUUUAGAGUUAAAUCUUUAUCUUUAUCAUUGAUAGUUUUAUGUUUAGUCCCUAGAAACUUCACCUUAUUAACAAUAUGUUCAUUUAAUAUUUUGAUAUUUUUAAUUUUCAAAGAAUCAUAGAGCUCAUUAAUUUUAAUGUCUUUUUAUUCACUUUUAUGCUUUCAACCUUUGUUUUUAGUUUUCCUAUAAUAAUGCAUCAUAGACCCCAUGUAUAUCAUUAAAAUAAAACUCAUUUUUUUCAUUAGGAUUCAAUUAACCCAAUGGAUCAUAAUCAAAAUUAGUUGCAUAUGAACAAAAGCAAUAAGAUUAUCAUUUUGUACAUCUUUACUUUCAUUUGAGUUCUUAGCCCUACAAUCAUCAAACAUGGAAUUACUCCAAGUUACCUACAUAGCCUUCAUACCUAAUGUUUUUAAGGCAAGGACAAUCAACAACCAUGUGUCCCAUUCCCCCAAUGGUUCACUACGAAAUCAAGGUACAUAUGUUAUGCUUUCUUUGUUUCAUAGUGAUUAGAGAGGAUAAACAUUGUAAAAAAAAAAGUUGUCAUAGUUAAUGUAAGCUAAAACUAAAAAACUUGCUUUUUCAAUUGUGUAAGCAUGUUUUGUUCUUGAUGAAUAUUUACAACAUUCAGAGUUACUAAUGUUUAUAAUUCACAGAGACCUCAUUAACAACAAGUAACAACUAAUUGUAAGUAACCAUGAAAAAAAAAUAAGGAGAAAAAUAAAGGAAAAUCAAGGAAAGUGUCAAAUUUUUUCAUCCCCAUAAAAAAUGCUAAGGAAGAAAAAUGUGAAGAAAGUUUAAAGAAAGUAUAUUUUUCAAAAAUUGAAUUUUCUUUCCCUUAAAGUUGGUAUGGACAACCAAACAAGAAAAUGAUUUUUAAAUUCUUUUUUGACCUUUUUCUAUCAUUCUUUUUUUUUUCCCCCUACUCUAUUUCCUUUCCCUCAAACUUUCUAGGUAGUAAACAUUACCUAAGAUAAAUAGGGAAGAAAAUAUUUUAUCAUUUAUUUAUUUAGUAUUUUUCUUACCUUUUUUUGUAUUUUAUCCAAAUAUAAGAAAACUACUUUUCUUUAUUUUUUCUUUUCCUUGUUGCUUUUCAAGAAUCAAGCAUACUUUAAACUCUAAUUAAGAGUUACAUAGAUUUACAGAGAAACAAUGCAACUAGUAACAAAAAAUUAAGGAAAUUUAAUUUUUUAAUUUUUGAGAGUAAGUAUAAUAAGAUUGGUUUGUUUGAUACAAAAUUUGAAUAAAAAUUAUUUUAAUGAAAAUUCAAGGAAAGGAAAAAAAAAAAAAAAAACUUGAUCUCUAGACUAUAAUACUAAAUCAAUUAAAAAAUCUCCUAACAUCGUUUAUGUUCAUCUUUUUUUUUUUAUGGAUUUGAAAAACCCAAUAAUUUGGAGAAAACUGAUUCAAGGAAGAAUAAUUUUUAGAAUAAAAUAUUAUUAUUUAAGAAGAUCAUAAAUUUUAUAGUCAUUGUUGAAAAUGAUAAAUGAUUAAAAAAAAAAAGGUAGUUGGAAAUUUAGAUACUUUUAUAAGACAAAUGCAUUUUUCUAGUCUGGUAUGAAAAAAGGUAAAAUGAUAGGCUUUGAUCAUUUUUCAAGUUAGUUUGUUUAAAUCAUUUUAAUUUAUUUUGAUUUAAGAACAAUAACUUUUAUUACACUAGUUAUUUUGAUUUUCUUUUGAUAGAUUUUGCAAGCUUAAGCAAUUUGGAGCUAUUGGAUUUGAGUUAUAAUUUAUUUAGUGGGAGCAUUCCAUCAUCUAUAAGAUUGAUGUCUUCUAUCAAGUCUUUAUCCUUGGCUGAAAAUUACCUCAAUGGUUUCUUAGCAAAUCAAGGUACAUAUAUUGUGAUUACAGGUUUUUCUAUUUUCUUUUUUAAUAUCUUGUUUGUUCUUUAUGCCAAUUAAGUCAUGCAUGUCUAUUAAUUUUUGGUAUUUAAUGAAAAACUUUAUUCUUAAUUCAUAAAGACCUCAUCAACUAUAAGUAACAGUUAGUUCUAAGUUUGGGGGCAUUGACAAGACGAGGAGAUGAUUGGUUACAUGUCUUAUUCUCUUUUGUUGGCUUUUGCCAAUUGAAUAAGUUUCAAGAAUUAGAUUUUUCUUACAACUUAUUCCAAGGAAUCCUUCCUCCAUGUUUGAAUAAUUUGACAUCUUUGAGGUUAUUGGAUCUCUCUUCCAACCUAUUCUCCGGAAAUCUUUCUUCCCCUCUGUUACCUAAUCUCACAUCCCUGGAGUACAUCGAUCUCAGUUACAAUCAUUUUGAGGGUUCAUUCUCUUUCAGCUCUUUUGCUAAUCACUCCAACUUUCAAGUGGUCAAACUUGGAAGGAAUAACAACAAAUUUGAGGUAGAAACUGAAUAUCCAGUUGAUUGGGUUCCCCUAUUUCAGUUGAAAGCUCUUAUGCUAUCCAACUGUAAGCUCAUCGAUGACCUUCCUGGUUUUCUUCGACACCAAUUAAGAUUAACCGUGGUUGAUCUCUCCCAUAAUAACUUGACUGGAAGUUUCCCCAUUCAGCAGCUUGAAAACAAUACAAGACUAGGAUCUCUAGUUUUGAGGAAUAACUCUUUAAUGGGUCAACUACUUCCCCUGAGACCUAAUAGUCGUAUCACUUUAUUGGAUAUCUCAGACAACCGACUUCAUGGGGAACUUCAACAAAAUGUGGCCAAUAUGAUUCCAAAUAUUGAGUUUCUAAAUUUAUCCAACAAUCUUCCCCUUCAUUUCAUCCAUAUUUGGAUCUACCUUUAAAUCUCUAUUGCAUACAACCCAUAUAUGAUUCCCUCUAAAUUUAGCCUUCAUUUCUUGUUAAGAGGUUUUAAAAGCCAGCAAUUUAAUUUACUUUCAUCCUCUAUAUAGAUGAGAACUCUUAUAUUUAUCCAAUGAUAGGUAACAUUUUUGCAAAUGCUUUUAUUUGAUUUUUUUAAUUGGUCUUAAAAAUAAGUGUUAAUAAAGAUCCACAAUAUAAAAUAAUAAAUUAUAUCUCAAUUGACCUCAAGAUACUAUUUACUUCUACUAACUCAUUUUACAUCUCAAUUGUUCUUAAAAAGUCUAUAAUGGUAAUUAACUAUAGAAUUCAAGUUUUAAUUAUGCAAAAAAUAUAUAAAGGUUUUUAAAAUUAAUAGAAAAAAAGAUUCUAAUAAAUAAUAAGUAGAUUGAAACAUUUAUUUCUAGAAGUAGAGAAAGAUGGAGGAUCAUAAAAGUUGAAAAAAGAAUAAUUUGGAAGUCAUAAAAUUUUGGAAAAAGAAUAAUUCAUAGAGACCUCAUUAACAACAAGUAACAACUAAUUGUAAGUAACCAUGAAAAAAGUAAGGAGAAAAAUAAGGGAAAAGCAAGGAAAGUAGCAAAUUUUUUCAUCCCCAUAAAAAAAUGAUAAGGAAGAAAAAAGUGAAGAAAGUUUAAAGAAAGCAUAUUCUUCAAAAAUUGAAUUUUCUUUCCCUUAAAAUUGGUAUGGACAACCAAACAAGAAAAUGAUUUUUAAAUUCUUUUUUGACCUUUUUCUAUCAUUCUUUUUUUUCCCCCUACUCUAUUUCCUUUCCCUCAAACUUUCUAGGUAGUAAACAUUACCUAAGAUAAAUAGGGAAGAAAAUAUUUUAUCAUUUAUUUAUUUAGUAUUUUUCUUACCUUUUUUGUAUUUUAUCCAAAUAUAAGAAAACUAUUUUUCUUUAUUUUUUCUUUUCCUUGUUGCUUUUCAAGAAUCAAGCAUGCUUUAAACUCUAAUUAAGAGUUACAUGGAUUUACGGAGAAACAAUGCAACUGGUAACAAAAAAUUAAGGAAAUUUAAUUUUUGAGAGUAAGUAUAAUGAGAUUGGUUUGUUUGAUACAAAAUUUAAAUAAAAAUUCUUUCAAUGAAAAUUCAAGGAAAGGAAAAAAAAACAAAUUUAUCUCUAGACUAUAAUACUAAAUCACUUAAAAAAAACUCCUAACAUCGUUUAUGUUCAUCUUUCUUUUUAUGGAUUUGAAAAACCCAAUAAUUUGGAGAAAACUGAUUCAAGGAAGAAUAAUUUUUAGAAUAAAAGAUUAUUAUUUAAGAAGAUCAUAAAUAUUAUAGUCAUUGUUGAAUAUGAUAAAUGAUUAAAAAAAAAAAAGGUAGUUGGAAAUUUAGAUACUUUUAUAAGACAAAUGCAUUUUUCUAGUAUGGUAUGAAAAAAAGGUAAAAUGAUAGGCUUUGAUCAUUUUUUAAGGUAGUUUGUUUAAAUCAUUUUAAUUUAUUUUGAUUUAAUAACAAUAACUUUUAUUACACUAGUUAUUUUGAUUUUCUUUUGAUAGAUUUUGCAAGCUUAAGAAAUUUGGAGGUAUUGGAUUUGAGUUAUAAUUCAUUUAGUGGGAUCGUUCCAUCGUCUAUAAGAUUGUUGUCUUCUCUCAAGUCUUUAUCUCUGGCUGGAAAUCACCUCAAUGGUUCCUUAGCAAAUCAAGGUACAUAUAUUGUGAUUACAGGUUUUUCUAUUUUCUUUUUUAAUAUCUUGUUUGUUCUUUAUGCCAAUGAAGUCAUGCAUGUCUAUUAAUUUUUGGUAUUUAAUAAAAAACUUUAUUCUUAAUUCAUGAAGACCUCAUCAACUGUAAGUAACAACUAGUUGUAAAUUUGGGGGCAUUGAUAAGACGAGGAGAUGAUUGGUUACAUGUCUUAUUCUCUUUUGUAAGCUUCUGCCAAUUGAAUAAGCUUCAAGAGUUAGAUUUUUCUUACAACUUAUUCCAAGGGAUCCUUCCUCCAUGUUUGAAUAAUUUGACAUCUUUGAGGUUAUUGGAUCUCUCUUCCAACCUAUUCUCCGAAAAUCUUUUUUCCCCUCUGUUACCUAAUCUCACAUCCCUGGAGUACAUCGAUCUCAGUUACAAUCAUUUUGAGGGUUCAUUCUCUUUCAGCUCUUUUACUAAUCACUCCAACCUUCAAGUGGUCAAACUUGGAAGGAAUAACAACAAAUUUGAGGUAGAAACUGAAUAUCCAGUUGGUUGGGUUCCCCUGUUUCUGUUGAAAGCUCUUGUCCUAUCCAACUGUAAGCUCAUCGGUGAUCCUGGUUUCCUUCGACACCAAUUAAGAUUAACCGUGGUUGAUCUCUCCCAUAAUAAUUAGACUGGAAGUUUCCCCAUUUGGCUGCUUGAUAACAAUACAAGACUAGGAUCUCUAGUUCUGAGGAAUAACUCUUUAAUGGGUCAACUACUUCCCCUGAGACCUAAUAGUCGUAUCACUUUAUUGGAUAUCUCAGACAACCGACUUCAUGGGGAACUUCAACAAAAUGUGGCCAAUAUGAUUCCAAAUAUUGAGUUUCUAAAUUUAUCCAACAAUCAUCCCCUUCAUUUCAUCCAUAUUUGGAUCUACCUUUAAAUCUCUAUUGCAUACAACCCAUAUAUGAUUCCCUCUAAAUUUAGCCUUCAUUUCUUGCUAAGAGGUUUUAAAAGCCAGCAAUUUAAUUUACUUUCAUCCUCUAGAUUGAUGAGAACUCUUAUAUUUAUCCAAUGAUAGGUAACAUUUUUGCAAAUGCUUUUAUUUGAUUUUUUUAAUUGGUCUUAAAAAUAAGUGUUAAUAAAGAUCCACAAUAUAAAAUAAUAAAUUACAUCUCAAUUGACCUCAAGAUACUAUUUACUUCUACUAACUCAUUUUACAUCUUAAUUGUUCUUAAAAAGUCUAUAAUGGUAAUUAACUAUAGAAUUCAAGUUUUAAUUAUGCAAAAAAUAUAUAAAGGUUUUUAAAGUUAAUAGAAAAAGAGAUUCUGAUAAAUAAUAAGUAGAUUGAAACAUUUAUUUCUAGAAGUAGAGAAAGAUGGAGGAUCAUAAAAGUUGAAAAAAGAAUAAUUUGGAAGUCAUAAAAUUUUGGAAAAAGAAUAAUUCAUAGAGACCUCAUUAACAACAAGUAACAACUAAUUGUAAGUAACCAUGAAAAAAGUAAGGAGAAAAAUAAAGGAAAAUCAAGGAAAGUGACAAAUUUUUUCAUCCCCAUAAAAAAUGAUAAGGAAGAAAAAGGUGAAGAAAGUUUAAAGAAAGUAUAUUUUUCAAAAAUUGAAUUUUCUUUCCCUUAAAGUUGGUAUGGACAACCAAACAAGAAAAUGAUUUUUAAAUUCUUUUUUGACCUUUUUCUAUCAUUCUUUUUUUUUUCCUUACUCUAUUUCCUUUCCCUCAAACUUUCUAGGUAGUAAACAUUACCUAAGAUAAAUAGAGAAGAAAAUAUUUUAUCAUUUAUUUAUUUAGUAUUUUUUUUACCUUUUUUUGUAUUUUAUCCAAAUAUAAGAAAACUAUUUUUCUUUAUUUUUUCUUUUCCUUGUUGCUUUUCAAGAAUCAAGCAUACUUUAAACUUUAAUUAAGAGUUACAUAGAUUUACGGAGAAACAAUGCAACUGGUAACAAAAAAUUAAGGAAAUUUAAUUUUUGAGAGUAAGUAUAAUGAGAUUGGUUUGUUUGAUACAAAAUUUGAAUAAAAAUUCUUUCAAUGAAAAUUCAAGGAAAGGAAAAAAAACAAAUUUAUCUCUAGACUAUAAUACUAAAUCACUUAAAAAAAACUCCUAACAUCGUUUAUGUUCAUCUUUCUUUUUAUGGAUUUGAAAAACCCAAUAAUUUGGAGAAAACUGAUUCAAGGAAGAAUAAUUUUUAGAAUAAAAGAUUAUUAUUUAAGAAGAUCAUAAAUAUUAUAGUCAUUGUUGAAUAUGAUAAAUGAUUAAAAAAAAAAAAGGUAGUAGGAAAUUUGGAUACUUUUAUAAGACAAAUGCAUUUUUCUAGUAUGGUAUGAAAAAAAGGUAAAAUGAUAGGCUUUGAUCAUUUUUUAAGGUAGUUUGUUUAAAUCAUUUUAAUUUAUUUUGAUUUAAUAACAAUAACUUUUAUUACACUAGUUAUUUUGAUUUUCUUUUGAUAGAUUUUGCAAGCUUAAGCAAUUUGGAGGUAUUGGAUUUGAGUGGUAAUUCAUUUAGUGGGAUCGUUCCAUCGUCUAUAAGAUUGUUGUCUUCUCUCAAGUCUUUAUCUCUGGCUGGAAAUCACCUCAAUGGUUCCUUAGCAAAUCAAGGUACAUAUAUUGUGAUUACAGGUUUUUCUAUUUUCUUUUUUAAUAUCUUGUUUGUUCUUUAUGCCAAUGAAGUCAUGCAUGUCUAUUAAUUUUUGGUAUUUAAUAAAAAACUUUAUUCUUAAUUCAUGAAGACCUCAUCAACUGUAAGUAACAACUAGUUGUAAAUUUGGGGGCAUUGAUAAGACGAGGAGAUGAUUGGUUACAUGUCUUAUCACUACUACAAAAAUUGAAAUUAAUGACGCUUUAUUUUAUGACGCUUUCUAAAAGCGUCAUUAUUGAGGGUAUACAAUGACGCUUAUAAGAAGUGUCAUAGUUGUAUUAUUUAUCUUGAUACUGAUUAUAAGUGUCAUUAUUUGAUGUCAUCUUUUUCCUUGUAACUGUGUAUAUAAUGACGCUUAUAAGAAGCGUCAUAGUUUUAUUAUUUACCUUGACACUUAUUAUAAGCAUCAUUAUUUGAUGGGUAUGUAAUGACGUUCUUGAGAAGUGUCAUAGUUGUAUUGACUUUUAAAAUUUUUGUUUUUAAGUUAACUUAUACAAAUUUUGAUAUUAGAAUAUUAUUCUAUAAAUUAAUUAUGGUAAAUUGACAUUAAUAUUAAUGACAUAAAGUUGCUACAUUAAGGUUUUUUUAAAAAAAUUUGGAUAUAAAUAAAAUAAAAUCCUAAUAAAUUAUUUUUUUAUUGUUUGAUAUUAAUUUUUUUAUAGUUUGUAUCAAUACAAUCUAUUUUCAUAAACUAUUUUUCAUUUUUAUUAAAUUAGAAAUUAUCUUAUAUUUCAUUUAAAAAUAAUUUGUUAAUUUAUUUGUGGACCACAAAAAAGUGGCCUAUUUUGAGCACUUGUUCGAGCCUUGGGCCACAUUUAUUGGGUUUAACCCUUUUAUUUGAGAAGGUUUUAUAGUUAAUGAAUAUAAAUUUGAAAUUAUUUAACUAAAAUGAAAUAAAUUAAUAUUUAAAUUAAUUUAAUGAUGAUUAGACUCACAAUAAAACUAAAUGCAAUAAGAAUAUUUAUAAAAACUUUCUAAUAUUUAUGGGAAUUAAGCUCAUUCUAUUAAAUUAGUUUUUUUUUUAAAUAUCAAUAUUCAAAUUAAACCAAUAUCAACCUAAAAUAUCAAAUAAUUAAACAAUAUAAAUUUAUUAUGAGUUCAAUAUAUAAAAAUUAUUAUUGGAAGAUGAAAUAAAGAAUACUAUUUUAAUUUAUUGAAAAAGGACAUGCAUGAUAUUUUAGAAUUUGUUAUAAAGUCUCCAUUGAAAACCCUAACUUUUGGAAGACAAGAAAGAAGGGAGAGAGCCACCGUUUUUAGUGAGAAAGAAGAGAAGAGAGAAAAAUGCAAGUUUUUCUCAUCAGGCCCAGAUUUCAUCAAAGGUCUGAUCCCACUUUGUCCGUGGUCCGAUCGAGCUGAAAUUUGGAGGAGAGUUUCGUGACUCAUUUAUCUUCAAUCUGAACGGUGAAGAUCGGAUUUGGAGUUUCGGAAAGUCAUUAGAAAGAAAGAGGAGAAGAGAGAAAAACGUAGGUUUUUCUCAUCAUGCCCAGAUUUUAUCAAAUGUCCGAUCCCGCUUCGUCCGUGGUCCGAUCGAGUUGAAAUUUGAAGGAGAGGUUUGUGGCUCAUGUAUCUUCAAUAUGAACGGUGGAGAUCUGAUUUGGAGUUUCGGACAGUCAUUAGAGAGAAAGAGGAGAAGAGAGAAAAACUUAGGUUUUUCUCAUCGUGCCCAGAUUUCAUCAAAUGUCUGAUCCCGCUUCGUCCGUGGUCCGAUCGAGUUGAAAUUUGAAGGAGAGGUUCGUGGCUCAUGUAUAUUCAAUAUGAACGGUGGAGAUCGGAUUUGGAGUUUUGGACAGUCAUUAGAGAGAAAGAGGAGAAGAGAGAAAAACAGUGGUUUUUUUAUAUCAUGCCCAGAUUUCAUCAAAGGUUCAAUGCCGCUUUUUUCAUGGUCUGAUUGAGCUGAAAUUUGGAGGAGAGGUUCAUAAGUCAUUAAUCUUAAAUUUGAACGGUGAAGAUCGGAUUUAGAGUUUUGGAAAGUCAUCUUUCAGCCAAAAACAAAACCUUUAUUUUAUCAAAGAUGGCGCUUCCUGAAAGUGUCAUUGUUGCCUAAGACAUACAAUGACAGAGGCGAAGAGGACGCUUUAGAGAAGCGUCAUCUGUUACCUUUCUUGACGCUUAAAAAACGUCAUAGUUUCCCAUUUUUCUUGUAGUGUAUUCUCUUUUGUAAGCUUCUGCCAAUUGAAUAAGCUUCAAGAGUUAGAUCUUUCUUACAACUUAUUCCAAGGGAUCCUUCCUCCAUGUUUGAAUAAUUUGACAUCUUUGAGGUUAUUGGAUCUCUCUUCCAACCUAUUCUCCGAAAAUCUUUCUUCCCCUCUGUUACCUAAUCUCACAUCCCUGGAGUACAUCGAUCUCAGUUACAAUCAUUUUGAGGGUUCAUUCUCUUUCAGCUCUUUUACUAAUCACUCCAACCUUCAAGUGGUCAAACUUGGAAGGAAUAACAACAAGUUUGAGGUAGAAACUGAAUAUCCAGUUGGUUGGGUUCCCCUGUUUCUGUUGAAAGCUCUUAUCCUAUCCAACUGUAAGCUCAUCGGUGAUCCUGGUUUCCUUCGACACCAAUUAAGAUUAACCGUGGUUGAUCUCUCCCAUAAUAAUUAGACUGGAAGUUUCCCCAUUUGGCUGCUUGAUAACAAUACAAGACUAGGAUCUCUAGUUCUGAGGAAUAACUCUUUAAUGGGUCAACUACUUCCCCUGAGACCUAAUAGUCGUAUCACUUUAUUGGAUAUCUCAGACAACCGACUUCAUGGGGAACUUCAACAAAAUGUGGCCAAUAUGAUUCCAAAUAUUGAGUUUCUAAAUUUAUCCAACAAUGGUUUUGAAGGUAUUCUCCCAUCCUCAAUAGCCGAAAUGAGUUCCUUACAGUCAUUAUAUUUGUCUGCUAAUAGUUUCUCAGGGGAAGUACCAAAACAAUUGCUUGCGGCAAAAUAUUUGUGGCUUCUGAAAUUAUCAAAUUAUAAAUUUCAUGGCGAAAUAUUUUCAAGGGACUUUAACUUGACUCAGUUAGGGUUUUUGCAUUUGGACAAUAAUCAGUUCAAGGGAACACUGUCAAAUGUAAUCUCCAGAAUCUCUAGGUUAUGGGUGUUGGAUAGGUAACAUGACCGAUUUGACUACACUGGUGUUGGGCAACAAUAGUUUUAAAGGCAAAUUACCACCUGAGAUUUCUCAAUUGUUGGGGAUGAUAUUUCUUGACGUUUCUCAAAACGCUCUUUUAGGAUCUCUUCCUUCUUUGAAGAGCCUGGAGUAUUUAGAUACCCAGAGAUUGAUACCCAGAGAUUUUCUCAAUUCCUCAUAUCUAUUGACUUUGGAUAUCAGAGACAACAGGUUAUUUGGAAGUAUUCCCUAUUCAAUCUCUAGACUUUUAGAGCUAAGAGGAAACCUUUUAAGUGAUUUCAUUCCAUAUCAGCUUUGUCAUUUGACUAAAAUAAGCUUGAUGGAUAUUUCAAACAACAAUUUUUCUGGGUCAAUUCCCGGAUGCUUUGGUCAUAUCGGAUUUGGAGAUUUCAAAACUGAGCACAAUGUGUAUAUACCGAUGUUGGAUUCGUAUUCAGAAAGCAAUCCUUCUAUAUAUACGGGUUACUUAAUAAAAUAUUUAUUUUUCUCUAGUGAACUCCCUGAUGAAGUAGAUGAAGUUGAGUUUGUUACCAAGAAUAGGUAUAGCUCCUACAGAGUAGAUAAAAAUAUUUGUUGGGAAUUUAGAUAUUUUUAUAGGAAAGUAGACAAGUAUUCUAAUUUAUAAAAACAAUGCAUUUCUUUAGUUUGGUAUAAAAAAAAAUGAAACGAUAGGUAUUGGUAUUUUUUUUAAAGCAACAAACGUUUUAUUUUAUUUGUAUUUAAGAACAAUGUCUUUUCUUAUACUAGUUAUUUUAAUUUUCUUUUGACAGAUUUUGCAAGCUUAAGCAAUUUGGAGAUACUAGAUUUGAGUUCUAAUUCCUUAAGUGGGAUUAUUCCAUCAUCUAUAAGAUUGAUGUCUCAUCUCAAGUCUUUAUCCUUGGCCGGAAAUCAGCUCAAUGGUUCUUUACAAAAUCAAGGUACAUAUGUUAUGAUUUGUUUGUUUCAUAUGGAUUAGAGAAGAUGAAUAUUGUAAAAAAAAAGUUGUAGUUAAUGUAAGCUAGAAAUAAGUAUCUUGCCUUAUAAAUUAUAUGAGCAUGUGUUUGUUCUUAAUGAAUCUUUACAACAUUUAGAGUUACCAAUGUUUAUAAUUCAUAAAGACCUCAUUAACCGUGAGUAACAACUAAUUGUAAGUAAUUGUGGAAAAAGUAAGGAAAACAAAAUGAGGGAAAAGCAAGGAAUUAGGAAAUUAUUUUGUUCCCAUUAAAAAAUGCUAAGGAAGAAAAAGGUAAAAGAAAGUUUAAAAAAAGUGUAUUUUUCAAAAAUUUAUUUCUCUUUCCUUUAAUUUUGCUAUGGACAACCAAACAAGAAAAUUAUUUUAUAAUUCCUUUUUUAUUUUUUUCAUUCUCUCUCUCUUUUUUCCCCUACUCUAUUUCUUUUCCCUCAAACUUUCUUGGUAGUAAACACAACCUAAGAUAAAAUGGGGAAGAAAAUUUUCAGUUUUUUUUUUAUUUUUUUAGAAUGUUUUCUUACUUUUUAGUAUUUUAUGCAAAUAUAGGAAAAUUAUUUUUUUUUCUUUUUUUUUCUUGCUCCUUUUCGGACAUGAAUCACACUUUAAAAGAAAAUUAAUUUUUAAUUAGGAGUUAAGAUAAAUUUAAGGAGAAACAGUGAAUCACGAAUAACAAAAAAAUAAGGAAAUUGAAUUUUUGAAAGUAAGUAUAAUCAAAUUGCUUCAUUUGAUACAAAAUUUGAAUAAAAAUUCUUUCAAGGAAAGGAAAAAACAUUUUUGUCUCUAGAUUAUAAUACUAAAUCAUGUAAAAAAUCUCUUAACAUCAUUUAUAUUCAUAUUUAUUUUUGUAGAUUUGAAAAAUUCAACAAUUUGGAAUAAACUUAUUCAAUGAAUAAUAAUUUUUAGAUUUAAAGAUUAUUAUUUAAGAUCAUAAAUAUUACCAUGAUUGUUGAUGUCUAAGAAGAUCAUAUUCAACAAUUUUUUUAAUAUGUUGUUUUUUUAUGGUAAUUAAUUGAUGUCUUGUAAUUUUUAAUAUUUAAUGAAAAACAUUAUUUUAAUUCAUCUAGAGCUCUUAAUUCAUGAAGACCUCAUUAAUGGUGAGUAAUAGUUGGCUGUAAGUUUGGAGUCAAAGACAUGUCAAGGAGAUGAUUAGUUACAUGUCUUAUUCUCUUUUGUAGGUUUCUGUCAAUUGAAUAAGCUUCAAGAGUUAGAUCUUUCUUACAACUUAUUCCAAGGGAUCCUUCCUCCAUGUUUGAAUAAUUUGACAUCUCUAAGGUUAUUGGAUCUCUCUGUCAACCUAUUCUCCGGAAAUCUUUCUUCUCCUUUAUUACCUAAUCUCACAUCCCUGGAGUACAUCGAUCUCAGUUACAAUCAGUUUGAGGGUUCAUUCUCUUUCAGCUCUUUUGCUAAUCACUCAAAGCUUCAAAUGGUCAAACUUGGAAUGAAUAACAACAAAUUUGAGGUAGAAACUGAAUAUCCAAUUGGUUGGGUUCCCUUGUUUCAAUUGAAGGCUCUUUCGCUAGACAGCUGUAAGCUCACCGGCGACCUUCCUAGUUUUCUUCAAUACCAAUUCAGGUUAGUGGGGGUUGAUCUCUCACAUAAUAACUUGACAGGAAGUUUUCCCAAUUGGCUGCUUGAAAACAAUACGAGACUAAAAUCUCUAGUUCUGAGGAAUAACUCUUUAAUGGGUCAAUUACUUCCCUUGGAACGUAAUACCCGUAUCCAUUCAUUGGAUAUCUCACACAAUCAGUUGGAUGGACAACUUCAAGAAAAUGUGGCCCAUAUGAUUCCAAAUAUGAAAUAUCUAAAUUUAUCCGACAAUGGUUUUGAGGGUAUUCUCCCAUCCUCAAUAGUUGAACUAAGAGCCUUAUGGUAUUUGGAUUUGUCUACCAAUAAUUUCUCUGGAGAAGUACCAAAGCAAUUGCUUGCAGCAAAAGAUUUGGGGGUUUUGAAAUUAUCAAAUAAUAAAUUUCAUGGUGAAAUAUUUUCAAGGGACUUUAACUUGAUUAGGUUGGAAGUUUUGUAUUUGGGCAAUAAUCAGUUGACGGGAACUCUGUCAAAUGUAAUCUCUAAAAGCUCUUGGUUGGGGGUGUUGGAUGUGAGCAACAACUACAUGUCAGGUGAAAUUCCAAGCCAGAUAGGUAACAUGACCUAUUUGACUACACUGGUGUUGGGCAACAAUAGUUUUAAAGGCAAAUUACCACCCGAGAUUUCUCAAUUGUGGGGUUUGGAGUUUCUUGACGUUUCUCAAAAUGCUCUUUCAGGAUCUCUUCCUUGUUUGAAGACCAUGGAGAGUUUAAAGCAUCUACAUUUGCAAGGGAACAUGUUUACAGGAUUAAUACCCAGAGAUUUUCUCAAUUCCUCACAUUUAUUGACUUUGGAUAUGCGAGAUAACAGGUUAUUUGGAAGUAUUCCCAAUUCAAUCUCUGCACUUUUGAAGCAGCUAAGGAUUUUUUUGCUGGGAGGAAACCUUUUAAGUGGUUUUAUUCCAAAUCAUCUUUGUCAUUUGACUGAAAUAAGCUUGAUGGAUCUUUCAAACAACUCUUUUUCAGGGCCAAUUCCCAAAUGCUUUGGCCAUAUCCGAUUUGGGGAGAUGAAAAAGGAAGACAACGUGUUUGGACAGUUCAUUGAAAUUAGGUAUGGAAUGGAUUCUCAUCUUGUAUAUGCAGGUUACUUGGUGAAAUAUUGGGAGGACUUAAGUUCAGUAUAUAAGGGAAAAGAUGAAGUUGAGUUUGUGACCAAGAACAGGCGUGACUUCUACAGAGGUGGCAUCCUUGAAUUCAUGUCUGGAUUGGACUUAUCAUGUAACAACUUGACAGGCGAAAUACCUCAUGAACUUGGAAUGCUAAGUUGGAUUCGUGCAUUGAACUUGUCUCACAAUCAAUUGAAUGGCUCCAUUCCAAAGAGUUUCUCCGAUCUUUCUCAAAUAGAGAGCUUAGACCUUUCUUAUAAUAAAUUGGGUGGAGAAAUUCCUCUAGAGCUAGUUGAACUCAAUUUUUUAGCGGUGUUUAGUGUGGCUUACAACAACAUCUCUGGUAGAGUUCCAAAUGCCAAAGCACAAUUUGCAACAUUUGAUGAAAGCAGCUAUGAAGGUAAUCCUUUCCUUUGUGGGGAACUAUUAAAGAGGAAAUGCAACACAAGUAUUGAGUCACCAUGCGCACCAUCACAGUCUUUUGAAAGUGAGACAAAAUGGUAUGAUAUCAAUCAUGUUGUUUUCUUUGCAAGUUUUACUACUUCAUAUAUCAUGAUCUUGUUAGGAUUUGUUACCAUCCUUUACAUCAAUCCUUAUUGGCGUCAUAGAUGGUUCAAUUUUAUUGAGGAAUGUGUAUAUUCCUGCUAUUAUUUUGUUUUUGAUAGUCUUUCCAAGUUCUCAGCAUAUUUGUAUAAUUAGAUACUUUUAAUUGGAUGAUGUUUGCAUAAUUAACUACUAUUUGUUUCCAUGGGAUAAAAAGAAAUGGGAUUAUAAUUGCUAUGAGUUGAAACUUACAUACUUUGCUCAAAUUCUAACAUCUUUUGAUUUUAUUUUCAAGUUCCGUUAUUUAUUAUGUAUUGUUUAAUUCAAGAUUUAACCAUAUUAUGCUACUCUUAUAAAAACAAAUUCAAAUUUUUAGGAACUUAGCAUUAAAAUAAUUUCAUAGUCAGAUUUUUAAAAAUAAAGAAGAAAGAAAAUAAUAAAUAAUUAGAAAAACAAUUCAAGGGAGUAUUAAAUUAUUAUCUUAGAAUUGUUUGGCGUAGUAUGGGAAUUCAAAAAUAAUCUUUCAAUUUGUUAGAAAUGUUUAUUUAUUUAUUAUAGCAAUGAUUGAAAUAUCAAUCACAAAGUAAUGUUUUCUUUUCUUUUGUAGGGCACUAACAUUUUUUCUUUGAUUGUAAUAAUUGAUAAAUAUAUUACACAAUUAUUUGUUUUAAAGAGGGGAGGGAUGACAAACAUAAUAACAUGUGAAAUAUUUCUAAAACUGUGAUGGGAAAUAAACCAUCUAAUUAGGGUGCAAUAUUAUUCAUUUUAAUUUAUAUGAAUUUACUUAUUUUUAUUUCCAUCAUAUUUUGAACUAUUUUUUGAAAUUAAGGGAGAUUAAAACAUCAUGAAUUUCUUAGUUUAAUUUAUAUUUUUAAUAAUAAAGCAUGAAAUAUUUAAAAAAAAAAAAGAAAAUCAUGAAUUUCUUUAAUUCCUUAGGAAACCAAUAUAUAAAAAAAGUUGAAUAUAUUAUUAUUUUAUAUCCUAAAUUUCUAAAUUUGUUCAUCACGUAUUUAUUUUUAUAUUAAAUUUAUUAUCAAUAAUUAUUUAUUAUAUAUUAUUAUUUUAUAUUUAAAAAUGUUCAUAAAUAAUUAAAAUUAAUAAAUAUAAAAAAUGAAAUAUUAAAAAAUUAAAUUAAAAAGAUUUCAUCAAGCUAACAUAUUUUGAUAAAAAAAAAAAGAGUAAAAAAGAAGAUGGGGAUAUUAUAGAGGUGGGGAAAAAGAUAAAAGAAAAAUCAUGUGGUAUAAUAAUUGCCACGUGUUAAAGUUAUUUUCUUUAAAAAUUAAUUAUAGUAAUGAUGAACUCAUUUGUCUUAUCAAAGUAAAUAAAAAUAAAUAAAUAAAAGAAAAAAAGAAAAAGAAAAAAAGUGGUGGUUGAUUGGAGGUUAGAGAGGAGGGUUUGAAGGUAAAUUUGGAAUAUUGAUUAUUUUCACUAAGUAGAUAUUUUGAAAGUUAUUUUCAAUGUUUUAAAAACCGGACCGGCCGGUCCGACCGGUCCAACCGUCGACCGGUCACCAUUCCGGUCCGAUCCGGUCAUUUGGACCGGAUUGAGAUCGAACCGGAGUUGAACCGCUCGAACCAGCGGUUCAACCGCUGAACCGGACAAACCGAUCGGUUCCAAGGGAACCGGCCAAUUCAAAUAAUUUUAAUUUUAAAAAAAAAAUUACACAAUAAAAAUAUUACUGUGGGUAAGCUGCAAGCAUGAAAGGUAGGAUUCCAUGUUGGGCCUGUCUUGUGACAAGCCCACACACCCACUCCAAUUACCCUGGGCCUCUUUUUUGAGCCCACAAGAUCAUGCCAAGGCUUUGCUGAGGAUGGCUUUUAUAGGAGUCAUUUGACUCCUUGUUCCUCUCAUAUUCCGAUGUGGGAUUGCAUUUUAUCAAUGAAAAAAAACAUAACAAACAUAACAAAACUCCACCAACAGAAUUUGAACCUUGGACCAAUCUUUAACUCUAGUCCACCUAGGAAACCACUCGGCUACAUGUGUUUUAUCAUCUAAUGUGCCAAACAAAAUAAUAUAUAUUAGAUUUUAAAUUUUUUUAUAAUAUUAAAUAAAAAUAAUAUAAUAUUUUUAAAAAUUAUGAAAUUAGUUUAAAUUUUCAUUUUUUUUAUAUUCACAUUUAAAUAUUAUACAUAUUUCAUUUAAUAAAAUUUAAAAUAUUAAUAUGAUUUAAUUUGAUAAUAUCAAAGAUAUAAAAUAAUAUUAUUGAUGUUUAAUUUAUUCAUAUAUAUUUUAAAAUUUUUUAUAAUUAUUUUUAAUUUUAAUAAUAUAUAAAUUAUAUAUUUAUUACGUCACCGGUUCGAUAGCGGUUCGACCGCCGGUCCGACCAGUGAACCGUGAACCGGUAACUUUUCCAGUUCGAUCACCGGUCCGAUUCUGAAAACAUUGGUUAUUUUGCCUGAAACCCAUAUUGUUUGAAAAUAAAAAAUCAAAGUUUUAAAAAAAUACAAUUUUUUUGAAAUGAUGCAUGAUUAUAUCAUUCCCCUAAUAGAUUAUUUAUUCCUUUAAACUUUACUUCAAAUAAAAUAGUUUUAAUUAUUUUCUUUUUGGAAUUAUAUUUAACAUAUUAUUAAAAAUAUAAAAAACAUUUUAAUAAUAUUGUUAAUGAGUUUAUAUAUAUAUAUAUAUAUUGUAAAAUAAUUAAAUUUAAAAAUAUUUAAAUUUAGUUAUGGGCUGCCCAUUUCAAAAUAAUAAGAAUCUCGUAACCUAAUUUUUCCAAAUUCCAGGUAAAUAUGCUAAUCUAAAAAUAAAAAAUAAAAAUUAGGUUUUUAUGCUCUCCAAUCUACCACUUAAGCAUCCGACAUGGCUAAAAUAAAUUACAAAAAAAAAAAAAAAAAAAAAAGGAAAAAAAACAAAAGUGUGUGAUCCUCUUUCUCGAGUCUUCACAUUUUGAGACACUGAAACCAAAUCAAAAUUAAUCCUUCAAAUUAAUUUUCACCUCCAAACAUGGCUAUCCGAAAAACCCUAACGUCUGCCUCCUCUUCCUCUUAUCCCGGAAACCUAAAUUCCGUGACCCUAACCCCUUCUCUUUCCGAAAACCCUCCGGAAUCGGAAGAUUCAUAAUUCUUCAGAAUUAAUUUUCACCUCGAAGCCAAACCCUAACUGCCUCAUCUUCCUCUCAUUCAUAUCCCAAAAGUAGCUUCAACAGUCAGGCCUGUAGCCAUGAAAGCCGUAGUGAUCACUACUUCCGGUGAUCCCCAAGUUCUCCAAGUGCAAGAAGUCGAAAACCCUGAAAUUGGAGAUGAUGAAGUUCUAAGUAGAGUGGACGCCGCUGCCAUUAACCGAACAGAUACGCUCCAGAGGAAGGGCUUGCACCCUUCCUCAAAGGCGGCAGUCCCUACCCGGGUCUCGAAUGUUCUGGAAUCAUCGAAGCUGUUGGAAAAGCCGUCGUUCGAUGGAAGGUUGGCGAUCAGGUAUUUCAAUUGCCUAAUAUUUUGAUUUCGUUUCUGUUCCUCUGUUUUUCUCGGCUAUCAAACACUAGGAACGUGUAAAUAAGGAGGUUAGUUGAUUGCGAAAACGGGAAUUUUUUGUUCGUGUCUGUGUUAAGGAGUCUUUGUUGAGAAUUUUGGGGAAAUUUAUGAUAGGUUAAAUUAUUGAGCUUAUUGGUUUUCAAAUUUAUGGUUGUAAGAAAAUUGGUCAGUGUAAGGUUAUGGGUUCAUUACCAAUUUGCUUAGUGAAAAUUUUUCCACAUAUUGUGGACCGGUUUGGUAGCAGAAAUAAGAACUGUGUUUUGUUUUUCAAAACGGAAAUGGAUGCAGAAAACAUGUUUGGUAGCCUACUUUCAGAACUUGUUUCCGAAAAUAUUUCCUGAAAAUGAAUUAUUUCAGAACUUGUUUUUAAAAAAUUCAAACACUUUAUCAAUUUAAAAGGUUCUGAAAUGGACAUGUUCAUGGUCUUCAUUUUUUAAAAUUAAAGCUUUUAUGAAAAAACCAUUUUCCCUUCUACUAAACAAACAGGCUCUAUAUUGUAACAGAUCGAUUGGCCAUUUCCUUUGUCAUGUUUUGUGAAUCAUGGCAACACUGGAAUCCACUCCAUUACCAUCUGUUAGUGAUUAGAAGACAAAGCACCAAUUUUAAUGAUAUCCUUUAUGUGAUUUUGCUUCCUCCUGAGUACAAGUUCAUAAUAUACAUGGUACAUGGUGAAUCUGUAUGACAGUUCAUGGUAUACAGGUGUGUGCUCUUCUUUCUGGUGGAGGGCAUGCUGAAAAAGUGGCUGUUCCAGCUGGGCAAGUUCUCCCUGUCCUAUCUGGUGUUUCUCUGAAGGAUGCUGCUGAGGUUGCAUGUACUGUUUGGUCAACUGUUUUAAUGAUGAGCCGACUGUCUGCAGGAGAAACAUUCCUGGUGAAUUUUUUGUCUUUUUUAUUUUCUGAUGCCUGAUAUAUUUACCAGCACAAAUUUACCCUGUUGCUGUUUAAUGUGUGUGCAUCAAUAUUGGAUUAGGGAGGUAGAAGAGCCAUGGUUCUAAUUAAAUCAUUACAUCAUCAUAUUCUUAUUUAGAUACAUUGUAUCCCACAAUUUCAUUGCAUCCAAGGCUAUGUUGUUUUUUAUUGCACGGUUUGUCAUGGUAAUUUCUCAACCCUUCUCUGGAAAAUUAUGUUGGAUGGCUGCUAUUAAUUACCCCAAAAGAAGAAAUUUUAUGUUGAAGUAAGAUGAGUAGCACAAAGAGUUACUUGUGGUUGAUCCUAUCAUCAAAUGGGCGAUUGAUGCACAAUCCAAAUGGUAAAUUUUUUUCCCCCUUUAUCCAGAUGGAAUUUUUAUGCAUGGUUGAAUAGUGAAAUGAGAGGACUGAUAAUAUUUCAGGUUCAUGGGGGUUCAAUUGGAAUUGGUACCAUCUAUUCAAAUAGCGAAAUACCGAGGAGCAAGGGUAUUUGUUACAGCAGGUUUGCCAUCACUGUUCUACCUCAUCUCACAGAAUGCUUAUCUCAUGGCACCAAUUCCUUUUCUUCACAUGUUUUCAACCAUUUUUUCCACCCAGGAACGAGGAAAAAUUAGCUAUUUGUAAGGAUCAUUGAGCAGAUGUGUGCAUCAAUUACAAGACUGAAAACUUUGUUGCAUGGGUGAAGGAGGAAACAGGAGGGAAAGGUAUAUUCUAUUGUAUCUUAACGAUAAUUUCAAUUGAAGGUGGAAUUGCUUUUUAUUUUUUAGUGCACCAAAUCCACUAGUCUGGAAUGUUUGAAAAGAUAAAUAGUCAUCUUCCACUUGAUUCCGAUUGUGAAGAUCUAACCCCAAAAAUGUUGAAUGACAGGUGUUGAUGUUAUACUGGAUAAUAUUGGAGGGGCCUACUUUUGGGGAGACAUCAAUGGUUUAAAUGUUGAUGGAAGGCUUUUUAUUAUUGGUUUUCAGGGUGGAACAGUGGUACAAGUAAAUCUUUCAGGUUUACUUGCAAGGCGCCUUACAGUGCAAGGUACUGCUUUCUCUGUAGAAGAUUUUUCUGUAGUUUUGGAGUUGAAUCAAUUUGAUUAAUCUCAUCCAAGUUCAGAACUGAGGUGGAUUCUGGCAAGCCAAGGAAAAACCAAAUUACCAUAAAUUCUUUUUUUUUUUUCUGGAUCGUUUUACUUCUUGGAAAUCCUGUUUCUCGAUCUGUUAAUCACAUGGUUUGUUUUUCUUUAUUGUCCCUCUUUCUUUUCUUGUUGGUACCAAAUCCCUAAGAUGUGGAAGCCAAGUGAGCACUUUCUAUCUUUUCUUGUUUCAAUCUCUCAUCCUCUUGUGCACAUUGAGCAAUAAGCUCAUUCAAAGUCCAUUUUUCCUUUUGUGUGUUGUAACUGAUUUUGAAUGGACUGAAUUGUGUAGGCAGAGAGAUCAAGACCAAGUGCACGAGUAUGUCUUCCGAAAACUCUAACUUUAGUGCCUUUAGUCUAGUCACAAGAUUAGACAUUUCCAUAAUAUACUCCCUUAUAUUCUCUUUCCCUUUAUACCGCAUAGAGACAAGCUUACUAAGAAUAGUGUUUGUCUCAACCUUUUCAUUUGCAGCGAUCAAUUUGCUAUCUGGUCUAAGAAUGCCUUGGCUCGAGUUUUCUCAGGUAUUGCACCCCUUAUAACUUUUGGAAUUGAGUGCUUCGUUAUUAUUAGACUCAUGCGAUUGGAUCGCUCCCAUUUUUCCAUAGUAGACCUUUGCUCAGCAGUGCUGGCACUAGUAAGAUCUGGAGGGCGAUCCUCUCUUAAUGCAUAGUCUAAAUCCAUGCACCCGAGCACAAUUAUAGCGUGUUCCUUCCAUUUCUUGAAGUUUGUGCCAUUAAGGGCAGGAAUGUUAUUGACAUUUGCAGAUAUAGAAUAUGUUGAAUUCAUAAUAAUAAAGCUCACAAUCAGCCACAUAAACAUCAUACAUACAUGAAAAAUAACAUCAUACAAGAUACCUAGUACAAACAUUAAUAUUCUGUCUUUUGACAAUAAAUAUUAACUUGUAAUUGGUAUCCUUAUACAAAAUUAAUUCAUAAAUAUUGACAAUAAAACCAAAAACAAUGUGCCUCUCUUUGGACUAACAUAUUGAAUGCAAGAUAAACUUUAUAUGUCACAUAUUUAUGACUACUUUAUUUAUUAUUAUAUUAAAAUAAUCUUUCUUUGGGUCGCUUAUUUUAAAUAAUAAUAAUAACAUGUUUAGAUAUUAUAAAAUAAAUAAAUUAUAUAAUAUAAGUUACUUUGGCAACUAACAUACAUAAUUCAUUUAUUUUUUGUUGUUUCCUUCCUCUUGGAUCUUUUGUUUGUGUUUUAAAAAAAAAAAUGUUUCAGUGAAAAUGGGAAAUGCAACCAGGCUCUAAUACCAUUUUGUGGGACGUUCAUUCUCCAUUAUCAUCGAACACAUGCAGGAUAUAUUUAUAUAUAUCUAUCAAUUCAUUCAAAAUAUGCCGAUGGGAAGCCAGAGAGAACAAGUUCUAUUUUUAUUUUGAAAACAUUGUUAUCCUUAAAGAACAAACACUAUUAUUUGGAUUUAUACUCUCCUGCCUUAGGGACCAUACCCUUUGGCUAUUAGGCCUCACGAGUCUUAGGCCCAUCAUCUAAGGCUCGUGAUGGCACUGGGCUCUACAUAUAAGGUGGCCCAUACUCUGGAACGAAUAUAAAUCAUAUGUAUAUAUAUGGAUAGCUAAAUCCUGAAUAAUGGUUAAUAUGAUGUCGGUUCACAUUUAUUAUAUCAUAUAGACUUCCCAUCUGAAGAAAAUCGACAACAAGUAGCUUUGCCAUUCUUAGUUCGUAUACAACCAACCUUAGCAAGGGUUGAACCCUUUUAUGCUUAGUUGUGCCAUACAGAUCCUUACCACCGCCUACAACAUGUAAUUGAAAUGAUUCGAUAAUAUCAUCUAGUGAACCAAUACCUCCAAAUGAGAGACCAUUGCCUCAGUAACUAAGACUCACGACUGAGAAUUGCGUGAACCCCUUUGCUUGGGUUGGAGCUUGACUGAUGCACAAAAUAUUCAUAGGCCUCUUCCCAUAACAGGCACCUUGUGUUUGCAACAUAAUUGAACAUGUAUUGAAGUGAGUUUUUUUGCAUCUUUUUGUAAGAAAAUUCUAAACAACAAAGAUUGCUUAGUGUGCCUGACUCCUCAAGGAAUCAAGGUUCAUUCCUGUAGGGCCAGUUUUUUCACAGUCGAACUAGAUAACAUGGAGAGUAUGUUGCAAUGCUUCAACGGGGUAUUUCUUAGGAAAAUCCACCUGAAGCUGGUACAAUUCGUUGGCGUACUGAGUUCCUAAAGCUCUAUUGACUUCAAUCACCCAUCUCUGUAGAUUAUCGGUGACUUUAUGCUCGGAUCCUGUAGGAGGAUUGACUUGACAUUCCACUAGUUUUUUCUGGAAGGCGAUUUUGUUUAACACCUUGUGAGAAGAGGCAGGGGAACUGGUCAUUGUUUCUUCGAGAAGAUCAGUGGCCGAGGAUGGGUUUGGACCAGAAUUGCUAUAUGGGUUUUCUUUGGGUGAACCAAUUAGUGAAAUAGGUGGCUAUAUAGCAACUAAAGGGUGGUCAUACUAACGAGGAGCUAUUAUUUCAUGCAUGUGGAGAGGAAAUGACUAGCUUCUUCAAGGAUAUAUGAUUAUUCAUCUCUAGCUUACGUUGACUAUCUCCUAACAAAUUUCUGCUUUGAAGCUCCCUUAGUUUCACUACAGCUAAUUGGCCAACUUGGUUUCAUCAUGUUUCCUACAACCUCUAAGCAAAGCAUGCCAGAUCACCGAAUCAGGUUCUAUUCGCAUUUUGUCCAUAAACUCCUUUGCCUAUUGACAAUAGACUGCCCCUCAAAAUUUGAUGAGAUAACAUCAACGCUGACAUGUUGGCCAUCCCCAUAAGCAUCUUUAUAGAGAUUGAUUCUAUGUUUAGAUAUUUCUCUCUCCUCAAGUGAGUUCAACUUUUCUGUAGCAUCCUUCUCCUUCUCUACUAAUAGUCUUAGUUGAACAUCCAACCUAUGUUCCCAAAGUGCCAGCAUCUCAUAUCUGAUGACAAGCCAACAACCUUGCCCUUGCUGAGACCCAAAUAAGUAUCCAGAACCAUCAACAUCAACCCUUUCAUAGGCCUUUGUAUUUGAAGGUCGGAUUGGGAUUGCUUUGAAUGCACUGGCACUACAAUACACAAUUGUUUCUUCUCCGAUAAAAACACCACAAAGAGGUGAGGGGACUGGUAUUAGCAAAGAAGUGUUGUUAUCUAUAUUGUUCUAAGCCCGAUUACCCUCAACAAAAUCCUCAUCCUCAUCUGUACUCUUCCAUUACAUCCCUAGGCUUUUCAAUGUGAUCCACAUGGCUUACAGGAAUCCAGAAAUACUGAUCUGUAUAAAAGUUGCUCUUAUGGGGCUCUCCUAGAAAACAUCCCAAUCAAGAUGAUCAACCUAGCUUAGAUGCUCAGCACCCCAAACUUACCAGAAAUAGAGGAAUAAAAAGCAAGGAUAGGAGCCAAAGUAAAAACUAAGGGAAGAGCAAAUAGGAAAUCAAGCAAAACAUGAAUGUACAGAGCCUCAUUUCAGGUGACAUCUUUGGGCUAAUAAUAGGUGGAAUUAACAAAGUAGAUAAGCAUGAUUGUUAUAAAUAUCAAGUUCAAGGAUGAAGUCGUGCAUCAGCUACUUAUAGGGGGAGUCAAGGAAACCAAGAUAAGAUCAAAGAGAGCAUGUAUGCAAAUAAACAGAUACGACAAAAUAGACCAAACAACUCGUGAAUAUCCUCCUACAAAAAACUACUACACGUGGCAAAAAGUGAUGAAACAAAAAGAGUUGGGUCCGCAUAUACAUAUCCUAUUCUAUCCUAUUCCUUCAAAUCCAAAGCAACCUGUAUUUUCAAUGGGAUUUGUUGUGAUGAAUUUUACUGGAUUGUAACAUGUAAAUAUGUUAAAAGAGGCUUGGGACAUUCCUAUAUAGUAACGCAUAAAGGUACUUCCAUUGUGAAGUUGUCAAAAUUGCAAAUUUAAAUUACAAAAUUUGAAAACAUAGAGAUGAAAGAUGAUGAAACCUUCUUUGAAAUUUUAUAUUGAACUCAUUAAUAUUAUUAAUUUUCAUUUCAGUCUAGGGGAAAGAAUUCUUUACUCUAAAGUGGUCACAAAAAUAUUAAAAUUCCUUGUCGAGAGAUUUAGACCUAAAGUGAUCAAUAUAGAAGAAAGUAAAAAUAUUCUAAGUGUAGGUAAACUUGUAGACUCAAAUGACUCUACCUUCUCAUAAAAAAUCCUCAAUUUUAUAAAUUAUAUUGAUUUCUUCAUUUGAUACAAAAUUUGAAUAAAGAUUUUUCAAAUGACAACACAAGGAAAGGGAAAAAAAAAUUCUCUCCAAAUCAUAUUAUUUAAUCACUUAAAUUAUUUAAAAAUAAAAAUGUUUACUGCUAACAUUAUUUAGGUUCAUCUUUCUUUUGAUGGAGGUUAAAAUUCAUAAUUUUGAGGAAAAAGAUGAGGAUUCUCAUUUUUUUUCCAUAUAUGAAUGGGAUUCUCAUUGUGUAUAUGUGGGUUACUAAAUGGCAAAUUUGGGGGCCACCAGAGUCUGCAAUAUGAGGGAAAAAUGAAGUUGAGUUUGUCACCAAGAAUAGACAUGGUUCCUACAAAGGUGGCAUCUUUAAUUUCAUGUUUGGAUUGGACUUGUCAUGUAACAACUUAACAAGUGAAAUCCCUCAUGAACUUGGAAUGUUAAGUUUGAUUCAUGCAUUGAACUUGUCUCGUAAUCAACUAAAAGGCUCCAUUUCAAAGAGUUUUUGCAAUCUUUCUCAAAUAGAGAGCUUAGACCUUUUUAAUAAUAAACUAAGUGGAGAAAUUCCUCCAAAAUUGGUUAGACUAAACUUUUUAGCAGUGUUCAAUGUGACUCACAAUAGCAUCUUCGGAAGAGUUUUAGAUAUGAAUACAUAAUUUGCAAAAUUUGAUGAAAGUAACUAUGAAGCUAAUCCUUUCCUUUGUGGACCACCAUUAAAGAGAAAAUGUAGCAUAAAUGUUGUUGAACCACCUUACCAACCAUUAGAGUCUUCGGAAGAAAGUGAUGCAAAAUGGUAUAAUAUCAAUCUUGUUAUUUUCUUUGCAAAUUUUACUACAUCAUAUAUCAUGAUAUUAUUAGGAAUUUCAACCAUUCUUUACAUUAACCCUUAUUGGUGUCAAAGAUGGUUCAAUUUUAUCGAGAAAUAUAUAUACUUUUGCUAUUAUUUUGUUUCCUAUACUCUUUCCAAGUUAUUAACAUAUUUUGAAUAAUUAGAGAUUUUUGUUUUCAAUAAUAUUUACAUAAUUAACUACUAUUGGCUUCCAUGACAUGGAAAGAAAUGCGAUGAAGGCAACAACCACUUUUUUUUCUCCUCUACUAGUGCAUGAUUGAUAUGAGUUAAAACUUGCACCCUUAUCUUUGCUUAAAUUUUCUCAGCUUUUGUUUCAAUUCUUAAUUAUCAUUUCUUUUAUGUAUUGUUUAAUACAAUAUCCUAAACACAUUGCUUUGAAGGUUACUUAUUUAUUAAGCAUGAUAUUGAUUUUCAUAAAAACAAAUUCAAGUUUUUUAGGAAUUUUUAGAAUUAUUAUAAUUUGGAGUUCACAUUAGAGGAAAAAAGGAAAGAAAAGAAUAGAUGAUUAAAAAAACAAUUUUAGUAAGUAUAAUUUGUCAUCUUCGGUAUAACAAAUGGGAAUUCCAAAAUAAUAUUUCAAUUUGUUAGUCUAUUCCUUAUAGUAUUAAUUGAUAUAUCAAAUAGGAAGUCACGUUUUGAUUUUUUAUUAGCUUGAAUUGCAUGUCACAUAUAUUUUAAAAUCAAGCAUACAUCAGCCGGGAAGUUCUUGUAACAUGCAUGAACAUGAUAUGAUGAAUUGAAUAAUUUUCUUAAUAUAUGUGUAUAUACUACACAUUAUUAAAUCAUAUAUGUAUAUUUAUAGUCGUAUAAUAUAUUUAUAUAAGUAACAAUAAAUUAUAUUGUAUAAGGUAUCGGUAGGAGUUUUCAAUUCCCUCAUACAAUAAUAUCUAUCAAUAAUUGGAUUGGACACCUUGCUGGCCAUGAGAAUGGACUUGACAUUAACACAUAGCCUUGAGUGGUGUUGAUAUUAUUACUUUGAACCAGAACUGCAGUCAUCUCAAAAACUAUAUUAUAUAGAAAAGCAAAAUAAAAACAUUAGUUAAAACAAAUGUCAAGAUCCUUGAAAUCACGUUUCAAUAUGUUAAAUUACCAUUUUUUUAAAUAAAUAUUUUAUAGGUUGUGUGAAUAAAUAUAAUUGCUAUGAAGGUUUCAAUUUAAUUUUACUAGCAAAUCCAUAAUAGGUGAAAAGACAAAACUACCAUUUUUGUUUUUUUUUCUUUAUUUACCUUUUUUCUCUCGUAACCUUACUCCUUUCACCUUUUUGUUUUUUCCUUUUUCUCAACUAACUAUUUUUUUCUUGUAAUUGUUAUUAUCAUUUUUUAUUAUAAAUAUUAUAACCUUAUAUUAUAAAUUUUUAAUUAUAUUUAAACUAACUAAUGUUGUGGUUUUAAUUGACAUGGAAAAGAAUGUGGUUAUACAUGUGAUUGUCGCCUUUUUUUUUUUCCAAUUAGUUAACUAUUGAUACAAGUUAAAAGUAAAAAUUGCAAUAUUAUCUUUAUGUCAAUUUCACCGAUCUUUUGUUUUUAUUUUCAUGUAUCAUUCCUUUUUUGGUUAUUUAAUUAAAAGGAUUAAAAAAAAAAAAUCACAUAUUCACAAGAAUAACCUUCAUAUUUUAAAAACAUAAAUUUUUAUAAAAAUACCCUCCAACUAUAAUUUUUAUAUGUCCCUAUUUCAAAUUCAAACACUUCUUUUAAUAAUAAUAAUAAUAAAAAAGGGCAAAAAUGUCAAACUGGGAUUAUAUUUAUAAUUUUCAAUAAUUAGAGGUUGUUUUUCCAAAGUAAAAAUUAUUUUGUUCCUUUGGCACAAAUAUUUCUUUCUUUUUUGUAUUUUUUUAUUCAAAAUAUUAAACACAUUACCCUCAAGGUUACUAUUUAUUAUGAAUGGUGUUUACUUUACAUUACGACAAAUUCAAAUUUUUUAGAAUUUUUUAAUGUUAAAAUAAUUUGGAGCUUAAUAGGGAAAAAAAGAAUAAAUAAUUAGAAAAGCAAUUCAAAAAAAUAAAAUUUAUCCUCUUAAAUUGGUUUUGUGUAAUACUAUAGAAGCCAUUUCUUGAGUUUGAUAUGGUAGAAUUUGGAUUCAUAUUUAUUUUAAAAUCAAGAAAUUCAAGUGUUGGUAGCAUCAAUAGAAUCUUAAAAAAUUUGCAAAAAAAUAUUUAGGUAGAUCACAUUUAAAUAUAACUAAUAGAAUAAAAAAUUAGUAUUAUUAGGAAGACAUGAUCAAUUAAAUCUUUUUUCUUAUCUAUGACACCGACUUUAUUUUUUUACAUAGUCAAUAUAAUUUAUUACAACUUAUAUGUCAUUAAAUUAUACAUGUUUAUAUUAAAUAUAAUAUAAGAUCAUUAAUGGAAUAAUUAUGCAAGUAAUAUAAAUUGUAUAUAAUAUAAAAAAUUUAAAGUCCAUCAAACUAAUGGAAUCUAUUAUAAUAAGUAGACUAGACACCAUGUUGGCCCGAGUUGGAGGCCUAGGCCAGAUUUUAAAGGCUGGGCUUUGAGUUGCCCGUGGGCCUGAGCCAAGGCCUUCUCUUGGUAUCAUCAUUUUGAAGAAAUAAAUUGCUGAUACAGAGAAAAAAACUAUACUAAAUAGAAAAAUAAAUAAAAGCAUUGACUAAAAUGAAGGCCAAGGUCCUUGAAAAAUAAUCUUAAAAUUGUUGCAUAUAUAAUUUCAAUAAUGCAUAAAUAAUUGCAAUAUAUAUGAUGUGAUAAAGAAUUUGGAAUUAAAAGAAGAUUGAUCUAUUUUAAAUGUGGUUGGAAUAUUUCUAAAUUUGUGAUGGGAAGUUAGACAGCCAAUUAGGGAUCCAUAUUAUUUAUUUUCAAUGAUAUGAAUUUAUUUACUUUUAUUAAUAUUCUUAAUGCAACAAUAUAAAAUAUGUCAAUUUUCUAAAAUUAAAAAAGUAAUUGUAAAAGAAAAUUUUUAAUUAUUUUUAUGAAAUUGAGUUUAUUAUAGCAUUUUUCUUUACAUAAAUUUCUUUUUUAUUUUUAUUUUUUUAAAAAUGAGAUAUGAAAAAAAAAGAUCAAUAUUAGUAAAAGUAAAACCCAAUAUAUAAAAAAUAUGAAUAAAUGUUUAUGAAAUAAGAUUUAAAAGUGAGAAGGUAAUAAUUUUUUUCUCUUUUAAUUCCUAUUCAAUUCAUUACAAAAAAUAUUUUUGGUUUUUAUGCUAAAAUUUAUUGUUUAUUAAAAAAUUCUAGUAUAUCUAGCUAUCAUAGAAGAGCUCCAAAAUUUUAUUGUUUAAGAGAAUAUGUGUUGCCACUUUAAAAGAUUUAUAUGCAAAAGGGAUUGAUAUUUUUUUCCUUUGGAUAUGUUUAGUUCCCGGAAAAUUUGAGGGAAAAUGUGAGGGAAGAAAAAUAGAGAAGAAAAGUAUAACGAAAUAAAAAGUGAAGGAAAAUGAAAAAUAGAUUUAAAGUUAACAAAUUAUUUUCAUUGGUUUUUUCAAACUUAUUUUACUUAUUUUAUUCUAUUAAAUAAAGAUUAACUAAUUUUAAUUAUAUUUGGUUUGAUUUUUAUUAUUUUUCAAAGCAAAACCAAAUAUGAAAAAAAAAACAUUUUUUUUUUUUGUUAUUUUUUUCUUUCCUUAUUACUUUUUAGGACUCAAACAUAGCUUUUAGAUUUGGAGCAUGGAAAGAUAAGAGUAUUGAAUAAUGGUUCUAUAUAUGCCCAUGCCCAUGCCCAUGAUACCAUUGAAAAAAAUGGAGAGAGGGUGAAACCUUUACUAGAUGAUAAAUUAUUCUCUUCAAUGGAAAUCAAAUAUAAUUAUUUUUAUCUUGUAUUAAUUGAAUGUUAUACUCCAUAAACUCAAAAUUAAAAUAAAUAAAAAAUUUAAAAACUAGGACAAUCCCAUUUUUUUUCAAUUUCUUAAAAAGAAAUUAAAUUAUAUUUAUUUAUAUCUAUUUUCAUCCCUACCCAACAAAAUAAAAAAAAAUUAACAAGGUGGGACAUGUAUGAGAAAUUCUCACACUAACUCUCACUAGUUUAUUUUUUUUUAAAAAAAAAAAUAAAAUCAAUUUCUUUUAAAAAAAUUAAACUACAUAAAAAAUAAACAAAUUUUACAAUUUUUUUUAAGAAAAGUAAAUUUCUUAUUUUAUAUAUGUUAAAAAUAAAUAUAAUCUUUUAUUUUUUAUAUAUAUAAUCGGGUAAGGUAGAGUGGGACAAAGAAAUAAUCCCCUUCGAUUCCAAUCCGAAUUUUUAAAAUAUAAAAUAAAAAUCUUAAACUCAUCCCUAAUCCAUUUAUUUUUAAUCCUAAACUUGUCUUAUUAAGAAUAAGGCAAAGUGAGUACAUGAAAACACUUCUUUUAUCAUCAUCUCUACAAGUUCUAAUGUUUAGAUUGCAAUCCAUAUCAAAGAUUUAUAAAGAAAGAACAACAAUGAAUUUCAUAAACAUUUGAAAGCAUAAACAAAGUUUUAAAUAAUAUUGCUUGAGGUGCAAAUAUUAUUUGGCGCACAUGUUGAGGGACUUCAACUGGUGUAGUCUAGGUUUUUUACACUAGUAAGUAAUCUUGAAUAUCUAGAGUAACUUGAUCAAAAUCUCUUUAAUUUUAUUUUCUUUGAUGGUUGUAUGAUGAAUUAGAAUGCUUAUAUAACAUGAUUAAAAAUUUUAAGAAAAAAAAACUAAGAAGAAAGAAAGAAGCAUCGAUCUUCCAAAUAUUGCUUCCACUUUAAUAUCUAGUAGGCUCUAAGAAAAGAACUUUAUUCAUGAAUCAUAACCCAAGUCGAAAAUAAAUUGAACCCAUUUUCUAAGUUAAAUUUUGAAUUUUUUACUAGUGAAUGCAAAUUGGGAAAAUGUAUAUAAAUAUAAUCAAACUAGAAUAGUAGAUUAGGUUUGUAGGUGGAGUUUGUUUGAAUUGUUGGAACUUCCAAGUCGUUGUGGGUCUAGUGGUCCCAUAGCUCUCUAUUAAUUUCCACCAUCAAUUUUUUGCAAUAAAGUCAAGUCAUUCCUAACCCUUAUAUUAAGUUGGCCUUAAAAGUCAAGUCAUUGAUCAUAGUUACAUUCAUGAAUCACAACCCAAGUCGAAAAUAAAUUAAACCCAUUUUUCAAGUUCAACUUUGAAUUUUUUAGUAGUAAAUGCAAAUUGGGAAAACAUAUAUAAAUAUAAUUAAACUAAAAUAGUAGAUUAGGUUUGUAGGUGGAGUCUGCUUGAAUUAUUGAAACUUCCAAGUCAUCGUGGGCCCAAUGGUCCCAUAGCUCUCUAUUAAUUUCCACCAUCAAUUUUUUGCAAUAAAGUCAAGUCAUUCUAACCCCUAUAUUAACUUGGCCUUAAAAGUCCAAUCAUUGAUAGCUAAAUCCCAACCCAAGUCAAAAAUAAAUUGAACCCAUUUUCUAAGUUCAACUUUGAAUUUUUUUUAAUUGGAAAAAUGUAUAUAAAUAGAAUUAAACUAGAAUAGUAGAUUAGGUUUGUAGGUGGAGUUUGCUUGAAUUUGUGAAACUUCCAAGUCGUCGUGGGUCUAGUGGUCCCAUAGCUCUCUAUUAAUUUCCACCAUCAAUUUUCUGCAAUAAAGUCAAGUCAUUCCUAACCCCUAUAUUAAGUUGGCCUUAAAAGUCAAGUCAUUGAUCAUAGUUACAUUCAUGAAUCACAACCCAAGUCGAAAAUAAAUUAAACCCAUUUUUCAAGUUCAACUUUGAAUUUUUUACUAGUGAAUGCAAAUUGGGAAAACAUAUAUAAAUAUAAUUAAACUAAAAUAUUAGAUUAGGUUUGUAGGUGGAGUCUACUUGAAUUAUUGAAACUUCCAAGUCAUCGUGGGCCCGGUGGUCCCAUAGCUCUUUAUUAAUUUCCACCAUCAAUUUUUUUGCAAUAAAGUCAAGUCAUUCUAACCCUUAUAUUAAUUUGGCCUUAAAAGUCCAAUCAUUGAUAGCUAAAUCCCAACCCAAGUCAAAAAUAAAUUGAACCCAUUUUCUAAGUUCGACUUUGAAUUUUUUUUAAUUGGAAAAAUGUAUAUAAAUAGAAUUAAACUAGAAUAUUAGAUUAGGUUUGUAGGUGGAGUCUACUUGAAUUUGUGAAACUUCCAAGUCGUUGUGGGUCUAGUGGUCCCAUAGUUCUCUAUUAAUUUCCACCAUCAAUUUUCUGCAAUAAAGUCAAGUCAUUCCUAACCCAUAUAUUAAUUUGGCCUUAAAAGUCCAGUCAUUGAUAGCUACGUUCAUGAAUCCCAACUCAAGUCAAAAAUAAAUUGAACCCAUUUUCUAAGUUCAACUUUGAAUUCUUUUAAUUGGGAAAAUGUAUAUAAAUACAAUUAAACUAGAAUAGUAGAUUAGGUUUGUAGGUGGAGUCUGCUUGAAUUUGUGAAACUUCCAAGUCGUCAUGGGUCUAGUGGUCCCAUAGCUCUUUAUUAAUUUUCACCAUCAAUUUUCUGCAAUAAAGUCAAGUCAUUCCUAAACCAUAUAUUAAUUUGGCCUUAAAAGUCAAGUCAUUGAUAGUUACGUUCAUGAAUCACAACCCAAGUCUAAAAUAAAUUGAACCCAUUUUCCAAGUUCAACUUUGAUUUUUUUACUAGUGAAUGCAAAUUGGGAAAACAUAUAUAAAUAUAAUUAAACUAGUAUAGUAUAUUAGGUUUGUAGGUGGAGUAAGCUUGAAUUGUUGAAACUUUCAAGUCGUCGUGGGUCUAAGGGUCUUAUAGCUCUCUAUUAAUUUCCAUCGUCAAUUUUUAUGAAUUAAGAUUUAAAAGUGAGAAGGGAAUAAAUUUUUUCUUUUUCAAUUCAUUACAAAAAAUAUUUUUGGUUUUUAUGCUAAAAUUUAUUGUUUAUUCAAAAAAUUAAAGUAUAAAAAUAUAAAAAAAAAUAUAUAUCUUGAUAUUAUAGAAGAGCUCCAAAAUUUUUGUGUUUAAGAGAAUAUGUGUUGCCACUUUAGAAGAUUUAUAUACAAAAAGGAUUGAUGUUUCUCCUUUGACUAUGUUUGGUUGCCAAAAAUUUGAGGGAAAGAAAAUAAAAAAAAAUAGUAAAAAAGAAAAAAUGAAGGAAAAUAAAAAAUAGUUUUCAAGUUAAUAAAUUAUUUUUAUAUGUUUUUUCAAACUUAUUUUACUUAUUUUCUUUCAUUAUAUAAAGAUUAAAUAAUUUUAAAAUGCAUAAUUUCUAACUAAUUUUAAUUAUAUUUAAUUUUUCUUUUAUAUUUUUUAGACGGGAUCCGACACAUGAAAAAAUCCUUUUUUUUAGCAUCUUUUUUUCUUUUCUUAUUACUUUCCAAUAACCAAAUAUAACCUUUAGAUUUAGCCUUUAGACUUGGAGUAUGGAAGGAUACUGAGUAUUGAAAGAAGGUUUUGUAUAUGGCCAUGAUACCAUAGAAAAAAUGGGCGAGAGAGAAAAAACCUUUAUUAAAUGAUAAAUUAUUUUACUACUUACUACAUAAAUAGAUAUUCAUGGAGUGCAUUCUCUAAAAAGCUCCAGUCUCAUGAAAAUGGAAAGAUGGACCGGCCAGUGGACCGGUUCGAGUUUGGAUUUAUGGGCUGCCUCAGCCUAACACGCAUGAUAGGCUGUUGCAGGUGAAGAACUAAUUAAUUUAAAGCCUUCUUCUAUCCUCUCCUAUUCCUCUUUCACUCCAAAUUUUCCACAUGAUAAUGACAAUUCUUUUGUUAAAUGGUAAAAAAAAAAAUUUAACAAUUAAUUUAAAAUCAUUUAUAAAAUCAUGAACUUUGGCAUCCUAAUUAAUGCAAUUUAAACUUUUUUUGUUUACAAAUGAAAUAAGAGGCAACAUAUAAACCCAAAAGUUAAUUUUCCUACCAUCUCUAUGCACCAUUUUAGCUUUACUCCAAUAUAUUUUCUAUGAUUAAUUAUUUUCAUUCAAACAAUAAUAUCAAAAUAUUUUAAAAUUAGACAUAUCAUAAUCAAAUAUCAUUAUAUUAUUAUUGAAUAAUAUUUAAUGUAAUUUAAUAAUCAACGUAUACUUAUAGAAUUUAUAUUUUUUAUUAAUGCAUAUAAUAUUAUUAUCAAAUAUGAUAAAUUAUAUAUAUAUAUUUCUUUAACAAAACAACUUUAAAAUAUCUAUUAUACUUUUAAUUUCAUCUCUAAGAGGUUUUUUUUUUUUUCUUUUUUUUUUUUACAUUUUUAUAAGUUUUGAUCAAUUGUAGGCUAACCAAUAUUUUUUUAUCAAAAUAUCCACCAAUAUAUCUCCGAUAUAUUAGAUAUAUCCGUAACAUCGAAAUACCAAUAUAUCCGCGAUUAUCGAUAUUUUUAUCCUUGAGGGAUAACAACUAAUAUAGUUUUUGCACUUAAUGAUAUUCCUCAACAUUUAGAUUGAUUUGACCAAAAUCUUUUUAAUUUUAUUUUCUUUGAUGGUUAUAUGAUGAAUUAGAAUAGUCAUAUAACAUUAACAGAUUUAAGAAAAAAAGGAUAAAAAAGCUCGUAUUUUUCAAAUAUUGGUUUCAACUUUGAAUAUUUUUAUUGGUAAAUGAAAAUUGUGAAAAACCUACUAAUGCUAAUACUUUUCACCACAUAAUUAAAUAUAAUAAACUAGAAUAGUGAUUCAUUGAUGUCUUAUAAAGACACAUGCCUUCUUUGACUUGUUAGUUGAUUUUUGUAGGUGGAGUCCAUUUCCAUUUGAAUUGUUGAAACUUCCAAGUCCUUGUGGGUCUAGUGGUCUCUCUAAUAAUUCCCACCAUUAAUUUUUUGUGAUGAAGUGCAGUCAUUGAUAGCUACUAUAUCAAUUUGCUAUUAAAAGUCAAGUCAUUGAUAACUAAUAUUCAAUCUUUUUCAAUAUGGAAAUUGGAAUCUCUAGCACUACUCUUCUCAUUGUUCAUUUUUAGGUAAUGUGAGAAUGUGUGAACAUAAAUGUCUUCUAAUCAACCAAUUUUUUUGAAAAAAACAUGUACAAAAUUGCAAAACUUGCAAAAUCAAACUUUCUUGUUGAAUAACCAUAGCUUGAUGGUUUUGAAGAAUCAAAGGAUGAAUCAUAAAAGGGUAUUUGAUAAAAAAUAAAAAUUUAAAAAGUUAAAAGACAACUACUCCCUUAAGUGUAAUAAGUGUAUUUGGUAGCACAAAUUUCCUACCACUUAUUAUUUUUUCCUUUCUUAAAAAAUUAUUUACUCUAUUAAAUAAACUAACCUUGGCUUAGCACUUAUAGCAAAAUAGGUUAAGUAGUUUUUAAAAUUUUAUAAUAUUAGAUUUACAUUUUUAUCCUUCAAAAUUUCAUUAAUGCUAGAUUCUUCUAUAUGCUUAACUAAUAAAUAAUUUUUAGCAUUUUUCUUUUCUUAUAAACAUAAAAAAAUAAAAAUAUUAUUAACUUAUUGGUAUAUUUUAAAAUUUUAAUUAGAUUUAAGCUUUUAUUUGUUUGGAUUACCAAUUAUACAUAUAAAUCCUUUGUUAUUAUUGUUAUUAUUGAAAGAAAGGGGUUGAAUAGGUAGUCCCUCAAUCCCCAAAUUAAAUUCUUUAUUGCCUACUUUUGGUUUAUUCCUUUACAUGAAUUCCUUGGUGAGAGUAAACAUUUCAUUAAUAGAUAAAUAAAAUUGAUUCCAUAUCAUAGGGUAUAAUGUGGAAAAAUCACCAGUCUCAUGUGUUCCUUAGUGGAUCCUUUGGAGCCCUAUCAAAGUUUCAUGAUGAAACCAUUGACUUUUGUUUAACCCAAAUGUGCUUUCAAGACAAAUCUUGAAAGAUUUGAGAGAUGGAGGUUCAAGUCUUUUAUGAACGACCAUGUUCUCUUAGGGUUCAUGAAAUUCACACCUUUUGAUAAAUAAAACUUAUCUAUUUAUACGUCUAAAACCCAGUAUUUAUUUAUUUAAUUAUAGAAAGUUUCUUAGUUUUAAAAACAUUUCAAAAAUCAUUUUUAGAAUCAAAUAAGAAUUUUAGAGAUAAACACAAUAUUAAAAUUUAACAAAAACAAAUUUUCGAAUUAAAAACACAAUAUAAACUAAAUUACAAAAUAUAAAGUAAUUUUUACCCUAAUUUCUUGUUGCAAAACCAAAUGGAACACCUAGAAGGGGAGUGAAUGGGUGAUUUUAAAUUUUUUCAAUAAUUAUUUAUAAGUUAUACCCAAUUCUUUUACCCUGCAAGUUGUUAGGGACUAUCAAUUCUUUCAUUUUGGCAAUUCAAACAAUAUAUCAAAUAAUAAAAAGAUAUAAAUAAUGAGACAUAAAUAUUUUUACGUGGAAAACCCCCCACACUAACCAUGGAGAUAAAAAGCCAUGGAGUCUAAGACCUAUUAAUCUAAAUUCACGGUACGAAAUCAAGUUACACAAAUUUAUUUGACAACUUUACCUUAAAGACUUACUCUACAGUACUGACAACUUGAUUCACAUCCACGACGUAGCAACCCUCGAUUACUCCAAUGGAUCACUUCAAGCUUACUAAAAGGAUGAAGGCCUUCAAACCAAGAUUCAAAAAUCAAUUCCUUGAAUGAGAGAUCAGGAAUGGUGUGCCACUUUAGGCUUUCUCUCUAAGAACUCUAAAAUGAUCUCCUCAAUGAAAACCUUUUAAACAAAAUGAGAUAUUUCUCCACAAUCUCUAACCCUCAAGGGGUUAUAAUGAGAUAUUUAUAAGCAACUAAGUUGAAGAGUUUCGGUUUUGGAAGGUUUCUCAAUUGAAUUUGUGUGAAAAACUCGACAGAAUCAACAUGACCGCUCGAGGCAGCACACUUCCCACUUGAGCGUUUCGGGCACUUGAGCGGUAAGGCUUGCUUGAGUUGUCCUAAGCGCUUGAGCAUUCCAGGCUACUUGAGCAAUCUUGCUCUAUUUCAAAAGUUAAUUUUAAACCAUUUUAAGUUCAAAACAAAAUUGAUUCCCUUUAUACCUCAAAGGAGCCUAACUUGCCACAAACCAAACUUUUUUAGAUAUACUUGUGACUUCCUGGUUGGACGAACAACAACUCUUAAUCUUCAAUGGAGAGCAAGUCACUAUCUAAAAAGAUUUAUAUGGUCAAACAUAAAAAAACAAAAAAAUUGCCAACAUAACAACAAGACUCAAUGUCCAUGCAUGGUCACCUGAAAGGUGACUCCGACCACAAUAUAAUGCAUGUUCUCAUAGAACAUGUGAACAAGAUGGGGAUAGGAAGUCCCCUAGAGAGAAAACAGAGUCUCCUAACCCUACUCUUGAAUGAUGAUAGGGAAGACAGUGUCCUGAAAAGCUUAAAGGUUAAUGGCAUGCUCAGGCUCGACACACCGAUAUGUGAAAGAAGCGUAAUAAUGGUCCCGUGCCACCUGGUAGUGAAAGCGCUCAACCGGAAGUGCAUCUAGGUUAAAAAGACCCUAGAGUGGGAUGCCCUAGACGGUUUCAGUGACCUAGGAAAGGUCACCUCCCUUUGACAUCUAUGACUAGCCAUAUCUAAGGUAUAUAAUAUGAAAAAACAAAAGCUAAAGAAAAUCCAGAGAAAAGCUAAACCACUAAAAAUGUUAAACUCAAUGCGUCGAACAAUACUAUACAAAUGGAAAUGAAAAAUAUGAAGCGAACUGACCUCAGAAGACAAAAGGACAGUAACCCAGAGGGCUCGAAGAGGAAUAGGAAAGAUUGAAAUGAAUAUGGCGUGAUGGAUGACCUUUAUAUAGCUUAUAAGAGUGCUUGAUGCAGAUUAGCACUUGAGCGUCAUGACUAACUUAAAUCAAAUUAUUUAUUAAUAUGGAAAUAUUUUAAAAGUUUCAAAGGAAGUAUUCAAUUUAGAACCUUUUUAGAAUUUUUUUGAAAGAAACAAAAAUAAAGCGUGAAAUAUUAUGUGUUAAAGGUGUUAGAAGACAAUAUUGUCUAAUCCAAAGCCUUACACAUUCCUAAAAAAAAAAAAAAAAAAAAAGGAAAAAGAGAGAUAUUAUAUAAGAUUUUGAUCACAUCUAAUAGAAACUAAUAUUUAGCAACAUAUCACCAAGCACUAUCUUAUCAGAAAGCUCUAACAUGUUGGAAAUUUAUGUAAGGUUCCAUAACAGCUAAAAACUUUUUCUGACGACUCGGUAAUGGACCAUUUGCACUUUAACUACAUUAUUGAAUUUAAAUCAUAUUAGAAUUGUAAUUGACUUCUCUUUUGUGAGACUACAUAUCUUGUAGGAUGGGAUAGGUGAUUCAUUUCAUAUAUGAAAUUUACUUAAUUUAGUAAUGCUUCCAAGUUCAUUAUGAAUCUAAUGGUAUCACAACUCCUUUAAUAUUUGUAAUUUUGUAAUCUUUGUUUCAACUUCUCAAGUCUAGUCAUUUUAUUGGCAUAACUAGUUUGCUUCAAUUAUCUCUCAACUUUAUUAUAAAACUAAGGGAAAGGAUUAUCACGCAUUUUAUAUUAACUUAACCAAACAUCUUUAUAUAUCUUACAUAUAUAUAUUUUUUGUAAAUUUAGGAAAAUUUCAUCCAUUAGCCAUAGUAAGUAAGAAUCAAAUAAGGGAUAUGUAAGCCAAUGGUGAUAUUGAUGGCGUCAAAUCAAUGACAUAGUAGAAAAGUGGAUUGUCUAUUUUCAAACCUUUAUAUUUUCAUCCAAUAGUAAAAAGGUUUAGGCAUCACUUGAAAAGUAGUUCGUUUUUUACCUUGGACUAUGAUUUAUGAAUAAAGUUCUUCUGUUGUAUACCUUUUGUGAUGCCCCAAACCUAAUUUAGGGGUAAAAAAAUAAUUUAGAAAAAAAUAAAUAAAAAGUUAAAUAAAUUUAAUUAAGGUAAAAAUGUAUUUUUGUAUUUAAAAUUCCUAGGUAUCAAUUAUAUAUUUCUUGUCUUCUCUAUUCAAAAAACCCUAUUACACAAAAAUCAAAUAUCAGAGAACAUAGGACAACGCAGGGUUGAAGAUUUGGAGGUUUAGGGUUGAAGAUUAGUUUUCCAGGUAAGAUUCUAACCCUUAAAUUAGUAUUUUAGAUUCGUUAAUUAGUUUGAACACUUUAGAUAUUCUUUGAAAAAUCUGAAUCUACGUUAGGGUUUGUUAAUUUAAUUUUUAAAUAAAAAAGAUUCAAAAUUUAUGAACAUAAGUAGAGUUAUUAUUAAAGAUUGAAAUUUUUUGAAUAUUUGAAUUAAAAAUCUAGAAAAAAAAAGAAGAAAAUAAAUUAUAGCUUUGGAUGUGGAAAAAAGUUAAUAUUAAUAAAUAAAUAAAACUUAUGAGUACGGAGGUAGAAAAAUAUGAGAGUUGAAAGCAAAGAAAAAAAAAAGAGAAUAAGGUUUUGUGGUUGUACGUGUCUCCUUAGUGGAAAAAAGAAAUACAAGGUUGUUUGCAAUAGGAUAUGACAAAGAGAGAGAGAUAAAUGCUUAGAUGUUGAUUUUUGUGGGGAAAAAAAGAUUGGGUAAUGUAGGAGAGAAAUAGGUAGCACUUGUAGAGUUGGUGGGGUUGUUGUAAAAGCUCGUAGGGUAAUUGUUAGGUAGUAGUAGGGUAUGAGAUUAAUUGUUAGGAAACAUUAGGACUUGAAAUAAUAAUAAUUGCUUCUAGUAAAAGUUUUAACUUAGUUUAAGUAUAUAAAAGAAAUAGAUGAUUAGAAUAAGAUUUGGAAGGAAUAUGAAUUCAUAAAAAUUUCGAAAUUUACUAAUUUAGAUUAUUAUUUUUUUGGAAGUUGAAUAUAAUAUAGGUGGUAAUAUUAUUAAUAUAGGAAAUGAUUAAGAUUCUCAAACCUACAAUUUUAGAUAAAUAGUUAAUAGUAAUAGUUGAUUUUUUAUUUUUUUUAUUUUUUAUUUUUUAUGUUAUGUUAAGUGAAUAAUGGAUUCUUUGAUUAAUUCUCUAAGGUUUCUAAGUGCUUCUUUAAGAUAAGGGAUAUUAAUACUGAUUUUGUAAAUGAAAAUAUUUCUUUUUAUAAGUUAUUUUAAAUUAUGAAAAAUUUUAUUUUUAUUUAUGCAUGGAUCAAAUAUAUAUUUUUUCAUGAGAAACAUGUUUGGGCAAUUUCUUUGUUUAUAAAUAAAUAAAUAAAAAAUGAGAACUUUGGAAAUAUAAUGUUUUGUUUUGCAAGUUUAAAAUAAUGAAAUAAAGUUUUUGACUCUGGUUUAUAUGACCUUAGUUAAUGGGUUAUAAUUGUUGACAUUUUCAGCUCUCCAAUCAAUGAUUAUAAUUGUUGAGAUUUUCAACCCUAGCCAACGGGUUAUAAUAGUUGACCUUAUAGCCCUAGUCAACAGAUAUAAUUGUUAACCUUUCGUUUUUCCCAUCUUAAAAAGAACAAAUUUAAGGCUAACCAUUUAUUUGUAAAGUCCCACCUAACUAAGUACCAUUUGUUAUUUAAUAACCAGAGUAAAGAUAUUUUGAAUGUAUUUGAUAUGAAAUUAUUUUGAUAUAAAUAUGAAAAUGUUUGGUUGAAAAGUUCAAAUGUUUAAUGCAUGUUGAAUUCAAAAGUUUUUAUGAAAAUGAUUAUAUGUUAUAUCUCCUAUUUGUAAGUUUGAUCCAUAAAACUGUAUUAAUAUUCCUUAUUGGACUUUGAGCUCAUUCCCCUUUGUUGAGAAUUUUUUUUGGUAUUCUCAGUUUGGGCAAGGAGUGAUGACUGGGUUGGGGAAUUUUCUUUACUAUGAUUUUGGUUCAAUCUUUAUUUUGGACAUUGUAAUUUAAUUCCCAUUUAAAUUAUUUGGGUUUGGAGUUAUUUGGACGAUAACACUUUGAUUGAUGUGUUAGUUUUAAAGUUGAGAAUUGAAAAUUAUAGAAUUUAUUUAUCUUUCUACUUUGAAUAGAAAUUUAGUAAUUGGAGAUCAUCCAGUUACAAGAUGAAUAUUAGAUGAAUAUUUGUGUCGUUUCCACAUUGAGUGUUCAGGCUUAGGGUGUGAAAUGACCGUUAUGCCCUUGGAGUGGGUAUAUUGUUUAUUUGAAUUUAAUGGUCCCCGAACUCCUUAAUUACUCAUAACUUUAUAUCACCUUCUCAAAGUUAAGUUGUUUUACAACUACUAUCUAGCUACUUUUCUCUACUAUGACAACUUUAUUACAUAGUGAUUAAUUGAAAGAAUCUACAUGUCUUAUUUCAUAGGAUAGUUGAUUUUUUUACUCAAUGAAUCUUGCUUUUAUUAUUGAAAAUUUCAAAUCAUUGUAGUCCAACAAUUUACUAUCCUUUGGUAAUUUCAUAUUACAUUUCCAAAGUCUAAUCAUUUAAAAACACUUGUAGUUAAUAUAUUGGCAAUUGCAUUGUGGGAAGUUGUUCACUUGAUUUUAAUGUUGAAACUUUCAAAUUGUUGUAGUCCAACAAUUCCCUAUCCAUUGGUAAUUUCAUAUCACAUUUUCAAAGUAUAAUCAUUUACAAAUACUUGUAUAUAGUAUAUUUGGUGAUUGUAGAGUGGAAAGUUGAUCGUUUUCAUGAAGACCUCUAAAAUAGAAAUUUUUUUCAUUCCAUUUAAUAAAGAAUUUCAUUAAUUGAACAUAUAUGUUUUUUUAACCGGAAAGUAGAGGCCACAUUAUACGAGGCCUUAGGUGACAAUACUAGGUGAGGGUUUUUUUUUUUAAUUUAUUUAUUACUAAAUAUAAAUAAUAUUAUUUAUUGUAUAAUAAAGAUUAUUAUAAUAUAUUUUUUAUAGAUGAAAAAAAUAUUAAUUGAGUUUUAUUUUUUUAAAAUAAUUGUUUUCAAUAAAUAACUUAUUUGUAAAAAGAAAACUAUAAAAUAUAUGCAUUUGAAAAAUAUUUAAUUUUUAUUUGAUUUAGUAUCAAUUAAUAUUUGUAAUAUUUUUUAAUAUUAUAGAAGUUAACAUACUCAAUCAAGAUAUUCAAGAUCAAGAGAAUAUUUAAGAUUGAAUUAAUUUCUUUAUUGUUUAUGUUUUAGUAAAUUUUUAUAUCCAUUACAAAUUUUUUAUUGUUUAUUUUUCAUUCAAUGUUUGCAUUUUUUAAUAGAUAUUAAAACGAUUUUUUUUCUUGUAUGUUAAAAAAAUAUUUCAAUGUCUUUAAAAAUAAAAUAUUGCAGUAAAAUCAAAAUUACAUUGUGAAACUUUAAGCGAAUGUUUUAUACUUAAGAAGUGCCAAUUAAAGUAAGCAUGCAUCUACAAUUGUAAUUUAGAUGUCAUACUGAAACAAUAGUUCUCUUUGACUAUAUCAUAAAAUUUGGUUCGAAUUACUUUAAGUCGUCUUGUAGAUUUUCAAGUUCCAAUGAUAUGCAUCAAGUAUGUGCAACAUACUUGAUAUAACUAAUAUUUUCUUAAGUAAUUGGACACUUUUUUCUAUAAAUUUACUUGAUUAUCAAUGAAUACUUUUAUGUAAGGUAUUGAUAUAAUUCGAUAAAUAUUUUAAAAUAGUAUUAGAAUAGCUUUGCUCUUUCCCAAUUAACAAAUUUACUAAAUUAACUUAUAUAUAUUUGUUUAUUUGAAUUUACUGGUAUUUGACUCAAAUUGUUAUUAUUUUUAAAAUUAUAGGAAAACCAUUAUUUAUAGAGUUUAAUUAUAUUUGGUAAAUUAUCUUUUUAAGUUUGGCUAGGAUUAGGAAACUAUUAAUUUAAGAUUAAUCCAUAAGGCUCUAUAAAUUUGCAGUUUUAUUUAGGAUUUAAAAAAAGAAAGAAAAAGUAAGAAAAAGUGAAGAGAGAUAGGCAAAGAGUGCAUUGGGUUUUAAAUAAAGAAAGGUUGAGAGAGUUUUGAUUACUACUCAAAAAGAACAUAUUUUAGAUAGUAAUUCUCAUGGGUUUCACAUCUUUUGAGUAUUAAUUAUGCCUAAAAAUGCUCAAUUAACAUGUUGUUGCCUUUGCAAGAGUUACUAACAAGUUUUAUAAAGUUUUGGAGUCAUUUCAAGUUAUGAUUUUAAUAAAUUGGUGACGAAAGAGAUGAAUUGAUUUGAAGAAGGCAAAUAAUAUUGAUGAUGAUCCAAAUGCAUAAUGAAAGAAGCAAUAUAAUUAGUUUGAUCGGGAUUUGCUGCUAAUUUGGAGGUAGUUAAGGUGGAGUCAAAAGAAGAAAAUGGAAGAAAUGACAAAGAGGAGCUUAAAAACCAAAUGUUGCAGAUUUGUAUGAUCAUGCAAAAAUUACAUGACUAUGCGAAAUGGAUUAGAGAAGGAAAAUUGACUAUAGUAUAAGGAGGAUGCUUAAGUUGAUUUCGCAUGAACAUGCGAAAAUUUUGCACAAUCAUGCGAAAUGGUCCAGAAAGCUCUCUAAUGUUGUUGUUGCUCCACUAAUUUCACACCACCAUGCGAAAUUGAUCUUUUCAUGCAAAAUGGCUGAAGCUCAUGUGAAAUCAUGAUUUUGAUGCUAAACUCUAGAUUUGUGAAUUUGGAAGGUUUUAGAAGAUCAAUGAGAAGUUGCCAAGUGUCCACUUGACCUUGGUCUAUAAAUAGAAACUUGAAUUUCCCAUGUAAAGAGCUUUGUGAUACUUUUGAUUUUAGAUUUUUCUAGGAACUCUUUCUCUAAAUAGAAUUCUAUAUUUUCUUUAAUUUUCUCUCAUUUUCUCAUUCGCCAAACAUGCCUAGUGAGACCAAAUCUCCAAGUAUGAGUGGCUAAAUCUCGUUUUUCUCAAAGGAAUGAGGAUCUAGAGUCAAGAUCUAUGGUGAAUUAUAGAAAUGAGUUUUAAUCGGAAAUGCAAUUUGAUUCAAUUGAUUGAUUAAUUGAAAUUUGAGGAUUUUUCUCUUCAAAUUAUCCUAAAUGACUAUUACAUUGCAAACUAGGUAGAUUCAUUAAAUUCUUAAAGCUAGAUUUAAUGAGACUGAAUAGUUGCAUUGUAUGAAUCAUUGGAAGAUAAUUUAAGAUGAAUUGAAUAUAUAAUUUAAAUUGAUCUCUUGGAUUAAAUAACCUAAUUUGAAGAGAAAUUAGGUUUAGACUUAAAGGUAAAUCUAAAAUCGAUUUAGAUAAGAAUUUAGGUUUUCAAUCUAACUUGAUGAAAAAUAAAUCUCAACAUCUAUUCACCAUGGAAAUUGUUUUCUAAAAAAUAUUAACUCCGAGAAUUCCUUUUCCUUAUCAAUUUUCUUAUAUUCUACAUUAUAUUGUUCUUUUCGAUUAGAAAUCAUUGUUAUUUUGAUUUUUCAUGAAUUGUCAAAUCAAUUUCACUUGACCAUAAUCAUUUCUUUUCCUCCCAUUUAAGCCUUAAUUAUCGAGAAUAAUCCAUCCCAAUAGAAGACACCUAAGACCACUAUACUACCGUAGCUUUUGCUAAAAAACCUUUUUGAUCGGGCAAGAGUUACCUUAGCAUAGUUGAAUUAGGUUAUAAUUUUUUUAUCCAAUAAACAACAAAAAAAAUCAAUCGAUCAAGUUUGCAUUGUGUAUUCUUGAAUUUUAUUAAUAAAUUUGAUCCCCCUUUUUGAAGCGAUUACACCAAACCAAGUAAAUAUUUUAUAUACUUCAUUUGCUUUAUUUUUUCUAUUAAGUUUAGGUGUUGCAAUUUUCAAGAGUCAUGGUGAGAAGAUUGUGGGAAAAAUUAUUUUAAGGAUGGAGUCGAACAUAAAAUAUGAAAUUGAGUCCUUUGAUGGAAAUAAUAAUUUUAAUAUUUGAUAGAGUAUUAUUAAAGAUGUUUUGAUACAACAAAGACUUCUCAAAGCAUUACAAGGCAAAAAAACUAGAGAGCAUGACAAAUAAAGAAAUGAAAGAAUUAGAAGCAAGAGUUGUAAGUACUAUUUGUUUAAGUCUUAAAAAUGAAAUACAUUGUUUUGAAUGAAAAAAAUAUUCUUUUAGGGGUGUCAAUUGCUCUUUUAGAGACCAAAAAUAUUAAGCAGUCAAGUAGUUCAUCUCAUAUUGGACAAACUGUUAUGAUGAAUUCUAAACCACAUCAUCAUAGGAGUAAAUCGAAAGAAAGUAUCUGAUAGGAGGAUGAUCAUUCCAUUCACACUUAUGGAGGAAUAUGAAGUAUUAUUACUGUGAAAAAAAAAACAUAUCAGGAGAUAUUGUAAAGAAUUGAUGAAGUACCUAGAAGAAAUGAAAAUUUUUAAAUCCCAAGAGACUUCAAAUUUUACUAAUAUUGUUGAUGAAAAUUUUGAAAUAUUGUAGUAAAUUAAAAGUUACAUUAUGGGACUUUUAGUGAGUGUUUUAUGUUGAAGAAAGGCUAAUUAAAGUAAACAUGCAUCUAAAACUAUAAUUUAGAUGUUGUACUCAAAUAGUUGCUCUCCUCGAUUAUAUCAUAAAAUUUGGUUUGAAGUCUAAGUCAUCUAAUAAUUUUCUAAUUCAAAUUGCAUGCAUCAAACAUGUGUGUUAGGAAGUGUUGCAAAUUACUAAUUAAUAUAGAUUCUUUUUUUUUUUAAAGAAUAUUGUAUUGAAUAUUUCUAGGUUGAUAUAUUAUUGUAAUAUUAGACUUUCUUAUAGAAUAAGGAAGGUUGUUGAAAAUAUCCCUAUAAAUAUUCUAGUUCAUAAGGGGAAAAAGUUAUGAGAUGAAGAUGGACCCAUAAAGACUAUACAAGGUGGAUAGAGACGUGAAGAAAAACGAGAGGUACCCGGUGGAGCGAGAGGGCUCGUGGUAGGGUAUAGGUACAAAGAGUGAGAAAACAUGGGAUGUUUUGGGAACCCAAUAAUUGUAUCUGGUUAUGUCCUCUAUAAGUUCUAGUCCUGUCAUCUGCAUUGUUCUCUAUUUUAUAGUGGAAUGAUUCUCUUUUAUCUGUGGACGUGGGCAUGGUUUUCGAACCAUGUUAAAACCUUGUGUACCGUUUGUGUUGAUUUUUUUUUUUAUCUUUAUUUUAUUGAUUAAUGAAGUUUGCAUCAAAGCUUCUGUCAACGUAACAAACUUGUAUCAAAGCUUGGGUUAAAGAUUUCUAGAAGAGUAAAAGAUCAUAGAGCACACAAGAUGAAAACAAAAGGAAUUUUUAGUGAAAAUGGAGUCAAUUGCUCUCUCAUGGUGAUAUGAUAUAAAAAGUUUGUGUCAUGGAAAGUUUGAAGAUUUACUUCAUGGAAUCUGGUCCAAAAUGGAGAUUGUUAAUAAGUAUCCCAAAUUCCUAAUUAGUUUAGAUUUUUUUUUUUUGUAAAGAAUAUUGUAUAGAAUAUUUCUAGGUUAAUAUAUUAUUGUAAUAUUAGACUUCCUUAUAGAAUAAGGAAGGUUGUUGAAAAUAUCUUUAUAAAUAUUCUAGGUCAUGAGGGAAAAAAGUUAUGAGAUGAAAUGGGCCUGUAAAAACUAUAUGAGGUGGAUAGAGAUGUGAGGAAGAACAAGAGGUACUCAAUGGAAUGAAAGGGCUCGUGGUAGGGUAUGGAUACAAAGAGUGGGGAAAUAUGGGAUGUUUUGGGAACCUAAUAGUUGUAUCUGGUUCUGUCAUCUAUAAUGUUCUAGUUAUGUCCUCUAUAAUUGAUUCGUUCCCAAUUGGUGUCUCAGCUGAUUCAUGUCCUCUCCAUGGUCCCUGAUAGUGGUGCCAUUUGAUUCAUGUCCAGCUGGUGUCCCUUGAUUUUGGUCUUCAGGGAGUAAUCAACAAAAUUUAUAACCUAUUACACCAUGUACUAGGAUAGCCUUAGCUAGCAUAGCAUAGUGGCUCUAGGGUCGUUCACUGGGAUGGGUUUUCACUUCACAAUUGAUAUUAAUUCAAAGAUGAAUUGGUGCUUUUUCAUUUCAAGGUUAGCUUUAAAAGAAAACAUAAAGAUGUUUGAAUGAAAAAGGUUUUGUUUUAAACUAACCAAAAAUAAUAACUGAUUUUACUUACAAAGAAAAGUGUUUCUUGGAGUUUAGAUCACUGGGCUCAGAUUCCUUGUACAAAAAGGGAGUUCCGGUCACUUGUUUCUUUUCCUCGCAUUAGAGAAUUAACAUAUAGUUAAUUCUCUAACCGGUGUGGUACAGAUGCUUCCCCUUAAUGGGUUCAAACACUAAAUCCCUCUCACUGAUGCAACUUGCAAUGGCUCGUGCCUCUCACCUAGCAUUUGCCAUUCAAGGUGAUCUUUAACCUUGGAUUACCCUUCACAAGCUCGCAAGAGAUAACUAAUGGAUGUCUCCUUAGAGUCCAAAAGCUUACCAAGUGUUGGCAAUUCUAGAAAAUCAUACCUUCAAACCACCUCCCAAAAGCUCGCAAGAGGUAAACCAGUGCAUCUCCAUUGACGGAGAUCACUUGCCUAACCAAGUGUUGGCUCAAGUGAAUUGAAGGUGUUUUAAGUUAACUAAAAAGAUAAAAACCAUUAACGGGUCACACUUUCUCUUCAUUAAAAACUAAAACAACAAAACUUCCAAUUUAUGCAUGAGGAAACUUACCCGGCUUUCUUUCACUCCAAGAGACGAAGAGCCUAGCCUCUCAUCCUCUGAGAAAAAAUCCUCAGAGUUUGAUUGGCUAGAAAGAAAACUAACGAGAAAACAAAAAUAUAUAUAAGAAGCAGAGCAAAAGCUCUGUUCGUUGAUUACAUAUAUGAUAUAUGAUAUAUGAUGGAUCCUCUUCUUUACAUUGGUUCAAAGAUAUAUAUAGAGAAGAUAUUUUCUAAGAAAUAUCCCAAUAAUAUCUUUGACUAAUUACAAGGAGAAAAUAGAAAUUUACACAAAAUAUCUUGAGAGAAAAAAUCUAACUUAGUCGGUGGCAAAUAUCAGGAAGCUUCAGGAGAAUAUCGCGUCACUGUGCAAAAAUCCGGGUAAUCUGAAAUGCCGGCCGCGGAUGCUCUCCGGGUUAGCGCUAUUAGAAGAUCCGGACAUGCCUGUCUGGGGAGGUUGAAAUGCCUCUUCUUCCAUCCGGCGUCAGGCGUCGGAUUUGAAAUAUCUGAUCAGAGGAUCCUGACAUGUCUGACCGAACAGAAUUUCAGAUGUGAGAUAUCCGGACGUCGCAAGGGGGACCGUUUGCGUGUACAAGGUGUAGAGACCCUUCCCCCUGAUGACACGGAGCACGCAUCGCUAUCCAGAGCAACUCCAUCCGGAUUUCCCAAGAGGACACGCACCGCCAUGCUAUCCGGCACUCGUGAACAUCACACUCCGGAUGAUAGCAUAUCCUAUCCGGAUAUGUUGUCUGGAUCAUUGACUAAAGUGAGCAAGCCUUACUACAGCCCACGUUCCGCCGCUCUUCCAAUGGUGUGUCCGGACGCCCUGUCUGGACAUCUUUUUCCAUGGAUUCCAAAGAACUCUCCUCAAUCUCGGAUUGCUUUGGUGAUAAAAAAGCUAUCAAAACACCAAAACUUAACACAAUUUGAUUAGAAUUGAUUGCAAGGGUCCUUAAUAUGUUAAUUGGGUUAAAAAGUGAUAACUACUACUCAAAAGUGUUUAAAAGAGUUAAUUACAAGCUAUGAAAUAACACUUUUUGAGUAGUAAUCAAUAAUGUUCUCUAUUGUAUAGUGGAAUGAUUCUCUUUCAUUCGUGGAUGUAGGCAUGGUUGUCGAACCACAUUAAAACCUCGUGUACUGUUUGUGUUUUUUUUUUAAAAAAAAUUAAUCUUUGUUUCUUGAUUAAUGAUGUGUGCAUCAAAGCUUCCAUCUACGUAACAAACUGGUAUCAGAGCUUGGGUUGAAGAUUUUUGGAAUAGUAAAAGAUCACAAAGCACACAAGAUGAAAACAAAAGGAAUUUUUAGUGAAUGUGGAGUCAAUUGUUCUCUCAUGGUGAUAUGAUACAAAAAGUUUGUGUCAUGGAGGGUUUAAUGAUUGACUCCAUGGAAUUUGGUCCAAGGUAGAGAUUGUUAGGAAGUGUCCCAAAUUCCUAAUUAGUAUAGAUUUUUUUUUUAUAAAGAAUCUUGUAUAGAAUAUUUCUAGGUUGAUAUAUUAUUGUAAUAUUAGACUUCCUUAUAGAAUAAUGAAGGUUGUUGGAAAUAUUUUUAUAAAUAUUUUUAGUCAUGAGGGGAAAAAGUUAUGAGAUGAAGAUGAGCCUAUAAAGACCAUACGAGAUGGAUAGAGAUAUGAGGAAGAAUCGAAGGUACCCAGUGGAGCAAGAGGGCUCGUGGUAGGGUAUGAAUAUGAAGAGUGGGGAAACAUGGGAUGUUUUGGGAACCCAAUAGUUGUAUCUAGUUUUGUCAUCUAUAAUGUUCUGGUUCUGGCAUCUAUAAUGUUCUGGUUUUGUCCUAUGUAAUGUUCUUUAUUGUAUAGUGGAAUUAUUAUCUCUCAUCUGUGUAGACAAGUUGCUAAACCACGUUAAAACCUCGAAUACCAUUUGUGUUGAUUUUUUUUAUCUUUGCGUUCUUGAUUAACGAUGCUUGCAUCAAAGCUUCUACCAACGUAACAAUGUGCAACAUAUUUGAUAUAACUUAUAUUUUCUUAAGUAAUUGAACACUUUUUCUAUAAAUUUACUUGAUUAUCAAUGAAUACCUACAUAUACGGUAUUGACAUAGUUUGAUAAAUAUUUUAAAAUAGUAUUAGAAUGGCUUUUCUUUUUCCCAAUUAACAAAUUUAUCAAAUAUAUACAUACACACACACACACACACAUAAUACUCAUUAGUAUGUCUUUUAUGAAAAAACUAUAUUUGUUUAUUUGAAUUUAGUAGCCAUUCAACUCCUUAGUUACUCAUAAACUUUUUAUCACCUUCUUAAAGUCAAGUCAUUUACAAUUAUUUCUAUCUAGCCUUCUCCAUUAUAACAACUUUAUAAGAUAGUGAUUGAUUGGAAGAAUCUACAUGCCUUUGUUGAUAGGAUAAUUGUUUUUCUUUUUUUUUCGUAUUCAAAGAAUCUUGCUUCUGUUAUUGAAACUUUCAAAUCCUUUAUGUCAAGUUGUCUUAUAAUUCCCUAUUCAUUGGUCUUUCAUAUUACCAAUCAUUUUGAAAAUGAGUUAAUUUCAUUCACAUCCUCUGAGAUUUGAUGUAAAUUCGCUUAGUUACCAAUGAUUUCAAAUUUCAUUAAUUAGUACCCCUAUAGAUGUAAUUUGUGUACAAAAUUUAUUUUUUAAAAGAGUUUAGGUAAAAAUAUUUUAGGUAUAUGUCUUUAACAAUUCUCUAAAAUAAAUUUUACUUGCUAAAAAAUAACUUAUAUAGAUAGAAUACAUCUACAGGAGUUCUAACUAACGAAAUUUAAAACUAAUGGUGGUUUAGUGUAUUUAAACUAAACAUUAGGAAGGGUGACUGAAAUUAACCCUCUAGGUAUAUAUGUUUAACAAAAUUUUUAUUGUUUAUUUUUCAUUUAAUGUUUGCAUUUUUCAAUAAACAUUGAAAAGGAAUUGUUUUUCCAUAUGUUAACAAAAAGAAAUUUGAACACCUAUAAAAAUAAAAUCUUGUAGCAAAAUUGGAGUUACAUUAUCAGACUUUUAAUGAGUGUUUAUGUUUAGAAAGACCAAUUAAAGCAAGCAUGCAUCUAGAAAUUGUAACUUAGAUGCAUCAAACAUGAGCAACAUAUUUGAUAUAACCAAUAGUUUCUUAAGUAACUAAACACUUCUUUUUCUAUAAAUUUACUUGAUUAUCGAUGAAUACUUACAUAUAUUUACAUAGUUUGAUAAAUAUUUUAAAAUAAUAUUAGAAUAACUUUGUUUUUUCUCAAUUAUAUUAGAAAAUAAUAUAAAGUUACUUAUAAACUUUAUAUCAUUUUCUCAAAGUCAAGUCAUUUACAAUUAUUUCUAUCUAGCCUUCUCCAUUAUGACAACUUUUAUAUGAUAGCCGUUGAUUGGAAGAAUCUACAUGUCUUUUUUGAUAGGAUAGUUGUUUUUAUUUUUUUAUUUUUUUUAUUCCAAAAAUUUGCUUCUAUCAUUGAAACUUUCAAAUCUUUUAUGUAUAUUACCAAUCAUUUUACAAGUGAGUUAAUUUCACUUAGGGUAGAUAUACUUAGCCACACCCCUAUAGAUGUAAUUUGUGUUUAAAUUUUAUUUUUUAUUUAGGUAAAAAUAUCUUAGGUAUAUGUGUUCAACAAUUCUCUAAAAAAUAAAUUUUCUUAUCUAAAAGUUUAUAUAGACAAAAUACAUCUAUAGAAGUCCUAAUUAAUGAAAUUUAAAAUUAAUGGUUGUUUAGUGUAUUUACAUUAAACCUUAUGGGGUAUGAUUGAAAUUAACUCUUUUACAAGCACUUGUAGCUAAUAUGUUUGUAGUUGUAGUGUUGGAAAUUGAUCAUUUUCUUGAAGGCCUCUAAGAUAUUGAAAAUAUUGCCAUAGUUUUAGACUUUUUUUUAUUACACCUAAUAAAAAAUAUUAUUAAUUUAACAUAUAUAUUCUUGACUUAAAAGUAAAGUCUCUCCAUAUUGUAUAAGCCCUUAGGUGGCAAUAUUAGGUGAAGUUUUUCUUUCGUUUAUUACAAAAUAUAAAUAAUUUAUUAUUGUAUGAUAAAAUUUUAUGUAAUAUAUUUUUAUAGAUGUAAAAUUAUUAAUUGGGUUUUUUUUUUACUAAAUUGUCAUUUCAAUAUAUAAAACUUAUUUGUAAAAAGACAAUUAUAAACUAUAUGAAAUUGAAAAACAUUUAGUUUUUUUAUUUAAUUUAGAAUUUUAUUUGGAUUAAUAAUUGAUAUUUGUAAGAUUUUUUAAUAUUAAAAAAAGUUAGCAUACUUAAGAAAGAUAUUCAAGAUCGGGAGUGUUUGAUAUUGGAUUAAUUUCCUUAUUUUCUCUAUUUUAAUAAAUUUUCACGUCCAUUACAAAAUUUUUGUUGUUUAUUUUUCACUUCAAUAUUUUUAUUUUGUAAUAGACAUUUGAAAAGAUUUUUUCCUACAUGUUAAAAAAAAAAAUAUUUGAACACUCCUAAAAAAGAAUAUUGCUAUAAAAUUAAAGUUUACAUUGUAGGACUAUUAGCAAAUGCUAUAUACUUAAAAUAGACCAAUUAAAGUAGAAAUACUUCUAAAAUUGUAAUUUAGGUAACAAUAAUAUAAAAAGAUAAUAUUUUUGAAACAAUAGUUCUCUUGGAGUUUUGGGUACGAUGGACUAGACUUUAUGUACAAUAGAUAUACAAACUUUCCAUUAACAUCUUGAGAGACAUGAUGAGGAGCAAAGUCAUCCAAGAAGGUACCAUAGAGGUACCUUAGCUCCAUUCAUCUAGACUACAUAAUGUUUAAAGAUCAAAUUCAAUGACUAGAUUUCAAAAAUCAAUAUAAGCUUUCUCAUAUUCUACUCUAUAUAAGACAAUGGUAUGAUACCUCUCUUGUGUCGUAGAAUGCACCAUGAAAACCUUAUCAUUUUAACAUCAGUUUGAAACUUAAAAGUCACUUAGCACAUUCUAGUUAUUAAUCUAAGAGCAUUAAAAGAAAAUAUAAAAAAAGUUACUUUAUCCUUGUGAUUUUGAUUUAGGACUUUUAAUGAUAUUAAAAAAAAAAAACAAAACAGAAAAAUAAAUGGAAAUAAAAUCAACAAAUUAAACAAUUGAAUUAAGUUAGUUUAAUUCUUGCAUCGUUAAAUGGGUAAAUAAAGACUCUUAGAUUUGAUAUUAAUAUGAACAUCAUGACUUCAGUGAAUCUUACAAGAAAAUUUUAGUUUGAAAGACUUCAUUCAUUAAACGUGUGGCACAUAUUAAAGUAAAACUAAGUCUUCUCUAUAAUUUGUACCUAUCAUAGUUUCUUUCCUUAUAAAUAGCCUUUUUUGAAUAUAAUAUAGACUUCAACAUGCAUGGUGGGGCCAAUCAAACUACUAGUCAAGACAACUCAUGGGCAACAACGAUGUACCAACUACAUUUAAAUACUCUUCAUCUAUUUACAUAUCAAGAGUAAUUUAGUAGUGUCUUAUUUAUGUACCUCAUAUCUAGACUUUCAAUGGAGAGUUCUUCAUCUAAAAAUUUGACUUGGGUUUUCAUACUAGUUUUGGUUUAGACAUGUGGAUGCAAAGGUUGCAUCAAAGAAGAGAAGUAGGCUAAAUCAUCUUACAAAUUUUAUAGUUCAAAUUAGAUGCACCAAACAUAUGCAACAUAUUUGAUAUAACUAAUAUUUUCUUAAGUAAUUGAAUACAAUUUUUUUUUUAAAUUUACUUGAUUAUUAAUGAAUAACUACAUGUAUGGUAUUGACACAACAUGAUAAAUCUUUUAAAAUAGUAUUAGAAUAACUUUGCUAAAAAAAAGUAAAAAUAAAAAUAAAAAUACAUCUAUAUAUAAAAUUAAAUUAAAUUAAAAAUUAAAAAAGAAUAUAUAUUCUCUGUGUGUGUGUGUGUGCAUGGUCCCACAACUCAUUAGCUACUCAUAAGCUUUAUAUCACUUUCUCAAAGUCAAGUCAUUUUGUAAUUAUUUCUAUCUAGCCUUCUCCAUUACGACAACUGUAUAGGAUAUUGAUUGGUUGGAAAAAUCUUCAUGUCUUUUUUUAUAAGAUAGUUUUUUUAUUAUUAUUAUUAUUCAAAGAAUUUGCUUUUAUUAUUGAAACUUUCAAAUCCUUUAUGUCUAGUGGUCCUACAAUUCCCUAUUCAUUGGUAUUUCAUAUUACCAAUCAUUUUACAAAUAAGUUUAUUUCACCCGGUAAAUAUACUUAACUACUAAUGGUUUCAAAUUUAAUUGAUUAACACACUUAUAGAUGUAAUUUGUUUUUAAAUUUUAUUUUUUUAGAAGAAUUGUAGGUAAAAAUGUUUUAGGAAUAUGUGUUCAAUAAUUCUCUAAAAACAAUUUAUAUAGAUGGAAUACAUUCAUGUAAGUUCCAACUAAUGAAAUUUAAAACUAAUGACAAUUUAAUGUAUUUGCACUAAAUCUUAGGGGAGGUGUACUAAAACUAGCCCUUUUACAAAUAUUUGAUAUGAAAUUAAUUAAUUAAUUUUUUCUAUUUAAAUAAAUUUUUGCAUCCAUUAAUAAAAUUUUAUUGUUUAUUUUUCACUUCAAUAUUUUUAUUUUGUAAAAUAAAUAGAAAUAAAAUCAACAAAUUAAAAAAUUGAAUUAAGUUAGUUUAAUUUUGCCACCUUUAAAUUGGUAAAUGAAGACUCUUAUAUUUGAUAUUAACAUGAACAUCAUGACUUUAUUGAAUCUCACAAGAAAAUUUUAGUUUGAAAGAUUUUAUCCUUUAAACAUGUGACACAUAUUAAAGUGAGACCAAGUCUUCCCUAUAAUUUGUAUCUAUCACAAUUUCUUUCCUAAUGAAUAGCCUUUUUGAAUAGAAUAUAGACUUUAGCAUGCAUGGUGGGGCCUAGCUAUCAAACUACUAGUCAAAACAACUCAUGGGCAAGAAUGAUGUACCAACUAGAUUAAGUAUUCUCCAUCUAUUUGCAUAUCAAGAGUAAUUUAGUAGUAUCUUUCUUGUGUACCUCAUUUCUAGACUUUCAAUGGAGAGUUUUUUAUCUUAAAAUUUGACGUGGGUUUUCAUACUAGUCUUGGUUCAGAUAUGUGAAUGCAAAGGUUGCAUCAAAGAAGAGAAGUAGGCUAAGUCAUCUUACAAAUUUUCAAGUUCAAAUUAGAUGCAUCGAACAUGUGCAACAUAUUUGAUAUAACUAAUAUUUUACCAAGCAACUAAAUACUUUAUAUAUAUAUAUAAAUUUAUUGAUGAUCAAUGAAUACCUACAUGUAUGGUAUUGACACAGUUUGAUAAAUCUUUUAAAAUAGUAUUAGAAUAACUUUGCUAAAAAAAGUAAAAAUAAAAUAAAAUAAAAUAUAUAUAUAUAUAUAUAUAUAAAUAAACAAAAUAAAAAAUUUAAAAAGAAUAUAUAUAUUAGUGGUCCCACAACUCAUUAGCUACUCAUAAGCUUUAUAUCAUUUUCUUAAAGUCAAGUCAUUUACAAUUAUUUCUAUAUAGCCUUCUCCAUUGCGACAACUGUACAAUAUAUUAAUUGAUUGAAAAAAUCAUCAUGUCUUUUUUGAUAGGAUAGUUUUUUUUUUAUUCAAAGAACUUUCAAAUUCUUUAUGUCUAGUGGUCCUACAAUUCCCUAUUCAUUGGUAUUUCAUAUUACCAACCAUUUUACAAAUAAGUUAAUUUCACUCGAUAAAUAUACUUAACCACCAAUGGUUUCCAAUUUGUAGCAUUCUUAUAGAUGUAGUUUGUUUUUAAAUUUUAUUUUUUAGAAGAAUUGUAGGUAAAAAUAUUUUAGCUAUAUAUGUUCAACAAUUCUCUAAAAACAAUUUAUAUAGAUGGAAUACGUUCAUGGAAGUUCCAACUAAUGAAAUUUAAAACCAAUGAUGAUUUAAUGUAUUUGUACUAAAUCUUAGGGAGUGUGGACUAAAAUUAGCCCUUUUACAAAUAUUUAUAACUAGUAUAUUUGUAGUUGUGGUAUUGGAAGUUGAUCAUUUUCUUAAAAGGUUUACCAUUGAAGUUAGUUGAAUAUAAAGUUAGGUGAACUUUACCAUUGUUAAAUUGGUAAAUGAAGACUCUUAGAUUUGAUACUAACAUGUACAUCAUGACUUCAUUGAAUCUCUCACAAGGAAAUUUUAGUUUGAAAGACUUCAUCUUUUAAACAUGUGGCACAUAUUAAAGUGAGACCAAGUCUUCCCUAUAAUUUGUAUCUAUCACAAUUUCUUUCCUCAUAAAUAGCCUUUUUGAAUAGAAUUAAUAUAGACUUUAGCAUGCAUGAUGGGCCCUAUCAAACUAUUAGUCAAGAUAAUUUGUAGGUAAGAACGAUGGACCAACUAUAUUAAAUACUCUUCAUCUAUUUGCAUAUCAAGAGCAACUUAAUAUUGUCUUUCUUUUGUACUUCAUGUUUGAACUUUCAAUGGAGAGUUUGUCAUCUAAAUAUUUGAUGUGGGUUUUUAUACUACUCUUGGUUCAAAUAUGUGGAUGCAAAGGUUGCAUCGAAGAAGAGAAGAUGGGUUUGCUUGAAUUCAAGGCUUUUCUUAAAUUGAAUAAUGAGCAUGCAGAUUUUCUUCUCCCUUCAUGGAUAGAUAACAACACUAGUGAAUGUUGUAAUUGGGAGCGGGUUAUUUGCAAUCCCACCACAGGUCGAGUUAAGAAGCUUUUCUUCAAUGAUAUAACGCGACAACACUUGGAAGACAAUUGGUACUAUUACGAAAAUGUCAAAUUCUGGUUACUAAAUGUCUCCUUAUUCCUUCCUUUUGAAGAACUUCACCAUCUAAACUUGUCUGCAAACUCAUUUGAUGGGUUUAUUGAGAAUGAAGGUAUGUUACCUCUCACCUUUAAAUUUUCUUUUCACUUAUACUCCAAACAUUCUAAAGGAACUACUAGCAUAUGUUCUUAAAAGUGUUCAGGUGGAGAACAAAUGGUCACUAGUAACUAUUGAAUUUAAUAUAAGAACAAUUACUAAUUAUUAAAAUUUAUAAUGUAAAUUAACAUUUAAACAGAACAAUAAAAAAAUUAUUAUUUUAGAAAACUAUAGAUUACAUUAGCCUUAUAUAUAUAAGCAUACUUGUUAUUUAUGUCAUCAUUUCACACUCAACCCAAUAAGUGGGAUUCAACUAAGAGUGAGCAAUUUCACAAUUAUUAAUUAACAGGAACACUUAGGCUCCCAUAUCCUUAUCAUUUUUGCUGAAUUGUCUUUCCUUAUCUUCCAUUCCUAAAAAGCUUGAUUUCUAUAUUCCAAAUUGAUAGAGAUUGGUUAAAGAAAGGUGAUCACAAAAUUUGACUAUUGCUUUCAAAUGAGGAAUCACCAUCUUCAAAAUUUCACAUUUACAAAAAAAAUAAAUAAAAUAAAUAAAUAAAUAAAACUAGCCUCGGGUAAGGUCCAAGCCUUAUUGUUUUAAGCUGAUGUCAGAUUGGUUUAAUAAUGAACAGAGUAAAUCCUAACCCAUGACCAUCUACGCAUUUCCAAAUUCCACCCAUCCACAACCCAUUAAUAUGACAUUUUCAGGGACAAAAUUUAAUCAAUUAAACCUAUUAGAUGGAUUCUCCAUACAAUGUUAAAAUGAAUAUAAAAACUUUAAUUCAAAAAAUAAUUUCCUUUAUUUAGUUAGGAUUCAAAUUAUAGGGGCACAAAACAUGAAAAUUUUCAUGUUUAAAAUUCACAAAGAUCACAAAAGCUCUUUGAAGCUCUAUGGACUUUUUUAUUUCUAACAUUUAAACACAAAAAUCACCAAAUUUAAUUAGAGAUUUGGAUGCAUAUUCUUAUAUUAAAGACAUGUAAGCUUACAUAUUUAAAUAUGAAGAUCUCAACUUGUAAUUACAUGCUUCUAAUUAAAGUUAUAUUACUCUAUUUUACAGGAUUUAAAGGGUUAUCAAGUUUAAAGAAAUUGGAGAUCUUGGACAUAAGUGGUAAUGAGUUUGACAAAAGUGCCUUAAAAUCUUUGGGCACAAUAACAUCACUCAAGACAUUGGCUAUUUGCAGCAUGGGACUGAAUGGAUCUUUUUCCAUUCGAGGCAUGUUAUAUGUCCACAUUGUUUCUUUGAAAUUAAGUAAAAUAUAUUUCUAACUUUUAAUGUUCCUUAGUUAAUCUCUCUUUUGAUUCAUGUUUGUUGCAGACUUAGCUAGUUUGAGAAAUUUGGAAGUGUUGGAUCUAAGCUAUAAUCAUUUGGAAAGCUUUCAACUAUUGCAAGGUACUUCAUUAACUUGCUAAAAAAACUUACGAUAUUUUGUUAUUAAAUUAAAGGUAAGAUUAACAAACAAUUUCUUCUCAUUAGUUACUUUUCUUUGUAAUAUCAUUAAAUUUGAUAUAAUGUAGUCUAAAUCAUCCUUUCAAUUUAUAAGUUUUAAUUAAAACGCAUCAAGCAUGCACAAGAUGUUUAAUAUAACUAAUAUUUUCAUAAGUAAUUGAAUUUUUUUUAUGAAUUAAUUAACUUGAUUAUCAAUAAAUGCUUACAUGUAUAAGAUUAAUAUAGUUUCAUAAGUAUUUUAAAAUUGUCUUACAACACACACACACACACACAAGGAAAAUGAAAGGUAUGUGAUACCUUUAUGCUAUGUUUGGUUCUCAAAAAAAAUUGAGGGAAAAUGAAAGGAGAAAAAAAUAGAGAGGAAAAGUAAAAGAAAAGAAAAGAAAAAAAGUGAAGAAAAAUAUAAAAUUGAUUAAAGUAAAUACAUUAUUUUUAUAUGUUACUUUAACUUGUUUCACUUAUUUUAAUUCUUCAAUGUAAAGAUGAAAGAUUUGAAAAUGCAUAAGUUUCUAAUUAUUUUUUUAUUUUAUUUUAUAGUUUUUACAAUACAACCAAACAUAAUAAAAUCAUUUUCUUUAAUUUUUUUUCUUUUCUUAAUACUUUUCACGAACCCUUAAGUUAUGUUUGGUUUGCAGAAAAUAUGAGGAACAGAAAAUAGAAAAGAAAAUUAAAAGGAAAGAAAAAGUGAAGUAAAAUAAAAAUAAAUUUAAAUUUAAUAAAUUAUUUUUAUAUGCUACUUUAAACUUAUUUCACUUAUUUUAAAUUAUUUAAACUCAUUUCUAAUAAAUAAUAAUGGAAAUUGUAGAGAAGUUUGUGUUAUUCAAGCUUUGCAAUGACUUUUCAAGGUGAAGGAAAAUAUUCUUGCUGAAAUUGAAGAAGGAAAUACCUUCUUAAAUAGCCUAUUGACCGAAAACACAUUACCCUAACAUAUACACACACCUUUAUUAUUUAUACAAUCAUUUAAUACUUAAUCCCGUUAGUGGGAUUCUAGUGGUUGUUUCUAUCUUGGUUUCCAAUAUUUCUGAUUGAUAGUGUUGGAUUAAUGAAAUAUCAUAAAUUUUGACCCCAAUAAGGACCAAUCCCUAUUAAAUGUAAUUGGGUUGACCUAAGACUAAAUGUUAGACCCAACUAAUAAAAACCCAUCUGUUUGUUGGAGUCUAAAUAACCCAGCCUUAGGUAGGGCCCAUGCCUUAUUAUUUUAAGAUGUAGUCCAACUGGUUUGACACUGGAUUGAGUAAAGCCCAACUUAUGAGCAUCUGUGCAUUUCCAUCCAUCCACAACCUACUGGCAUGGACAAACUUUGGUCAAUUAAACCUAUUAUAAAUGUAUACAAAAUUUUAAGUUCAAAAGAUAAUUUUUCUUAUUUAGUUAGGAUUCAUAUUAAAAAGGCACAAAGCACGAAUUUUCAUGUUUAAAUUCACAAAUAUCACGAAAGCUCCUUCAAGCUCUAUGGACCAUUUUAUUUGUAACAUUAUAUUACUCUUAAUUAUCAAAUUAACCAACAAAUUCUUCUCAUUAGUUAUUUUUCUUUUGUAGUGUCAUAAAAUUUGAUGUAAAGUAAUAUUGGUCAUCAUUUCAACUUUCAUGUUCCAAUUAGAUGCAUCAAGCAUGUGCAACAUAUUUGAUAUAACUAAUAUUUUUAUAAGUAAUUGAAUUUUUUUUUCUAUAAAUCAAUUAACUUGAUUAUCAAUGAAUACUUUCAUACAUGAUAUUGAUGUAGUUUCAUAAAUAUUUUUAAAUAGUCAUAGAAGUCUUUUAUCUGAUUCACUAGAAAGAAAAAUAAACUAUUCUAAUGAAAAUACUUGAUGAUUUGAAGUGAUUGCUUUUGAUUUUAUUUGAUUGCUACCAUUAUUAAUUGUUAGAAAUUGGCAACAAAUACCCAUUUUGCAUCACUUCUAUAUGCAUCGAGGGAAUGAAUUAUAUUUCAUAGAGCUAACAGGGCAAAACUCAUACUUUUGGAAUUAUGGAAAAGGUUGCUAGAAAGCUAAUUAACAAUUUAUAUUAUGAUUAAGACUAGUUGGGUUAGAAAUAAUUCAUAUGGAGAUUAAAAAAAACUAUGUAAUUUAGUUUAGUAGCUUGGGUGCUAUUGUAAUGAUUAAUGAUCUGCAACUUGAACACAUCUACUAGUGCUUUCUACUUGUAUAGCUAAAUUUAUGUUACCACUUUGAACUACAGUACUUACAUGAGAAGAAAGCUUUUCCUUAGUGAUAAUGCAAAAGAAAUUAAGUAUCAAUUUUUGUUAAACUAACAAGUGAUAGUUUAGAUAUGUUUUGAAUACACUUCCUUUCUUCUAUUUUUUUAUUUUGAAAAAAAAAACUCUUUAAUGAAAUAUAAGAAAUCUUAUAUGUAUAAAAAGUAAAGACUUAAACAAAAAAAUUCUUCAAAUUUUAAAAAUUUCGAGAAGUAUUUUUAAGAAUUUGUAUUUUUAGUAUAAUAAUUCCUAUAUUUUGUAUAAAAGCUUUUGUUCAAAAAAAUAGAAGUGUAUCCAAAUUAAAAAUUAAUGGUUAAAUUAAGAAUGUUUCUCAGAUCAAGGGAUAAUGAAAGUUGUAGAGAGUUUGCAUUACUCAACCUUUGCAACUACUUUUUGAAGGUAAAAGAAAAUACCUUCUUACAUAACAUACAAUGGCAAGUUCUGGUUUGUAAGAAACUAAUAAAUGAUUAAGAAUAUGAAUAAGACUUCCUUAAUAAUAGAUAUGUAGAGAAGAAUAGUGGAUGAUAGGAGGUGAAAAUCUUGUAAUAAAAUAUCAAUAUCGGUUAUAAGAUAAUCAACAUUUUCUUGUACCUAUGUGAUUAAGAAUCUUGUAGCUCCCUUAUUGAAAUAUAAUAUAAAAAUAUAAAUAAACUAUUUAGAAGUGCAUGUAGUUUUCAACAUGAGGAAGUUCAAAAGCAAGUUAAUUAUGAUAAUUUUCUAUAGUCUAUAUUGAACACAAAUUAUUUUUUCUAAAGGUUCAAUCGUUCUAUGAAGGUUAAAAGUUUGAAUUGUUUACAUAUGCAAAUGUGAAAUUUGAAAUUUUAUAAUGUUUUAUAAUUUUCUUGUAGAUUCAAAAAACUUGUCCAUAUUCAAAAAGCUCGAGACCUUGAACCUCAAUCACAACAAGUUCAAAAACACUAGCCUACAACAAUUGAAUAUAUUUACAUCCCUUAAAAAUCUUUCUCUAAGACGGAACUAUGAUGGAGGAUUUUUUCCGAUCCAAGGUAUGUGUAAUUAUUAUUAUUAUUUUUAAUGAUAAAAUAUUAGAAUUGUCAACAUCUUUUAUCUUUUUUCCCCUCAAUGGUGUUGCAGAAUUAUGCACUCUAGAAAACUUGGUGAUGUUGGACCUAAGUGGGAAUUUCUUUAUUGGCAUGCAAGGUAAAUACAAAGUGAAGUUUUGGUUAUAUAUAUAUAUCAUGUAAGAACAUAACUAAAAUCAACAUUCUUUGCCUAUCAAUUUGUGCAUGACUAUUAUUUAGUUAUUCUUCGUAACAUAAUUGAAAGAAUGUUUAGGUGUAUAACAUUUAAGAAUUUUACAUGGCACAAUGAAAAACAUGGUAAUCAAUGUAUGCAAUAAAAUUCUAAUAGUUGAAAAAGAAUUUUCUUGUAAUUUUAUGUUCGUGUAUAGUAAUCAAAGAGAAAAUCAUGAAAAUGUAUAUUAGUUAGACUUUAUAUAUCAAUAGACAAAAAAGAAAGAAAAAAGAUUAGUUCCUUAACUUAUCCUAAAAUUUUCUAGAUAACAAGGAGUUUUUUUAUUUUGGGCUAUAAGAUUUACAACCUGAAAAGUGAAGAUGAUUAAUAUUAGUAAUAUAAUUUUGAAAUAUAAAAAUUAAUGAAAUAAUGUUCUCUAUAACUAUAACUGCAACUGCAACUAUUAAUAAAAGAUAAUAAAAGUACUUUAGACUUUGAAUCCAUGGUUAGGUUUGCAAUUUUUUGAUGAUCAAUAAAGCUACAACUUAUGCUGCAAAAGGCUAUACAAAAUGUAUUAGGAGCAUUGCUAAGCUCAUUUAUCAAUAAAAGAAAUCCAGUAAUACUUUGAUUGGAAAAAACCUAGAAUCAUGUUUGAUAUAUAUAAUAGGAGAAGAAACAAAAUAACAAUUCCAUGGUAUUAGUUAGUUUGAUAUCCCUUUUGUUAUAUGGAAUAACUAUUCCAUUUUAAAAUAAUUAUUUCAUCUUAUCGCUAGAACAAAAAAUUUCAAGCAAUUAUAUGCGCUUUUGGGUUUCUUAAGAAUUUAAGCAUUUAUGGGUCACCCAUAUAUACAUAUAUAUAUAUAUAUAUAUAUAUAUAUAUGUAGGAAGAAUAAAAAAAAAUAUUAUACGGAGACAAGGGUAGACACCCAUAUAUAUAUAUAUAUAUAUAUAUAUAUAUAUAUAUGUAGGAAGAAUAUAAAAAAAUAUUAUAUGGAGACAAGGGUAGACACCCAUAAAUGUACAUAUAAUUAUUUAAAUAAAAAAUCAAUAAGAAACAAUAUACAACAAAAUAGAAAAUUUUAAUCUUCUUAAAUUUUAAAAAUAAAAACUAAAUGAAAAAAAAUUAAGAAGUAAAAAUAAUAAUAAAAAGGUCAAGAAUACAAAUAGAGAAGUAAACAAAAAAAAUACAUAAAUUAAAAUUAAAAUUUAAAAGAAAAAAUACAUAGAUUAAUAUGAACACUAAAUGAGGUUUUUUGAGAUAGACUUAGUUAGACCUGAACCAGAUGGAUAUUAAAAAAAAUAAAAAAAAAUUGAAAGAAAUAAAAACUAAUUAGAUGCUAAAUAUUGGAUUAAAAUAACCAAAUGAAUAAAGAGUAAUUAUUAAUUUUUAACAUUUUUUAUUCCCUAGAAUUAUUAUUUUGUGUAUUAAAUGUAUUCUGAGUGUAGUGGUAUAAAAAAUGUAGUUAAGAAUACUAUGAAGAAUAAUAAUGGUGAUGAUAAUGGUGACGACACUUAAUACCUUUUAUUGUACGUUUAGAAAAAAUGAGGUUCUUGAUCUUUAUGGAGAUUAUCAUUACUCAUCCGCAAGCAUGUUGAUAGUUGAAACUACUCAAUUAUCAAAAAUUGAAUUUCUAACCUUCAAUUUUUCUCUCUCAAAUGUAUAUGUGGGUGAGAAAGCACUAGGAAGAUUAUAAGGUCUCACAUGUAUAUGAGUCAUAGGAUAAAAAAUAUAGAGACAAUACUAGCAUUUAUUUGAUCUAGUGGCAAAUAGAGAAAUAUAAAAUAACCAUAACCAUAAUGUUCUAACCUUAUAUAUACCAGAACCAUGUUUCCUUCAUUCAAUGUUGCAACUUUUUCUUUUCAAAUUAGAAUGUAACUUGUAGGAUCCAUUGCCCAUCAAAAUUUUGAAUCGAAUAUUAUAAGAUAUUUCACAUUUCUACCUACUAAAGCAUGAGCUUCAAUGUUCUCAUGCACUUUUGGCUACUAAGUUAAAGAACCCUUUGAGGAUUAAUGGAGUUUCUAUGAGUAGCAAAGCAUUAUAAUCAGAAAGUCUUAUCAGUGAUAUGCAAUUUGACCAAGAACUUAUUCCCAACUAUUUUAUGAAUUUUAUGACUUUUCUUGGCUACUUGUAGGCAAGCUAAAGAAAUUUUCUGGUUUGUUCAAGUCUAAAAAGUGGUUUCAAGUUUAGGGCCAAGCUUGGGCUGCACCUAGGUCCUUGGGCCUUGUUCAGCUCCACGUUUAAACCAACCUUGAGUCCAUCUUUGUAAUUUUUCUCCCAAUUCAUUGAUUAAUAUUAGGAUUUUAUAGAGCCUAUAAAUUGACCAACUAAAUAAAGUAGGUUCAUAAACUUUUAGGUGAAAAUUUUCUCUUUAAUAAAUGUUAAUUCAAGAGUCUCCGUAAUCUUUUUAUAUUCAUAUUAAUUGGUAUUUAAACCGACCUUACUAUAUUAAAGUCAAAUACCAAAUAGUGAACACUAUAUCUACUACUACCACUAUGAUGGUCACAAACAUAGAAUGCUCCAUUUUUUAGAGUCAAUUGAUGCUUAUAAACAACUUUGUUUGAAAAUAAAACACAUCGAGUGAUUGCAUCAAGAGAUUGAUGUAAUAAUUGCAUACUUGAUCUAGAUAAUGUUAAUAUGAGUUGACUAAAUAAAUGAGUAUUUACUUAUAAGGUAGCCCAUAGAACAUUAUUUGUGGAAAUAUUCAUGCACCUCUACAUAUGUUCAUGAUAACUUAGGUUGAUAAAUUUAAGAAGAACAAAUUCAUAACCUUGGGCAUAGUUAGUAAGAAAUUUCACCAAUAGAGUUUGGUAUCAUGAUUCUAAUUGUUCAAAUUGUUUUAAAGGAGUAUUUUAAAUUGCAUGUUAAUUUGCUUCUAAUAAAUGGAGAGAAACCAAUUCAAGAAGAGAAUUGUACUCAAGCUAUGUAUAGCAUUCAUGAAGAUGUAGAAAAUAUUGAUGAACUUACUUUUGAGCAAGUUGAAAUCAUAAUUAAAUAAAAUAACAAACCCAAGGGUUAAGAUUGUCAAGUAAAACUUUAAUUAAAAUUUAUUGAUUUUUUAAAUGCCUAUUAGAGGAGCAAUAGAAGUUCUAGAUAGAAAGUAAGAACUUUUCUAAGGAAUCACUUGUUAGAUUUUAAGUGAUCAAUAAAUAUAAUGUCCAAUUUAAAACUUUUAUAAAAGCAAUGGUUCUAAAGAAUAACUUGAUUUGAAUUUAAAGUUAUUAUUGAUAUUUAUUUAUAAUGGAUGUAGUUAAUCAAUUGAACAUAGUAAAAAACACAUAAUUUUUUCAAAAUACCUUCUAAUUGUUGGGUAUAUUUAAGUAGUUAUUCAUAUCUCAUUAUCUUUUUACUCACAUACUAAUCUCCUUAUUGAGUAUUUACCAAUUACAAGUAGGUUGAAAGUUACUUGAAUUUAAGUCACUAAUCAAUGUUAACUUGAUGACAAAUAAGUCUCCCUUUGAAACUUGUUUUAUAACAUAGCGAAAUGUAGUCGAUCAAUCAUCAAAACAAUGUUUAAGCAUUGGGAUUUAGUUGUUAAUUUUUAUUUUUUAUUUUUUGUGCUUAAACAAAGACAAAAAUUAUAAAAACUCCUGAAAAGUACAUAUUAAUUGAAUUUAAUUUAUACAUCAAACAAGAACAAACUAGUCUUGGAUUUAAAAUUCAAUAGGUUUUGUAAUUAUAAUUCCUAAAAAUUUGUAAGACAACAAAAUUAUUGGACACUAGGCUAUUGGGUGUGUAUGACUAAGAGGUGAAGGAGGGUUCAUCUUAUACAAAGGAUGAUUUGAUUAAUUUUAAAGAUUGAAUAAACAAUAAUUGCAUAUUCAAGUAAAAAUAACAUUGCUAAAAAGGAAAAUAAGUAUUUUAGUCCUCAAACCUAAAAUGGCUAAAAAAUUUAAUUAAUACAAUUACAACUUCACCUACAAAAAAAAAAAAAAAAAAAUACCCAAAACUUUUCAAUAGCACAACUAAGUCCAUUUAUCAAAAGCUCUAUGAACAACAACAACUAUCAAAUCACAUAAAUCAUGUUGUUUACAAAGUGCCCUUGAUGUUUUAAAACAUAAGAUAUUACAUAAAAAUCAACCAAUAGUGUAUGACAUUAUAAAAAACAUAUCCAAAUCCAUUGUCGAACUUAAACUAAAUUCAACUUUAUAUACAUAGUCGCAAGUGGGUCUUUUUGUCUUUCAAUUUGGGUCAAAUUCAGAUGUUAGUUUUUUACACAACAAGGGAUUAUCAAGGUGAUAAUUCAUGCAUAUAAAUAGUAUUACUUAUAUAAAAAAAAUGGUAAAUGCAAUUUUUUUGUAUUCACUCACCAUUUGGCAUAUCAAUAAGAAAAAAAUAUAUACAAUAGGUGCUAUCAAUAAUAUUAUGCAUCACUAGAAAUUAUAAUUUUUCAUUUGUUAUCACUACUUGUGCACUUUGGAAAGCUUGCUAGGUACAACAAAUUAGCUCAGUGAAGAAAUUGAUCAAUUCCUUCAUUUCUAAAUAAAUUUGCAUAUACACUAGAAUAAAAACAACUUUUUAACUUAACAAGUUGACUGAGUCUCAGAACUUAGUAGGUUGAAGGCAUAGACUUCCAUCCAAGCUCAUUUACUGGCACCACAUGUUGGAAAAAUAAAGAAAAAUCAAAACACUUGAGUAUAGUUGCAAACCAAUCUAAAUAUAGAGUGAGAUCUACCUUUCUUUGAAAGUUUAGAACAAAUUUUUAUUUUUAUGAUAAGACUAUGCAGUACUUAUCCCUCUCUAACAAGUCUAUAAUCAGUCCAAAGCAUGGGAUAUUGCAUAUUUCUUGAACUCAAUUAGCCUUUAAUCCAUGCAUUUCAAGUAAAUUUAAAACCUGGUGUACUUGUUCUUGAUUCACAUCCUUGUCACUAUUAUCAUUACUUGUUCUUGAAUAUAGAACCUUAUUGUCCAUUAACAAGCGGGCCUAUGUUCCUCCAUGAUUCAAGAGUAUUAUGUUUUGUUCAUCAUCAGUUGGUCUUGCUCUAAAGCUUCUUUUUUAUGACUAUCAAUAACCAGACUUAGAUACCAAAAUUUAUGCAAGAGAGCAUGUACUUUAUACAGUCAAGAACUUGUGAGUCUAGACUUUGUUAUCUAGGUAAAAGAAUAAAUUGGUUUGUUAAAAUAGCUAGCAUUAGGUAUCUAUUCAAUUCCUAUCUUAGACAAUAAAGAUACAAAUGAUCAAAUACAUUCUUAUUAAGAAACAUUUGAUACCAAAAGUGAUGUAAGACAACACAGUUCCUCUAUUCAAUCAAGUUUAAGGCUUAGAUGAACCUAUGAAUUUAUAUUAAUUAAUUGGGAAAGAGAAUAAAUAGGCUAAGUAGAAGUGAUAGGAUUGUAAUAGCAUUAAGUUAAUGAUCUUGUUUAGGUCUUCUACUAAAUUAGAGAAGAAACAAACAAAAGUAAUCAAACGUGUUAGUGAUAAUUAUAUCUACUUAACAUUGAGACAAUAGUUGUACUAAUGGUAAUUAUAUUAUUUCUUGAGAGUUUAAACAAUAUAUAUUGAAAAUAUUUUUAAAGGUUUAGCAACUACCAAGGUUAUAAUCAACUACGAGCUUUUUAUUUUUAAAAAUAUGAAAUAUUAAUAUCUUUACUUUCUUUGAUCUUCUUGUAGGUUUUAAAAGUUUGUCUAAGCUGAAAAAGCUGGAAAUCUUAAACCUUCGUGAUAAUCAGUUCAACAAGACCAUUAUAAAACAGUUGAGUGGACUCACAUCCCUUAAAACACUAGUUGUAAGCUACAACUAUAUUGAGGGACUUUUUCCUUCCCAAGGUAUUGCUUAUUCUUUUAAUAUCCUUAGUAACCACUCUACCAUGAUUUUUUUUUUUUUCAAUUUUAUUUUCUUUCUUGAACCAUACAGAAUUAUCUAUUUUUGGAAACUUGAUGACACUGGAUUUAAGAGAUAAUAGACUCAAUGGCUCCCUAUCAAUCCAAGGUAAAUUCUAAUCAGAAUUAUCAUUAUAUUUAGGGCAUAUAAUAAAUUAAUUAAAUUAUUUUAUCUAUUAUCAUUACUUGGUUAUUUGGAUUUUCUUGAUAUUGUUUAGCAUUUUACAUAGGAAAAUGAAAUGGAAAAAUCAACCCAUGCUUAGUGUUUAAGCACUGGGCUAGAAGUAUAUUUGUCUUCCCAAUUUAAUCAAAGAGAAAAGUCAUAAAUAACAUAAUUUAACUUAUACCUUAUAUUGAUUGAAGAGGUUAGACUACUUUUGGAUUUAAUGGUCAAUAUUUGUUGAAGAUAGGGUUUCCUAAAUUUGAUAAAAAGAACUUCAAUUUAAAUUACCAUAACUACAUAAAGGUGUGACUAGCAUAAUUAAACUCUUUUAUUAAUAGAUGUUCAUAGACUAGUAUUAUAAUCCCACAUGCACAAAUAAUCAAAUUUUGAAAUUAGACUUCAAAUAACUAUGCAAUAUACGAAACUACAAAAUGAAUGGUAGGUCAUAAUUAAUUAAAUUCGUACUAUAUUCAAUGUUGGUCAACACGUGUCAAGUAAAAGUUUUGGCCUAAGUGUAAGGGCUCACUUGCUCCAAUAUAUAUGUUAUUCACUUUGGGUCAAGGCCUACUUUAAAAUAUCUAUACAUUUAUGAGAUAUUUUAAAAUGUAAAAUGAUAGGUUUUGAUCAUUUUUAAAGGUAGCAAACAUUUUAUUUUAUUUGUAUUUAAGAACAACGUCUUUUCUUAUACAAUGUUUAUUUAAUUUUCUUUUGAUAGAUUUUGCAAGCUUAAGCAAUUUGGAGAUAUUGGAUUUGAGUUAUAAUUCCUUCAAUGGAAUUGUUUCAUCAUCUAUAAGAUUAAAGUCUUCUCUCAAGUCUUUAUCCUUGGCUGGAAAUAGACUCAAUGGUUCUUUACAAUGUCAAGGUAGGAAACAUUUAAUUUUAUUUGUAUUUAAGAACAAUGUCUUUUCUUAUAUAAUGUUUUUUUAAUUUUCUUUUGAUAGAUUUUGCAAGCUUAAGAAAUUUGGAGAUAUUGGAUUUGAGUUAUAAUUCCUUCAAUGGAAUUGUUUCAUCAUCUAUAAGAUUAAAGUCUUCUCUCAAGUCUUUAUCCUUGGCUGAAAAUAGACUCAAUGGUUCUUUUCAAUAUCAAGGUACAUAUGUUAUGCUUUCUUUGUUUCAUAAAGAUUAGACAAGAUAAACAUUGUGAAAAAAAGGUUGUCAUAGUUAAUGUAAAAUGAUAGGUUUUUGAUCAUUUUUAAAGGUGGCAAACAUUUUAUUUUAUUUGUAUUUAAGAACAAUGUCUUUUCUUAUACAAUGUUAUUUUAAUUUUCUUUUGACAGAUUUUGCAAGCUUAAACAAUUUGGAGAUAUUGGAUUUGAGUGGUAAUUUCUUCAAUGGAAUUGUUUCAUCAUCUAUAAGAUUAAAGUCUUCUCUCAAGUCUUUAUCCUUGGCUAGUAAUAGACUCAAUGGUUCUUUUCAAUAUCAAGGUACAUAUGUUAUGAUUUCUUUGUUUCAUAAAGAUUAGACAAGAUAAACAUUGUGAAAAAAAGGUUGUCAUAGUUAAUGUAAAAUGAUAUGUUUUGAUCAUUUUUAAAGGUGGCAAACAUUUUAUUUUAUUUGUAUUUAAGAACAAUGUCUUUUCUUAUACAAUGUUAUUUUAAUUUUCUUUUGACAGAUUUUGCAAGCUUAAACAAUUUGGAGAUAUUGGAUUUGAGUGGUAAUUUCUUCAAUGGAAUUUUUUCAUCAUCUAUAAGAUUUAAGUCUUCUCUCAAGUCUUUAUCCUUGGCUGUAAAUGGACUCAGUGGUUCUUUACAAUAUCAAGGUACAUAUGUUAUGCUUUCUUCGUUUCAUAGAGAUUAGAGAGGAUAAACAUUGUAAAAAAAAAAAAGUUGUCAUAGUUAAUGCAAGCUAAAACUAAAAAACUUGCUUUUUCAAUUAUGUAAGCAUGUUUUGUUCUUGAUGAAUCUUUACAACAUUCAAAGUUACUAAUAUUUAUAAUUCAUAGAGACCUCAUUAACAACCACUAACAACUAAUUGUAAGUAACUAUGAAAAAAGUAAGGACAAAAAUGAGGGAAAAGCAAGGAAAGUGACAAAUUUUUUCAUCCCCAUAAAAAAUGCUAAGGAAGAAAAAGGUGAAGAAAAUUUAAAGAAAGUAUAUUUUUCAAAAAUUAAAUUUUCUUUCCCUUAAAGUUGGUAUGGACAACCAAACAAGAAAAUGAUUUUGAAAUUCUUUUUUGACUUUUUUCUUUCAUUUUUUUUCCUACUCUAUUUUCUUUCCCUCAAACUUUCUAGGUAGUAAACAUUACCUAAGACAAAUAGGGAAGAAAAUAUUUUAUCAUUUAUUUAUUUAGCAUUUUUCUUACAUUUUUUGUAUUUUAUCCAAAUAUAAGAAAACUAUUUUUCUUUAUUUUUUCUUUUCCUUGUUGCGUUUCAAGAAUCAAGCAUACUUUAAACUCUAAUUAAGAGUUACAUAGAUUUACGAAGAAACGAUGCAACUGGUAACAAAAAAUUAAGGAAAUUUAAUUUUUGAGAGUAAGUAUAAUGAGAUUGGUUUGUUUGAUACAAAAUUUGAAUAAAAAUUCUUUUAAUGAAAAUUCAAGGAAAGGAAAAAAAAAACAACUUUAUCUCUAGACUAUAAUACUAAAUCAAUUAAAAAAAAUCUCCUAACAUCGUUUAUGUUCAUCUUUCUUUUUAUGGAUUUGAAAAACUCAAUAAUUUGGAGAAAACUGAUUUAAGGAAGAAUAUUUUUUAGAGUAAAAGAUUAUUAUUUAAGAAUAUCAUAAAUAUUAUAGUCAUUGUUGAAUAUGAUAAAUGAUAAAUAAAAAAUAAAAAAUAAAUAAAAAGUCGUUGGAAAUUUAGAUACUUUUAUGGAAAGAUAGACAAAGUGCUCUAGUUUAUAAUACUAAUGCACUUUUCUAAUUUGAUAUGAAAAAAGGUAAAACGAUAGGUUUUGAUCAUUUUUAAAGGUAGUUUGUUUAAAUCAUUUUAAUUUAUUUUGAUUUAUGAACAAUAACUUUUAUUACACUAGUUAUUUUGAUUUUCUUUUGAUAGAUUUUGCAAGCUUAAGCAAUUUGAAGGUAUUGGAUUUGAGUUAUAAUUCAUUUAGUGGGAUCGUUCCAUCAUCUAUAAGAUUGAUGUCUUCUCUCAAGUCUUUAUCUCUGGCUGGAAAUGACCUCAAUGGUUCCUUACCAAAUCAAGGUACAUAUAUUGAGAUUACAGGUUUUUCUGUUUUCUUUUUUAAUAUCUUGUUUGUUCUUUAUGCCAAUGAAGUCAUGCAUGUCUAUUAAUUUUUGGUAUUUAAUGAAAAACUUUAUUCUUAAUUCAUAAAGACCUCAUCAACUGUGAGUAACAGCUAGUUGUAAGUUUGGGGGCAUUGACAAGACGAGGAGAUGAUUGGUUACAUGUCUUAUUCUCUUUUGUAGGCUUUUUCCAAUUGAAUAAGCUUCAAGAGUUGGAUCUUAAUUACAACUUAUUCCAAGGGAUCCUUCCUCAAUGUUUGAAUAAUUUGACAUCUCUAAGGUUAUUAGAUCUCUCUUCCAACCUAUUCUCCGAAAAUCUUUCUUCCACUCUGUUACCUAAUCUCACAUCCCUGGAGUACAUUGAUCUCAGUUACAAUCAAUUUGAGGGUUCAUUCUCUUUCAGCUCUUUUGCUAAUCACUCCAAGCUUCAAGUGGUCAUACUUGGAAGUUAUAACAACAAAUUUGAGGUAGUUGGAAGGGAUAACAACAAAUUUGAGGUAGAAACUAAAUAUCCAGUUGGUUGGGUUCCCCUGUUUCAGUUGAAACCUCACCGGUGACCUUCCUGGUUUUCUUCAAUACCAAUUUAGAUUAACGGCAGUUGAUCUCUCCCAUAAUAACUUGACAGGAAGUUUCCCCAAUUGGCUGCUUGAAAACAAUACGAGAUUGGAAUUUCUGCUCCUGAGGAAUAACUCUUUAAAGGGUCAACUACUUCUCCUAGGACCUAAUACCCUGAUCAGUUCGUUGGAUAUCUCACACAAUCAGUUGGAUGGACAACUUCAAGAAAAUGUGGCCCAUAUGAUUCCAAAUAUUUGGAAGUAUUCCCAAUUCAAUCUCUAGACUUCUAGAGCUAAGGAUUCUUUUGCUAAGAGGAAACCUUUUAAGUGGUUUCAUUCCAUAUCGACUUUGUCAUUUGACUAAAAUAAGCUUGAUGGAUCUUUCAAACAACAAUUUUUCUGGGUUAAUUCCUGGAUGCUUUGGUCAUAUCGGAUUUGGAGAUUUCAAAACUGAGCACAAUGUGUAUAUACCGAUGUUGGAUUCAUAUUCAGAAAGCAAUCCUUCUAUAUAUACGGGUUACUUAAUAAAAUAUUUAUUUUUCUCUAGUGAACUCCCUGAUAAAGUAGAUGAAGUUAAGUUUGUUACCAAGAAUAGGUAUAGCUCCCACAUAGUAGAUAAAAAUAUUUGUUCGGAAUUUAGAUAUUUUUAUAGAAAAGUAGACAAGUAUUCUAAUUUAUAAAAACAAUGCAUUUCUUUAGUUUGGUAUAAAAAAAUGAAAUGAUAGGUAUUGGUAAUUUUUUUUAAAGUAGCAAACGUUUUAUUUUAUUUGUAUUUAAGAAAGAUGUCUUUUCUUAUACUAGUUAUUUUAAUUUUCUUUUGACAGUUUUUGCAAGCUUAAGCAAUUUGGAGAUACUAGAUUUGAGUUCUAAUUCCUUAAGUGGGAUUAUUCCAUCAUCUAUAAGAUUGAUGUCUCAUCUCAAGUUUUUAUCGCUGGUCGGAAAUCACCUCAAUGGUUCUUUACAAAAUCAAGGUACAUAUGUUAUGAUUUGUUUGUUUCAUAUAGAUUAGAGAAGAUAAAUAUUGUAAAAAAAAAAAGUUGUAGUUAAUGUAAGUUAGAAAAAAGUAUCUUGCCUUAUAAAUUAUAUAAGCACGUGUUUGUUCUUAAUGAAUCUUUACAACAUUUAGAGUUACCAAUCUUUAUAAUUCAUAAAGACCUCAUAAACACUGAGUAACAACUAAUUGUAAGUAAUUGUGGAAAAGUAAGGAAAACAAAUUGCUUCAUUUGAUACAAAAUUCGAAUAAAAAUUCUUUUAAUGAAAACUCAAGGAAAGGAAAAAACAUUUUUAUCUCUAGAUUAUAAUACUAAAUCAUGUAAAAAAUCUCGUAACAUCAUUUAUAUUCAUAUUUCUUUUUAUAGAUAUGAAAAAUUCAACAAUUUGGAAUAAACUUAUUCAAUGAAGAAUAAUUUUUAGAUUUAAAGAUUAUUAUUUAAGAAGAUCGUAAAUAUUACCAUCAUUGUUGAUGUCUAAGAAGAUCAUAUUCAACAAUUUUUUUAAUAUGUUGUUUUCUAUGGUAAUUAAUUGAUGUCUUGUAAUUUUUAAUAUUUAAUGAAAAACAUUAUUUUAAUUCAUCUAGAGCUCUUAAUUCAUGAAGACCUCAUUAACGGUGAGUAAUAGUUGGCUGUAAGUUUGGAGUCAAAGACAUUUCAAGGAGAUGAUUAGUUACAUGUCUUGUUCUCUUUUGUAGGUUUCUGCCAAUUGAAUAAGCUUCAAGAGUUAGAUCUUUCUUACAACUUAUUCCAAGGGACCCUUCCUCCAUGUUUGAAUAAUUUGACAUCUCUGAGGUUAUUGGAUCUCUCUUCCAACCAUUUAUCCGGAAAUCUUUCUUCGCCUCUGUUACCUAAUCUCACAUCCCUGGAGUAUAUCGAUCUCAGUUACAAUCAUUUUGAGGGUUCAUUCUCUUUCAGCUCUUUUGCUAAUCACUCCAAGCUUCAAGUGGUCAUACUUGGAAGUGAUAACAACAAAUUUGAGGUAGAAACUGAAUAUCCAGUUGGUUGGGUUCCCCUGUUUCAAUUGAAGGCUCUUUUCCUAUCCAACUGCAAGCUCACCGGUGACAUUCCUGAUUUUCUUCAAUACCAAUUCAAAUUAGAGGUGGUUGAUCUAUCCCAUAAUAACUUGACAGGAAGGUUCACCAAUUGGUUGCUUGAAAACAACACGAGACUAGAAUUUCUAGUCCUAAGGAAUAACUCUUUAAUGGGUCAACUACUUCCCCUGAGACCUAAUACCCGUAUCCUUUCAUUGGAUAUCUCACACAAUCAGUUGGAUGGACGACUUCAAGAAAAUGUGGGCCAUAUGAUUCCAAAUAUUGUGUUUCUAAAUUUAUCCAACAAUGGUUUUGAAGGUCUUCUCCCAUCCUCAAUAGCUGAAAUGAGUUCCUUAAGGGUGUUGGAUUUGUCUGCCAAUAAUUUCUCAGGAGAAGUACCAAAGCAGUUGCUUGCAACAAAAGAUUUGGUGAUUCUAAAAUUAUCAUAUAAUAAAUUUCAUGGUGAAAUAUUUUCAAGGGACUUUAACAUGACUGGGUUGGAUAUUUUGUAUUUAGACAAUAAUCAGUUCAUGGGAACUCUGUCAAAUGUAAUCUCCGGAAGCUCUCAGUUAAUGGUGUUGGAUGUGAGCAACAACUACAUGUCAGGUGAAAUUCCAAGCGGGAUAGGUAACAUGACAGAAUUGAGAACAUUGGUCAUGGGCAACAAUAAUUUUAGAGGCAAAUUACCACCUGAGAUUUCUCAAUUGCAACAGAUGAAGUUUCUUGACGUUUCUCAAAAUGCUCUUUCAGGAUCUCUUCCUUCUUUGAAGAGCAUGGAGUAUUUAGAGCAUCUACAUUUGCAAGGGAACAUGUUUACAGGAUUAAUACCGAGAGAUUUUCUCAAUUCCUCAGAUCUAUUGACUUUGGAUAUGCGAGAUAACAGGUUAUUUGGAAGUAUUCCCAAUUCAAUCUCUGCACUUUUGGAGCUAAGGAUUCUUUUGCUAAGAGGAAACCUUUUCAGUGGUUUCAUUCCAAAUCAUCUUUGUCAUUUAACUAAAAUAAGCUUGAUGGAUCUUUCAAAUAACUCUUUUUCAGGGCCAAUUCCCAAAUGCUUUGGCGAUAUCCGAUUUGGGGAGAUGAAAAAGGAGAAUGACGUGUUUAGACAGUUCAUUGAUUUUGGGUAUGGAGGGGAUUCUCGUAAUUUAUAUGUUGGAUUCACGGUGAAAAAAUGGGAGUUCGAUAGUGAUGUAUAUGAUGAAAAAAAUGAAGUUGAGUUUGUCACCAAGAACAGGCAUGACUCCUACAGUGGUGACAUCCUUAAUUUCAUGUUUGGAUUGGACUUGUCAUGUAAUAACUUAACCGGUGAAAUCCCUCACAAACUUGGAAAGCUAAGUUGGAUUCAUGCAUUGAACUUGUCUCACAAUCAAUUGAAGGACUCCAUUCCAAAGAGUUUCUCCAAUCUUUCUCAAAUAGAGAGCUUGGACCUUUCUUAUAAUAAAUUAAGUGGAGAAAUUCCUCUAGAGCUAGUUGAACUCAAUUUUCUAGAGGUGUUCAGUGUGGCUUACAACAACAUCUCUGGUAGAGUUCCAGAUACAAAAGCACAAUUUGGGACAUUUGAUGAAAGAAGCUAUGAAGGUAAUCCUUUUCUCUGUGGGACAUUGUUAAAGAGAAAAUGCAACACAAGUAUCGAGCCACCAUGCGCACCAUCACAAUCUUUUGAAAGUGAGGCAAAAUGGUAUGAUAUCAAUCAUGUUGUUUUCUUUGCAAGUUUUACUACUUCAUAUAUCAUGAUCUUGUUAGGAUUUGUUACCAUCCUUUACAUCAAUCCUUAUUGGCGUCAUAGAUGGUUCAAUUUUAUCGAGGAAUGUAUAUAUUCCUGUUAUUAUUUUGUUUUUGAUAAUCUUUCCAAGUUAUCAGCAUAUUUGUAUAAUUAGAUACUUUUAAUUGGAUGAUGUUUGCAUAAUUAACUACUAUUUGUUUCCACUAGAUAGAAAGAAAUGGGAUGUAUAAUUGCUACAAGUUGAAACUUACAUACUUUGCUCAAAUUUUGACAUCUUUUGAUUUUAUUUUCAAGUUCCGUUAUUUUUUAUGUAUUGUUUAAUUCAAGAUUUAACCAUAUUUUGUUACUCUUAUAAAAACAAAUUCAAAUUUUUAGGAAGUUUUAGCAUUAAAAUAAUUUCAUAGUCAUAUUUUAAAAAAUAAAGAAGAAAGAAAAUAAUAAAUAAUUGGAAAAACAAUUCAAGGGAGUAUUAAAUUAUCAUCUUAGAAUUGUUUGGCAUAGUAUGGGAAUUCAAAAAUAAUCUUUCAAUUUGUUAGAAGCGUUUAUUUAUUUAUUAUAGCAAUGAUUGAAAUAUCAAUCACAAAGCAAUGUUUUCUUUUCUUUUGUAGGGCACUAACACUUUUUCUUUGAUCGUAAUAAUUGAUAAAUAUAUUACACAAUUAUUUGUUUUUAAAAAGGGAGGGAUGACAAAUAUAAUAACAUGUGAAAUAUUUCUAAAUGAUGGGAAAUAAGCCAAUCUAAUUAGGGUGCAAUAUUAUUCAUUUUAAUUUAUAUGAAUUUACUUAUUUUUAUUUGUAUCAUAUUUUGAACCAUUUUAUGAAAUUAAGGGAGAUUAAAACAUCGAGUUUCUUAUUUUAAUUUAUAUUUUUAAUAAUAAAGCAUGAAAUAUUUUUUUUUUUAAAAUCAUGAAUUUCUUUAAUUCCUUAGGAAACCAAUAUAUAAAAAAAUUGAAUAUAUUAUGAUUUUAUGUCCUAAAUCUCUAAAUUUGUUCAUCACGUAUUUAUUUUUAUAUUAAAUUUAUUAUUAUUAAUUAUUUAUUAUAUAUUAUUAUUUUAUGUUUAAAAAUGUCCAUAAAUAAUUAAAAUUAAUAAAUAAAAAAAAUGAAAUAUUAAAAAAAUUAAAUUAAAAAGAUUUCAUCAAACUAACAUAUUUAAAAAAAAAAAAAAGCAAAAAGAAGAUGGGGAUAUUAUAGAUGAGGGGAAAAAGAUAAAAAAUAAAUAAAAAUUAUGCGGUAUGAUAAUUGCCUCGUGUUAAAGUUAUUUUCUUUUAAAAAUAAUAAUUGUAAUGAUGAACUCAUUUGUCUUAUUAAAGUAAACAAAAAUGAAGAAAAAAAAAAAGUUGUAGUUGGCUAGAGGUGAGAGAGAGAGAGGAGGGUUUGAGUGUAAGUUUGAAAUAUUAAUUAUUUUCACUAAGUAGAUAUUUUGAAGGUUAUUUUCCCCAAAACACAUAUUCUUUUAAUAAAAAAUCAAAAUUUUAGAUUAUUUGUUCCUUUAAACUUUAGUUUGAAUAAAAUUAGUUUUAAUUAUUUUCUUUUUGGAAUUAUAUUUAACACAUUAUUAAAAAUAUAAAAAAAUAUUAUUAGGUUUUUAUGUGCUGAUUGGGUUUUUUAAAUACCCAAUAUGCCCUCCAAUCUACCACUUAAGCAUCCGAUAUGGCUAAAAAUAAAUUAAAAAAAAAAAAAAGGAAAAAAAACAAAAGUGUAUGAUCCUCUUUCUCGAGUCUUCACAUUUUCAGACACUGAACCCAAAUCAAAAUUAAUCCUCCAAAUUAAUUUUCACCUCGAACCCAAACCCUAACUGCUGCCCCGUUUUCUCCUCAAACAUAGCUAUCCGAAAAACCCUAACCUCUGCCUCGUCUUCCUCUUAUCCCGGAAACCUAAAUCCCGUGACCCUAACCCCUUCUCUUUCCGAAAACCCUCCGGAAUAGGAAGAUUCAUAAUUCUUCAGAAUUAAUUUUCACCUCGAAGCCAGACCCUAACUGCCUCAUCUUCCUCUCAUUCAUAUCCUAAAAGUAGCUUCAACAGUCAGGCCUGUAGCCAUGAAAGCCGUAAUGAUCGCCACUUCCGGUGAUCCCCAAGUUCUCCAAGUGCAAGAAGUCGAAAACCCUAAAAUUGGAGAUGAUGAAGUUCUAAUUAGAGUGGACACCGC